rnacentral:lncRNA from 1 species
UUUUUUUUGGCUACUGGAAAUGAGUCAAUCUGGUCGAUAUUUCGGGUUAGUCAAAAAAAUGAAAGGACAAUUUAUUAUUAUGGAUUGAUCUUCCAGGAAUAUUAGCCUUCAGAGAAAAGAGAGAAUUUUAGGCAGCAGUACCUUUAAUCUGUUUGUGUUUAGAAAUGAUUUCAAAUAUAAUAUUGCUCUAACUUGUCGAUCGAAAAUGUUGNNNNNNNNNNNNNNNNNNNNNNNNNNNNNNNNNNNNNNNNNNNNNNNNNNNNNNNNNNNNNNNNNNNNNNNNNNNNNNNNNNNNNNNNNNNNNNNNNNNNAGUAUAGAAUACUUGAUUUGCUUUAGUUAGUUGUAUCAUAUCUGGAAACACAGGCGGCCCAGGAAAGUUUUUCUUUCCUCCCCUUUGCUGUAAAAGGUCACCUUAGCCCCCACUUUAGGGUUAAAAUGUAAAAAGACCAAGAAGAAAGAAUUGCACAAUUAUCACCCCUCUUUGAAUGCCUCGAAGUCAUGAAUAGAUGGAUAACCCUACAUCUUCAGCUCAAGUUGCUGAAACCACUAGCAAGUCAAUGGGGAAAAGGCCAGCUUAUUGGAUGUGGCACUUUCGGAAGUGUUUACAUCGCAAGCAACUGGUAAGUUAGCUCUGGGAAACUUUGACAUGCUCAAUUUUUUAAACAUCCAGUCGGUUGAACUUUGACAUGUUCCGUGACAGAGAAACCAGAGUUCUGGGUGAAUGGAAGGAGUUUGAGCUAUUGCCUAAUGAUCCAAAUUUGGCUGAGUGCAUGAGGCAGUUUAAGCAGGUAAUGUUUUUGUUAUGCUUUGGCAUCUAAUCCAUCCUCUCGUCUGAUCUAAAUAUGCUGUGAGGAAACUUUCUUUCAUCAUUUCCAGUUAAUUGAUUGCUUUGCUACUAUAGGAAAUUCAGGUACUUAGCCAGCUUAGACAUCCGAACAUUCUGCAGUAUUAUGGCAGUGAAAUUGUGAGUCAACUUUCCACGACACAUGUCCCAGCUCAACAGGCAUUCAUAAUUUGACUCACCAAAAUUUCAACAUGUCCAUACAUACUCAGGUUGAGGAUCAGCUCAACGUAUAUCUAGAAUAUGCACAUCACGGUUCGAUAGACAAGUAUAUAAAGGAACGUCUUGGGACCCUGACAGAAUCGGUUGUCCGCACUUUUACCUAUGAUAUUGUGACUGGAUUGGCUUCACUGCAUGUUAACAACUCCAUACAUGGAUAAUUUGAAACCAUUGAUCAAGCAUCGUGAAAUGACUUGCAUAUUGGAUUAGGACGAUUGCGCUAUUUGGUUAGCGCAGGGAUUUAAAGGGAGCUAAUUUAUUUGUGGAUGCAUCCGGGAUAGUCAGACUUGCUGACUUUGGGAUUGCUAAACAUGUGAGUUUCGACCUCUUCACUGCAAGACUACUGACUGCAUGUGGAAAUUCCUAGCAGAUCUGUGGUGCAUUUGAAUGUGAAGUCAGGGACCCAGGGUGACUGUGUACUUCUCACCACUGGUUUGUGGCAUUUCAUCUGUGCAAAAAUCUAUUAUAGAUGGAUGUUAUUGAGUAAUUUUCUUCACUUUUUUUUCCCAUUGUCUUGAGUAAAGUUACUAUGUUGCAUAAACGGGAAAAGAUUUCUCGCUGCAAACAGAUGCCAAAACCUAAUGAGAAUUCUUUCCUCUUCUAGUGGUUUCCAAAAAGUUCCUAAGACCGAUAGUGAAUAGAACCCAAUACCUUUGGCAAAAGGUUGUGUUGUUGUUUUUGCUGCUCCUCUGCAUUCCAAAAGAAGGAUUGAAUUUAGUCAGAGUAAAGAAGGGCCUCCUUCCUAACAUGGGGCAAAUAAAAGUGUAUUGGUCCAUAGAAUGGAAUUUGGGACAGUAGCCAUAGUAUCGUUGCUCUCUUUUUGAAUUCUCAAGCAUUUGCUGAAAUCAUGUUGUUGAUUGCUUCAUGGUCCUUCUUCUCAGUAAUGAGCUAACAUAAGUUGAAAGUGGUUGAUUCAGUUGUCAAUCUAAUGUAUCUAUGUCUACCAAAGAUGUUGCUAUUUUANNNNNNNNNNNNNNNNNNNNNNNNNNNNNNNNNNNNNNNNNNNNNNNNNNNNNNNNNNNNNNNNNNNNNNNNNNNNNNNNNNNNNNNNNNNNNNNNNNNNUUACUAAUGCCAUACCAUUUGUUAGCUAACCAGACAAGUAGCUUACUACUCUUUGAAGGGAAGUCUAAACUGGUGGCUCACGAGAUACUCUGCUUUUGUGAACGUUAAUGCUACAUUCCUUUUUUGUUGUGGCGGAAUGAUGGAAUAAUAUAUCGUGCAGCUCAUACAAUCAUUGAUGGUGAAUAAUUACAGCAUGGAUCUCGAUCGUGCUGCCGACAUGUGGAGUUUGGGACAUACUAUUAUUGAAAUGAUAACUGUGAAGCUUCCUAGGAGUGAGUAUGAGCGGGUACAUUUGCUGCAUUGCUUUUUCAUUUUCUCUGUCCUUCCAAGGAAUAUGCUUCCGACUAAAUCCAUCACCAUUUUCUGUAGGAAGUUUGGGACUAUACAUAUUACCAUUUGGUAUGUGAUCUGUGUCAUGAGUUUCUGUUUAAGGUUGAAUCAUUAAUGCAGGCUCAAGUCAUAUUUAAGGUGAUGUGAAGUUCUCCAGCAAUACCUGAGACAUUAUCUCCCGAGGGAAAGGAUUUCCUGCAGUGCUGCUUUCGAACACAGCCUGCCAAGAAGCCUUCAGCAACUAUGCCACUUGAGCAUGCUUUCCUGCGAAUUUGAAGUUGCUUAUGAUUGACUUAUUUCAAGUGCCAUACGUUGUUGCAAAUGGAUGUGGUACUGUAAAGUUCCAUAUUUACUAAACUAGAAUAAUCACAGGGUCCAUAGAUGUGAUGAAGUACUUGUAUAUCGACGAAAUAAGAUGCAUGUUCCUCUCGCAUGGUUUGACCAGUGUCAUACUACGAUCUAGGCAAAUUUGACAGUGUUGCUUAAUCUAAACAUUUUACUACAGAGUGCAUUCUUAUCAUAAACAUUUUGUAUGAAGUACAUUUAUUCAUCAAAAUUGAAUGGUAUUGAUAUGGCUCCAAAUAAGAAACGGAUCAGCAAAACAAAAGUAAUAAAACCCAAGGAAAAAGGAAAAGAAAAAGAAAAUCGAAGUGAUAGUGCAUCAGAAUUCCUGAAAUAAUUUGGAAAGGAAAUACUCUGUCGAUUUGGUGGGAGGAACAUUGGCAGGUUUGGCAAACCUGCAACGUCUUAGGAUUUUGGAAGUGAAGGGAGAAAUAUCAAAGUUACGGGCAUUGGAGGCUCUUAAUUCUUCCGGACAGACCACAAUGGCUUUUCUCGAUUCACCGGAAAUUGGUGAUGGUGAUGAGGGCCACUCUGAUUGGAGAAAUUUCAUGUAUUUGUUGAGAUCAACGAUGAUGAUGAUCCAAGAUUUGCAAUUUUCGAGAGGAGAAUCAACGUUGAUUGUUGCGAUAAUGCACGUCAGGGCAGCAGGGAAAAGUUUUUUCCCUGGUGGUUUUGCCCCCAAGUGAUGCUGCAAGUUUGCUGGAUUUCCCCCUAACGGUUUUUUGUCAUUUCCCGGAACGUUUCUGGAAUAAUUUUGCAUGUUGUGUCUAUAAGAUGCAAAUAGCUAGUGAAAUUUGUUAAAAAUAUCUCAUGUGGUUCGUUUACAAGAUUUUAAUAGGCCUUAUAUUUAUAUAAUUUACCUUCACUUACUUGUUCAAAUAUUUAGGUUGGAUUUUCUCCUAUGUGCAAAUAGCAAUUUCUACGUGAAAUGCAAACUAAACAUGCUUCCUUUUUUUCAUUAUUUUUUCUGCAAUUAAAGUGAUUCCUCUACCCUAAUGCAUACCAGAAAUAUAUUCAAAAGUGUGACAGGAAAAAGAACUCCUUGAAAUUUUGCAAAGUAGGAGGCGCUUUUUAGACCAAGCGAUGUCUCUCGGCUGCAUUGAAUUGUGUCUUCGUUUUCGUUUUCUUUUGUUCUUUUCCUCAAUCUUCAACCAACAUUCUAACCAUAAGGCGCCUUCUCUUUUGUCCCUGUUCUCUCCCCCUUUCUUUCGUACAACUCGCUCUUCUUUUCCUGCUGUUUUUUUUUUUUUUUUGUAAUGAAGACUACUAAUUGGUGUUUGGUCUUUCAAAGUGUAGCAUUAUUGAGCAUCAUCAUCAACUCAUCAAGUUCGCUAAACUCAGUCAUCAAUUAACUAACAAUUCUUGUCUAACAGGAACUGCACCAACGAAGCAAGAAAAAGAUAAACAAAAACUCAGGCAAGAACUCAUUCGUUUUCAAGACUCGGUCAUAAAAAUCGAGGAAAAGAAACUAUGAAUAUGUGCCGGAUUUUUCUCUGCUGCCGUGUCCUUUUUCACCUACUUUUGACCCAGAAUUCGACCAUUUACAGCUCUCGGUUCCUUUUGUGUGUUUUCACACUGCUAAUUUCCUUCAUUCACACACGAAGGAAAGUCGUGUUGAAAGUGGCCUCCUUUCGGCCAACCAGGAGGAGGGAACGGAAAGGACUUCACUUCGAAGAGCGGGCACGUCCAAAAUUCUCAUAAGAAUUCCCAUUUAAAUUCGCCUGGAAAUUCAGAGUCGGGUUGUGUAACAGAUUGGUUCACAAUAAUUGCACUCUUAUUAGAAAGGGCAGUACAAUCACAAGAAUGUGAGAUUACAAAUGGAGUUUAUUAUGGGUCAAAUUAUCAGUGUUUUUCUUCGUUAGUUUUUAUGAAGAUGCGAUUGAAACCUUUGAGCUCGUAACAGUAAUUUAACUUAAAAAUUAUUGAGUUAUUAUAGUCUUUAAAUCAUUCUUGGGACAUUUUUUUUUCUUUUUGAUCUAAAGAUCCAAACUACAUAUGAAACGAGUCCCGUGAUUGGGAAAACACGAAUUUAGCAUAUUAUGCUUGCUCCUAAAUAUUUUUAUGUGGAUGCCACAUAACAAGUACCUAUAUAAGUUCAUGCAAAUAGGAUCUAGCGAAUUAACAAUCCAAAAUUUGAGAGAAAAUAUGAAGUAAUUUUGUGCAUUUUUGAAACUCUGUUAGUGUACAUUCUUGUAGUUUUUCCUUGUCCAAAUAUACUGAUUUUCAACUUUCACUAAGAUGUUGCAAAUUCAAUUAGAAGCAUAUGAUUAAUAGUCCUAAUUAGCCAAGUCACAAAACCAAUCAUAAGAGAUUCAUUGCGGUUGUCACCAAGUCUUGAAUUGGUGGGAUGGUUAUUCCCAUGGCAAGAGCGGCUAACAUCACAAACUUCAUCCUCUAGGGAUUAAGUUAAAAUAUACCUUUGGCACUUAAAAUGUUCUAUACUCCAUAAUAAAUAUGUUACUUAUUUUAUCAAUUAAUCUACCCUCAAUAAUAUGCUAAUAUUGGUUUAGAUAAUUUGUCGAUUUGGCUAUAACUUGGAAUAAGAGACAAUAACAAUAUAAAUCUAAUAUUGAAAAAAAAUUGUUUGAUUUUUUUUUUCACUUAUUAGUUAUUCUUUUAGCAAUUACCGAAUAACAUCAUUCAAACUGCAUAAUGCCAAAUCUAUUUUUUUUCCAAUUACAUUAUGCCAUAAAUGUGCGAAUCAACAUACAUGAUUUCACCUCAAACAAAUGGACUUUUUUUAUGAAUAAAUUUAAAAAAAAACGAUAGAAAAAUAGCUCAUAUUAGGGCCAUUUACCAGGUAAUGCAAAUUAAAACCAAGUCUUAUUUAUGUGUAUUAAAAAUUUCCAAUACCAUAUCAUAUCAUUUACACAAAAAAUGCAUAGAAUAUAAUUCGGAGAAGAAGGAAGAUAAGAGAAACUUAAACAAAAGAGCAUUUCUAUCUGUCCUAAGAUAGAAAGUAAACAUCAAAUUUAGAUAAUCUUACUUUAAAUACUUAUGUAGCAAGGACAUUCAUAAAAAUUAGAACAUAAUGUAAGCCUAAACAAUAAUAUAACGAUUGAUUUAUAUAAAGUGUCAAUAUAACAUUAUGCAAAAAAUUUAUACAUGUAAUAUGGGUUCAUAUCAAUAAAUGGAAUUGGAAGUAAAUUUCUGAAUCUAUGCAACCCAUGGGUCUUUGUUUACUACACAUUCUACAAAAAUAUGCAGUCAUAAGUUACAAUUUGAUGGAAUCACCUACCAAUUCUACUCACAUCAUAGGAAAUGUUUUCUAGCAGCUGGAUGGCUUGGAAUAUUUUGGGGCCAGAGAUGGACACAUUUCAUUCAUAUGAGGGUACAGGUCCACUGUAUUGUAUCCUGGCAGCUCCAUUCGAUACCAACCUCGUAUUUGAUAGAACAGAAGCUCGACGUCGUCCCCAUCAUCGCACCACUUAGGCAAGCCGCUUGAAUGAUCCUCGAAGCACCUUAGUGAGUAAGCAUCUUUUAUCUGCAUAAAAGACAAUGCUAUUCACAAAAUGCCAGAUGGGAUGCCUCAUGACAGAAAGUCACGCUUUUAAAGGCAAACUAGAUUAUAGUUUUCUCAAUCUUUGAAGAAAGUGACAUCCAUCUCUAGAUAGUAAAUUCAAGCAAUUAGGGUAAAAAAGAUAACCCAACUAGGGUCAAUCAGAUCGCACUUACAGUGAACUCUGUAACAUGAAUGGAGCUAGAAAUUGGAUCAAAGAGUCCUGCUGCUUUGUACAUUUCAAGAACAAAAGCUACACAAGAGGCGGACUUCCCGUCACUGUAUACCCAAUGGUCUUGCUCUGGAGUGUAAGCAGUUCAGCAAAAGAUGACCCCCUCAUUUCAGUUUCGUGUAUUAGAUUAGGAAGAUCCAAGCCCUGUAUGCAACACAAUCGUAAGGUAGCCAUAAAGUAAAGUAAGUGUAAUUACAACCAUAUAACAUUUGUUAACAGAAUGUCAUUCAAGAGACAUUAGAUUUCAGUUGCACCUCAGUGUGCAAAACAAGAUGCAUAACGUCACACAGACAAUUGCAAAUUGAAUGGGACGGUACCUUUGUUCCUAGUCACUUGUUGAGUGCUUCAUUCCAUAUGUUCGCAGCAUAGGCUGGUUGCACUUGGUUCCAUAGUCAUAACAGAAGCAACCUACAAUAAUACAAUGCUUUCUAUAAAAUGAGUGAACGGCACUCCCAUCACGCGAAUAAAGCACCCCACAUGGUGAGCAUAUUACAUGCAUCGUCAGUCAGGCUGAUAGCAACUCUUAAGAAAAAAUGAACAAAGUCUACUAUUUUGCUGUCUUAGUAUCAUAUAGGAGGCCAUAAAAAAUGAAUAAUUGUCAAACUAAGCCAGGUUCUUUUCCAUAACGUUAGCACUCAAUAGAGUCACAUGCGAACCUGCUAUUUGGCAAAAUCACUGUUCAUUUUUUAGCCUUUUGUUUUGUUCAGUUGAAUUCAUUCGAAAUCAUGGCAUGAUUGUCUAAUUUCAACUAGAACGUGUUGUUAGGAUCUAACACACGGCUUAAUAAUAUUUCAAGGUCUAUCAAAGUAAGAGUAAAUUGCUGUUUAGCAGUCAUGUUGAGAAGCAGAAACUAUUUCGUAUCCAGCAUCUAAGAAUCUCAAGGCAUCUACAGAUAUACCUUGGAAGUAACACAAGGCCUUAGUGCUAGAAAAUCGUCUAAGGCAACUGAAUGCACCCACAAAAUAUAUAUAAACAUAUAUGCACGUGUACAAUCUCUGUACCACAUGAGCAUCUAAUGGCGCCGGAUAAUUUGCGCCGAUGGUGUCUAUCCAGCUAAAAAGCAUGUUGUGAUAACCAUAUGGUUUCCCAUUCAUAAUCUGUGCAAACUCCCAUGCAGCAGCUCAUUAAAUUUGGCUCACAUAUCAGGAUGCAGUGGAAGCAACGCAAUGUGGGGAUUUGAGUAAUCUUUGUUAAGCUUGAACUCCCACCAUUUUCCCAUGGUAACACAGCAAUGACAUCUUCUCCCUGCAAUGAUAAGAACAAAACAAAACUUGCAUAAUCUCUAUUACUAUGUUAGACUUCUGUAGCACCUGACCCCUUUACCAACACAAAGGAACAAAGCAUGUAGCAAAAACCCAAAUGUGACCAUAAAUUAAUCAAGGUCUGCCUCAAGUAAAGGACGUCAUUUCAUCAAAUUCUAACCAUAAUCAUCAUCAGUAAGUUAUCGUCUCGUGUGUAAGGAUGGUCCUGAAGUUCAGUAGAAAAAGUUCAGACACUGCAUUCCCUAUGUUACAAAUAUGAUGAUGCUCCAAUAGAGCUUCUAGUAGAAGCCUAAAUAGGAUCAGCUGCAGUUCAACAUGAACCUGAAGCAGCAUGUCAUCGUUUACUUACUCAUCCUCUCUUACAAUCAAAAGUUUCUAUGGGAGCACAAAAAGGAAAGACCUAUCUUAUUAGAGAACAUAAGAUGAGCAAGGAGAUUUAAGGACAUAGGGGCGUGACUAAAGCACGCUUAAUAUGCAAAAUGGAACAAUCUCAAUGGGAACCAUAUUUGUGAGAGAAGAAGUCCAUGAUUCGACAAAAGUCACAUUUAUAAAGUAAUCACACAGAAAUACAAUGCCCCAAAAACCUAAGGGUUCAUGAAAUGUUAGAGAAACACAGCAGAAACCCUACUUGUCCUUUUCAAUAUGUAUGAGACCACACUUUGAUAAUCAGAGGACAUUAAAGCAGUAUUGUAUGAGAGUCUUUAAUGAUGAAUGACAGAUAAGCAUAGUGAAUUUUUUUUUCUUUUUUUUGGUCGGUAAGCACAGGGAAUUAAAGAGAUGGAGAAAUAAUGACUCAAACAAUUCUGGGGGUGUUUGAAACAUUUGAACGUUUGUCUGUUGGAUAUCCCCAUAUAGGAACAAGGUGGACAGUUAUUGUGGAAGACUGGCAUACUUACAGCCAUGUUAAUAUUGUGUCUAUGCAAUUGGUUUAAAACUUUACUUCACAAUUACAAUUGCAGAGACAGCAGCAGGCAAAAAGAUUGGAUGAAAUGUCGAACAUCAAAAGUAAUCCGUCAAUGUAUGGAAAAAAAAGAACAAGGAAUAGAAAAAAAUGCUUAAAAACAAUCGCAAGGUAAUCCUUUUCCUCAAAAGGCUUUUUCUCCACUAGUAUAUAUAAAAAUUAGGCCUUCAAACUGAAAAAGAAAUACACUUACAUGCAUAACCACCCUAUAUCUGUUUCCGAAUUACCUGUUCAUUAUCAUGUCCGGAUUCACCAACCCAAAGCUUUCCUUCAGCAUCCCUUAAGCACACAGCUGUGUGACCAGCGUAUGCGCCACUGACCCAUUUCUCUAGAGUCCCAAAACCACCCCCACUUUCCACGAAUUUUUGAAAUUGCAAUGAAGUCUCCAGAGUGGAUAUCAUCAAUGCUGAUGUUUGUAACCAAGGGCUGGGGACGUUGCUCAAAUGAAGCUCCCAUAUGCUUCUUGAGAAAACCAAUGUUAGAUUUCUCCCCUCACCCGGUAUUUGAAAACAAGGAAACACAUCCCACAGUGCUUGAAGGGUCCCUAGCAUCCCAGCUUGCAUCAGAAAGAUUGACACUCCUCUACUUUUCACCUGCAAUCAAAAUAAUGGAAAAUCAAAGUUUGACAACUCGCCAAUAUGCACAAGCAAGAGCAGAAGAGAAAAAAGAUAAUUGCAGCUUACAUAUUCAAACUCAGCUUUUCCUUCCCACUCUUUGAACUCAAAUGUGUGCUCACGAGAUAAAAGAUACUAGUCCCAUGUCACGCAGUAUGGGGUUGCAAAGACAUAAAUAUCCAUACAUGUCCAGCUAUGGGCUUUGCUGACCUGGAUGAGCAAUCCAAACUCAUGGUUACAAGCCGGAUACCUACAACUAGCUGUUAGUUUCCAUAUUCAGCAGAACUAGAUGCAAAAACAAGGACUAUGAAACAUCAACACGAGGCAGUACCCACCCAAACUGGAAUAGCCUCCAUAAGAUAAUUUGAUUUUACAUCAAACGAAACAAUUGUACUUGUAUGAGCAACCAAAUCACUAAAUCCUUCUUCAACCACUUAAAACCUAGACACAAAAGACUCAAGUGACCAACCAUGGUACCAAUUCGUGGAGCUUAAUCAAAGCACAAACAAGCAGAUGAAAGGAGAAGGAAAGAAAAAAACUUAGCUAGUGACGAAAUCCACUAGAAACAUAUUGAGGUAAGAACUGAAAAAUUCCAUCACUCAGAUUCCAACAUAAAUAACCAGAAUGAGAAAAGAGGAACAGUUGGGAUCAAGUGCAUGGCCCAAACAUCGAGGAUAUUCUCUAACGUCCUUUAAAUAAGUGAUUUUCUUUCACAACUCUAUAGAUAAGUAUGACCGCACACUUCAGUUGGUAAGAAAAAUACCGUAAGUAGAUAGAAACUCUAUCCAGUUCAGAGCUUUGAAUCCAUUAGAAAAAAUCGACCUCAAAUUAACUAAAAUAGAAAGCUCAAACUAAGUUAAUCGGAAAUUGGGAAAAGCUGCCAAACGAUGGCCAUUAGACCCCAUCAAACAAACUCCUACAGCCUCACAUCUCCUAGAAUUAUCACACAAUCGAACUGCAGUGAAUUGAAUUAAGCACUAACAUUCGACCAGAGAACCUUAAAAGCUCGUGAACAGUGACUGUCUCUCCACAUUACCAAGCCGCCACAAGCUCAAACAUCCCAAAAUCUUCCAGAAUCGCACUCAAACACAAGUAUUUCCAUUCCAUUCCGUUCCCCACUAUUCACCAAACAAAAAAGAAGACUUGGAAUCAUCACUCCAGUCCAUUCCUUUCCCCAUCAUUUCCCGAUUUCAUUCCAUUCCACCGUACCAAACCCGACGUAAUAGUCAACCAGAAAACCUCAUCUUCCAAAAUGGCACUCAAAACCAAAAGGAGACCAAGCAAAAGCGACGCGAUAAAACUAAAGAACGGACCUUGAUGUGAGGCGUGCCUCCGCCGAACUUGCUCCCGGUGUUGUUGUGGAACUCCCACCAAGCGGUCGGAGGAAAAAACGGCGCCGAGGAAGGCGGGCAACAGGUGCAGGGGACGGCGAAGGGCGUUGAGGAUGGGCCAGGACAGCUGCUUCGGCAAUAGAGGGAGUAUGUUCUCCAUGGUGGAACGGUGGUUUCGCGGCUCGAGAGCGCGGGUUGAGCAGAGAGGAGAACGUGAAGAGGAAGAGAAGUAGCAGAAAUUGGCUGACGAGAAGCCAUGGAAACUGGGGGGGGAGAGAGAGAGUCAUCUCUCCAGCGACGGUCCACUUCUUUAAGUGUCUCACACUGUAAAAGGUGUAGGGGCAAGAGGAGCCACUCGUUUUGAUUAUAUCCUUGGACGCUUGGUAAUUUAGGGUGCUUAACCAGUUAAAUGAAACAUUAAAGCAUCAUUGGGGCUGAAAAUAUUAUGUAUUCUUAUAUUAUGUAUUAAUGUUGGCAAAAAUCUUAAAUUAUAUCCAUCCUGACAUUAAUGUCUCGAAUUAGUAUUGAUUUCGUGGCAAACAAAAGUUUAAGAUUUUUAGAGACGAGAGGUAUUUCCACUUCAAAUAUAAGUUUAAGUGUAGAGAUGAGCAAUUAGAAGUCUCCACAAAAGAUGUAACCCUAUGGGAAGAUAUAUUGCCUUCCCACUCUCUUAUAGCUUGCCGUUAAACUGCGGCCAUUGAUAGCGUCAAAUCGGCUUAUAUUGCCUACCCCCACCCUCUUAUAUUGUUGCAACAACUUUAGCUACACCACCUUUUCAGGACUUGGUUAACAUCAAGAGUAUUCUAUAAAUGGUGUAUAUUUUCAUUUUGUAUGAAGCUAUAUGCAUGUUGUUAGUACGAAUUUGACGUUUAGCACGUUUUCACAGUAAUCAUGCAAUCUCCCUUAUUGUUAUAUUGUGUCUUGAGUUUGAGUAGAGGUGUCAAAAUGAGUUAUUGACCCAUUUAUGGACUCAUUUAAACAUAAAUGGGUUGUUAAUGGGUCAAGCCUAUUUCCUAAAGUACCCAUAAUGAGUUUUAAUGGGUUAAGACUGAGAUAUAUGAAUCUUAAAUGGGUCAAAGAACUUGCCCAUUUAAGACCCAUUUAUCAACCCACUAAAAAUAAACUCAUUUAUUUUAAGCCAAAACCUCACAAUCUCUCUCUUCUCUCUUUAACUUUACAAAAUAUUUAAAAAAAAAACCAAAAUUAUAAUUAUUUUUUUAUUUUUCUUUUCUUUUCUUUUCUUUUUUUCUUUUUUCUGUUUUCUUUCUUCUUCCUCUGGUCGUCGGCACUGCGAUGGCCGGCGACCGGCCAGGUGAGCCUUGGGCUCGCUAGAUCUGGCGAGGCGGAGGCCUCGCCGACGUCCAGCGAGACUCGAGCCUCACUAGAUCAGGUGAGGGGGCGAGCUUGAGGCUCGCCGGCGUCCGGCGAGGGGCGAGCUCAAGCUGGCUUGAUGUUGGCGAGCCUCGAGCUCGUCGGAUCUGGCGAGGCGGAGGCCUCAUCGACGUCUGACGAGGCUCGGGCCUCACCAAUCUGGCAAGACUUGGGCUCACCAGCGUCGGGCGAGCUCGAGCUCCCUGGAUUUGGCGAGCCUCAAGCUCGUCAAUGUUGGCAAGUUGGGCGAGCUCCAGGUCGCCUGUGGCUUGCCGCUGACCAUCAUUGUGGCCAGCAGCCGACCAAAGAAGAAGAAGAACAAAAAAGAAAAAAGAAAAUUAUAUUUAAAAAUAAAAAUAAAAAUAAUUAAAAAAUUAAUUUAAAAAAAAAAUUAAUAUUCGAUUUUUUAAAAUAUAUAUUUUUAAAAUUAUAAAAAAUGUCCAUUAAAUUUGCGUUGUAUAAAACCAUUUUAGCAAUACCAUUUUAUAUAUAUAAUAAGUUUUCUUAAAUUUAAUUAAAUGGGUCGGGUAUGGAUCGAAAAUUUUGUAUUGCAAUAAACGGGUUAAAUGGAUCGAUUUAGGUCGGAUCAUUUAUGACCUGAUCCAAACCCGACCCGAUCCACCCGUUUAACAGGUAUAAGUUUGAGCCCAUGUAUGGGCCCACAACUGAAGAAUCUAUUGCUCAAAGUCACGCACAAAAUGCAGUGUUCUUUUAUUAAUUAAUGCGCACGCAAGUCUUGGACUUUUUUCUCCACUUCAUUAAUGCAAUGCAUGCACGAAUCUCCUCCUGUGUCCCUUUAUCAUUUUUCUCAUUUUUGGUUCGAAUUCCCUUUUGUCAUUGAAGGAGCUGAACGUCCAUUUGUCGCCUUCACUCCAGAGCGCCCCCUCUUUCGGACUCCCCCUGGACCAGCGAAAUGGGAAAAUUCGGCGCCAAAGUCAACGUUGGAAACGCCGGCGACGGCGACGUUCUUGAGGCCUAGCCUCAAGAUUCGAGUGGAAUUGAGAGGGUGCUUCCAUUCCAGACAGCGGUGGAGAGCCGUGACGCUCACGGAGUGAUCGAGACCCAGAGAUUGGAUCCAAGCGCAGAGGCACGCGAGUCUUUUUCGCCAUUUUCAUGGAAUAGGGGUGGACGUUGGUGAUCUGGUUGGGGAAAGGAUGGAGCGUGAGGAGGAUGGUCAGGGACGCAUAUAGGAACGGACUCGACUUAGGGUUCAGGAACGGGUUUACAAAUCGGAUUGAGGUUGCGAAAUGGACCUACAUCUUUCUAGGAUGGAGAAGUUUUUUUCAGAAAUUGUCAGACGAUUUCAGGAAUUUGAAAGAAAUGAGGAGGGGCUAGAGCACAGGGGGAAUUUUAAUUUAUUUUGGCCAAACGUUCGAGCAAUAGUUUCGAAUCACUAAGGAGUAUAUAUAAAUUUCAGUACGGUGACCUCUUUGGUUCAGAUUGGAAAAGUAGUGUGCGGUGGCCAAUGGAUAAUGAUCUCGCUGCCCUCUAGCGAUAUGCAAGGGCCUGGCAGUGCAAUAUUGUGGGCUUAGUAGGGCUUAUUUGCUGGAUAUGCAUCGAUUUCUGCCAAAUAUAUGGCAACAACCGAGUGGCAGAGGUUGUUCUCAUGGGGACCACCAGGGCCAUGGUCGCCGUCCCCUGGGAUGAUUAAUUUAAACAAUUUGUUGAAUUGCUUAAUUCGACAAUUUCGUAUUCGAUAGUGUUGACUCCGUAACUUGCUUUCUCUGAUGAUAAAUGACCAAUAUCAUGCGUUUAGACCACAGUAAGCAUCGGCUCAGAGUCAGCGGUAACAAGUCAAUGAUUGACGCCCUUGAAAGACUUCUAUCCUUCCAAAGUCUAUUUUGACUUAGGCAAUUCCAUUUGUUUCUUCACAUACAUGUUCAAAUUUUUGAGUCAGACUUUCUCAUGUGCUGAUGACUUAAUUACUGCAUGGUUAUAUUAUUAAACUAAAUAAUUUGAUAGAUUAUGAUUGAUCUUAUUAAGCCAACCGCAUUUGAUAUUUUCACGUUAUUUGGCAUACAAAAUGUCGAUAUAAAUAGUGUAAUUCCGGGGGCCGAAGUUGUAAUUGGCUCAAAGGCGAACACGUCUUCAUGAGUAACACCGUCAAACUCCUUUUGAGAUUCUUGGAAUGUCUCCUACUUAGAUAACUCGAUCAGUUUCCUCUUUUUUCUAAUAGUAUAAUUUCCCUUUAUUAAUUUCCUCUAUUUAGAUCUAGUGUAUUUCUCUACUAGUACUUCAGCUCCAGGUGAAAUAAGGGGAUUAAAUUUAUCUGGUCGAUUAACUAUCAACAUCAAUUAAGAUUUAAUUUCUUUCUAUCUCUUUUCGUAAAUAUUUAUACACGAAAUUCUUAUUGUGUAUUUUUAUCAAUAAAUUAUUUUCAUUAUUUAAUAAUUCAUAUAUUUUACCCAAAAAAAUGAUUUAAAUUAAUUUUUUAAAUACCAAUUGUUCCCACACNNNNNNNNNNNNNNNNNNNNNNNNNNNNNNNNNNNNNNNNNNNNNNNNNNNNNNNNNNNNNNNNNNNNNNNNNNNNNNNNNNNNNNNNNNNNNNNNNNNNUUCUCUAGAAUAAAUAAGUUUCUUAAGAAGGUAUUUCACAAUUUCCAAGUUGUCUUUGAAUUAAUCGAGUCUUUCUUAAAUAUCAAUCUACAUAUUGGCUUUCUAAUUGUUGAAUGGGUUUAGUACCCAUGGAUAAUAAGUAAUGCUACAAAGACCUUAGAAGACAAAAAGGAUUUUCACCCUAUAUGAUGUCAUGUGUUCUCAUUGCCCUAAGAACAUAUGUUAGCUUGUCAUACUAUCUAAUGGGCUAGGAUGCAAAAGUCACAAUAUAGCCGUAUGUAGUAUGGCCAUUAAAAAUGCAGAAUAAACAUGGUUUCUUUUUAUUAUUAUUAUUUUUUUUACGAAUAAAGUGAUUCAUUUAUUCAAAACCAUAUUGGAAAUAUAUGACAUGAAUGAUAUAAAAUGUAACAGAAAAAGAAAUUUCUUGAAAUUUUGCAAAGUCGGAGGUGCCGCUCAAAUCGAGAAGUGCGGGUGGUCCCAGCAAAGUGACGUUAAUGUACAAGAAACAAAAGGUAGGAAAAGUAAUAAGAGCAACGUGCAGAAACGACGACGGCUUGGCGUGGAACGAGCAUGGCUUUAAGCAAACACAGAAACAGCACAUCUCGCGAUAUUUUGAUGUCGCGUAUUCUUCCUCUUCUUCUUCUUUUUCUAAACUGAUAAGGCUGCUCCGGAGCCUCUCUUCAUUUUCGUUUUUUUGUUUGUUUUUUCCUCCUCAUUUUUCCAACCACAUCCUCACCAUAACGCGCCUUCUCUCUUUUGUCCCCUAGCUCUCCCACUUUCUUUCGCCCGACUCUCUCUUCUUGUCUUGCUUUCUUUUUUUGGUUCCCGCCCAAACCCUUAAUGAAAGAUUAAUUGCUGUUUAGUAUUCCAAAGUCUAGCAUUAUCGGGCCCCAUCAUCGACCUAUCAAGUUCGUUAAACUCAGUCAUCAAUGGACUGACUAUUUUGUUGAACACGAGCUGCACCACCAUGGCAAGAAAAAGAAAAGUAAAAACUUAGGCAAGGGCUCAUUGAUUUCUAACACUUGAUCAUAAAAAUUUUUGAAAAGAAAUUUUAAUAUCACUGCUUUGAGGAUGGAUGCACUCUCAACAAGUGAACCCGAGUGAUCGAAUUCAAUAAUACGACAGAAUCAUCUCAAAGAUUUAAGUUUAAUAGUUAUUUUAUACGGCGAUUAUGAUAGGAACAUGAUAAUUUCGAGCGCCUGCAAUGUGAUGUCUUGAUGUAUCAUAGGAAUGUUAAUUAGAUAUGCAAACAGUAAAGAGGCAACGGCAUACCGGCAAUGACUUGGGUAGUAACAACGCAUCUAUGAGGCCUAUCCCUUAUUCGAUUUUUUUUUAUUUCUAUUUGUUUUUGUUCAUGUUUUUUUUCUCGAACCGCUCUAAUAUGAAUUAAAUAGUAGACAUCUUAAUAUAAAUUCAACAAUAGAAUUCUCCAUUUCAUUUUUGAAUUUGAAUGAGACUUUUUCUCUAAUUUUUUUACUAAUUCAUUUAGAUUACAUUUUAUAGUAUCACUAAAAUUUUAUUAUGUAAUUUAACUUAUUGUUAUAUCAUCCAUAUAAAAAUCAAAAUAUAAUCUAACUAAAUACAAUAAAUAAAAUCAAACAAAAUCGAAAUGCUCAUUAGAGCAUGGGAUAAUCAUAUUAUCGACAUUGUAGAAAACAGAAAUUCUAAUAAUUUUUAACUACUAACUAAAAUAUGUAAUGUGUUUGUAGGUAGUAUCUCAUUCUGUUUUCUUCUCACCCACUAGCUCUAUGCGCAAUUAUUGAGCCGUGACCAUGUGAAUGCUAGACUAAAGCCUCCCCUCAGCCGGGUUUUUUCCUGCUUUUUAUGUCCUUACCUUUUUCACUAAAUCUUUGCUGAAGAUAUGGUCCAUUAUGAGGAGGUGCUAGUUUUUUUCUAUGUUGUGUCCACUUCUGACCGGAGAGGACUUACUAUUCGGAGAGCGGGCUGCGUCCAAAACUUUCACAAGAAUUGCCAUUUAACUUCACCGCGGAAAAUUUAGGGUCAGGUCGUGUAGGGUUAGUUCAUAAAAAUUCACAAUCAGGGCCGCAAUGUUAAAUGUGAAAUAAUGCAAUGGAGAGAGAGAGAUUGUGGGAUUAUGAAUGUACUUUUAUUAGGGGUCAAAUUAUCGAUGAAUCUGAUCGUUAAAUUUCAUGAAAAUGGGAAUUGGACCUUUAAAUGAAAAUUUAUGUAUCGACAAUAAUUAAUCUUACAUAUUAGUAAGUAAUUGUUUCUCUUUAAAUCAUCCCUUAGUUGAUUUUUUUUUUCUUUUUGGUCUAAAGAUCUAGACUGCAUACAAAAUUGGUCUUGUGAAUUCAUUAGUACAGGUAAUAUUCUAAAUUUGAGUCAAGAUUUAUGCAAAGUAAAUAAGCAACACUACUCACGAAGAUUUUCCUAUUGAUUUCUAGAGGCAAAAAAGAGCAAUGCUAUGCAUAGGAGAACUGGACAUAUAUAUAUAUUAAGAUGGAUAGAAAAUGAUAAGGAAAAUAGUGCGGUAGCUCUCUUAAGAAAAUUUUGUUUUUAAUUUUUUAUUUUCCUUGGAAAGUCUAGAGAAUUUGGCAAUUAAGUAAACCAUAGUUUAACAUUCCAUAAUAAUUUUCCACCUCAUUCGGUGCACUAAUUUUUUGAUAUAUUUACAUAUUUAGCACCAUUUCGGGCAAGACAAAGAAAGAUAAGUAGGCUCAAAAGUUUAUCGGGUGCACGUUCGCAUGAGUUUCCUCGUGGUUAAAGCUGAAAUUGGCUCAAAGGCGAACGCGUGUUCUUGAGUAACACUGUCCCACUCCCUUUGAUGACGAUGACAUCAGAGACAAUUACCCGACACUAUUGAAAAGAGAGAGAGAGAGAGAGAGAGGGGGGGAAGAGGUCUUAUCGUGGCUUCCAAAAGAGGCCACUUGAAAUCUCUUAAAAAAAGUGAAAGUUAUGCGAGGUGGAGUGACAUCCAUAUAAAUAGACAAAUUGCUCAUUAUUUUGUUAAUAGAUUAUUGUCUAGAAAUGAAAAAGAAAAAAAAGAUGUAAAUAGUGAAGCAAUGAGGCAGCAAUAAAAUAGGAAACUUGUCAACCCCCCAUCCAUUAUAUUAAAUUAAAAUAUUAUUAAGUCCAUUGUCGGUCUAGAAAAUAAUUUGCACAUUCCCGAUUAAGAGUUGACACGUGGAAUAAUUGACUGGCAAAAACAACUUCAAACCCACACGUCACUUAUUCACGGUAAAUGUGUAUUGAGGUUUUAACAUCGACUAUGCUUCCAACAAUAUCCAUUCAAUUACUAGGUUUUUCGGCUAACAAUGUUUCUAUAUUUAGUUUAAUAUAUUCAAAUAAUAAGACCAAACAGAUAAUAUAUUCGAAUGUUCAAAAUUUUUACCCAUGGGGGUUAAUUAGGAAUGCCAACUAUUUAAUAAAACAUUGAAAAUAUUAUUAUUUCGUAGUAUCUAGAGAAUGAAAAUAAAUAAAAAAAGUCAAAGUCAUGCGAGGGUAGAGUAAAAGCAAUCAAAUCAUUAAAGAGAGAAAAAAUCAUUUUUAUUUAUUAAAGUAAUAGGUUAUAGUGUAGAAUGAAAACAAAAAAAAAAAUAUUCAAAACAAAAAGAAGAGUAAAAGCAUGCGACGACACCUAUCUAAUGUGCCAUUGCUCCAGGAGGCCUCCACGUAGCACCCGAGUUGUCUAUUCCACCGUCCAUCUCGCCGACACGACGGACGGGAAAAAAACCCACGCCGGACCCCCCCACCCCCGAAACGGCACAUGUUGGUGUCAGCGGGAGCGUCGGACCGGGCCCCGCCCCGGUUCACGAGGAUCGCCACCGAUGAUGUGGACAUGUCGAGAAGUGGGGCAGGGUCAAAGCAACGGACGGCUUGGAUUCAGCGGGGGCUUGGUCGUUCGGCUUGUCGUACGCCUUUUCAUGUGAUCACGUGAAUUGGGCGUACUACGGUGAGGGGGAACAAGGGGAGAGGGUGGGGCCCGUUGGGCCGGGGAAUGUAGUUAGGCCAUGAUGAUGGACGGCUGGAUGGACGGAUGAGUAUUUGGUUGAUGAAAAGGAGGAAGCGCCAUAAAUCGGUGAUUUCUCGGGGUCCUGAUUCCACGCAAUUGACAGUGUGAAUGUGAAAAUUGAUCCACAACGAACACAAUCAACGCCCCCUGACCCAGCAUCUAGUGGGGAGAAGGUUGUCAUUGAUGAUUAGGCCUUGUAAAUUGGUAUUUUCAUGGUUUGAAUAUAUUUGAUAAAUUUACCUAUACAAAAGUGCUACAAUAGCCGAAGGGGAGGCCAACCGUAGUCCAACCGUAGUCCAACAGAGAUCCAUAUUAGUUUGACGUGAUAUUGCUAUGGUUGUUAUAUUUGUUGUCCGACGAUGAUAUAACGUGAAAUUAUGUUUACGAUUACGCACUUCUGUAUUGAGCCGUGAUUUCCGUGCUUUUUCUGGCGGUAAAAUAUAACAUAUCUGAGACUUUCGACAGUGUAGUUGAUUAGAAUUCAAGACUUUGACCAAGUCCAAGUCUCUCCCUUUCUUCACCAAAACCGGUUCAUUCCCAUUUCCAACAGCAGGCGAAUGCCCUUGUUUCUGUAGGAAUUGGGUUACUGCCUUCAACCAGAGGAAGAGUCUUUGCUCGAUCCCUGGAUGCUGACUGGUGCUUCAGAUUCUCAAGAGCAGUUUCUUAGCUCUACUUCUUGAUGUGCAUCUUUGCCACUUGCAUGCAUCCGAAUCUUCUUUUUCAGUCCUAACUGGUAUGUUGCUUCGUCCUCAUUCCGUCUAUAAGAAUCAAAUAAAGACUCUCCAACUGAACAUCCUUAUUUAACUGGAUCAACAAGUAGAUCUGACGGAUUCUAUACGAAAUGAAGGGUUAAAUGACCUGAAUGGAGGUGGGUGGACGUAACUGCGAGAUGCAAUAAACUUCUCGGAGAGAGACCAAGAAACAGAGAGAGAGAAGGGGCGAGAAGAGAGGGGGGAAGAGCGACAACGGUGGAUUGCAGGCCGUCAAAAGGGUCGAGCUACGCCAUAACUCGCCAUUUCCGAAUACUAGAAAAGAUUUUUUUUAGCUCUAUUUCUCAUGAAUUUGGGUUUUUUGUUUUGAAAGUUCCUUUCCGGAUCUACUUUGGAUUUGCUUUGCCGGCAACGAUUCGGUCAAAAUCCAACGAUAUUCUGAUUCCUCACAUCUCCUUGUAAUUCUAGAAUUAAUUUUUUUCGAGUUGAUAUCCAAGUUGUCUUUGAGUUGAUCGUCUGGGUCUGUUUAAUAUUAAUUUGCAGUUUGGCCUUCCCGCUUGAAUACUCGUGGAUGUUAUUACUUGCUUGAGAAUAAUGCUAUGCGCGCUAGGAAAAUAUAAACAAGAUUGGUACUUCAUAUAAAUGGGUGCGCUCUCUUUGCCCACAGGUUGAUAAUCAAGACGACACAUGCCACGAGUUGAAGAUACAGCCUGGGAAAUUCGUGAUUAGACUGGAGGCAAGAAAUGGCGUUGUCCUUACUGCAGAUGAUACUCUGGAUCAGUGCACAAGAGUGAAAAGUCACUUUCUUAAACAACCAAAAGAAGGGAUUGCCUCUUGCGCAAAAGUGCCGGAUCACAUCAGCACACUAAUGGGAUUGAUACACAAUCAGGUGGCUUUAGUACUUGUGGUAGCUACAUUAUCUGCUCGAGAAUGAUGCUAUUCACUCUAAGAAGAUAUAAAAAAAUUGGAGACAAUAUAUAAUGGGGUGCACUCUUUUUGCUUGCAGGUUCGUAACAAAGAGGAUGUAGCCUGGAAAUUCGUCGAGAGACUGGGGGAUAACAAGUGGCGUUGUCAUCACUGCACGGAAGAAUUCUCUGGAGACCUUACAGGUGUAAAAGGUCACUUGCUUACAGUCCCAAAUGAAGGGAUUUCCGUUUGCACAGGAGUGCCGGACCACAUAAGAACGCUAAUGCGGUCGUUACUUGAUGCGGUGGCUGAAGAAGAGAGCAGAGGAGCCAACAGUCAAUCCUCCAUGGAGCCACAAUCACGUCACAUGCCGACUCAACUGUCGCCUUCAUUUUCACCAGAAAGCCUCGAAUUCUUGAGACCGUUAUUACCAACACCACGGAGGGCGACCAAAAUGGCAAACUUCACCCAACAGGAUGUCAUUGGGUCAAACUCUGACCAACAAUCACAAGCGGAGCGUCAGCUUCGUCAGAGUUCAGCAAUGCCAUUAUUGGUGCAAAGUAGUCAUGGUAUGUCCACGUGAAGUUUCUUUACAUUCAUCUAGGCGUGAAGAAAAAAAAUCUAUUACAUUUUUUAUAUAAUUAACUCUAUCUAAAAUGACUCAAACUUAUCUAUUUCCACAUCGCAUCAAUUCUAAAUUACAGAGGUAUCAUUGCAUUUUCUAUAUGUCCGAUAUCACUAUAUUUUUACAGCACAGUUUAUUUCAUUUAAAUAUUUAACUUACGAGCAUGCUGAUUUUCGUUGUAGAAAUCUCUCUCUGUGAUCAAGUUCUAGAUGUUUGUUUUAUCUGUACCCAUGACUUGAUUUGAAAGUCCCAGUGUUGACUGAUCUUACGCUUGAAUAUUUUAGUGCAACCAGCUUUGGUGUCCCCUCAACAUCAAAGUGUUCUGCGUCAAUCUAUUAAUCAUGAGAUGAGGGAUACACAGCAGAAUCCAACCAUUCCUCUGGAUAAUCUAGAUACCACCCGGCAACCUGAUCUUCGUGACUCUCCACCAGAGAAUCUUGUUGAAUCUCGUGAUGUAAUUGUAAACGCUCUUGACGAAAUGCAAACGAAUGAACAGCAUAAUCCAACAGUGGGAUCAUCAUUACAAAAUGAUUUAUCCCUUGAUGUGGACCAUACAAAUCGUUUACUGGAUUGGAGUCAACCGUGUGCAGUGGAAGGCGUUCCUCUAUUCAGCAAUACAAGUCCGACCAACGCUGUUGAGCAUCCCGAUCAGCUUUACCCUAGGUGUGAUGAGGAAGAUGGAAAUGAUACCCGUUUGUUCCCCUCGCAAACUCCAAUGGACAUAGAUCCCUCAAUUGCCUCACCGCAUUCAAGUGACUCUCAUGAUAAUUUGCAAGUUCUAGAAGCAGCAACAAAUGCAAUAGCCCCAUCAUCAUCACAAGGUAUGUCUGGAUUAAUCUAAAUUGUUCCUCUUGUUCUGUUGGAUUCUUAAAUAUCCCAGAUUAAUUUAUCGAAAUCUAACAUAUGUUUUUAUACAUUAGAUUUGAACAGGGGUUAUCCAAUCAUGACCGCAUGGAGCAUCAAUGCCAAUGAUGAAGAGAUAAGAAAGCUCAAAAGAAAAGUGGAAGAACUUGACGACAAAGAAGCUGACGUAAAGGAGCAGAUGGAGAUAGAGUCUUCUUCCUCAGUUCGGAAGAAGCCGAGGAAAACAGUUGAGAAAUGGCUGGAAAAAACAGAAAGAGCAAGAAAUAAUUUCCAAAUAAUUGGCCAAGCCAAUGGGGAAACUUUGCCUCCGAAGGAACAGGUGGUGACAUUGACGAGAGAAGUGGAAGAGCUCAUAAAACAAGCGCUUCCACAAACACUACUCAUAGAGGAGAGAGAUGCCAAAGGAGUCAAAUUUUUGGAACGAAAGCUAAUAGGUGAAGCGAUUCAUGGGAACAUCGAGUUUAUUUGGGGCCAUCUGAAGAAGAAUCGUGCAUGCAAAUUGGGUAUUUAUGGAAUGGGUGGUGUGGGGAAGACAACUAUCAUGAAGCGAGUACAUGAUAGACUUCUAGAAGAUGCAACCUUUGAUGGUGUGGUUUUUGUCACCGUGUCCAAAGAUUUCAGCAUUUCUAAGUUGCAAAUUGAUAUCAGGAAGGAGCUAAAAUUUGACGUUAAGGAGGUUGAGGAUGAGGAGAAACGAGCAGCAAUGUUGGCGGAGCAUUUAGAAAGAAGGAAGAAUUGUGUAUUGAUUCUUGAUGAUGUGUGGGAACACCCACUUCUUGACCUUAAAGAGGUGGGAAUCCCUGAUAGUGCAGAUGGAUUUAAGUUGGUCUUAACCACUAGAUCCUUUAAUGUGUGCUGCCAGAUGCGAUGCCAAGAGAAGAUAAAAAUUGAGCCUCUAUCUCAAGAAGUAGCCGAGAGAUUGUUUCUGGUGGAGCUUGGAUCCAAAGGGCCACCUAAUUUGGAAAUUGCGAAGUCCAUUGUUAAAGAAUGCGUAGGCUUGCCAAUUGGAGUAAUCACGAUGGCAAGAAGCAUGCUAGGAGCGACUGAUGUGUUUGAAUGGAGGGAUGCCUUGGAGAGAUUGAAAGAAUCGAGUAUUGGGCUAAAAGAUAUGGAGAACAAGGUGUUAAUGAUUCUGAAAUUCAGUUAUGAUCGCCUUGGUGAUCCCGAUGUCCAACAGUGUUUCUUAUCUUGUGCACUUUAUCCAGAAGACGAAUUGAUUUAUAAGUUCGAGAUGGUAGAAUUCUUUAUCGACCAAGGAUUAAUUGAUGGAUUGAAUACAAGGAAGAAACAAUACGAUAGAGGCCUCACCAUAUUGAACAAACUGAUAAAAGUUUGCCUAUUGGAAGAUGAUGGGGACUAUAUGAAGAUGCACGAUUUGAUUAGAGACAUGGCAUUGCAAAUCAUGAGUGCGACUUCAAUUGUAAAAGCAAGAAAGGGAUUGAAGAGGAUUCCACUUGAGGAAUAUUGGACGGAUGCUUUGGAGAAAGUGUCUCUAAUGAAAAAUAACAUUAGCGAAUUUCCGUUGAACUUGUCACCAAAUUGCCCCAAGCUAUCAACUCUUCUAUUGGAUUAUGGCUUGCAUGAUGUGGUCAUACCUGAUUCUUUCUUCAAAAAUUUAUGUGGGCUAAAGGUUCUAAAUCUAAGUAGAAUUGAUAUGACAGAACUUCCAAAUUCCAUCUCAGACUUGGUAAACUUGAGGGCACUAUUGCUUGGAGAUUGUAUGGAAUUGCGCCGUAUUCCUUAUCUAGGGAAGCUCACAUCUUUAAGAAAGUUGGACGCUAAAAACUGUAGGAGUCUUGAAGCGCUCGAGGGUUUGGAAAAGUUGGUGAACUUGAGAUACCUUGACCUUAUUAAAACACGUAUUGAGAGAUUGCCCAAAGGAACGUUGGACCAUUUAUUAAACUUGCAAUAUCUUAAAUUUCCGGCGGUAAAUGAAGAAGACAUUACAAAAUUGGGGGCAUUGGAGACAUUUGAAUGCUACCUUAAAAAUGUGGAUGAUUUUGACAAGUGUGUGAAGGCUAUUGAGCAGAGUAAUAACACUCGCUAUUACAACCUCAUCGUGGAUCUAGGAAAACCAGAGUUUUUUGUGCAAGUAAGUGAUGAUACUCGAUGUGGGAGUUUUGAGAAUUUGGGGAGGAGAGUCAUCAAUAGGGACUGGGGUCAUGCCAUUGUGAGUGUGGGAGGCGAAUGCACCGGCAUUUUUAUUUUGAUUCCCCGAGACGUGCAGGCAAUGAUGAUGAAAAAAUGCAACGGUACAACAAAUUUGUCUAGCAUAGGUCUGCUUAAAUACCUCGAAGAGCUAGAAAUAGAAAGAUGGGAAAACAUAGGGGUGCUAUGUGGAGAACGAGACGAAGAAGUAAUUAACAUCCACGACUCCCUCGCCCGAACCCCUAUGUCUCUCCUCUUCCCGAGCCUUAGGGUUUUGAAAAUAUGGAAAUGUCCGAAGCUGAAGUAUCUCUUUGGGCAUGGGUCUAAAUCCAACCUUCCGCAUCUACGAAAGAUUGAAAUAAAUGAAUGUGAGGAAAUGGUGGGGAUAAUAGCAGCAGUUACAUCCCCACCACCACAUCUGCUCCCAUUUUUCCCUAGUCUGGAAUCGAUUAAUGUUGAAUCCUGUGGUAAAAUGAAGAGAGCGGUGGAAUCUGAGUGGAUGCCCCACUUCCCUAAUCUGAGAUGGAUCGAAGUAACCGGAUGUGAGACGAUGGAUGAGAUAAUUAGAGGUCCUCCACCAUACUUGCUAGUUGAAGGGAUUCCUCUCCAAUCUCUUAUGGUAAAAUGUUGCGAUAACAUGAGAAAGUUGUUUCCGCAUGAAUGGCUGCUCCAUCUUCGAAAUCUGCAAGGUAUCGAUGUCUGUAACUGCGAAGGAAUGGUGGAGUUGAUAAGUGGAGCAGGACAACGCCAAGAAGGAAGUAUAAUGACUCCUGUAAACAACACCCCUUCAUCCUUCCAGCCUUCAAUUUCUCUCCCAAAGCUGGAUUUGUUGUGCUAUACGAUCUACCCCAGCUGAAGAGCAUAUGCGAAGUACCAAUAAGGUGCGAUUCCAUGAAAGAAUUGACGGUGUCCAGAUGCUCAGACCUGAAGGGGAUUCCUUUGCAACUGCGAUUGCGUGAUAUUGAGGAGCUUCCGUUUUUUUUUUGGUGGAAGAUGAGGAAAGGUGGAAGACGUUGAUGUGGGAUCAUCCCGAUGCUCAAGCUAUUCUUCAACCUUAUCUCAGAAAAGGGGAAGAUGCUAUAGGUUAAUGAGUUUAAUUGAUAUACGAUUGCUUCACUUCUUAAAAGUCCUUACAAAGAUGUAGCUUUUCUGUCUAUAUAGUCAUGCAGCUCUCUAACAGUGGCCUUUUGCAGAAUUGGAGGCCAAGGGAAAGUAUCUCCAGUGACUCUGCUCUUGAAGAAAGCCCUGUUGCUCAAUCAUGCUUUCCUGCAAAAUCGACUCGAGUUACCAUAUGAAUUGACUUUUUUCGUGUGGUCAUGCUUUGUGUAAUUUGAACGCGCUUGCAUGUUUUAUUGACUACUGGAAAUGAGUCAAUUUGGUCGAUAUUUCAGUUUAGUCAAAAAAACAACAGAUCUAAGGAUUUGGGAAGCCAGGGGACUAGUAGAGUUUGUUUCCUAUCUUAUCUUAUAACUGAAAGGACAAUUUAUUCAUACAUGCUCAGGUUGAGGAUCAGCUUUACGUAUAUCUAGAAUAUGCACAUCAUUAUUGUCUUGUCAGGCGGUAGGGGAAAGUCUUUCCCCCAUUUGGUUUUGCUCCCAAGUGAUGCUGCAAGUUUACCGUAUUUUCCCCUUAUGGUUGUUUGUAAUUUCGUGGAAUGUUUUUAGAAUAAUUUUGCAUCUCCUCUCUAUAAAAUGCAAAUAACCGAUGAAAUAUGUUGAAAAUAUCUCAUACUGAUUGUUUACAAGGUUUUAAUGGGCCUUACAUUUAUAUAAUUUACCUUCGCUUGUUCAAAUUUUUAGGUCGAACUUUCUCUUAUGUGCAAAUAGCAAUUUCUACAUGAAAUGAAGAGUAAACAUGCUUCCCUUUUUUUUUCUACGAUUAAAGUGAUUAUUCUAAGAAAUAUAUAAAGUGUGACAGAAAAAGCAACUCCUUGAAAUUUUGUAAAGUCGGAGGCGCAGCUCAGAAUGAGCUAUGACUCUCGGCUGCAUUGGAUUCUCUCUUCAUUUUCGUUUUCUUUUGUUCUUUUCCUCAUUUUUUAGCCAACAUCCUAACCAUAAGGCGCCUUUUCUCUUUUCUCUCUUAUCUCCCCCCUCCCCCAUUUCUUCGUACAACUCGCUCUUCUUUUCCUGCCUCUUUUUUUUUUUUUUUUUGGGGGGUUCUCUGCCCAAACCCUUAACGAAGACAACUAAUUGGUAUUUAGUUUUCCAAAGUGUAGCAUUAUUGAGCACCAUCACCGACCAUUAAGUUCGCUAAACUCAGUCAUCAAUUAAGUAACUAUUCUUGUUUAACAAGAGCUGCACCGACGUGGCAAGAAAAAGACAAACAAAAACUCAGGUAAGAGCUCAUUGAUUUUCAAGACUCCAUCGUAAAAAUCGAAGAAAAGAAACUAUGAAUAUGUGCUGGAUUUUUCUCUGCCGCUGUGUCCUUUUUGAACCACUUUUGAUCCAGAACUCUAUCAUUUUCAGCUCUCCCUUUCUGUUCCUUUUGGUGUUUUCACGCUGCUAAUUUCCUUCGCUCACGCGCACACACACACAUGAAGGAAUGUCAUGUUGAAAGUGGCCUCCUUUCGGCCAACCAGAGGGAGGGAACGGAAGGGACUUUUACUUCGGAGAGGGGGCCGCGUCCAAAAUUCUCAUAAGAAUUCCCGUUUAAAUUCACCAAAGGAAAUUCAAGAGUCGGAUUAUGUAACAGAUUUUUUUUUUUUUUUUGGCAGUCCUACGCUAUUCCUACUCUACACUCACUCGCAGACUUGUGCCCUGCCUCUUGCAGGGCGUGGGAGUCGCAACCCAAGCUCGAAACUUACGCGUCCCUAUCCCCCAUCCCCCCUGAGGAGGUGGGGAUUUGAACCCCUCACCUCCCCCUUCCAUGUUGAAAGGGUGGCCACUGGGAUUGUGUAACAGAUUGGUUCACAAGAAUUGCGCUCUUAUUAGAAAGGGUAGUGCAUAGAAGAUGUGAGAUUACAAAUGAUUUAUAUGGGUCAAUGGUCAAAUUAUCGGUGUNNNNNNNNNNNNNNNNNNNNNNNNNNNNNNNNNNNNNNNNNNNNNNNNNNNNNNNNNNNNNNNNNNNNNNNNNNNNNNNNNNNNNNNNNNNNNNNNNNNNNNNNNNNNNNNNNNNNNNNNNNNNNNNNNNNNNNNNNNNNNNNNNNNNNNNNNNNNNNNNNNNNNNNNNNNNNNNNNNNNNNNNNNNNNNNNNNNNNNNNNNNNNNNNNNNNNNNNNNNNNNNNNNNNNNNNNNNNNNNNNNNNNNNNNNNNNNNAUAGGAUUUAGCGAAUUGACAAUGCAAAAAUUGAGAGAGAAUAUGAAGUGAUUCUGUGCACUUUUGAAACUCUGUUAGUGUACAUUCUUGUAGUUUUUCCUUGUCAAAAUAUAUUGAUUUUCAACUUUCACUAAAAUGUCGCACAUUCAAUUAGGAAGCAUAUGAUUAAUAGUCCUAAUCAGCCAAGUCACAAAACAAAUCAUAAGAGAUCUAAUGCGGUUGUCACUAAGCCUCGAAUUGGUGGGAUGAUCUUUCCCAUGGCAAGAGCGGCUAACAUCACAAACUUCAUCUUCUAGGGAUUAAGUUAAAAUAUUAUGUUUGGCACUUACGGUGUUCUUAUACUUCAUAAUAAAUAUGUUAUUUAUUUUAUCAGUUAAUCUACCCUGAACAACAUGCUAAUAUUAGUUUAGAUAAUUUGUCAAUUUGGCUAUAGCUUGGAAUAAGAGACGAUAACAAUAUAAAUUCAAUAUUGAAAACUUUUUGUUUGAUUUUUUUUUCUCGCUUUUUAGUUAUUCUUUUAGCAAUUACCGAAUAACAUCAUUCAAACCUUGUAAUGCCGCAUCUAUUUAUUUAUUUAUUUAUUUCAAUUAGUUUACGGCUAAAAUGGGCGAAUCAACAUACAUGAUUUCACCACAAAAUAAAUGGACUUUUUUUGAAAAAAAAAUUAAAAAAAGAGAUAGAAUAAUGGCUCAUAUUAGAACCAUUUACCAAGUAAUGCAAAUUAAAACCAAGUCUUAAUUUUUUUUUAUGUGUAUUAAAAAUUUCCAAUAUCAUAUCAUUUCAUUUUACACAUAAAAUGAAUAGAAUAAACAUUAAAACCCUUUGUCCAUCGUAAGAUAGAAAGUAAACAUCAAAUUUAGAUAAUCUUACUUUAAAUACUUAUGUAGCAAGAACAUACAUAAAAAAUAGAACAUAAUGCAAGAACUAAACAGUAAUAUAACGAUUGAUUUAUAUAAAGUGUCAAUAUAACAUUAUGCAAAAAUUUUAUACAUGUAAUAUGGGUUCAUAUCAAUAAAUGGAAUUUGAAGAAGUAAAUUUCUGAAUUUGUGCAACCCACGGGUCUUUGUUUACUACACAUUCCACAAAAAAUAUGCAGUCAUAAGCUACAAUCUGAUGGAAUCAUCUACCAAUAUACAAAGUUCUAUUCACAUCAUAGGAAAUGUUUUCUAGCAAUCUGAUGGCCUCGAAUAUUUUGGGGGCAAAGAUGGACACAUUUCAUUCAUAUGAGGGUACGAGUCCAUUGUGUUGUACCUUGGCAGCUCCAUUCGAUACCUACCUCGUAUUUGACAGAAUGGAAUGGAAGCUCAAUGUCAUCCCCAUAAUUGAACCACUUAGGCAAGUGGCUUGAAUUAUUCUCGAAGAACCUUAGUGAGUAAUCUUUUAUCUGCAUAAAAAACAAUGCCAUUCACAAAAUGCCAAAUGGGAUUCCUCAUGACAAAAGUUCACGCUUCGAAAGGCAAACUAGAUUAUAGUUUUCUCAAUCUUUGAAAAAAGUGACAUCCAUCUCUAGAUAGUAAGUUCAAGCAACUAGGGUCAGAAAGAUAACCCAACUAGGGUCAAUCAAUCGCACUUACAGUGAACUUUGUAACUCGAAUGGAGCUAGAAAUUAGAUCAAAGAGACCUGCUGCUUUGUAUAUUUCAAGAACAAAAGCUACACAUGAGGCAGACUUCCCAUCACUGUAUACCCAAUCAUCUUGCUCUGGAAUUGUCAGCAGUUCAGCAAAAGAUGGCCCCCUCAUUUCCCUUUCGACUAUUAGAUCAGGAAGAUCCAAGCCCUAUAUGCAACACAAUUGUAAGGUCGCCAUAAAGUAAAUUGCAAUUUGAAUGGGAUGGUACCUCUGUUCCUAGUUGCUUGUUGAGUGCUUCAUUCCGCAUGUUCGCAGCAUAGGCUGGUUGCAUUUGGUUCCAUACUGUCAUAACAGAAGCAACCUACAAUAAUACAAUGCUCUCUAUAAAAUGAGUGAACCACACUCCGAUCAUGCGAAGAAAGCACCCGACAUGGCGAGCAUAUUACAUGCAUCAUCAGCCGGGCCGAUAAAAACUCUUAAGAAAAGAUGAACAAAGUCCACUAUUUUGCUGCCUUAGUAUCAUAUAGGAGGCCAUAAAAAAUGAAUAUUUGUCAAACCAAGUCAGAUUCUUUUCCACAAUAUUAGCACUCAAUAGAGUCACAUGCUAAUCUGCUAUUUGGGGAGAUCACUGUUCAGUUUUUAGCCUUUUGCUUUGCUCAGUUGAAUCCAUUCGAAAUCAUGGUAUGACUGUCUAAUUCCAGCAAGACCAUGCUGUUAGGAUCUGACACAUGGCAUCAUUAUAUUUCAAGGUUUAUCAAAGUAAGGGUAAAUUGAUGUUUUGUAGUUAGGUUGAGAAGCAGAAACUAUUUCAUAUCCAGCAUCAAAGAAUCUCAAGUCACCUACAACACAAGCCCUUAGUGUUAGAAAAUUGUCUAAGACAAACCGAAUGCACCCACAAAAUAUUUAUAAACACAUAUGCACAUGUACAAUCUCUGUACCACAUGAGCAUCCAAUGGCGGUGGAUAAUUUGCAUCGAUAGUGUCUAUCCAGCUAAAGAGCAUGUUGUGAUAACCAUAUGGUUUCCAUUCAUAAACUAAGCAUACUCCGAUGCAGCAGUCUCAUUGAAUUUGAUUUGCAAAUCAGGAUGUAGUUGGAGCAAUGCAAUGUGGGGAUUUGAGUCAUCUUUGUUAAGCUCAAACUCCCACCAUUCUUCGCAUGGGAGCACAGCAAUGACUUCUCCCUGUAAUGAUAAGAACAAAACAAAAAAUUGCAUUAUCUCCAUUACUAUAGUGGACUUCUGUAACAGCUGUCCCCUUUACCAACACAAAAGGACAGAGCAAGCAGCAAUAACCCAAAUGUGAAUUUAAAUUUGUUAAUCAAGUUCUGCCUCGAGUAAAGGACGUCAUUUCAUCGAAUUCUAACCAUAAUCAUCAUCAGUAAGUUGCCAUGUCUCGUGUAAAGAUGGGUCUUGAAGUUCAAUAGAAACAGUUCACACUGUAUUUGCUAUUUUACAAAUAUGAUGAUGCCACAAUAGAGCUUCUAGUAGGAGCCUAAAUAGGAUUUGCUCUAGUUCAUCAUGAACCUGAAGCAGCCUGUCAUCAUUUACUUACUCAUCCUCUCUUACAAUCAAAAGUUUCUACAGGAGCACAGAAAGGAAAGACCUGUCUUAUUAGAGAAGAUAAGAUAAGCAAGGAAAUUUAAGGACAUACGGGUGUAAUAUAAGCAAAAUUAAUAUGCAAAAUGGAACAAUGUCAAUGGAACUGUAUUUGUAAGAGAAGAAGUCUAUGAUUCGACAGAAGUUACGUUUAUACAGUAAUCGCACUGGAAUCCCAUGCCCCAAAAACCUAAGGGUUCAGCAUACGACAUAUUACAGAAACACCACAGUGAGCCUAGUUGUUCUUCUCAAUUUGUACAUGACAACCCUUUUAUAAUCAGAGAAUGUAUAAGCAGCAUCAUAUGGGUGUCUUAAAAAAUGAAUGGCAGAUGAGCACAGGGAAUUGAGGAGGAGGUGUAGAAAUAAUAACUCAAACAACUGGAAGGGGUGUUUCAGAUGUUUGAACGUUUGUUUGUUGGAUAUCCCAAUAUAGAAACAAUGUGGCCAAUUCUAGCCAGUUAUCAACCGGCAGCCAUGUUAAUAUUGGUUCUAUGCAACUGGUUUAAAAAUACACUUCACAAUUACAAUUGCAAAGACAGCAGUAGGCAGAAAGAUUGGAUGAAAUGUCAAAAUUCAAAAAUAUAUACAUCAAAAGCAAUCUAUCAAUGUUUGAAAACGAAGAACAAAAAGGAGCAGAUAAAAUGCUUAACAACAAUCGCAAAGUAAUUCUUUUCCUCGAAAGGCUUUUUCUCCACUAGUCAAUAUAAAAAUCAGUCCUUCAAACUGAAAGAGAAGUGCGCUUACACGUAUGACCAACCCAUGGCUGUUGCCAAAUUACCUGUUCAUUAUCAUGUCCAGAUUCACCAACCCAUAGCUUUCCUUCAGAAUCCUUUAAGCACACAGCUGUGUGACCAGCAUAUGCCCCACUGACCCAUUUCUCUAGAGUCUCAAAACCACCCCACCUCCCUUGAAUUUUUGAAAUUGCAAGGAAAUCUCCAGAGUGGAUAUCAUCAAUGCUGAUGUUUGUAACCCAGGGCUGGGGACGUUGCUCAAAUGAAGCUCCCAUAUGCUUCUUGAGAAAACCAAUGUUAGAUUUCUCCCCCUACCUGGUAUUUGAAAACAAGGGAAACACGUCCCACAGUGCUUGAAGGGUCCUUAGCAUCCCGGCUUGCAUCGGAAAGAUUGACACUCCUCUACUUGUCACCUGUAAUCCAAAUAUUGGAAAACCAAGUGUAACAACUUCUACUAUGCACAAAGGAGCAGAAGAGAAAAAAGAUAAUUGCAGCUUACAUAUUCAAACUCGGCUUUUCCUUCCCACUCUUUGAACUCGAAUGUGUGCUCACGGGAUAAAAAAUAGUAGUCCCAUGUCACACAGUAUGGGGUUGCAAAGACAUAAAUAAUACGUGUCCAGCUAUGGGCUUUGCUGACCUGGAUGAGCAAUCCAAACUCAUGAUUACAAGCCGGAUACCUACAACUAGUCAUCAGUUCAUAUUCAACAGAACUGGAUGCAAAAACAGGGACUAUUAACAUGAAUGGAUAGUACCCACCCAGAUUGGAAUGGCCCCCACAAGAUAAUUUGAUUUUACAUCAAAGGAAACAACCAUACUUGAAUGAGCAACCAAAUCCAAAUCACCAAAUCCUUCUUCAACCACUUAAAACCCAGACACAAAAAACUCAAGUGACCAACCAUGGUACCACCAAUUCGUGGAGCUUAAUCAAGUACAAACAAGCAGAGGAAAGGAAAAGAAAAGAAACCGUGGCAAGUGACGAAAUCCACUUAAAACAUAUUGAAGUAAGAAAUGAAAGAUUCCAUGACUCAGAUUCCAACAUAAAUAAGUAGAAUGAGAAAAGAGGAAUAGUUGGGAUCAAGUGCAAAGCCUGAACAUUGAAUGAUAUUCUCUAACAUCCUUUGAAUAAUUAAUUUUCUUUCACAACUCUAUACAUAAUGGUAUGAGUGCACGCUUCAGUUGGUAAGAAAAAUACCGUAAGUAGAUAGAAACUCUAUCCAGUUCAGUACUUUUAGUCCAUUGGAAAAAAUCAACCUCAAAUUAACCAAGAUAGAAAGCUCAAACUAAGUACUGAAGUCACCAAGACUUAAAUUGAAAACUGCGAAAAGCCGGUGGCCAUUAGACCCCAUCAACAAACCGACACAACCUCACAUCUACCAGAAUUAUCAUAAAAUCGAACUGCAGCGAAUUGAAUUAAGCAGUGACAGUAGGCAAGAAAACCUCAAAAGCUGGUGAACAGUGACCAUCUCUCCACAUUGCCAAACCGCCACAAGCUCAAACCUCCCAAAAUCAUCACAGAAUCGCACUCAAACACAAGGAUUUCCGUUCCGUUCCAUUAGGUUCCCGACUAUUCAACCAAAAAAAAAACCCAAGGCUUGGGAUCAUCACUCCAGUCCAUUGCUCUCCCCGUCAUUUCCCAAUUCCAUUCCAUUCAACCGUACCUAACAGAAAACCUUAUCUUCCAGAAUCGCACUCGAAACCAAAUAGAGACGAAGCCAAAGCGACGCGAUGGAACUAAAGGACGGACCUUGAUGUGAAGCGUGCCUCCCCCGAACUCGCUCCCGGUCUCGUUGUGGAACUCCAACCAAGCGGUGUUCUCGUAGAAGCAAGCUCUUUUCCACGCCAGAGUGCCGUUGGAGGGAGAAGCGCCGCCGCCGACGAGCCAUUGGACGGCGAAGGGCGUUGAGGAUGGAACAAGAGAGCUGCCGAGAAGCUAUGGAAAUUGGGGCGGGUCUCCCCGGUGACCCGGAUCAUGUAUCAAACUAUCAAAAGUGUGAUGUGAUAAUUGUAGAGGGGGAGAGGAGCGAUUCGUUUUGAUCGUCCUUGGACGCUUGGUAAUUACUAGUUAGUGUGCCUGGCCAAGUAGAUGAAACAUUAAAGCAUAAUCGGAGCUGAAAAUAUUCUGCAUUUUUAUAUUAUGUAUUAAUUCCACUAAAAAAAUCUUAAAAUAUAUCUACGGUAGUGAUAUUAAUGUUUUAAUUUUUUUAUGGCAUAGAAAACCUUAAAAAAAAAAGGUUUGAAAUUAGUAUUGAUUUCACAUUGAAUAAAAGUUAAAAUUUUAGAGGUAACCUAAAAAUAUUUUAAUCAUUUUAGUGUAGGGAUCGGCAAUUAGGAAUCUCCACGAAUGAUCUUAGCUUGUGGGAGCACAGAUACUUCGGGCUCGUAUGGUCUGUCCUCAAGUUCUUCAGGAGUGUCCCAUCCCACCUUCUUCUAUAUAGUCCUUUAAGAGAGAGGCGAAUUUUUCUUGGCCACUAGCAUAACUCUUCCGAUCUAUACUUCUGGCUCCUCCUAAUGGAUCAGCAACAGUUAAAUAAAUUUGAUCAAUAUGGAAAGCAAGAACUUAAAUUUGCUAAAUAACCGAUGCCCAACCAAGCUCGCCGUCAAACCACGGUCAUUGAUAGCUUCAACUUCACUUAUAUUGCUUACCCGCCCUCUUCUAUCGCCACGAAGACUUUCACUAUCCCGCUUUUUUAGGACUUAGAUAACAUCAAACAUCUCCAUCGCUGCUGGAUAAAAGUUGAAACAUCAUAAAGAAGUCAAUGCUUUGAAAAACUCUUCCUUAUAGUAUUUCAUCAAUGAUGUACUUCUUAAUUUUGUAUGAAGAAAUGUGUUUGUCAUCGGUAUGGAUUCAACAUUUACCUCAACUUUGUCGUAUCCAUGCAAUUAUGGAUUCAACAUUUACCUCAAUUUUGUCGUAUCCAUGCAAUCUUUCUUACUGUGAAACUGUGUCUUGAGCUUGAGCCCGUAUACAGGAAUCUAACCCACGUUCGAAGAAUUUAUUGAUCGAAGUCACGCACAAAAUGCAGAGUGUUCUUUUAUAAAUUAAUGUGCACGCAAGUCUUGGACUUUUCUCUGCUAUCUCCUACUGUCCUAUUAUCAUUUUUUCACUUUUUUGUUUGAAUCCCCUUUUUAUCAUUGAAGGAGCUGAACGUCCAUUUUUCACGUCCACACUUAACCAAAUCCAUUGGCGCUGGUUUCGGAUUCUUGUUCGAUCAGCGAAAUGGGAAAACUCGGCACCGAAGUUGGCGUCAGGAACGAUGGCAUUCUUGAGGCCUAGCCUCAAAAUUCGAGUGGCAUGGAGAGGGUGCUUCCGUCCCAAGCUCUGCUGGAGAACGGUGACGCUCAACGGGGUGAUCAGAGGCACAUGCGUACGGGCUUGGAGCAGGACGGGCAAACGGGGCCGCUUUGGAUUGGAGUGUGAGCUGUUUCCGCCAUUUUCAUGGAACUGCGAGGGACGCUGGUGGUGUGACCUGGUUGGGGAAAGGAUGGAGCUUGAGGAGGACGGUCAGGGACACGUAUUGAAACCCACUUGACUUAAGGUUCAAGAACGGGUUUGCAAAUCGGAUUCGGCUUGCGAAAUGGACCUGCAUCUAUCUAGUAUGGAGAAGUUUUUUCCAGAAAUUGUGAGACGAUUUCGGGAAUUUGAAAGAAACAGAAGGGGCCAGAGCACAGGGCAAUUUUAAUUUAUUUUGGCCAAACGUUCCAGCAAAUAGUUUCUUCGCCUAAAGACUUCCCUUUUUUCUUCGUAGAUUUUAGCAAAGGAAGUCCAUCUGCUCUUUGGAUUCUCAGAUGCUGAUCUCUUUUUGGGCUUCAGAUUGUAAGAAAAGAGAGAAUUUUGGGCAGCACUACUUAAGUCUCUGCGUUUAUAAAGGAUUUCAAACAUGAUAUUGCUCUAACUUGUCGAUCGAAAAUGUUGUGCCUCAUAUGCUGCUUCGCUCUUUUGGAUCAAAGCAACAUGACCCCAAUUAAACUUGUUUCAACAUUAAACUAUCGGGUAUAGAAUACUUGAUCCACUUAGUAAGGGUUUUGGCUUUUUAGCCUAUAAAAUUGAUUCCAAAACAAGGUGAUCCGGUCUUGUUCCCGAUUGGAUAUUCACUCGGAACCUAUUCUUGAACCGAUUUGAACCGGUUCCAAAAAUUUGGAAUCUAUUUGCAGACCAACUCCGACGGGAACCGGCACUUGAACCUAUUUUUCGAGCAGUCCAAUUUGGUUCCUAAGUAGAACCGCUUUGGUUGCACACCGGCUACAUUGCUUUUCCAUUUUCUCUUUUUGUCCUUGGACCGAUUUGUGUCAGUGCUGCUUCAAUAGACAGCCUGCCGAGAGGCCUUCAACUGCUAUGUUGCUUGAGCAUGCUUUCCUGCGAAUUUGAAGUUGCAGAUGACUUUUUUCAUGCGCCAUACAUUGUUGCAAAAGGAAUGUUAUAUUGUAAGUGCUCAUGUUUACUUAACCAAAAAGAUUAGAAAGAGGAAGUGCAGAAAACGUUAAUGGAGGUAAUUAUAAUGCUUGAGAUCCCGAAAACAUUCGUAAGUCCAAAUGGCGGAGUACAGCAGAGACCUCAAUGAAUGAGAGUUCAACAAGAAUAAAAUGUCAUUUCACACAUAAUCAACGCAAUCAUGCGAUAAGAACUUGAUAAAAAAUUUGCCCAAGGGCUUGUCAUGGCAGGCAGACGGGAAGAGGCUUACCUGAAAGGAGAUUUACCCAAUCUUUCAUCUUUACAUCGUCUUUGACCAUCUACCACAGACUCGAACACAUCUAACAAUCGAUCCAGCUUAUAUCAAAUUACCACCGAAAUCUAAUGCAAAGAAAGAACAUUAACCUCUUUGACUCAUAUCAAAUCCCAGCCCGACAAUGGUGGUCCCCUCCUUUAGGUAUCCAAAUCUAUUCUCUCUCUUUUUUUAAGGAAAUUCUUUACAUGAUCCAAGUGCUAACAAUACUCCUGACACGACAAUUCAAUUCUUCCGAUGAGAUUAUUUCAACAUUUAUAAUAAGAAUUUUUUUUAUGAUCCUUAACGUUCAUUCCCACCACCGCACUUGAAUGGAUCCAAGAUUCACUUUUUGAGAAGAUCAAAGUCUUAAAUUAAAGGACUAUUACAUCCUCCAGAUGGAGAAAUGCACUGGAGAAGAGGAAAGAGACUUGAAAGCCCAGCUCUUCGGUGUCCACGGCCGAGCGUCCUUGAGUGAACUUCCCCUGAUUUUUAGCCCAUAACAUGUGGUGGAUUGGUUGGCGAAUUGGGCUAUUGACACUCAACAUUCAUGCGUCCAAUUCUGUUACACGGACUAGGGGGCGCAGUCGAUUGCGCGCGUGGCUGCAUUGCUUGCUGAUACGCAUCUCAAUAAAAUUUUGCUUUCGAAUUUUUUUAACUCUUUUUUUUUUUUUUUGGCGUUUGAAAAAUAAGAUGGACAUUCCCCUGCCAUGAUAUGACCCAACAAUGGACAAGCCCGUAAGCAAUUCGACAACGUUGCUUAAUCUAGAUGUCCUCUUCUGAGUGCAUUCGAGUUAUAAACAUUUGUGUACGAAGGACAUCUAUUCAUCAAAACCAAUGUUCAUAUGGAGCCAAAAAAGCACCACAUCAGCAAACACAAGCUAGAACACAAAAAAAAAAAAAAAAGAGGAAAAAGAAAUGAUGAGUACAUUAGACGUGCUACAUUUUUUUCUUAUUAGUGCAAUCAAAUACUUCGUCAGUUCCAUUCGAUUUGAGAGAUUGAAAAUAUUGAUAUGAUGUACACUAAUACAACACCAUUUUAUAAGGGUCAAAUUCCUCAGUUCAACCAAAAAAAAAAAAAAUCAAACCAUUUUAUAAACAUUUGGAAUGUAAAGGCUUAAUUCUACGUGUCUAUGCAAUUUCAACAAGUUUUUGAUCAAACUAAAAAAGUCAACUCUAGUUUUUUUUCUUGACCGAGAAAUCUAGAUCGGGCGAGGGUCGCCGGCCCUCACUCACUUUUGGCCAAGGGCUGCCAUUGGUGGGUGCCGAAACCUCGUAGUGAGGGCCGACGAUCCUCGCCUAGAAUAGUCAAGGGCUAACAGGCCCUUGCUUGCAAUCAAUGAGCCCCUAGUUGUGAUUGGCAAGAGUCGUUGACCCCAAGCCAAGGCCCAACACCCUCGCCAACCAUUCCCCCACCAUUGCCGGCCCUUCCUGGCAAUGGUGAGGCGGUGGCAAGGGCUUGCAGCAAGCCUCGCCAUUCUCGCCAUUGGUUUCCAACUUUUUUUUUUAAUUUAGCUUUUUUUAAUUUAAAUAUAAUUUGUAUAAAAAAAAAAAAGCAUAUUUGGAUCAAAAUGACGUUAUUUAAGGCUUAUGUUUCAUGUUUUAGUCACAUUAUCACCACGUAGGAGAGAGAAAACAUUUUAAAAAGUCACAUCUGCAUUUUCCUUUAACUAAGCUAGAUGGAGUAAAUGGAAGGACUUGAGUGCACUAAUUUGACAAGUUUAGGUACUUGAUUAUACUUUUUAUAAGUUUAGAACUCAAUUGAACUUUCAUGAUAAGUUUUAAAUUUCAAGUGCACUUUUUUUACCUAUUAUCCUAUUUGAAAUAAAAACCAAACCAAAAAGACCCAAAUAAUUUCGGGUCAGUUUAGGUAUUUUUGACACCACUAAAAAGAGGCGAGUUUUAUAAGAAGCAUGCGAGUCAGCUUCUAACGUAUUACACAUUUAUACCUUUCCAUUUUUUUUUCUCACCUACACACUGUAUUUUUUUUCUUCCAAGAACCUCCCCUUUUUUGUCUUGCUUGCAGGGCAUUUGUGGAAGAAAAAAUAGCAAAAUCGAAAUUUGGAAAAAAUAAUGGGGCAUUUUUGGAAGAAAAAUUUCUUGUUCCCAUUCUGCUGCACACACUUCUUAUAAAACUCUCCUGUCUCGCCUCUUAGCGUUGGCAUCACAUUUCUCUCACCAAGCAUCUAGGGGAAAUGAAGAAGAUGAAGAUGAGAAAAUUGGUGGAUAUGAUCAUAGCUUCAAGAAGGAUUGCAUCUUCACAAUGGUGCACAAAAACAUCCCUCAUCAUACUUGUUUUGUGAGAAAAUUGCGGAAAAUUAUCUAAAAAGUUCUAAACCUAUUGCACUUUUGUCAAUUUAGUCAUAAACCUUUUAACAUUGCCAAUUAAAUCCUAAACCUUUUUACUUCUUGCCGAUUCAAUCCAUCCAGCCAAUUUUGGCCGGAAAAUGCUGACGGACGCCAGCAGUGCCACGUAAGAUUGCCGGUACUGACGUUGAAAUUUUUUAAUAAUAUUUUAAUAUUUUUUUGAAUUUUUUUCUAUUUUCCCUUUGUUUUCUUUCUUUUCUUUUUGGCUUUUUUCUUUUCCUUUUCAGGUGGCCGGCCACAGGCCACAACUAGCUGGCUGGCCUCGCCUGCCACAGGGAGGCCCAAUCGGGCAAGGAGGAGCCCUUGCCUAAGCGCAGCCCGACAAAGGUCUCCUGGGUGAGGCCAACUCUCACUCAGGCCAGGGCGGCCUCGCCCUCACCGAGGCGAGCGUCAACCUCACCCAAACUAGAUCUGGAGAGGCCGGCUCUCGCCCUUGGCCGGCUGAUGCUCGCUUAGGCGAGGGCGAGCCUCGGCGAGGGCUCCCCUCACAAGAUCUGGCGAGGGCUGACCCUCGCCUAGGCCAGCGUGGCCUCGCCUAAGCGACCCUUGUCAGGCCACGCCUGGGGGAGGGCUCCCCUCGCUAGGGCUUCUUCUCUUUCGGGUUGGGCCUCAUUUGUGGUGGGCGAGGCCAGCCGGCUAGUUGUGGCCGGUGGUCGUCCACCAAAAAAGGCCAAGAAAGCCAAAAAAAAAAAAAAAACAUAAAAAAGAGGGAAAAAAACAUAAAAAAAUAUUAAAAAUAUUAAAAAGUAUUAAAAAUUAUUAAUGUCAGCGCCGCGCGGUCCUACGUGGCACCGCCAGCGUCCACGUCAGCAUUUUUCGGCCAAUAUUGACCGGAUGAACUGAAUCGGCACGAAGUAAAAAGGUUUAUGACUGAAUUGAUAAAGGUAUAAUAGGUUUAGGACUUUUUGGGUAAUUUUCCCGAAAAAAUUGCAAUACCAAACGCUAAAGUGCAAGACGAGAGACUUUUAUAAGAAGUGAAUGGAAGUGAAGGUGCUUCCAAAAAGGGCAUUUUCGGAAGGAAAAGUGCUUGUGCAGCUAAGGGGGGAAAGAGGGGAGUCUUAUAAGAACUGAGGUAAAAGUACUUCCAAAAAGGGCAUUUUCGGGAAAAAAAAGUGCUGGUCAUAAGAGCUUUAUAAAUAGUGAUAUGGCUUCUUAUAAAACGUUUUAUACGAAGUCGGAAAAGUUUUGUAAGAAGUGACGUGGCUUCCUCUAUAAGGGCGAGGCAGGAGACUUUUAUAGGAAGUCAAUGAAAGCGAAACUGCUUCCGAGAAGGGCAUUUCGGCAGGAACAGUGCCUGUGCAGCUAAGGGGGAGACAGGAGAGUUUUAUAAGAACUGAGGCAAAAGGGCUUCCAAAAAGAGCAUUUUCGGAAGAAAAAGUGCCGGUCAUGAGAGCUUUAUAAAUAGUUACGUGGCUUCUUAUAGAACGUUUCAUACGAAGUCGGGAAUGUUUUGUAGCGGCUGACUUCGUAUAAAACGUUUGACUUCGUAUAAAACGUUUAAAUGUUUUAUACGAAGUCAGGAAAUUUUUGUAAGUGACGCGGCUUCUUUCUCAUGAAAAGCCCCCAGAGGACGCCGUUCUUCUUUUAAAACUCUCCUGGCCAGCACAUUUUUUUCAAUUCACUUCUUAUAAAACUCUUGUCUCGCCCCUUAGCAUUUGGCACCGCAUUUCUCUCACAAAACAAUUCACUCAUGGGGAAUGUUUUUACGCGCCAUUGUGAAGACGCGAUCAUUCCUGAAGCUGAAGCUGUGGUUAUAUCUGGUAAUUUUCUCUUCUUCAUCUUCUUCAUCUGUGAUUCACGGUCACCCAUAGACGUUUGAGUUGAGUUUGAUUCUUAUGUUAAAAUUUACGUACUUCAUUUCCUUGAGAUUCAAUUGUUUCGCUUAGAAAGUUUGUCAACUAGGUAAGGGCUGACGAUUAAGUGUUUGUUUUUCUCGCUUUUAAGCUUGUAAAGUACAGAGAACUAGUCUUUUGAUAGUUAAAAAAAAGUACAGAGGAGUAGUCUUGUAAAGGUUGAUCAACUGGUAGAAUUGUGUGGCAAUCAUUAUGAGACCGUGAUGUAAUGCCUCUUUAUUUUUCUAAUCCAUAGAUCUAUUUCCCCUGUCUACCAUACGUAAUGAAGAAGAGGGCAGUGAAGAAGUUGAAUUACAAGAUGAAUUCGCCAUCGUCAAUUUCCCCAUUCAAGGUGGAGAUGGCAAUAUCAUACCUAAUGAAGAAGAGGGCGGUCAAGAAGUUGAAUUACACGAUGAAUUGAUUGCCAUCAUUGUCCCCAUUCAGGGUGGAGAUGGCAAUACCAUACUUAAUGAAGAAGAGGGCGGUCAAGAAGUCGAAUUACACCAUGGAUUGAUUGCUGUUGUUGUCCCCAUUCUGGAUGGUAAUGGCAAUGGUGACGGCCAUAUUGAGGAUGGCGACAACAAUGUUGGUGACAAUGAAGUGGAGCAAGAGGUGCAGGAGGUGGAGAGUGAGCAGGACGGCAGCGAGGGGGCUGGUGGUGUGGGGGCUGUUGUUGGUCCUGCCAUUGCUGGUGAUAGAGCUGGCUUUAUUGUUCUGGCAAUGGUGCUGGUCGGGGCGCUCUUCCUGUGGAAGAUGCGGCUGAUAACUUUGCUGGAGUUGCUUUUGAUAGUGGUGGUAGUAUUGGCAGUAGCCUUGCUCCUUUGGGGCAUGGAUGGGCUAAACUUGAUAUGGGUCUUAAUCCUAAGACUCAAUGUUAUCUUAGUAUGAUGAAGAGAUUGACGCGUGGAUUGCCAUGUGAGAUGUCUAGGUGGACUUCUUUGGAUGAUUUUCAGUAGAACAUUUUUGUUGCAGGAACCUCUGUUUGUAUCCUUUCUUCAUCAUGUACACAUUUGUAUCAUUACUGGUUAUGCUGUCAAUCUACUUGGCAGGAAUAAACAUGUUCAUAAUUUAUUAACAGCUGAUUGUUCUCAUAUUGGUAAUAAUUUAAGUGCACAAUAUGUAAGGAAUGGGGUAAGUAACGGCCAAUAAAAGAUUAUCCCUAAAUAUUAUGCGAGAUCUAUAAGAUAAAUUAGCAACUCUCCUUUACCACAAAACCUGAUGGCAAUUUGAUGAACUGUCAUGUUUUCUUAGGAUUAGUAUGUGCACAAGUAGUUACGGAAUCUUAACUUUCACAUAAAAGGAUGGUCAGUAAGCUUUUCUUUACCCAUGAGCUUAGCUCUCCUUUUUACAUUCAGCUGGACUCAUCAAUGAUGGAGGGUCAUUUGAUUCAAUCUUCUACGUGAUGUUGAUGCAUAUAUGAUUACGUCUAAAUAGAUGUGACAAAUGGGUGGUGGACUAGAUUGAUUUUGGAUGGGUUAUAAAUAGGUUCAAUUCAAAUUCACCCAUUUAAUUGACGUUGACCCAUUUAUUUUCUACACAAUUUAUAUGAUACAUAGCCAAUCCAAACCCACCAACAUAACUCACAAUUUUUUUUAUUAAUACCAAUUAAGCAAUUAUCAAAUUAAAAAUAAUAAAAAUUAGUAGGGAUAAAUACACUCAAAAUUCUAAACUUAUCAUAAAAGUAUAAUUGAAUCAUAAAAUUAUUAAAAUAUGUAAAGUACUAAAAUUUAUCACGAAAAUUCAAUUGAAUCUAAAAAUUUUCAAAAAUAGUAAUUUAAGGGAUUUUUUUUUUUUUCCCGUUCACAGGCUCCCCUUCUCUCUCUCUCGCUCUCUCCCUCUCUCUCUAUACUCGCUUUUUGGAAUUAAAGAGGAGAAAAAUGGAUUUUUUGCACUAACCUCCUUCCACUUCCUCUGCUUCUUCACGAACGACCAUAAACCUUCACAAACCAAUCCCUUUUUUCUCUGCCAUGCUUUAGUCGCCGUGUCCUUUGCCCCGGAUGUUGCCGGUGACACCGUGGCCCAUCUCUGAGCUCGACGGCGAGAAUUGAGCCGCCUAGAUUCAUCUCGCGCCUCUAUCUCUCUCGUCCUCCCCUUUCGACUUCGGAUGGCGCUGAUUCGAGCCAUUGAGAUAAUUUCAUCUCAGAUUCACGGCCGAGUCGAGGCCUAGAUCUGAGAUCUAGGGCUCAAUCGAGCUCCACCGAAGGCGAGGGCUCAGUCGAGCUACACCAGAGGCGAGUCUCGGAUCUCGGCAUCUUGUCGGUGCCGGAGAAAUGGAGAGAGAUUGCCGUAGUGAAGGCUUGGUUAGAGAGAGAGGUGGGUUGGGUUUCUUGGUUCAAACGUGUUAAAGAGGGAGGAACUCUGGAAGUGAAGAACCCCAGGCAAUGCGAAGAUUGCCGCAGUAUGGUUUUUUGGGUUUGGCUCCAAGAAGCAAUGAAUCAAAAUGCGUUUCGGUUCGGUUCAAAUACUCGACCUGAACCGAAAUGAUACAACACCCAUCUUUUUUACCUAUCACCCGAUCUGGAAUGAGACACGAAUCAAGAAGACCCGAAAAUUUCAGUUUGGAUUGGGCCGGGUUUUUUCUGACGCCCCCAACGAGAGGGAAGUUUUAUAAGGAGUGUGUAAGUUGCCCCUUAGCAUUGGCAUCGCAUUUCUCUCACAAAACGUCUAGGGGAGAUGAAGAUAAAGAAAAAUGCCAGAUAUAACCACGGCUUCAAGAAUGCUCGCGUCUUCACAAUGGUACCCAAAAACAUUCCCCGCGAGACUCGUCUUGUGAGAGAAAUGUGAUGCCAAACGCUAAGGAGCGAGAUGGGAGAGCUUCAAAGAAACUUGAAUAGCUACUUCAACACACCCCGGCGCCAUAUCUCCCUCUCUUUGGUUCCGUUUUCCCUUUUUUUAUUCGUGGAUUAAGUAAUCGACAAUCAAGAGUACCCUCUCCUAUUCCUCAAUCUUAAGAUGCUGUCUGUCGGGGGACGUCGGAAAAUGAAGUAUCUCUAAUCAUAAAUCAAACAAUCAUCGACCCAAAAACAUCCGACAGCUGAUCUAGCUUCUUGGGAUUGUCCUCCUUCACUGUGGACAUGACCCCUUGGAGAGCGAAGAAAAAGAACAUCCAGCAUUAGGUUGACUUCUAACUUCUCCAUAGAUGCUCAUCGCUCCCAACUCGCCGUCGGUGGAUUUGAGCUGCGCCUACAAGAUCUAGGUUUGUCGAAUUUUUUUCCUAUCAAACGAGUUAACAGCUUCAACCAUGGAUUCUAACUGUAACUUUCUCUUUCUUUCAUCCACUCUCUCUCUCUAUAUCAGCACAACCAAGUUCAUCACUCUAAACUAAGUGGCCUCAAGUUCAUCAAUGCCAAGGGCAUUAGGAGCAAGAAAUUGAAGUACCAACCUUUCUUUAAAAUUUUGUGAGACUACUACCAACUACUUUUGUCCAAUAAAAUCUCACAUGAUACAUGAUUAUGAGAUCUUAAGCCCAAACAAUUCAAGGCCCCAAUUUGCGCCCCCUCUUAUAUAGCUCAACUCUUUAGACUUAAGCCAAACUCUAGUCUACGCUUGAGGGAGAUUGGUAGAAUAUUUUAAUAAAAUCAUAUCAUCAUCUAAUAGUUUAAAUUAUUAGAAUGGUUGUAAGUGGUCUCACAAAAUAUCAUGCUUCUCCCCUUCUUGAGGGAGUUUACACAACUAAACAUGCUAUUAGAUAGUGCAAGUGUGUGGACUAUGUAUAUUUUCUUCAAAAAAGAUAUUAAAUGCAUUUCUAGCAAUAUAGGUGUUACUUAGGCUCUAUUUGUUUCACAUAAAAUUUCCUUUAAAAAAACAUUUUCCUCAUUUUCUGGCAUUUGGAUAUCUUAAGAAAAUAAGUCAACUUAAUAUAUUUUCAUAAUUAAUAUAAAACAUAUGCUUAAAUUCAGAAAAAUGAUUUCCUAUUUUAAAAAUCAAAAAUCAUUUUCCGGAAUACGGUUAGACAUUGGCGCUUGUAACUAAGAUCUUCGUGCUUGAGCAUAGGAGCCCUAAUAUUCGUGUUCGGGUCCUCAAUUGUGGGACCCAAUUCCACAAUGGCCAAGCUCAAGACUCCGAUGACCAUACUAGAUCCCUAAUGGCCAUGCCUAAUACCGUGGUGCCCACUCCUAGGUCCCUAAUGGCCAUGCCCCACUACUCGAUUUUCAAGCCUAGGUCCAUCGAGACUGGGACUAGUUCCUUGAUGGUUGGGCCAAGGUCUACUAAGGCUAAGCCUAGGUCCCUUGAUGCUUAGCCCAAGACCCCGAUGGUCAUGGCUAAGUCCUUGGCAGUCUUGCUUGAGUACUCAGCUCCUACACCAAAAUCAUCGAUGCUUGAGCCUAGGUCCAUCAAGGCCAAACACAAGUCCACAUAGGUUGAGCAUGGGUCCUGGAUAGCCAUGUUGGGGUACUUGAAUCUCGUGCUCAAUUUACUAGCUGUCAAGCCUUGGUCCAUUAAGGUCAAGCCUAAAUUCAAAGAGGACGAACCUGGGUCGUCAGUGGCCUUGCCCGGGUGCUUAGCUCUCAUGCCCACAUCAUCGGCACUUGGACAUUGGUUCAUCAAGGCCAGGCUCGAUUCUAUGGCAAUCGGGACCAAGUCCCUUGAGGCUAAACAGAAGACACCUUAGUACCUGUGCCUAGGUCCCUGGUGGCCGUGUCCAAGUCAUCAUUACCCAAGCCUAGGACCCUCAUUGCCUAGGUACCUCGAUCCCUGCUCAAGUCAAUGGCGCUCAACCUCAGUUCCUCGACAACUGAGCUCGAUUUCCAUGUGGUCGGGCCAAAGAUCCCAAUGUCCAUGCAUGGAUACUCGGCUUCUAUGUCUAUGUCACUGGUGCAUGGGCUGGGUUCAUCAAAGCUAAGUCCGAGACCUUGGUGCUCAUGCUUGAGUUCCAGUGGUUACACUUGAGAAAGCCCAGCUCCUGCAAUUGAGCCCCUAGUGAGUAGGUAUCCCUCGGCUAGGUAUCCCUUAUAUCACAUGAAAAAUGAAUAUCUCUUUGGGAAAAUAAAACCAAGUUCUUCUUUGUAAAAAAUAAUUACCAAUUCAUGUUCAUAUUUCAACUGAACACUGACAAAUAUUGCCUUUUCCCUAGAAAAUAACUUAUUAUAAGGCUUUUUUUUUUUUUUUUUGGGAAGGUCAAAUCUUUUAUGAAACAAAUGAACCNNNNNNNNNNNNNNNNNNNNNNNNNNNNNNNNNNNNNNNNNNNNNNNNNNNNNNNNNNNNNNNNNNNNNNNNNNNNNNNNNNNNNNNNNNNNNNNNNNNNNNNNNNNNNNNNNNNNNNNNNNNNNNNNNNNNNNNNNNNNNNNNNNNNNNNNNNNNNNNNNNNNNNNNNNNNNNNNNNNNNNNNNNNNNNNNNNNNNNNNNNNNNNNNNNNNNNNNNNNNNNNNNNNNNNNNNNNNNNNNNNNNNNNNNNNNNNNNNNNNNNNNNNNNNNNNNNNNNNNNNNNNNNNNNNNNNNNNNNNNNNNNNNNNNNNNNNNNNNNNNNNNNNNNNNNNNNNNNNNNNNNNNNNNNNNNNNNNNNNNNNNNNNNNNNNNNNNNNNNNNNNNNNNNNNNNNNNNNNNNNNNNNNNNNNNNNNNNNNNNNNNNNNNNNNNNNNNNNNNNNNNNNNNNNNNNNNNNNNNNNNNNNNNNNNNNNNNNNNNNNNNNNNNNNNNNNNNNNNNNNNNNNNNNNNNNNNNNNNNNNNNNNNNNNNNNNNNNNNNNNNNNNNNNNNNNNNNNNNNNNNNNNNNNNNNNNNNNNNNNNNNNNNNNNNNNNNNNNNNNNNNNNNNNNNNNNNNNNNNNNNNNNNNNNNNNNNNNNNNNNNNNNNNNNNNNNNNNNNNNNNNNNNNNNNNNNNNNNNNNNNNNNNNNNNNNNNNNNNNNNNNNNNNNNNNNNNNNNNNNNNNNNNNNNNNNNNNNNNNNNNNNNNNNNNNNNNNNNNNNNNNNNNNNNNNNNNNNNNNNNNNNNNNNNNNNNNNNNNNNNNNNNNNNNNNNNNNNNNNNNNNNNNNNNNNNNNNNNNNNNNNNNNNNNNNNNNNNNNNNNNNNNNNNNNNNNNNNNNNNNNNNNNNNNNNNNNNNNNNNNNNNNNNNNNNNNNNNNNNNNNNNNNNNNNNNNNNNNNNNNNNNNNNNNNNNNNNNNNNNNNNNNNNNNNNNNNNNNNNNNNNNNNNNNNNNNNNNNNNNNNNNNNNNNNNNNNNNNNNNNNNNNNNNNNNNNNNNNNNNNNNNNNNNNNNNNNNNNNNNNNNNNNNNNNNNNNNNNNNNNNNNNNNNNNNNNNNNNNNNNNNNNNNNNNNNNNNNNNNNNNNNNNNNNNNNNNNNNNNNNNNNNNNNNNNNNNNNNNNNNNNNNNNNNNNNNNNNNNNNNNNNNNNNNNNNNNNNNNNNNNNNNNNNNNNNNNNNNNNNNNNNNNNNNNNNNNNNNNNNNNNNNNNNNNNNNNNNNNNNNNNNNNNNNNNNNNNNNNNNNNNNNNNNNNNNNNNNNNNNNNNNNNNNNNNNNNNNNNNNNNNNNNNNNNNNNNNNNNNNNNNNNNNNNNNNNNNNNNNNNNNNNNNNNNNNNNNNNNNNNNNNNNNNNNNNNNNNNNNNNNNNNNNNNNNNNNNNNNNNNNNNNNNNNNNNNNNNNNNNNNNNNNNNNNNNNNNNNNNNNNNNNNNNNNNNNNNNNNNNNNNNNNNNNNNNNNNNNNNNNNNNNNNNNNNNNNNNNNNNNNNNNNNNNNNNNNNNNNNNNNNNNNNNNNNNNNNNNNNNNNNNNNNNNNNNNNNNNNNNNNNNNNNNNNNNNNNNNNNNNNNNNNNNNNNNNNNNNNNNNNNNNNNNNNNNNNNNNNNNNNNNNNNNNNNNNNNNNNNNNNNNNNNNNNNNNNNNNNNNNNNNNNNNNNNNNNNNNNNNNNNNNNNNNNNNNNNNNNNNNNNNNNNNNNNNNNNNNNNNNNNNNNNNNNNNNNNNNNNNNNNNNNNNNNNNNNNNNNNNNNNNNNNNNNNNNNNNNNNNNNNNNNNNNNNNNNNNNNNNNNNNNNNNNNNNNNNNNNNNNNNNNNNNNNNNNNNNNNNNNNNNNNNNNNNNNNNNNNNNNNNNNNNNNNNNNNNNNNNNNNNNNNNNNNNNNNNNNNNNNNNNNNNNNNNNNNNNNNNNNNNNNNNNNNNNNNNNNNNNNNNNNNNNNNNNNNNNNNNNNNNNNNNNNNNNNNNNNNNNNNNNNNNNNNNNNNNNNNNNNNNNNNNNNNNNNNNNNNNNNNNNNNNNNNNNNNNNNNNNNNNNNNNNNNNNNNNNNNNNNNNNNNNNNNNNNNNNNNNNNNNNNNNNNNNNNNNNNNNNNNNNNNNNNNNNNNNNNNNNNNNNNNNNNNNNNNNNNNNNNNNNNNNNNNNNNNNNNNNNNNNNNNNNNNNNNNNNNNNNNNNNNNNNNNNNNNNNNNNNNNNNNNNNNNNNNNNNNNNNNNNNNNNNNNNNNNNNNNNNNNNNNNNNNNNNNNNNNNNNNNNNNNNNNNNNNNNNNNNNNNNNNNNNNNNNNNNNNNNNNNNNNNNNNNNNNNNNNNNNNNNNNNNNNNNNNNNNNNNNNNNNCCCUUCUUCUUCUUCUUCUUUGCCCCCUCUCUUGUUUUGUUAUAGAGGUAUGUUUGACUAAAUCGUUCGAUCAUUCUUGCUGGUGAUCUUUUUCUUGAGGGGAACUCAGAAACUGACCUUUCUUCUUCCUUUCAAUUUUUCUGGUCUUCAAAUUCCGACGACUAUUAUCCACUUCUCAUUCUACGAGUACUUUUGGAUUUUAGGCGACCCAUCAAUAGUUGUCCUUGGUUUUGCUCCCCAUCGCAAUUGUGAAUAAAGGGCUCAGUACACGAGACAAAUCGGCAAAAUAUUUAAUAGAACCUGUAUCAAAGAUGACACGUUUUCUACACAGUAAUCGCCAAUUCACAUUCCAGAAGGAAUCUACCACUUGAAAUACUAGUUCAGAAACUGACAAAAAUAGAGCUACAAGCCUACAACUCUCUUGCUUUCCUUCAUCGCCCGCGCACUCACCUCAUAUCCACACCCACAACAAUGAACUUUUUUUAUCACUCUUCUUCUCUUUCUUCUACCAGUUCUUUUUCUAUUAAACUGGAGAAGAAGUUCAUCAAGAAAGCUACCUCCGGGUUCAUUGCAAAUCCCCAUUAUAGGCCAAAGCCUUGGCCUGCUCCGAGCCACAAGGACAAAUGCAGGAGAAAGAUGGCUUCGAUAAAGAGUGAGGAAAUAUGGACCAAUCUUGAAGCUCAUUCUCUUGGGAAGACGGAUGGCGUACACUCAAUGGACAAGCAGCAAACAAUCUUGUAUUCUGCGGAGACAGCAGCAAGAUUGCCAACAAGCAAACAUCAUCCAUCCGCACGAUUCUGGGAGACUGCAAUCUAUUGGAAGUCAGUGGCCAAGAUCACAGACACGUGAGAGACUCUCUGAUGUCGUUCUUGUGACCAGAAUCCCUGAAGCAGUACGUGGGGAAAAUGGAUGAAGAAAUCAGAAAGCACAUCGAAUUGCACUGGCAGCGCAUGGAAAGAGCUGUGGUAUGUCAAUAUUCUGUAAAACUCCCACUGUUGCCUUGAUCUGUUUGAGAUAUAUCCAAUACAUAACAAGUUUAAGAUACAUAUGGCGUAUGCACUCAUUCUCUCAUAUAACUGGUGUUCACACUUGUAUGGCCUCCGCAUAUAUCGACUAAGAGAAUGAAUGCAUAGAUUAAAAGUGCAAAUAAUCUCUUCAAUAAACAAAAGAAGAGUAAAUGACACUAGUGUUUUGAUUUUUCCUAUAGGCAUGGCCCCUGAUGAAAAACCUUACAUUCAACGUUAUAAGCUCUCUUAUCUUCGGUGUUGAGGAAACAUCUGAAAGAGAGAAUUCUUGCAAAAUUUUCAAGAAAUGAUAGAGGCAAUGUGGUCGAUACCAGUAAAGCUGCCAUUCACACACUACACUAGGAGCCUCUGUGCAAGCUCUAGGGUCCAAGAUCUGUUGAAGGAGCUUGUAGCCUUGUACAGGAGAAGAAAGCAAAAAUAGAGCAGCGCAUUGCCACUCUUUAUCAAGACUUGAUCACGUGCCUGUUAAGUAGGCAUGAUGAAGAAAAUAAACAAGUUGUGACUGACAAGGAAAUUUUGCACAAUAUCAUGCUAAUCAUGGUUGCAGGACAUGAUACCUGUUCUGAUGACUUUUAUGCUGCGUCUUCUAUCAAAGAAUCCCUCUGUUUAAAAAGCUGUUCUUCAAAGUACACAUCCUCUAUUUCCGGCAUCUUUUUAGAUUUGCCGAAUCUGCAUAGGGAUUCCUGCAGCCCAAAAAGGAAGGAAAACAAAACUAAAAGAUGAAUUUGUUAAUUAAUGAAUCUAUUUUGCUGAUGGAAAAUGGAUGACUUGCCAAAUGUAAGAAAAGUCAAUACACAAAUUAUUCGAAGUUUCCGAAGUCAGAUGUCAACUUUAAUAACAAAGCUCAAAAGCAUGUUCUUCCCCCUUAUUGCAAUUCAUAAGCCUCUCUUGCUUUUGCAGAACAAGAAGAGAUAGCAAAAAGCAAGACUUCGAGGAUGGUUCCACCUGUUUUUGCUAGCUUCAGGAUAGCCUUCAAGGAUACCUCAUUCCUAAAGGCUGGCAAGUAAGGAUGCUUGUAACUUUUCCUAUCUCUUCAAAUACUUGCAUUAUCUGCUAUUUAUUCUCUCUAUCUGUGAAACCAGUCGCUUAAUAUACCUUUGGAACUUAACAUGUGAUUUAGAUCUUCUAGGCAUCAAGCAUGACACACAUGAUGAGAGCAUAUUCCUGGAGCCAUCAAAGUUUGAUACUGCUAAAUUUGAAAACCAGAAGAUAGUACCACCCUACAGCUUUAUUGCUUUUGGAGGAGGGCCUUGCAUAUGCCCAGGAAACGAAUUUGCGAGGAUUGAAAUCUUUGCUACAAUCCAUUAUUUGGUCACUCAGUACUCUUGGGAGUUAUGUUCAGAUGAUCAUUACAUGAGGGACCCAUGCCAGUACCUACUCAAGGACUACUGCUUUGGAUUGUGCCUAAGAAACAGAAAUGAUCUUUCCUUGACCAUCCAGGACUUCAACUAUGCCAGCUUUUCAGGACUUAGCUACAUCAAACAUCCCCAUUAGUGGAUAAAAGUUGAAACGCCAUUAACCCAAGAAAGAAGCCAGUGCUUUUAGAAACUCUUCUGGAUAACAUAACAAAGUGUAUUCUGCCAAUGGUGUAUGCUUUCAUUUUAUAUGAAGCUAUAUGCAUGUCAUCAUUACAAAUUUAAAAUUGAGCUUGACUGCCCAGUAUUCAUGCAAUUUUCCUUAUCUUAGCCCCUCCAGAAACUAUCAACGCUUGCUAUAUUAAUAAAACCAAAUGCUGUUUGAACAGAAAAAGGCCUAAUUUUUCUUUUGCUCUUCCAAUUUCUUUGGGUUGGUUUGAAUCUGAUUUAAUUUUUGUGUUUUUCCCUUCUUUCUUGCUUUUUACCUAACAAACCAUGAUAUUUCAACAAACAGUGAUGACAAAGCAUCAAAUUAUGACAAGGAGAUUCAUUUAUAUUGAUUGAAUCAUGCAAUAGUGAAGGUAAAAUUAUUUAUAUUAGUUGAAAGGUGAUCAUUCUUGACAUGGAGUGACAGCAAAAUACUUUCGUACUUUCUCUUUGUAAAGUGAAUAUUGUUUUACUCUUUUAUUUGAAAUCUAACAUGUAGAAAGUAAUUAACUAAGCUAAAUAAUAUAGAGUAAUUUGAGAAAUGGCAAUAUCUAUCCGAAUUCCGACAUGUCAACACAUUGAACUUUGAUGUAAUUAGAUAUAUCUGUGCACGUCAUACUCUAGUAUUCCAUUGAAUUACACCAUAAAUGCUUGAGUAUAUAUUUUGAUACUCAACCCAGUGUGCUUGCUGGUAGUCAAUAUUCACAAAGUUAAAUAAGAGAAUUACAGUGCAGAAAAUCAGCACAUCUUUGGCAGAUUCAACUUAGAAAUAAUUAAGAGGCAAAGGACCUAUAGGUUCUUAAGUCUUUGCAGAACUAGCGAAGAGCUCAAAAAUGCCAAGGCAGGCGAUUGGGAUGCAUGAGAUUCUGCAAAACCUUGAGAAGUGCAAAAGACAGGGGACAGCAGAGACAAAUGAUCAAUGCAAUCAACAGGCACAAAUGAUCAAUGCAAUCAUGCGAUAUGAACUUGAACAGAAAAUUGCCCAAGAGCUCAUUAUGUCAGGGCAAGCUGGAAGAGGCUUACCCUGAAGUGGAUUUACCCAAUCUUUCAUCUUUACAUCAUCUGUGAUCAUCGACCAUCGACUCAAAAACAUCUAACAGUUGAUCCAGUCCCUCCGGACUGCCCCCAACCGCCUUCAUUGCGUAGAUGGCCCUCUCGAGAGUGGACAAACAUCCAGCCUUAGGCUGCUAACUUCUCUGGACAAGCUCAUCACCUCCAAAUCCAACUUCAGAUGAGGCGACGGCUUCAACCAAGGAUUCUCGCUGUACAUUCUCUUCGCCUUCAUCCACGUGCCGUCCAGCACGAUCAAGUUCCUGACUUUGAACUCGGCUGCCUUGAGUUCAUCAAUGCUGAGCGCAUUCUUGGUCGGAAACAGAAGUACGAACCCGCGCGGCACCUCAAGUACGAAUUCCACAGAUUCUUCAAGCUCCAAGCUCGAAUUCGAUACAAGGUUUUGCGAUUUCCUAAUCACAAAUCCAUUCGACAGAACGUAUCGAGGCCCGGAGAUCGGAUUCGGGCGCAGAGACACGUGCGCGCCGGCUUGGAACAGGACGGGCAGACGUGCCGCAUCGGAUUGGUGGAGCGAGCCGUUUCCGACAUUUUUGCGGAGCCGCGGCGGGCGGUGGCGGCGAUCCGGCUGGGGAAGGAGGGAGCUUGAGGAGGAGGAGGGUGGCCGGGGACGCGUAUCGAAACGGGCUCGGAUUCAGGUUCGGGAACGGGUUCGCGAAUCGGAUUCGGGUUGUGAAAUGGACCCGCAUUUCCCCAGAAAUUGGGAGAUGAUUUUUGGGAAUCUUGAGAGAAACGGUAGGGGCCAGAGCGGGCAGUGGCGCUGUUUGGCCAAAACGGUCGAGCAAAUGGUUUUGAAUUUACUAAUGAGCGUGCCAGCGGCGGCCUCUAUGAUUCAAAUCCGAAAAAUAGUGUGCAUAGGCCAAUCGAUGACUGCCGCCAUCAGGUGAGGCUGAAUAUCAUGGCGGCGACCAAGUGGUGGAGAUUGUUCUCGUGGGUUUAUCAUGCUAUGAGACGGCAACCAUUGUAGCAAUGGUCGAAAUCAGGAUGAUGAAUGACCGAAAUCAUGCAUCUAGACACAGUAAGUAUCCACUUAGAUCAAAUGGUCAACAAGUUAACAAUUGAGGCCUUGAAGAUUUUAGCAGAGGAAGUUGAUAUGUUCUUUAGAUCCUUGGACGGCGGUUGCAUUUGCGCUUCAGAUUGUAAUAGCAGCCUCAGGGUUCCUCCUUUCGAAGUCUUCUGAGUAUGUAUCACUUAGACAUCCUAAGCUUCAUAUCAGCUGCUAAUAAUGCUGCGAAACUUCACAUAAAAUUGCCUUCUUGGAAUUUGCAUGAGUAGUGUCCAAUUUCAACCUAGUGAGGAACUUUUUGGCCAAAAAAAAAAAGAAAAAAUAAUUGGUUGAUGUUUCAAAUUAACCAAAGGACGAUGGAUCUAAAUAUCUAAGAAACUAAAGGACUAGCAAAGUCUACUUCCUGUUCGACUUAGAACUGAAAGGAAAAUUUAUAAAAUUUAUUAUUAUGAUUGAUCUUUCCAAAAUGUUGCCUCCUAAAGAAAAGGGAGAAUUUUGGGCGAUACCGCGUUUAAUUUGUUUGUGUUUAGAAAUGAUUUCGAACAUGAUAUUGCAUAAACUUGUUGAUUGAAAAUGUUGUGCCACACACGUUACUACUUGCUCUUUUGGAUCAAACCAACUUGACAUGGAUUGAACUGUUUCAACAUUAAACUAUUCAAAAUAUUUGAUCUGCUUACUGAUUUUAUCAUAUUUGGAAACACGGGCGGGCAAGUUUUCUUUUUGCCCUUUGUUGUCAAAAGAAGAAGAAAGAAUUGCAUAGCUAUCACCUCUAUUUUGACAAAUAUAGUAGCUUCCCAUGUCUGGGAUAAGACGAUGAAACUCGCAAGGGUUCAUCCUAAGUCGGCUUGUGCUUCGUACAAUGUCUUGUAACCGACUUGUUAGCUUAGUACCCCGAUUACCUUAUACUCCUUUUCUUCAAUUAUUAUUUUAAUACACAGAGAGAGGGCCAAUGCUGAGGUCUUGAUGAGCACCGACUACCCUUGAGCAACCACUUCAACACUUCCUGGAAGAGAGAGGAAACACACCUCCUUCUCUUCAUUUCCAUUUUCCUAUUAUUUUGUUUUUUUUUUUUUUGUGGUCUUUGCCUUUUAUUUUUUUAAAAUUUUUGCCUUUUUUUUUAUAUGUCACAUUAGCGCCAUGCAUUCUCAAAAUUUUUAGAAAUGUCAUAUCUCCACUUUCCAUCACUUAAAUUGAACGCAUCUAAUAACUUGAUUGCUUUAAUUAAAUUAGUUUACAACUUCAUAUUACUUUUAUCAUAAGUUCUAGAACUUAGGUGCCCAUAUUAAAAGAAAUGAAAGAAACGUCGAAGAUAGAGAGAGACAAGGGGCUGGUCUUGUGUCCGGUUCAUUCCGGGUCAGCAAGUCGAUAAUGUCACUAGCCAUGAAUUAUGGAGGAACUUGAUUUCAUUAACAGAGAAAAGCUGAAGGACAUAUUUCCUUUUUUCCCCCGAGAAUGACAGCACGUGAAUUCGGAGGAAGCUCCUAGAGGCACGGUCUGUCCUUAAGCCACACGUUAGAUAUAUUAUUGGUAAAUGGUAAUGAACAUCAUAGUUUCUUAUGGAAUGAUCCUCGGCAUCCUCAUGGGGUGUUGUUUGGAUGUUUAUCCCAAAAAACUAAUUUAUGAUGUUGCACUGGGCCUGAACUCUCUAGUUGCUGGUGUCAUUUGUAGAGAUGAGUGGGUUUGUCCUCCAGCAGGAUCAAAAUUGUUUGUGCAUAUUCAAGCAGCCAUAUGUGGAACGAUCUUUCUCCUGCUCUGCUUUUGAGGGUAGAGCAAUUUUCAAAGGAAAUUCCUCUGGAUGCUUCACCCAGGCAGAUGCUAGGAAGUGGGUAAGGGAUAAAAUGCAGAAGAUCUAAUCCAAGUUUGCAUAAAUUCAGCGUUGUAGCUUGGCUUGCUAUCUUGAACAGGCUGCAAACCUUGGAUGGGAUAAAAAGGGGGUCCUCCAUUGAUGACAAAUGUGUCUUAUGCUAUUCUUCCCAAGUCUAGGAAACCUUUGUUUUUUAGGGUGCCUUCUCAAAGGAUGGAGAUCUCUAAUGGGUUUGGUUAAAGUUUGUUGGAACGUUAAUAAUUGGGAUAGAAUGAGUUCUUUAGAGCUUGUAGAGGGAGGUCUUUGACUAAAAUCGUAUUGAAACUCAUUUGGAAUGGUGCCAUCUACUCUAUUUUGGGGAUAGGAAUGGAGUUUUUCACAAUCGUGCUGCUCCUCCGUCUGAUGGAGCUGUUAAAGUGGCGGUCUUUGGUGUGAGACUCCGCAUCAAGCUGUGGUAGGAAACAAAGAGUCUUUCGAAUGAUGCAGAGAAAGCUCUGUAUAUGAUAUUUUGGAUUGUUUGUUAAGUCUGGGCGUUUUCUGUUGUUCUUUCUAUACGCUUCAUAUACUAACCCGAAAAAAAGAGCUAACGGAAUUAAUUGCAAGUUGGAGGAUUUCAUAGCACAAAAAUGAUAAAGCAAGACCGUAUCUCAAUAUUGAGAUAUGGUUUUUUUUUUUUUAACCGACCAAAAAACAAAAGACCGUAUCUCAAUAUAAGAUUUGCAUUUACGGGAUUGGUUCUUAUUUUCUUUUUAUGGUUUCCAGUGCCACUCACCACGUGCAUCUUUCCAUGGAGGUUGGACCUGGCGGCUAGUUCCUUGAUGUUGGUCCGGUCCUAUAAUCCGAAAAGUCCUUUCCUGACUGCCAUUGACUCUGUUUUUCCAUUUCAUAAAAAUGCCCGACUUUUGAUCUUUCUCGAGUACCCCAAAAGCCUGACAAAUCCAUAAACUCCUGAAAAUUUAAACUGGCAACCUCCUGAAAUUCCUGACGCUAAUCCCUUCCGUGGUCCAGAUUGCCAGAGCAGCUUUGGUCCUUCCUUUUCAUCUAUGUUUGCUACUUUGGAAUUUCCAAUUUCGUCGGUUCUUGUCUAUAUCUGCUAUUUACCCACUCUGAGGGAUCCUCAGGUGGUUCUGCUUACUGGGUGAUAUUUCUUUCGUUUUUUUUUUUCGGUUGGAUGGUUACUAAGUGAUUGGGAAAGGGUUUAGUAUGGUUUCUUUUUUAUACAUGCAGAUCUUGGCUGACUUCAUUCUUUUCUAGUUAGCUCGAAGUUGUCUCCUCUCUCGUAGCUCAGAAUAAGUGAUGCCUAGAGAGGUUGAUCCAUUUCGGAGGCAUGUGGAGGUUGUGGCGAACAAGUGGAAGUGUAAGUUUUGUGGCAAGGAUUUUGGUGGAAGUGCUACAGGGAUCAGGGCACACCUCGUGGGGGCUCUGGGCUAUGGUAUUAAACUAUGCGAGAGAGUUGAUGAGCAUGUGGGAUCCCAAGCUUUGAUAUUGAUGAAAGGUAAAAGUGUGGCGGAUGCAACCAACAGGGUAUGGGCCAAAUUGUAGUCCUUGGUAGUGACCAUGCUUCGAGUCCCCAUAGUAUGCAGGACUUGAAUCGAAACGUCCCAGAGCAACCAUCUUGCCAUUGGCAGAAUGGAAGUGUUGCUGGUGCAGCUUCGUAGAUUGUCAGCAUCAAGAGACCUUGUGUCUCGUUGGCAUGCCAGUGGGUGAUGCAGAAUUGCCCCCGCAAGGGCCGCAACCCAAUGGGUCAAUUCAACGCUUGAAUGAUGAACAUGGAAACGAAAAAACUUCAUCUCUCCAGCAACCUGCAACCGAUCCCUUGGCUUCGAUUUUUCUUGAUCCAAAGUUAACUACCAGAGCUUUUUGAUCAGUUUAUUGAUCUGGAGACGAGGUAUGAACAACGGAAUAGUAGAGGGCCAUCACCAUUGCAAAGUCAUCGAUCCCUUAAUAACAGCGUGACAAAUGGGUUGCAUCAAGUCAACUAGACCUGGUGGUGCUGCGCCUGGUCCCCGUCUCAGUGACACAAGUACAAUUGGCACUCCCCAGCAUCCCAAUCAAACUCAUUUGGGCUUUGAUGAACAAUGGAGAGGUGAAAGCGCUCCAUGUCCGCAAAUAUCUUCAGCAGAGUGGGUGUCUUGUCUUCUCGAUAUGCCCUAUCAGCCACAGCAUUCCAUUCCAUCUUGUUAUUCUGAGGAAAUGCCAAUGAAUGACCUGCAGAAUUGAACGGGUGCAUCGUCGUCACAAAAUGAUCAAUCCCUUGACGUUCAAAUUGUUUGCAACACUGCAAUUAAAUCCCUAUUGCCGAAGUAGUUCCGCUGUCCAAUGCUACAAGUGUAACCAAUGCCGUUGAGCAUUUUAGUCAACAUCCACUUCUUAUAUGUGAUGAAGAAUGUGAAAAUGAGAGUAGUUCCUUUCCCUCACAAGCUUCAAUGGACAUAUCUCCGCCAAGUGUAUUACAGCCUUUCACUGGCCCUCAUUCUUUUGAGAAACUGGACGUAGAUUCCCAAGUUCCACAGGGCGGAACUAAGAAGGCCCAUUGUCAUUACAAGGUAUGCCUUGAAGUGAGCCUUCUCUUCUCUUUUCUACUGUCUCCUAUUUAACAUCUCCCACGUUUUCCUAAUUAUAGGUGUAUCCUUGAAUGUUUCAUAUGUGCACUUUCUCUUAUUUUUUAAUGAUGAUAUUAUAUGAGAAUAUCAAACAGACGUAGAUGUUAGUUUCAGUGUAGAUGUUUUGUGGGAUUAAGUCUAGAUUUUGACUCUACUUACGCUUGUGGCUNNNNNNNNNNNNNNNNNNNNNNNNNNNNNNNNNNNNNNNNNNNNNNNNNNNNNNNNNNNNNNNNNNNNNNNNNNNNNNNNNNNNNNNNNNNNNNNNNNNNNNNNNNNNNNNNNNNNNNNNNNNNNNNNNNNNNNNNNNNNNNNNNNNNNNNNNNNNNNNNNNNNNNNNNNNNNNNNNNNNNNNNNNNUUGAUUACAUGUUUCCCACAAGCUCCGAUGGACAUAUCUGUGAGUAGUCCAUCAUCACCGCAAGGUACAUGUUAAUUCAUCUAAACUGAUCCUUAUGUAUCCUGAUGUUACUUAAUUAGGGAGAAGCAUGAAUGCUUACAUUAGGAUCUAACACGUAGAAUUCUUGAUUCACAAUCAGCUAUUUAUAGAGUCAUCCAAACGCUGGCAACUUCGAAAAUAAUGGAGCCUUGAAAAGAAAGGUAGAACGACUCUACAAUAGAGAAGCUGACAUAAAGAAUGAUAUAGAAUUUGCUGCAUCUCUAUCUCUGAAGAAGCGGAGAAUAGAAGUUGUGAAUUGGUUGACAAACGUGGAAACGCAGAGGAAAAAUUUCCAAAGUCUUAACCAGCGAGCGCAGAAAAUUUGCGACCACAAUAACAGGUGGAUAUGUUGAUGGAAGAAGCGGUAGGCCUUAUCAUAAAAAGCAAAUUUCCAGAAGGACCGUUUGAGGUGGGAGAUGCCAAAGUCAAUAUAUUAUUAGAACGAAAGUUGCAGGGAGGAAAGGCAUUUGACACAUACUAAGAAGAUCUUGCGGUAACUAAUAGAGGAUCGCAUAUCAUGAUCAGGCAUUUACGGUAUGGGGGGUGUCGGGAAAACAACCAUUAUGGUGCACAUACAUAAUAGGCUCCUAGAAAAAGAAAAUCAUAUUAAUGCAUUGUGGAUUGCUGUGUCACAAGAUCUCAACAUACAUAAGUUGUAAGGUGACAUUCAGCUAAUAUAUUCAAAAAAAAUUUCAUGCAUGGGUGUUAAUUUGGAUAAUGCUAACUAUUUAUAAAACAUGAAAAUAUAUAUNNNNNNNNNNNNNNNNNNNNNNNNNNNNNNNNNNNNNNNNNNNNNNNNNNNNNNNNNNNNNNNNNNNNNNNNNNNNNNNNNNNNNNNNNNNNNNNNNNNNCUCGUGUUUUUGGGUCAUUAAAAAAAAUAAAAAUCUUUCUUUAGCAACUUCUCAAAUUGGUAAAUUGUUGAACGGAUGAUAUUAAGGAGCAAAUCAUUAAAAUGUGGGGGCCAUAAUACAUAUGCCUAAUGUGGCGCUACGCGUCAACUUGCUCUAUCUAUUUGGAGAAUAAAUUCGGCUUUCGACGAUAAAUUUUUUCCUCGAGUUGCGCAUGCAUGUCCAGGAACAAAUGGGAGAAGAGAGAUACAUCGUCCAACUAAUGCUAGAAAUAAGAAAGGAUUGAUGUGGUAAAUGACUUUACAAAAUAAUAUGGUAAAUUCUAAGUAUUUAUUUGAGUCAAUAUAUAUUUGAAAACUCAAUAGUAUCUCGUCACUUCAUGUUAUAUAUCAUUUAAUAUGUCAAAUCUCGAACAUUGUACUAAUAAAAUCACUCUAAAACUCAAUUAGACCAGCUCCAAGUGAGCACCUCAAAGGUAAGAACUUGAGUUCACUUAUGAUUAUCAAGGCCCAUUGGUAAUAAAUAAAUAAAUAAAUAAAGGAAAAGGGUGAGAAAUAUCAUGUGGUGUCGCCGGCGCUGACGUGGAUAAAAUUUAUAAUUUUUUAAUAAUUUUUCAAUUGUUUUUCUUUUAUCAUUCUCCGUACCCCUUGGCUAAUGAGGUUGUCGGCUGACCAUCGUUGGCCAUAGGCCGGUCAGGGUGACGGCCCUUACGCCUUUGUCGACCACAGGUGAGCACGUCGGCCCCCCUAGAUCUAGGCGAGGGCCUAAACCCUCACUUGUUGGCCGAUGAGAGCCUUCGUGCCCUCAGCAGCCACAGGCGAGGACGUGAAGGCCUUUGUUCGUGGCGGGCAAGGACUGCAACACCAUAAGCGAGGCCGUUGUGGCCAUCACUUGGAUUUGGGCAAAGGCAUUGUGCCCUCGCUUGGAUUUGGGCGAGGGCCACCGUGCCCUCACCCACCACGAGCGAGUGCUACCACGGCCUCGUUUGCGGCUAACGAGGGCGUAGAAGCCUUGGCUAGCCAAUGGGCAAUGAUUUCAACCCUUGCCUAGGUUUGGGUGAAGGCCCACGUCCUUGUCGAGCGCAGUGGCCCUCACUAGUGGCUGUUAAUGGUGCGGGGACCCUUGCCUCGACCAGCCUGUGGCCGACGAUGGUUGGCUGGCGACCUUGUCGGCCAAGGGGCUAAGGAGAAAGAAUUUUUAUUUUUAUUUUUAGAAAAAGAGAAAAAAAAAAUGGAAAAAAAAAUAUUUAAAAAUUAUAAAAUUGGUGUACGUCAGCAUCGGCAAUUUCUAGCUUAAACUUGUUGGAUAUAUUGAAUUGGUAUCAAUAUGAAAAUGAUUAGAAUUAAAUUGAUCAAAUGAAAAGUUUAUGACUGAAUUGGUAUUAAUGCAAAAGGUUUAUCACUUUUUUUUGUUACUUUUCCCUCAAAAUAGGUCACUUGAAAUCUCAUUUGGUUUCGUCUCUAAAAGAAAUGAAAGUUAUGUGAGGUCGAAUGGCAUCCAUAUAAAUAGACACAAAUUGUUCAUUAUUUUGGUAAGAGGUUAUUGUUUAGAAAUGAAAAAGAAAAGGAUAAAAAGGUGAAAGCAUGAGGUGGCAACUUAAUAAGCCACAAGUCAACUCUCCAUGCACUAUAUUAAAAUGAGAUUUUAGUAGGUUAAUUGUUGAUAUAAAAAAUAAUUUGCAUAUUCACAAUUAGGCGCUGACAUGUGGAAGAAUUCAAUUACAAAAAUAAUUUCACAUACACACGUCACUUGUUCAUAGUAAGUGUGUAAUGGGGCUUUAAACACUACGUAUCUAAUAAUAAACAAUUAGCUUACUAGGUUAUUUGGUUAACUAUUUUUCUUUAUUUAGUUUAACACAAUAUUUCACUAUUAAUUAAUUAGACCAAAUAGAUCGCAUAUUCAGAUAUUCAAAAUUUUCAUGCACGGGGUUAAUUUGGAUAAUGUUAACUAUUUAUUAGAAUAUUGGAAAUAUAUUAUUUCGUAGAAGGUAAGCAGGAAAAAAAGAAAGAAAGCUAAAGAUACAUGUGGCGGAGUAAAAACAAUCGGAUCUUUAAGAAGGGAAUAAAUCAUUUUUAUUAUUUUAGUAAUAGGUUAAUAUGUAGAAUGGAAUAGAAAGGAUAUAAAAAAGCGAAAGCAUGCGAGGACAACAAUGUAGGGGGCAACAUGCCAAUUCUCGAUAAGGCCUCCAUCUCAUGGAUUCUCCUUCAUGUGGCACUGGAUUUUCUUAUUCAAGUGGUUAAAGAUGCGACAAAAGCUUUAGUUGAAAUAGUUUUUGGGAUUACGACCCAAAAGAAAAAAUUAGUUUUUGGGACAACGAGGGAUCUACCUAACACGGCAUCAGAAAUUCAGCAAAUUAAUAAUCUAAGCAGCAGCCGUGGAAAUUCGCUCAGUUUUUUUUUUUUUUUUUUUUUUGAACGGAACGAACAUAGUAUUAAGAUGAAAAGGCCUUACAUCCCGCGGCUAGAGCAUCCGCGCAUAAAUUCGCUCAGUUUACGUUGCAUAUUUGGCGAUUCUCUUUUGCAGGAGACAAUAGCUCGAGAUGCUAACGUGGGCAAGGGUUCAUGAUUGGAGUAGUCUGCAAUAAAAUAAAGCAUAUAUGGACCCUUCAACAGUAUUGUUGAUCAGGAUUCAAGACUUUGAACAAUGCCAACUCUCUCUCUCUCUCUCUCUCUCUCUCUCUCUCUCUCUCAUUAAAAAAUAAAGAAAUGACGAAGAAAAGACGGAGACAUUUCCUGCGCGCGUUCUUAGCGACUGUUGCGUUGUCUCUUAUGGCAAAAUUCCUUGUGACUCUUCACCAAAAGCUGUUCAUUCCCACGUGCAGCAGCAGGCCUGUGCCUUUUGUUUCUCUGGGAGUUUGCUGGAGUCCUGGACGCUGACCAGUGCUUCAGAAUCUCAAAAACAGCUUCUUAUUUCUACUUCUUGAUUUGCAUCUUUGCCACUUACAUGCAUCCGAAUCUUCUUUUUCGGCCCUAACUGGGAUGUUGCUUCGUCUUCAUCUUUGCCAUUUUCCAUUUGUAAAAAUUAAGGAUAAACUCUCCAACUGUCCUUAUUUAACCGGAUCAAAUAUAUGCGCAUCGGACAAGUAAAUUUGAUGGAUUUUAUGUGAAACGAAUUCUGUCGGGUUGAAUGAUCCGGAUGUAAUUGGGUGGACGUAGGUGUGAGAUGCAAUAACCUUCUGUGAAUUUUCUGAUGGCAAACAUAUACACGUGCUUUGAUUUUCUUUUUAAAGUCGAGAUUAUGCUUCAUCGUAUUUUACAAAUCAUUUUUCUAUGCAUGAAAGUUGCUCCGUGUUUGGGUCAUCUACAUAAAUUAAAGAUCUAGGCUUGAUCAGUUUAUGAGGAUUUAUAGAAUGUUCCAUGAUCUUCCAAGUAAUCGGGUUUUGUGCUUAUGUCUUUGGGUAAAAAAACGGUCUUUCUUCCGCAACUUCUCAAAUUGGUAAAUUGGUAAAGGGAUGAAAUUAAGGAGAAUAGCCUUAAAGUAUGGGAGAAAAAAAAAGAAUUGUACUGUCCAUGUUAUUGACAUCAUAAUCUUUAAAAAUCAAAACUAUUUAGGGUACGUAACUGAAAUGAUAUCUGUACCUUGCGAAGGGUAACUUACAUGCUCUUUGGUGGUUAUAUUGUUUGUUUCCAUGUGUUUGUAUUUUUCUCCAUGACAUUAUUCAUUUGUUCUCUUCCUUAACAAACAGAACAUCACAGUAGUGGAUACAUUAGAAUGACACAAAAUUUUGGAUAGAAGAUAAAAGGGGAAAAUGAGUACUUUUUUUUUUAUCGGAAUAUUUUUAAAACAAUGCAAUAAAUUCUAACUGAUUCUUUUAGUUAAUUGAUGUAUUUCAAUGUUCAAUGAGAUUCUGUCACAUCAUUUUACAAAUCAUUUUAGUGUAUUAAAUCUCUAAUAUUAUACUAAAUAAAGCACUCUAAAUUCAACUACACCAACUAUAAGGGAGCACUCAUCGAAUUAACAAGAACUCGAGUUCACUAAUGACUAUUAAGGCGCAUUGGUGAAAAGGAAAAGAAAAAGGCAAAGGAAGGCAAAGGGGGAAAAAAAGAGGGUUGGGGGCAGGGGUCUCAUCGUCUCAUUAUAUUUCUCUGAAAGAAACAGUACGGAGAGAGAUCGAGAAAUACAGAGAGAGGGGAAGAGCGACGACAGUGGAUUGCAGCCUGUCCAAAGGGAAUCACCAUUUUCGAACCCUAGAAAACAGAUUUUAGCUCUAUUUCUCACAAAUUUUGUAGUUUUGUUUUAAAGUUAACAUCUGAAUCUCUUGUGGAUUUUGCUUCGCCAGCAACGAUUCGGUCAAAAUCAAACGAUAUUUUGUUUUAAAAUUAAUUCUGACAUUGAUUUUUUUUUCUUUAGAGUAGAUUGGGUCUUUCUCAUGUAAAAAAUAGCAAGUUAUACUUGGGUCUGUCCGUAGCUUUUCUUAAUAUUAAUCCAAUUUAAUGGAAAUUAGUAGAUGAUAAAUUUGUCACAAAUUCACAAGUUUUGGGUUUUUGGUGUAAAAAUUGGUUUGAGAUAAAUUUGUUAUAUGCGUAUUAAUUUGGAAUAUUUCCUAAUAUUAACAUUAUUAGUGGUUCUUUUAGUUUAUAGAUAGAAAAUUCGGUCGCCACUUUUCAAGUCAUUUUAAUGUAUCAAAUCUCACUCUAAAUACUAUUGAGGCACGUUAUUAAGGGGUCUAAUCGUCUCAUUUGAUAGGGAAUUUGCGGAAGAGAACAGUGCUGGUCAUGUGAGCUUUACAAAUGGUGAUGUGGCUUCUUAUAAAACGUUUUAUACAAAAUCAGGAUGUUCUGUAAGAAGUGACGUGGCUUCUCAUAUUGGGCAAGACAGGAGGCCUUUAUAAGGGGUGAAUGGAAGCCUUUAUAAGGGGUGAAUGGAAGCGAAAGUGCUUCCUUAAAGGGUAUUUUCGGAAGGAAGAGUGCUCGUGCAGCUGGAGGGAGAGACAUGUGAACUUGGAGGCCAAAGUGCUUCCAAAAAGGGCAUUUUCGGAAGAAAAAGUGCUGGAAAUAGUGAUGUUGGCUUCUUAUUAAACGUUUUAUACGAAGUCAGAACUUUUCUGUACCGACAAAAAAAGAAGAAGAAGAAAAGCUCUGUAAGAAAUGACGUGGCCUGACUCCGUCAGGAACGUUUAAAUGUUUUAUACGAAGUCAGGAAAGUUCUGUAAGAAGUGACGUGGCUUCUUAUAUAUAAACCCCAACAGCUUCGUAAACCCGAGAAAAUAUUGGGUGGUCCGGGACCACCACGUCAGCGUGGUCCCCGGCCACUCACGAGGUGCCAUGUGGAGGGGUGGGCCCCACUUGGUGUCCUCUUCGCUUUUUCUCUUGCUCCUCGACGCAGUGCUCCUCUCUCUCCUCUCUCUCUCCCAAAUAACUCUCGGCUGAUGGCUCGGCUCGGCUCGGUUGGCAGAAGAAAGCACGGGUCAAUGGAUAAUAAAUGCGCAGCCCUCCCGCUUAAAAUUUCUCUCUCCUCACUUGAAUAUUUUCUGGGCUCUCUCUCUCCUCGCGGACGAGCUGCACUUCCUCUGUUUCCUUCUCAGCGUAUCCCACCCCCUCCGCCUCCGCCUCCCCAAAAAGCCUCGCCGGUCCGUCGCCUCCUCCAAGAGCCCCGCCAAUCGCAGCUGGUUCCCGAUCCCCUUUGCUUCCGACUGUUUCCAACGCCGAGAUUGAGCGUAAGGUUUGUGCUCGCCUGGGUCUCUAGGCAACUUCUGGGCCUCCCUCCCUCCGGCGAACUCGUCAUCAACUCCGACUCCGAGCCGCCGUCGCCGCCGCCGAUGGCGUCCUCCGUCUCUGGCAUCUACUCGUCCUUCCCCUCCCUCAGGCCGAAGACACCGCCAGCCUCCGCCGCGAAGUCGUCGGCCUUCGGCAGGAGGGAGGCGGCCUCGGUCUCGUUCCCGAGCGGCGCCAGGCUCCCCGCCGUCGACCGGGUGCUGUCCCUGUCCGACGAACUCCCUCUCUCUCUCCACCCUCCCCCUUUCCGAUUGGCGAACCACCGCGAGCAGCCGACGAACCAGGAAGCGAACCUAAUAUUUUCUCCCUUCUCCGACGCUCGAUGCCCUCUCUGCCCUCUACCCCCGACGCUCGACGGCCGAUUUAGCUCGCCUCUCCCACGACCUCCACGCUUUUGGCGGUUCUUCCCCCGCGGUUCGGUGAGGUCUCGGGUAUGCCCUCGUGCCGCGUCUCUUCUUCCUUGCUCAGCAACACUGGACUGCCUCUCUCUCUCUGAGUGUGUCUCUCUGUGCAUUCUUUCAUCCAUGAGGCAAGCAUUUCGACUAGGGUUCAGGGGUUUCGCCACCCCCUUCUUUGAGGUUCGUCCGGGUACCUCUCAUUUUUGCGUGAACCCAGCGUGAAUUUUAUAGUCUUUCUUUCCAUAUGACUACAAGCGACUGCUAAGCGACAAUGCGACGACAGUUUCGAAUCCUGGGUUUCGCUCUGUGAUGCUAAGCGUUGCUUUGGUUCCUUAAAAAGUUGCUGACUUUUUCGCAUGUUGUAGCUUCUUGGUUGCUCCGAGAUUUUGGGUUGGUCGUUCUAUCGUCUUGCUCGGAGCCAGCGAAAUGUUGUCCAAAAGGGGCAUGUCGAAUUCGUCGACACCUGAGUCGGCGGCGAUUUCUGAGGACAGGGAAGAAAUCGAAAGGAUUGGUGGCUUCAGUUCCUAGUUCUACCAAAAGUCAUGUCAAGGUAUUGUCUUUUAAUCGAACCUAUCGUUCCACCUGUGUUUUGGGGACUUGACCAUUCAGCAUUCAUUUUUUCUGCAGAAAAAUUCUGGUGCAAGCAUUGGUGAAGUCGUGUUGCCUAAUAAUGACCCGGCCAAAAUUGAGGCAAUGACAUUUCACGAAUUGAGAGCUACAUUGAGGUGGGGAUGAAUUGUUUUAGUUGCAAGCGUGUGAUAGUCGUUAUAGCGUUUCCUGCGCAACCUUUACAGUAAGCAAAACUCAAGUUUUUCUAUUUGAUGCUUGCAAAGGAGAUUAUUGAGCAGGAAGUGAAUAUUAUUGAUGGAAAACCAUGAGGUCUUGAGAAUUUGCCUUCAACAAAGAGCAAGGUCUUGAGAAUCUGCUUCGUUCGGGUCAAGAUGGCGAGCUCCACAGCCGCACAAGUCCACGGUCUUGUGCUGUAUGGUCCGGGCUUGUAGCUCUGUCGACGGCAAAAGCAAGGUUUACAGAGAACUCGGUCCGUCUCCCUCGCCUAAUUCCAUUAUGUUGUCUUUCUCGAAUGCUUUCAUGUGGGUAGUUCUUCUUUUGGUUAGAUUAAGAUGGAGUGCUCGGUUCAUUUGCAAAUGCGCAAGAUGAUAGAUGGUUCUUGCUUUUUUGAGAAGUUCUUUGACAUGUUGUUUUAGACUGCUUGCGAAGAAAUCCAGACCGAUUUGUGGUAAAAUGAAAAAGAAAGAGUGAACUUUUCCAGAUUUUAUUGGUCAUACAAUCAUGUCUUUCGUGUAAAAUUUGAAGUCAGUAAGUAUCUUUUGGGCCUGAAUCUUUCUCAUGAGGCCUCUUGCUUCACAUUAGGUGAACUCCCAUGUGUGAGUGGUUCUUGCUUUUUAAGUUAUCACCCUAGUGGAAAGAUUCUUCAUUUCUUGUUCCUCGGUGUUCCAAAUAUGCUUUGUUUCAGAGUUUGCUCUUCGGAAUUUCAAACCAGCGGUUCAUUUGAUAUCUAUGGUUGCCGUUGCAAGGAAGUUAUGUCAAACAUGUUGGAAAUAGAUGAGUUUUGCAAAAUGUGACUCCUGUAAGAGGACUUGAAGUCAAGUUUAAUUUUCUUGUACAAUCUGACAUGAAUUCUGAGAAAUGUAAGCAAAAGUGUUUCUGGGAUGUUGGUGGGGUAAAAAUCUUUGCAGUUCGGCUUUUAUGUAAAAUUUGCAUUUCUUUUUCUCCAGGGUUGUUUUCACUAAAAAGGAAGAUUGAAGAUGCAGUUCAACGCACUGAGAAGAUGGCUCCUACUGCACUGCAAAUUGAAGAAGCUAAAUGGAUUAAGCUUGAUGGACUGAUUCGAGAUUACAACCUUUGGGAUGAUCCUGAUAAAUCCUAUGAUGUUCUUGUGAAGUUGGCAGACAUGGCCAGAGCAGUCGAUGCCCUGAGGGAUUUAACUUACAAGGUGGUGUGGAAUGCCAUAUUCAUCUCACAGAAUAAGCUUUUCCGCCCAGUAGGUGUGGAUUAAGUUGGGCAAUUGUUGGGUCAAUGGUUUGCCCAUUAUAAGCUUGUCUUGACUCUUCUUCCGAGAUUAACUUGAUUCUUAAUGUGUUAAUGACUGUCAUAUCUAGUUUAACUGUAUCAAUUAAAGGAAGUGCAAUUGCUGGCUUUAGUUGACUUUUAUCUGCUGAAAUUUGCAGGCGGAAGAAGCAAAGCUGAUAACUCAACUGGUGGAGAUGGAUGCUAUUAAUUAUGCUCUUUUUGAGCAGGCAUACGCUUCGUCUUUGGAUAUGAGUAAGUUUUUGGACUGUUAUGAGAUGUUAAAGCUUCUUAAGGGACCAUAUGAUGUGAAUGGAGCGUCGAUGGUCAUCAAAGCUGAAUCCAAUGGCAAUUACCAUGAGGUUUGAUAAUCUAACUUCAUUUCUAGAAUAAUUAUGCAUGUGCAAAGAGAUGAUGUUUAUAUCACACUCUUCCGUUGUAAUAUACAUUGAUGUAGAAUAGAUGCAGAGUCUCUGGUUCCCGCUUCUUUAUAAUACUUACGCCAAAAUAUAGGAGUUUCAAAGAACUUGAGAAUGAAAAAACUGCAUAUAUAUGUACAUAUAAGGGUGGGACAUUAUUAGUGGAAUCUUGUUAGUAUAUAUGUAUGCUUGUGCGCAUCACCAUUUCAGUUACUUCUUAUUUACGAAUCUCUUUGCUUGAUGACUUAGAUGUCUUGAAAAUCAAUUGUGGGAUUUCUCCAGGGUUUAGUGGAUAUUUAAUUUAUUGUCUAGUAUCCUUCUUCCUGUGGGAGGUAUUUUGCAUGUCCCUCCCCUGAAUUCCAACUCAGAAGUAAACAUUAAGUGAUAAUGUGGUGGCUAUCAAAAGAAUAAUGAGAAAAAAGAAAAGUGAGAAUUUGAUCAGUAUGGAUAGUGGUUCGAUAUUAUUCUCCACUAUGAGGAUACUUAUGUUAUGAGGAUACUUCAUUUUGACAUCAGUAUGAACUAGGACAGGGAAUGAUAAGUUGCCAAUCUAUUUGCAUAUGAAAGAUGAAAUCUUGGAAAAUAGCGGACUGUAAUAUUCAUCUAUAAUGGGGAUAUAUUCCUUUUCCAUUAGCUAAUUCAAUGAAGUUCACUCAGUUUUGUUGACCCAAAAAAAAAAAAAGAAUCUUUUGGGCUUAAGCCUCUGCUGGUUCCAAUCUCUCUGUCUCUCAUGCAUUUGCUAAUCCAGUUAUGGGCUGAAAAACUACUGAGAAUGUACCAAAAAUGGGCUGAGAAGCAAGGUUAUUGAGGGAGGAUUGUAGAGAAGCGUCAGGCAACAAAUGGUGGAAUCACUUCUGCAACGGUUGAAUUUGAAUUUGAUUAUGCAUAUGGUUUUCUUCAAGGGGAGAGGGGUGUUCAUCGAAUGAUAAGUGGUUCAGAAACUGGAUCAACAAUUGAUGAGGUAGGUUUACAAUUAUCAUUUUUGUUUUGAUGAAACAUUGACUUUUGUAUAUUGCUAUUGGUUUUUGACUUCUUUUUAACAAUGAGCUCUGAAUGAUUUGUUUCUUCUCUUUCCAGAGAUUCAGAAGGCAAAAGUGGCAUCUUGUUAGUGCAUCAUUAAUAUCAAGAAACAAUUUAAAGUGUAUUAAAGACACGACAACAUGUAAAUGACCGUGUGCAAGGAAAAACACAUUGGAAUUGAAAGAUUGAUUGUUUCUGUGGCUCUUUCUUGAAAUCAAAGCAGCUAAAUAUGAACUUGUACUCAUGGCACCUUAUUGUAUAUAUUUGGGUAAAUUCUUUCUUGAUCUUAUCUUAAUUACACACUUAGAUAUUUGUGUGGCACCUAGAUGUCUACACGUAUCAUAGAGUCUAACAUUGGCUAAAAAAUAUAAGAUAUGCAACUUCAAAUGGUGUGGAUUAAUUUUGCACAUGAGCUUAAGGUUGAUUUAGUUCACUCAAAAACAUAGCCAAGGGAAUUGUUGCAUUUCAUGGGAUCCAACCAUUCAAGUUGUUUCUUUUUAUAGUUUAUCUGCUUCUUUUACAAGUGAAUUGAAGGUCGAGAAAAGCCUUUUCUGUGUAAUGUGUUUCUGUUCUGCUACAUCAUUGGCCCCUAAAUUCCUGUCAGUUCCUCAUUUUAGUACUCAAAAUUAUAUCGACAGCCUAGCAGCUGUCGAUAUAAUUCCUCUGUUCCGUGAUUCGGCCCCUGACCUAAAAAUUAGUGAGGAGGAUUUGCUAAUCUCGUGCCCAUCGUCAUCGCCUGAAGUAAAAGUCAUUGAAGGCCGGUCUGGAGUUGUUAUUCAGCAUGUUCCUACUGGUUUUGUUGUCCAAUCUUUGGGUAAUGAGUUGUCUAUUCCCUUAUUUGUUAGGGUUGACCUUCCAACUCAAAUUUGUUUACCAAUGAUUUCCGCAAUCUGGUUUUGACUUUACAAAGAAGCAAAUGCCUAUUCCUCAACACACGUUCAUGAUUGCCUGUCUAGUACGACAUUUUGUGAUUGAGAAAUAAGAUCUCAAAAUUUUUAUCCCAGGUGAAAGGAGCAUUUUUGCAAAUAAGAUUAAGGCCCUCAACCGGUUGAAGGCUAAACUUCUUAUCGCAGCCAGAGAUGUAGGAGUUCCAGGCAUAAAUGGCUUCAAGAAGGAAAAUGUGUUCGAUGUAUGGGGAGACAAGGUCCGAAGAUAUGUUCUUUCCCUCGCAAGCAUGUGAAAGAUGUAAGAAGUGGUGUUGAAAUGCCUGACCUGUAUUCUGUUUUGGACGGUAAUAUAGAACCUCUGAUUGGAGCUCAUAUCCAGAUGAGACUCUCAAAUGACAUGCCUCCACAGUAAAGCAGCUUUUCCCAAUUCGCUCUAUUAAUUUAUUUCUCUGCGUUGGUUCUUCAUCCCAAAGUUUUAUCCCUUGAAGUUUAUUUUUAUGUUAAAAACAAGACAAUUGUUCCUUUGUCAUACAUGUAUCUACGCCUGAAAUUUAUUUUGUUGACAAAACCAUAAGUUGGGAAAAAAGAAAGUGACCCUUCGGUAGGCAUUUUGACUGGGGGCACUGAUAGAUUUUAGCUAAAAAAUUGAAGGUAGUCCGAUCAAAUUCCCAUCACACGCGUGUAAACUACUCAAGAUCAAGACUAUUGUCAUGAACUAGGCAUAUGAAGUUACCAGUAUGUCCGGGUAGUCGAGUUUCUUUGUUGGUUCAUGAUCUUUAGUAAUUCUAACUGUCGGCAAUAAGUAAUUCUAAUUCCACCAAACAUUGCUCAAAGUUCGAUGAGUAUGUAUAAGAUGUGUGUUCACAGAAUUCGGAAUGAUGUAAUUAAGUUUACAUGUUGACAUCCCAAUGUUUGAUUUGGUGCGAGGAGCAGGCGUGCCAAUUAAACGCACGAGGUAGAUUCAUUUCUUGAUGCUACUGUUCCCUUUGAGCUUCAGCCUCUGUCUUCUCACUUGGUUUAUGAAGUCAGUGGGCAUGAUAAGUUCAUGUUAUGAGCAUGAAUAACUAAGAAAGAAGCAGUAAUAAGCAGUUCAGGAUUUAUGAAGAAGCAAUUGCAGUUCAUUGAUAUAGAUAAAAGUUUAAAGAUGGCAAAAACAUGUCGAUAGAUGAUGAUAAUAAUUAGCAGUUCAGGCUUUAUCCUGGCCUUUGUGAAGUUUGCUGGGACUUCCUGGUAUAACCAACAUAACAAUUCCAAGCAAAUAUCCCUUAUCAUGCAAAGACAAAUUCCAGGAGCCUUCGUAGUUGUCAAGGAAUCAAGCAAACAGUAAUACACUUGAGCAGCUGGAGGAUUCCAUAAAAUAAUGAAACUUGCUAAUUACAUUUGUCUAAAACAUUGCCGACAUUUUCACACCUAAUUAUGGGAACAUCAUCAUCUUCAGGUCUACCACGUUCAUGUACAAAAUUCAAGAGCCAAAAAUGACAUUGCUGAUACGUGCUCCUUUGAGGUUCUCUAACAACAAGACGCAAGCAAGGAUCCAUGAAGACUGAGCAGCAGACGGUUGUAGACAACCGUCUUUCCAGACUAACUUUUAAAUUAAAAAAAAAACAUCCACCAGAUAAUCAGAUUGAAUUGCGAACCAGAACGGUUGUACCUACAACUUGCACUCAGCAUUUCAGCAUUUCAGCAUUUUUCCCCUCGCCGGCUUUGGCAUCAGAAUGUAUGUUCAAAAACUUGCACAGAUUUUUUCGAAAGUGAUUUCAAUGUUCCAUCAUAACUCUUCCUCCAAAAGAUGCCUUGUAAAAUAAUCUAGAAAAACCCAGAUCACUCCACAGGGCCCAGACAAAGUAAAUACAGACAGCCCCUUCAUCUCUUCCUUCUUUUUUGCCCCCUUUUGCUAAGCAAAUUUCAUCAAAAAAACUUUCCCUUGCUAGUGGCUUCAACAUGAAUGACAAUGACAAUAAAAGCUCAAUACUUUUCAGCAAACAGCAUCUAGGAUGAUGCUGCCGGACUACCUUCGCAGUCCAUUCACCAAGAUCCCAAAAGAGAUGACAGAACUAAAGCUGGAGAAUCAGGCCAAUAGGACUAUGAUCACUAUCGGUGAUAUCAGGAAGGAUGUACGAGUCAUGAACUUUAUUUGCUAUAGAUUCUGAAAUGAGAAAAUAAUCGAGCUGCCACCCUGUAGAUUGCAAGAGGAUAGUUAACAGGUGAUAAUACCUAUUUCCAUAUGCUUCAUCUGAUAAGACAACGAUAUGCAUAAUGACUUAACAAAAAACAAAAGCUUGUCAUUGCUCAUAUUAUCACCAUUACAGGAGAGAAGUGUAACAUUAGAUAUAUAAUGUUCCAUCAAGUAGAUCUAUGUAUACCUUUAUUUGUCUUCCUCCCACCAUGCUGAUAACCCCAAUAAGUAUAACCAACAGCAUGAGGAUACUGUCUUCUAAAGGUAUCAACAAAGCCCCUCGACAGGAAGUUGGUCUCAAAAGAUUCCCUUUCUUCAAUUGUAAAUCCAGCACUUCUUUUAUUUCCCUGGAGUCUCAUGACAAUCAAAUUAAUGACAGAAAUAAGAAACAUUAGACGUAUUAAGAACUUCUGUUUCGGGAUGCCAAACAGCCUAAAUUGUGAUUUUUAUCAACCCCCCAACACAAAACCCCAAACACCCCCCAACAAAAACCCAAAACAAAAUUCAGUUGUAUGGAGGAAAAGCCUGAUUACAGUCCUCUGUUUUGGGGUUUUUCCCCUCUUUUAAGUGGGGUGGGGGGCAUAUGGUGUGGCCAGGACAUUGUCCUGUGACAGUUAAAAAGCUCAUGCAAAUUAUUAAUGCACCUAGUCAAUCAAAGGCAGAAAAGGCACAUUGAUUGUUUCCCUUACCGCAGGAUCAUAAAUGUCUAUUUCCUGAUGGGCACAAUUCAGAUCGCCAGUCAAAAUCACAGGCUUCAACUUUUCAAGUUCCUGUAUUGCCAACAGCAAGCACAAAUUUGAGUAAGAGAUGAAACAAUAUUGAAACAGAAUAAAAAUAGUAGUCUAUCGGAAAACCUUCAUAGGUUGUAGAAUUGAUCCAUGAUAUGGUUAAUAAUGACUCCUGAACAAAAGUCUAAAUAGCUUUAUCAAAAAACAAAAGGGUUACAUAGUGCUGAACAUACUUUAUGUAGUUACCAAGAGAUGGAUCCCACUGUGAAAUCCUAUACAUCUGACAUAAAUAAGCAACAUAAUUAAUGAAUCAUACUUGAAAGUGUGUAACAGAGUAAACCAAUGAAAUAGAUUGAUACCAGUCUUCUCAGGCCAUCGCCAGAAUUAGGAAAGUAACCACUCAAGAGAUAGAAUGAAUCAAACUCUGCAGUGACAAGCCGUCCCUCAGAAUCAUGAUAUGAUAUGCCCAAGCCAUAUGUAACUUAAAGGGGCUUUAUCUGCACAAAAAAAAUACUAGUAAUAACCUCAAAAAUAAUAAUCCAAAAAAGCCAAAUGUAGGAGAAAACCAGAAGGCACGGUAUCCACCUUACACAAAUUAAUAUAGAGAGAAGGUAGUACUUUUGCGUUUCUGACAUACAAAGUGCAACUCAUGCCGAUUUUAUUAUUCAUCCAACAUCACUUGAGAUGCUAAUUAUAUCUCAUAAGCAACUUAACUGAUCAUUGGCUGUGAUCUUUAUUUAAGAUGAGAAGCAUUUCAUUCGAAUAUACACAAAGCAAAUGGACUAACCCUACUACAAGCAUAUUAUUAUAGCAUUUAACUAGAUUAAAACAUCAGAAUAUCUAUACAGACUCCGACAUUCUUGGUCAAAAUAUGACAAUUCAUUGGGGUCAAAUGCACUCGCAGUAACAAAUCAGAAUGCCUCUGAACUGCAACAGUAGGUAGGGAGCUAGUCCUUCAACCCAGUCAUUCCGUGAACUCUUCCCACAUGCUUUACAAUAACAAUUUACAAGCCUCAGAAACAACCAUAGAAAUACAAAAAAGGACUUACAGGUUUCAUUAUCAUUUUGAGAAAAAGUGUGAUGCAAAAAAUUUCAUUUUCAUAAAAAAAUUGCUCUUUGUUGAAGGCAAAUUCUCAAGACCUCAUGGUUUUCCAUCAAUAAUAUUCACUUCCUGCUCAAUAAUCUCCCUUGCAAGCAUCAAAUAGAAAAACUUGAGUUUUGCUUACUGUAAAGGUUGCACAGGAAACGCUAUAACGACUAUCACACGCUUGCAACUAAAACAAUUCAUCCCCACCUCAAUGUAGCUCUCAAUUCGUGAAAUGUCAUUGCCUCAAUUUUGGCCGGGUCAUUAUUAGGCAACACGACUUCACCAAUGCUUGCACCAGAAUUUUUCUGCAGAAAAAAUGAAUGCUGAAUGGUCAAGUCCCCAAAACACAGGUGAAACGAUAGGUUCGAUUAAAAGACAAUACCUUGACAUGACUUUUGGUAGAACUAGGAACUAAAGCCACCAAUCCUUUCGAUUUCUUCCCUGUCCUCAGAAAUCGCCGCCGACUCAGGUGUCGACGAAUUCGACACGCCCCUUUUGGACAACAUUUCGCUGGCUCCGAGCAAGACGAUAGAACGACCAACCCAAAAUCUCGGAGCAACCAAGAAGCUACAACAUGCGAAAAAGUCAGCAACUUUUUAAGGAACCAAAGCAACGCUUAGCAUCACAGAGCGAAACCCAGGAUUCGAAACUGUCGUCGCAUUGUCGCUUAGCAGUCGCUUGUAGUCAUAUGGAAAGAAAGACUAUAAAAUUCACGCUGGGUUCACGCAAAAAUGAGAGGUACCCGGACGAACCUCAAAGAAGGGGGUGGCGAAACCCCUGAACCCUAGUCGAAAUGCUUGCCUCAUGGAUGAAAGAAUGCACAGAGAGACACACUCAGAGAGAGAGAGGCAGUCCAGUGUUGCUGAGCAAGGAAGAAGAGACGCGGCACGAGGGCAUACCCGAGACCUCACCGAACCGCGGGGGAAGAACCGCCAAAAGCGUGGAGGUCGUGGGAGAGGCGAGCUAAAUCGGCCGUCGAGCGUCGGGGGUAGAGGGCAGAGAGGGCAUCGAGCGUCGGAGAAGGGAGAAAAUAUUAGGUUCGCUUCCUGGUUCGUCGGCUGCUCGCGGUGGUUCGCCAAUCGGAAAGGGGGAGGGUGGAGAGAGAGAGGGAGUUCGUCGGACAGGGACAGCACCCGGUCGACGGCGGGGAGCCUGGCGCCACUCGGGAACGAGACCGAGGCCGCCUCCUUCCUGCCGAAGGCCGACGACUUCGCGGCGGAGGCUGGCGGUGUCUUCGGCCUGAGGGAGGGGAAGGACGAGUAGAUGCCAGAGACGGAGGACGCCAUCGGCGGCGGCGACGACGGCUCGGAGUCGGAGUUGAUGACGAGUUCGCCGGAGGGAGGGAGGCCCAGAAGUUGCCUAGAGACCCAGGCGAGCACAAACCUUACGCUCAAUCUCGGCGUUGGAAACAGUCGGAAACGAAGGGGAUCGGGAACCAGCUGCGAUUGGCGGGGCUCUUGGAGGAGGCACGGACCGGCGAGGCUUUUUGGGGAGGCGGAGGCGGAGGAGGUGGGAUACGCUGAGAAGGAAACAGAGGAAGUGCAGCUCGUCCGCGAGGAGAGAGAGAGCCCAGAAAAUAUUCAAGUGAGGAGAGAGAAAUUUUAAGCGGGAGGGCUGCGCAUUUAUUAUCCAUUGACCCGUGCUUUCUUCUGCCAACCGAGCCGAGCCGAGCCAUCAGCCGAGAGUUAUUUGGGAGAGAGAGAGGAGAGAGAGGAGCGCUGCGUCGAGGAGCAAGAGAAAAAGCGAAGAGGACACCAAGUGGGGCCCACCCCUCCACAUGGCACCUCGUGAGUGGCCGGGGACCACGCUGACGUGGUGGUCCUGGACCACCCAAUAUUUUCUCCGUAAACCCAGCACGGAGAGGGACGAAAGUGGAUUGCAGCCCGUCGAAAGAAAGGGUCGAGCUACACCCGAAAUCUCCAUUUCCGAGCACCAGGUAAGGGAUUUUAGCUCUAUUUCUCACGAGUUAGGGAUUUUCGUUUUCUUAAAAGUUUAAUAUCCAGAGCUAUGUAGGGUUUUGCUUUACCGGCAACGCUUUGGCCGCCAAAAUCCAAUCAUAUUUUGAUUACCCACAUCUCCUCGAGUCUAUAGGGAUUUCACAGAGUUCUAGUUGGAGUCAGAUUCCAGAGAAACGAACUCUCCAAGUCCUCCUCUCUGCGCCGCAGGUGAACAGUGUGUGCCGCCUGACUUCUUGGCUGCCGUUUGGUUCAACUUUGGGGAAAUGCUUACAAUCUCAAAUAGCUUUGAAAAAUAAUUUUAGCAAAAACACCGUUUGGCAAAACUUGCAUUUCUAAUUAGCUUUUGCUUUUUUUUUUAAAAAGUCUAAAAAUAAAAUCCGGUGGCCGGCUAACUGCCGGACGGCCAAUUUGGCCGCCGGACCGCCAAAUCGGGCAGCCUGAGGUCGCGGAGGCCAGAUCUAGCCACAGGACCGCCAGAUCUAGCCUCUCGACGGCCAGAUCUGGCGGUUGAGGUCGCUUGGGUCCGCGCGACCUCAGGUGGCGUCGCCUGGUUCGCGCGCGCCAGGCGACGCCACCUGGGUCGCGGGUUGCACCACCCCGGGCGGUGGUCACCGAGGACGCGCGACCCCCACGCGGUGGUGGUGGUUGCCGGAGAAGCCGAACUCUCAAGCGGCGGGGAAGACGAAGACGAACGGAGAAGAAGAUGAGACGAACGGAGAAGAUGAACAGUAAUGACGAUGAACAGUAAACUUGCAUCUCUGAAAUGCCCAAUGCAAAAAGCUAGUCCUACCCAACAUUCAGCUUUCAACUUUUCAAAUGCCCACAUUUCGAAAAUGAGCAUUCGAAAACCAUUGCCAAACACACAAAAUUUUCCCCAAGGGGCUUUGGGGGCUCAAAGCCCCUUGGGAAAGUCCAACCAAACGCCCCCUAAAGUCUUUUUUUGAGGCGGCGACUUGUCAAAUCUCAUAAUUUUAGAAUUAAUUAUUUUCUUGAGAAGGCAGUCCGCAAUUCCCAAGGUGGCUUUGAGUUAGAUCGGGUGUUUCUCGUCUCAAAAAUAGCAAAUUAUUUUUGGGUCUGUUGGAUAUUAAUGUGCAGUUUGGCUUUCCCGCUUUAGUACUUGCGGAUGCUAGUGUUUGCUCGAGAAUAAUGCUGUGCGCGCUAGGAAAAUAUACACAAGAUCGGUAGGUUAUAUAGUUGGGUGUGCUCUCUUUGCCUGCAGGUUGAUAAUCAAGACAACAAGAUGCCGCGACCUGAAGAUAUAGCCUGGAAAUUCGUGGUUAGACUGGAUAACAAGAGAUGGCGUUGUCCUUACUGUCAUAAAGUGUCCUCUGGAUCAGUCACAAGAGUGAAAAGUCACUUUCUUAAACAACCAAAAGAAGGGAUUGCCUCUUGCACAAAAGUGCCAGAGCACAUACGCACGCUAAUGGAAUUGUUACUCAGUCAUGAGGUGACUUUAGUACUUGUGGUAGCUACAUUAUAUGCUUAGUAAUAUUGCUAUGCGUGCUAAGAAGAUAUAUAAAAAAAUGGGGAUAAUUUAUGAAGGGGCGCGCUCUGUUUGCUUGCAGCUUCAUAACAAGGAUGAUAUAGCCUGGAAAUUCGUCAAUAGAGUGGAGGACAGCAAAUGGCGUUGUUAUUACUGCAGUGGAGAAUUCUUUAGAGACCUUACAUGGGUGAAAGGUCACUUGCUUGGAGUCCCAAAUGAAGGGAUUUCCAUUUGCACACUAGUGCCGGACCAUGUAAGAAAGCUAAUGCGGUCGUUACUUGAUGAGGUGGCUGAAGAAGAGAGCAGAGAAGCCAACAGUCCAUUGUCCAUGGGGACUUUGUUCUCGCCAGGCCUCGAAUAUACGUUGGAACAGUUGCACUUCAACCAACAGGAUGUCAUUGGGUCAAACUCUGACCAACAAUCACAAGAAGAGCGUCAGUUUCAGCAGAGUCCAACUAUGCCGUUAUUGGUGCAAAGUAGCCAUGGUAUGUCCGUGUGAAGUUUCUUUACAUUCAUCUUGGCACGGAGAAUAAAAAAUCAUUAUAUUUUUCGUUUUAUUAACUCUCUCUAGAAUAACUCAAAUUUAUCUAUUUUCAUAUUUCAUCGAUUCCAAAUUAUAGUAAUAUCAUUGCAUAUUAUAUAUGUCCGUCAAUUAGCCACGGAACCAGAGUCACGUGACACAGAAGUGCUGGACCACAUAAGAAAGCGUAAUGACCUCGAUGAGAUGGCCGAAGAAGAGAGCAGAGUGGUGGCUGAAGAACAGAGCAGAGAAGCCCAUGGUCAAUCCUCCAUCGAAUCAAAUUCCCGUUACAUGCCGACUCAAGCUGAGGUGGCUGAAGAAGAGAUCAGAGAUGCCAACCGUCAAUUUUCCACGGAACCACAGUCGCGUGACAUGCUGUCUCCAGCUGUUCCUCGGUCAUCACAAAGCUUGGAAGAUAUAGAAAACUUAUUCACAACAGAGUGGGCGACCGACUUGGAAAACUUAGACUAUGACCUAGAGCAUCAUUUUCGUGAGACUUUGGCAAUGCCGCCACCGGCGCAAAAUAUCCAUGGUAUGUUCAUGUGAAGUUUCUAUACAUGCAUCUAGGCAUGGAGAAAAAACAUCUAAUAUAUUUUUCAAUGCAAACACGUCGGGAUUUUUAACCAAAGUGGAGAGUAUUAAAUAUCUCCGAUAAAAACGAUCUUCCUAUGGGACUUUCCAAAUGUGAAGAAAGUCAAAUCACCUAUUCCUUAAUAACAGUGCAUUGAAUGUGUUGCACGUGUCCAUUGGACCCUUUGGAUCCACUAGACUAACUACAGUAGGUAUUCUUUCGUGUUCUAAUCAACUAUAUUCUUUCGUGUUCUAAUCAAGUAUAUCCUAAUUUUGAUGAACUUCACACGGAUGAAAACAUACCAUUUUCAACGAUGGCUUUAGCAGAAGUAGAAUCGGAUCUUCCUGAUCCGCCAUGUCAGCCACAAUAUUCCAAUCGAUCUCCUUAUCCCGAGGAAAUGCAAAUGAAUGACCAGCAGACUCCAGCAGGGGCAUUACCAUUCCAGGAUGUUCCAUUCCCUGUUGUAGGUAAUUCAAAUUGCUUGCAGGAUUGCAAUCGGCACUCUCAAUUGCAAACUCCAAUGGACGUAGAUCACUCAGUUGUAUCACAGCGUAGAAUCGACUCUCACAUUAAUGAGGCAACAAUCGUUGAUUUGCAAGUUCCAGAGGUGACAACGAUUACAAUAAGCCCAUCAUCAUCACAAGGUGUGUCUUGAUUUAUCUAUGUAGAUACUGUCAUUUGGUUAGAUCCUUAAAUAUCUAACAUAUUUAUUUUUAUAAAAUAGACAUGAACAACGGUUCUCCAACCAUGAACGCAUGGAGGACACCCCAAACUCGAAGAUGUAUAAAAUGGACUACGCAAGAGGACAGGGCGGUCGACAUUGCAAACCUCCCAUUAGAUGGUGCAACAAGUUACUCAAGGGCAUCUACCCCGCUAUCUUCAAUCCACCCCGAUUCGCCACAUGAUCUGUUGCCCAAUUUAAGUCAGUCUCUAACAUUAAAUGCAGAACAGAAUCCGACCGCGCCAUUGCCAUCGCAAAACCGCCUGCUCCAUGGUAACACUUCUCAGAAUGAGUCACAGGGGUCCAUUUUCCCUGGUGCCAUUGCAUCAGGUGCUCGACUCACUAACAUGGCCCCAACCAACGCUCCUCAGUAUUCUAAUCAACCACAUCAGAGCUUUCACAGGCAGUGUGGACAUGGCACUGGUUUAUCUGCUCCACGGGAUCCCAUGGACACAGAGCCACCUAUUUCAUCACAACCUGGAUCUCCCAUUGUUGAGGGCCGCAAUUUCCUUCCGCAGAUUUCAGAGGACAUCAUAAAUACAACUGGCCCAUCAACAUCAGAAGGUAUAAUACUAUCGAUCUAUUAAAUGGGUCUCGUUGACCUGCCUCAUCACAUUUUGUUAAGUAUACUUACUAAGGAAAUACUUUUCUUCUCAAUGCAUUGAUUACUCAUAAUACAAGAGGGACAAUGCAUUAAUAAUUACAAACUUUCCUUAAUUGGUAAUUACCAUUCAUGUGGUCUGUUUACAAACACCUCGUUGCUUUGUUAUGGUGAGUAAGAAUGUUUCGAUCAGAGUCUAAUGCGUGAAGUUGUGGCUUAUAAAUUAGUGAUGCCGAAAGGUGCACCAGUAGGGGCAUCAUCAUUCCAGUGUGAUCAAUUACUUGGUGUAGGUAAUUCAAAUCUGGAUUGCAAUCAGCCACGUAUAUCUAGUGUAACAAGUGUAACCAACACUGUCCCGCAUUCUAACCGACCACUUCCAUGCUGCAAUGGAGAAUGUGGAACUGAAACCAGUUCGUUUCCCUCGCAAGAUUCGAGGGGCAUAUGUCCCGUAACUGCAUUACAGCCUACCAGCGGCCCUCACAUCGAGGCAACACUCGUCAAUUUGCAAGUUCUGGAGAAUGGAGCAAAUAUGGCUGGUCCAUCACUAUCACAAGGUACUUCUUGAUUUACCUAAAUAGAGACUGUCACUCCAAAUUAAUCAUAGGUAUUCCAGCUCGAGUGAGCAUUGAUGCUUUCAUUGCAGAAGUAGCCUUCCUUGUAUUAUUAACUCUCUCUAGUAUAACUCAAAUUCAUCUAUUUCCAUACCUGAUCUUGUCUCAAUUACUGUGGUAUCGUUGCAUAUUAUGCAUGUCCGAUGUCACUUACUUUACUGCACGGUUUCUUUCAUCAAGAUAUUUAAGCCGUGCAUGUUGAUUUUCAUUGUGGAUGUUUUUUGUGACCAAGUUGUGUGUUGUUUUACCUGUAUGCAUGGACACUCCAAUAUUUUAGUGCAACCAGCUUUGGUGCCCCCUCAACAUCAAAGCGUUUCACAUCAAUUCAUUAGUCCUAGACAAGGAAUGCGCAGCAGAAUCCAACAGGGCUAUCAUCGUCACAGAAAAAUCAUAUAGUCCCAUGUCACCCACAAGCUCCAAUGAACAUGGAUCCCUGUAUCCUCUCAUCAUCACAAGCUCCAAAUAAUGCUCCUCCACGUCCUCAGAUUCAACGUCGUGGAAUAGGCCUGAUGGGCCCAUCAUCAUUACCGGGUAUAUAGUUAUUUACCUAUAUUAAUCCUUAUGUAUCACCAUGUUACGUUAUUAGGGAAGCAAGAAUGCUAUAAUGAGACCGAAGGAUUUAAUUGCAGAAUUAGAUAUGAACAAGGGCGUGCCAUUGACGAGUCAUACAAACAUAGACAACAACUUUGAAAAGAGUAGCCAUUUGAAAAGAAAAAUAAAGCGACUCUACAGUAGAGAAGCUGACAUAAAGGAUGAGUUAAAAUUUGCCGCGUCUCUAUCCCUAAAGAAGCCGAGAAUGGAAGUUAAGAAUUGGUUGGCAGAUGUGGAGAAUCUUAGAAAUGAUUUUCAUGGUAUUGAAGCAACAAGUGAAAAUUGUUUGCCGCCACACCAGCAGGUUGUACUGAUGCAAGAAGCAGAAGAACUUAUAAAACAAAGCAAAUUCCUAGAAGGACUAUUUGUGGCGAGAGAGACCAGAGUCAAUAAGUUGUUAGAACGAAAGUUGGUGGGAAAGGCAUUUCAAAGAAAUACAGCAGAGAUUUUGGAGUACUUAGUGGAGAAGCAAAUAUCCCGACUAGGCAUUUAUGGAAUGGGGGGUGUUGGUAAAACGACUCUUAUGAUGCACAUACAUAAUAGACUCCUCGAAAAAGCAAACUAUGGCAAUGUGCUGUGGAUCACCGUGUCACAGGAUUUUAACAUAGAGAAGUUGCAGGACAACAUUUGGGAGGCACUACGUUUAGACAUACCACGAGAAAAGGAUGUGAAGAAACAAGCAGCAAUGUUGUCCGAUUGUUUAACCAAAAUAGAGAAGUUGACAAUAAUCCUCGAUGAUGUGUGGGAACAUUUUGAUCUUGAAAAGGUGGGAAUCCCUAUUAGAGCCAAUGGACUUAAGCUGGUCGUAACCACUCGAUCCUCUAGUGUUUGCAGCCAGAUGCAUUGUCAAGAGAAGAUAAAAAUUGAACCUCUAUCUCAAGAAGAAGCUGAGAGUUUAUUUUUUGAGGAGCUUGGAUCCGAAGUGGCCUUUAAUUUGGAAAUUAAAGCAAUUGUGAAGUCCAUUGUUAAAGAAUGUGCAGGCUUGCCGCUUGGAGUCAUCACGAUGGCAACAAGUAUGCGAGAAGUGACUAAUAAGUUUGAAUGGAAUGAUUGCUUGGAGAAAUUGAAUGAAUCGGAUAUGAGGCAAAUAGAUAUGGAAAAGAAAGUCCUAAUGAUUCUAAAAUUCAGUUACGAUCGCCUUGGGAAUUGUGAAGUUCAACAGUGUUUCUUAUCUUGUGCACUUUAUCCAGAAGAUCAAUUGAUUGGUAGGAUCGAGUUGAUAGAAUUCUUUAUUGACCAAGGAUUGAUUGGUGGAUUGAAUACGAGGGAGAAACAAUAUGAUAGAGGCCUCACUAUACUGACCAAACUGGAAAAUGUUUGUCUAUUGGAAGCUUAUAAGAAAAGUGAUUUUCCACAGAGAGAUUAUGGGGAAGGGAUGAAGAUGCACGAUUUGAUUAGAGACAUGGCAUUGCACAUCAUGAAUGCGACUUCGAUNNNNNNNNNNNNNNNNNNNNNNNNNNNNNNNNNNNNNNNNNNNNNNNNNNNNNNNNNNNNNNNNNNNNNNNNNNNNNNNNNNNNNNNNNNNNNNNNNNNNNNNNNNNNNNNNNNNNNNNNNNNNNNNNNNNNNNNNNNNNNNNNNNNNNNNNNNNNNNNNNNNNNNNNNNNNNNNNNNNNNNNNNNNNNNNNNNNNNNNNNNNNNNNNNNNNNNNNNNNNNNNNNNNNNNNNNNNNNNNNNNNNNNNNNNNNNNNNNNNNNNNNNNNNNNNNNNNNNNNNNNNNNNNNNNNNNNNNNNNNNNNNNNNNNNNNNNNNNNNNNNNNNNNNNNNNNNNNNNNNNNNNNNNNNNNNNNNNNNNNNNNNNNNNNNNNNNNNNNNNNNNNNNNNNNNNNNNNNNNNNNNNNNNNNNNNNNNNNNNNNNNNNNNNNNNNNNNNNNNNNNNNNNNNNNNNNNNNNNNNNNNNNNNNNNNNNNNNNNNNNNNNNNNNNNNNNNNNNNNNNNNNNNNNNNNNNNNNNNNNNNNNNNNNNNNNNNNNNNNNNNNNNNNNNNNNNNNNNNNNNNNNNNNNNNNNNNNNNNNNNNNNNNNNNNNNNNNNNNNNNNNNNNNNNNNNNNNNNNNNNNNNNNNNNNNNNNNNNNNNNNNNNNNNNNNNNNNNNNNNNNNNNNNNNNNNNNNNNNNNNNNNNNNNNNNNNNNNNNNNNNNNNNNNNNNNNNNNNNNNNNNNNNNNNNNNNNNNNNNNNNNNNNNNNNNNNNNNNNNNNNNNNNNNNNNNNNNNNNNNNNNNNNNNNNNNNNNNNNNNNNNNNNNNNNNNNNNNNNNNNNNNNNNNNNNNNNNNNNNNNNNNNNNNNNNNNNNNNNNNNNNNNNNNNNNNNNNNNNNNNNNNNNNNNNNNNNNNNNNNNNNNNNNNNNNNNNNNNNNNNNNNNNNNNNNNNNNNNNNNNNNNNNNNNNNNNNNNNNNNNNNNNNNNNNNNNNNNNNNNNNNNNNNNNNNNNNNNNNNNNNNNNNNNNNNNNNNNNNNNNNNNNNNNNNNNNNNNNNNNNNNNNNNNNNNNNNNNNNNNNNNNNNNNNNNNNNNNNNNNNNNNNNNNNNNNNNNNNNNNNNNNNNNNNNNNNNNNNNNNNNNNNNNNNNNNNNNNNNNNNNNNNNNNNNNNNNNNNNNNNNNNNNNNNNNNNNNNNNNNNNNNNNNNNNNNNNNNNNNNNNNNNNNNNNNNNNNNNNNNNNNNNNNNNNNNNNNNNNNNNNNNNNNNNNNNNNNNNNNNNNNNNNNNNNNNNNNNNNNNNNNNNNNNNNNNNNNNNNNNNNNNNNNNNNNNNNNNNNNNNNNNNNNNNNNNNNNNNNNNNNNNNNNNNNNNNNNNNNNNNNNNNNNNNNNNNNNNNNNNNNNNNNNNNNNNNNNNNNNNNNNNNNNNNNNNNNNNNNNNNNNNNNNNNNNNNNNNNNNNNNNNNNNNNNNNNNNNNNNNNNNNNNNNNNNNCGCCGUAUUCCUUAUCUAGGGAAGCUCAUAUCUUUAAGAAAGUUGGAUGCCAGUAACUGUGCGCGUCUUGAAGCGCUUGAGGGUCUAGACAAGUUGGUGAACUUGACAUACCUUGACCUUAUCAAAACACAUAAUGCGAGAUUGCCCAAAGGAACACUGGAGUGUUUACUAAACUUGCAAUGUCUUAAAGUUUCGGCAAUAAAUGAAGAAACAAAAUUGGGGACAUUGGAGACAUUUGAAUGCUACUCUGAAAAUGCGGAUGAUUUUAACAAGUGUGUGAGGGCUAUUGGGCAAAGUAAUAAUCCUCUCUAUUACGGCCUCAACAUGAAUAUAGAAAAAUCAAACUUUAUUGUGGAAGUAAGUGAUGAUACUCGAUUUCGGAAUUUGGGGAGGAGCGUCAACAUUGGGGAGUGGGGUCAUGCUAUUUUGAGCGUGGGAGGGGAAUGCACUGGCAUUUUUAUUUUGAUUCCCCGAAAUGUGCAGACGAUGAGAAUGGGAAAAUGCAAGGGUAUAACAAAUUUGUCUAGCAUGGAUCCGCUUAAAUACCUUGAGGACCUAGAAAUAGAAGAAUGGGAAAACUUAGAGGUGCUCUGUGGAGGACAAGACGAAGAAGUAAUCGACGUCCCGGCCCCAACCCUCACCCCUCACCCCUUCUCGAGCCUUAUAUUUUUGAAAAUAAAGGAAUGUUCAAAACUGAAGUAUCUCUUUGGACAUGGGUCUAAAUCCAACCUUCCGCAUCUACAAGUUAUUGGAAUAGCGAAUUGUAAGGAAAUGGUGGGGAUAAUAGCAGCAGUUACAUCCCCACCACCACAUUCGCUCCCAUUUUUGCCUAGUCUGGAAGGUAUUAUUGUUUGGGGCUGUGGUAAAAUGAAGAGAGCGGUGGAAUCUGAGUGGAUGCCCCACUUCCCUAAGCUGAGAAACAUUGUAGUAUACAAAUGUGAGAAGAUGGAGGAGAUAAUCAGAGGUCCUCCUAAAUGCGUGCCGGUUGAAGGGAUUUCUCUCUAAUCUCUUAAGGUAGUACAUUGCGGUAGCAUGAGAAAGCUGCUUCCGCAUGAGUGGCUGCUCCAUCUUCGAAAUCUUCGAUGUAUCUAUGUCAAUGACUGCCGAGGAAUGGAGAAGAUGAUAUGCGGAGCGGGACAAGGUCAAGAAAGAAGCAUAACGACUCCUGUCAACAGCACCCCUUCAUCCUUCCUGCCUCCAAUUUCUCUCCCAAAGCUAGAGCAGUUGAAUCUAUCCGAACUACCCCAGCUAAAGAGCAUAUGCGAAUUCCCAAUAAGCUGCAAUUCCAUGGAAGAGUUGUUUGUGUACGAUUGCCCAGAAUUGAGGGGGAUUCCUUUGCAAUUGCGAUUGCGUGAAAUUGAGAAGCUUCCGCAUAUUUGGGUGGAAGAUGAGGAAAGGUGGAAGACGCUGAUGUGGGAUCAUCCCGAUGCUCAGGCUAUUCUUCAACCUCAUCUAAAAAAAAAGGGAUACCCUAGAGGUUAAUGAGUUUAAUUGAUAUAUGAUUGCUUCACUUCUUAAAAGUCGUUGCAAAGAUGUAGCUUUUCUGUCUAUAUAGUCAUGCAGCUCUCAUAGUGGCCUUUUGCAGAACUUUUCGCCAAGGGAAUGGUUCUCCUGUGACUCUGCUCUUGAAGAAAGCCUUGUUGCUCAACCGUGCUUUCCUGCAAACUCGACUCAGGUUGCCAUAUGAAUUGACCUUUUCUGUGUGGCCAUGCUUUGUCUAUUUUGAAUGCGAUCACAUGUUUUAUUGACUACUAGAAAUAAGUGAAUCUGGUCGAUAUUUCAGGUUAGUCAAAAAGCAACGGAUCUGAAGAUUUGGGAAGCCAAGGGAAUAGCAAAGCCUGUUUCCUAUCUUGUCUUAUAACUGAAAGGACAAGUUAUUAUUAUGGAUUUAUCUCCUUGGGAUAUUAGCCUUCUAAGAAAAGAGGGAAUUUUGUGCAGCACUACCUUUAAUCUGUUUUUGUUUAGAAAGGAUUUCAAAUAUGAUAUUGCUUUAACUUGUCGAUCGAAAAUAUUGUGUCAAAUACGCUGCUUCCCUCUGUUGGAUCAGAGCAACAUGACCCCGAUUAAACUUGUUUCGACAUUAAACUAUCGGGUAUAGAAUACUUGAUCUGCUUAGUAGUUGUAUCAUAUCUGGAAACGUAGGCUGGGAAGUUUUCUCUUCACCCGUUGUCAUACUUUGAGUUAGAAAUGUAAAAAGACGAAGAAGAAAGAAUUGCAUAGUUAUCGCCCCUCUUUAAAUGCCUCAAAGUUGUGGAUAGAUGGAGAAACCUACAGCUUCAGCUCAAGUUACCAAAAAUUAGAGCAGUAACCACUAGCAAGUCAAUGGAAAAAGGGCCAGCUUAUAGGACGUGGCACUUUUGAAAGUGUUUACAUUGCAAGCAACCAGUAAGUUAGCUCUGGGAAUCUUAGACACGUUCCAUUUUUUAAGAUAUCCAGUCAGCUAAACUUUGACAUAUUAAGUGACAGAAAAACCGGAUCUCUAUGUGCACGGAAGGAGUUUGAGCUAUCGCCUAAUGAUCCAAAUUUAGCUGAGUGCAUCAAGCAGUUAAAGCAGGUAAUGUUUUUGUUAUGCUCUGGGAUCCAAUCUAUUCUCUCAUCUGAUCUAAAUAUGCUGGGAGGAAACUUUCUUUCAUCAUUUCCAGGUAAUUGAUUGUUACUACAGGAAAUUCAGGUACUUAGCCAGCAUAGACAUCCGAACAUUCUGCAGUAUUAUGUCAGGGAAAUUGUGAGUCACAUUUCCACAGCACCUAUGCAUCCCAGCUCAAUGGGCGUUCAUUAUUUGACUCGCCAAAAUUUCAACAUAUUCAUACGUACUCAGGUUGAGGAUUGGCUUUACGUAUAUCUAGAAUAUGCACAUCACGAUUCAAUAGACAAGUAUAUCCAAGAGCGUCUUGGGACCCUAACAGACUCGGUUGUCCACACUUUACCCACUAUAUUGUGGCUGGAUUGGCUUCCCUGCAUGUUAACAACUCCAUACAUGGGUAAUUCUAAACCAUUGAUCAAGCAUCAUGAGAUGGCUUGUGCAGGGAUUUAAAGGGAGCUAAUUUAUUUGUGGAUGCAUCUGGGAUAUUCAAACUUGCUGACUUUGGAAUUGCUAAACAUGUGAGUUUUUACCUCUUCACUGCAAGACAACUCAGUGCAUGUAGAAAUUACUUGAUGAUCUGUGGUGCAUUCGAAUGUGAAGUCAGGGACCCAGGGUGACUGCGAACUUCUCAUUAUUGGUUUGUGGCAUUUCAUAUGUGCAAAAAUCUAUCACAGGUGGAUGAAAUGUUAUUAAGUAAUUUUCUUCACUUUUUUUCCCAUUGUUUCAGGUAAAGUUACCAUGUUGCAUAAACAGGAAAAGAUUUCUUGCUUUAAAUAGAUGCCGAAACCUAAUGAGAGUUCUUUCCCUUUCUACUGGUUUCUAAAAAGUUCCUAAGAGCAGUAGUGAAUAGAACGCAAUACCUUUGGCAAAAGGUUGUGGUGUUGUUUUUGCUGCUCCUCUGCAUUCCAAAAUAGGAUAGAAUUUAGUCAGAGUAAGCAAGGGCCUCCUUCCUAACAUGGGGUAAAUAAAAGUGUAUUGAUCCAUAGAAUGGAAUUCUGGAUAGUAGCCAAGGUGUUGUUGCUCUCUUUUUGAGUUCUCAAGCAUUUGCUGAGGUCAUGUUGUUGAUUGCUUCAAGUUGAAAGUGGUUGAUUCAGUAAUCAAUCUGAUGUAUCUAUGUCUAUAAAGAUGUUGCUAUUUUAUCCAGUGUUCCAUGAACACACCAAGUAGUCUUCAGCUUUACUAAUGCUGUACCAUUUCUUAGCUAACCGGACAAGCAGCUUGCUGCUCUUUGAAGGGAAGUCUAAACUGGAUGGCUCUAGAGGUACUCUGCUUUUGUUAACGUUAAUGCGGCAUUCUUUUUUAGUUGUGGCGGAAUGAUGGAAUAAUAUGUCUUGCAACUCAUACAAUCCUUGAUGGUGAAUAAUUACAGCACGGAUCUCAAUCAUACUGCCGACAUGUGGAGUUUGGGAUGUACUAUUACCGAAAUGAUUACUGGGAAACCUCCUUGGACUAUGAGUGAGUAAGUACGCUGCACUGUUUUUUUUUUUUUUCAUUUUCUCUCUAUCCUUCCUGGUAAUACGCUUCCAAGCAAAUCUGUGUUGUCGUUUUCUGUUGGAAGUUCGGGCCAUGCGCAUUACCAUUUGGUGUGUGAUCUGUGUCAUGAGUUUCUAUUUAAGGUUGAAUUAUUAAUGCAGGCUCAAGCUAUAUUUAAGGUGAUGCGAAGUUCUCCAGUAAUACCUGAGACGUUAUCUGCCGAGGGAAAGUAGCUGCGGAGAGGCCUUCUGCUGCUAUGCUACUUGAGCAUGCUUUCCUGCAAAUUUGAAGUUGCAAAUGAUUGACUUAUUUCAAGUGUUGUACGUUGUCGCAAAAGGGAUUUGUUGUCCUGUAAAGUUCCAUAUUUACUAAACCAAAAGGAUCACACGGUCCAUAGAUGUGAUGAAGUACUUGUAUAUUGACAAAAUAAGGCACAUACUUCUCUUGCAUGGUCUGACUGGCGGCAUACCAAUCUAGGCAAUUUGACAGUGUUGCUUAAUCUAAACCUUUUACUGCAUAGUGCAUUCUUACCAAAAACAUUUUGUACGAAGUACAUUUAUUCAUCAAAAUGGAAUGGUAUUGAUUUGGCUCCAAAUAAGCAAUAGGUCACGAAACACAAGCAAGAAAACCCAGAAAAGAAAAAAGAAAAAGAAAACCGAAGCUAUAGUGCAUCAGAAUUCCUAAACUCAUUUUGAAAGUAAAUACUUUGUCGGUUUGGUGGGAGAAACAUUGGCAAGUUUGGCAAACCUGCAAUGUCUUCGGAUUGCGGUAGUGAAGGGAGUAGUAUCGAAAUUAUGGGCAUUGGAGGCUCUUGAUUCUUCCCUUCAACAGUGUCGUUGAUCUCAAUAAAUACAUGAGAUUUCUCCAACCAAAAUGGCCCUCAUCAUAUUGUCACCAAAUUCCAGUGAAUCAAGAAAAGCCAUUGUGGUCUGCUUGCAAAUGUAAAUGAUCAUGAUGAUCCAAGAUUUGCAGCUUCCGAGAGGGGAAUUCACGUCGAUUGUUGCGAUUAUGCUCUUGUCAGGGCAGUAGGGGAAAGUCUUUCGCCUGAUGGUUUUGCUCCCAAGUGAUGCUGCAAGUUUGCCGUAUUUUCCCCUUAGGGUUGUUUGUCAUUUUGUGGAACAUUUUUAGAAUAAUUUUGCAUCCCGUGUCUAUAAAAUGCAAAUAGCCGAUGAAAUCUAUUGAAAACAUCUCAAGCUAUUCAUUUACGAGAUUUUAAUGGUUCUUAUAUGUAUAUAAUUUACCUUCCCUUACUUGUUCAAAUUUUUAGGUUGGACUUUCACUUAUGUGAAAAUAGCAAUUUGUGCGUGAAUUGCAAAGCAAACAUACUUCCUUUUUUUCUAUUUUUUUUCUACAAUUAAAGUGAUUCCUCUAUCCUAAUGCAUACCGGAAAUAUAUGAUAUGAAUGACAAAGUGUAACAGAAAAAUAAACUCCUCGAAAUUUUGCAAAGUCGGAGGCGCCACUGAGGCCGAGCGAUAUCUCUCGGUUGCAUUGGAUUCUUUCUUCGAUUUCAUUUUCUUUUGUUCUUUUCCUCAUUUUUGAACCAACAGCCUAACCAUGAGGCGCCUUUUCUCUUCUGUCCCUUAUCUGUACUCCUUUUCUUUCGUACAACUCGUUCUUCUUUCGCUGCUUUUUGGAUUUUUUUUUCUUGGUGUCCUCUGCCCAAACCCUUAAUGAAGACAACUAAUCGGUGUUUAGUUUUCCAAAGUGUAGCAUUAUUGAGCACCAUCAUCGACCAUCAAGUUCGCUAAACUCAGUCAUCAAUUAACUAACUGUUCUUGUUAAACAGGAGCUGCACCAACGNNNNNNNNNNNNNNNNNNNNNNNNNNNNNNNNNNNNNNNNNNNNNNNNNNNNNNNNNNNNNNNNNNNNNNNNNNNNNNNNNNNNNNNNNNNNNNNNNNNNAGAUCCAAACUACAUAUGAAACUGGACUCGUAAUUGGGAAAACAUGAAUUUAGCAUAUUAUACAUUGCUCCUAAAUAAUUUUAUGCACAUGCCAAAUAACAAGUACAUGUAUAAGUUAAGGCAAAUAGGUCUUUAGCAAAUUGACAAUGCAGAAACCGAGAGAGCGUAUGAAGUGAUCUUUGCAUUUUUGAAACUCUGUUAGUGUACAUUCUAGUAGUUUUCCCUUGUCAAAAUAUACUGAUUUUCAACUUUCGCUGAAAUGUCACACGUUCAAUUGGGGGAGAAUAUGAUCGAUAGUCCUAAUUAGCCAAGUCACAAAACCAAUCAUAUAUUUAAAUAGUUCAGAAAUCUUUCUGUUCAUUCUAAUUAAUAAUCGCAUCAAAGAAUUUUUCCCUAAACCUUUAUAUUCAGUCAUAGUUACUACUUUUCAGUUCACUCUUUGAAAGAUUCCCAUGAUCUCUUCAAAUAAAUUAAAAUACAAUUCAGGGUUAGUGGUCGUAACUUUAUCUAUUAGGUAUAUAGCUUAAUGCUCAUUUUGAAUGAGGGCAAAAGGUCACCCCGUUUACAUUCACGUGUUUGUCACAUUGUGAUGGGAAAAUGGGAACGAAAUGCAAGUUCAGAGGCACAGGAUGCAACUUUCUAAAUUUCCAUUUUCAAAUGCAUUGGGUUCCCUUUUCCCCAGUCAUCUCUUCUUAAUCAUCCCGGUGCAAGGACAGGACUUUCCCUGGACAGUGAUGCACAACAAGCCAUUAUCAUUGUACUGAAGUGAAUCUGUUUCCUUUGAUCGUGGACGAUUCUAUGCUCCCGAAAUCGGGGUAAUAUAUGAUGGGGUGCGCUCUAUUUGCUUGCAGGUUCGUAACAAAGAGGAUAUAGCUUGGAAAUUCGUCAAUAGAUUGGAGGACAGCAAAUGGCGUUGUUAUUACUGCCGUGGAGAAUUCUUUAAAGACCUUACAGGAGUGAAAGGUCACUUGCUUGGAGUCCCAAAUGAAGGGAUUUCCAUUUGCACACAAGUGCCGGACCAUGUAAGAAAGAUAAUGCAGUCGUUACAAGAUGAGAUGGCUGAAGAAGAGAGCAGGGGAGCCAAUGGUCAAUCCUCCGCGGAACCACAGUCACGUGGCAUGCCCGCUCAAGCUGAGGUGGCUGAAGAAGAGAGCAGAGAGGCCAACGGUCAAUCCUUCACAGAACCACAGUCACGGGGCAUGCUGCCUCAACCUGAGGUGGCUGAAGAAGAGAGCAGAGAAGCCAACAUUCAAUCCUCCACGGAAACACAAUCCCGCGACAUGCCCACUCAAGCUGAGGUGGUGGCUGAAGAAGAGAGCAGAGAAGCCAACGGUCAAUUUUCCAGGGUCUGUUGAAUAUUAAUCUGCAGUUUUGCUUUCCUGCUUUACUACUUGUGGAUGCUAUUAUUUGCUUGAGAAUAAUGCUAUGCGCAUUAGGAAAAUGUACACAAGAUUGAUAGGUUAUAUAAUCGGGCGUGCUCUCUUUGCCUGCAUGUUGAUAAUCAAAAUGACAAGAUGCCGCGAGUUAAAGAUGCCGUGAGUUAAAGAAAUAGCCUGGAAAUUCGUGAUUAGACUGGAGGGCGAGAAAUGGUGUUGUCCUUACUCUGGAAAAGUUACAAGAGUGAAAAGUCACUUUCUUAAACAUUCAAACAGAGGCAUUUCUCCUUGUAAAAAAGUGCCGGAGCACAUAAGCAUGCUAAUGGAUUGGUUACACAAUCAGGUGCCUUUAAUGCUUGUGGUAGCUACAUUGUUUGCCUGAGAAUGAUGCUAGCGUGCUAAGAAGAUUUAUGAAAAAUGGGGAUAAUAUAUGAUGGGGUGUCGCUCUAUUUGCUUGCAGGAUCGUAACAAAGAGGAUAUAGCCUGGAAAUUUGUUGAUAGACUGGAGGACAACAAAUGGCGUUGUCAUUACUGCCGUGUAGAAUUCUUUGGAGACCUUAUGGGAGUGAAAGGUCACUUGCUUGAAGGGAUUUCCAUUUGCACGGAAGUGCCGGACCACAUAAGAAAGCUAAUGCGGUCAUUACUCGAUGAGGUGGCUGAAGAAGAGAGCAGAGAAGCCCACGGUCAAUCCUCCGUCGAACCAAAUUCCCGUGACAUGCCGAGUCAAGUUGAGGUGGCUGAAGAAGAGAUUAGAGAGGCCAACCGUCAAUUUUCCACGGAACCACAGUCGCGUGACAUGCUGUCUCCAGCUGUUCCUCGGUCAUCACAAAGCUUGGAAGAUACAGAAAACUUAUUCACAACAACAGAGUGGGCGACUGACUUGGAAAACUUAGACUAUGACCUAGAGCGUCAUUUUCUUGAGACUUUGGCAAUGCCGCCACCGGCGCAAAAUAUUCAUGGUAUGUUCAUGUGAAGUUUCUAUACAUGCAUCUAGGCAUGGAGAAAAAACAUAUAUUAUAUUCAAACACGUCGGGUUUUUUAACCAAAGUGGAGACUUUUAAAUAUCUUCUAUAAAAACGAUCUUCCUAUGGGACUUUCCAAAUGUAAAGAAAGUCAAAUCACCUAUUCCUUAAUAACAGUGCAUUGAAUGUGUUGCACCUGUCCAUUGGACCCAUUGGAUCCAAUAAACUAACUACAGUAGGUAGUCUUUUAUGUUCCAAUCAACUAUAUCCUAAUUUUGAUGAACUUCACGCAGAUGAAAACAUACCAUUUUCAACGAUAGCUUUAGCAGAAGUAGAAUCGGAUCUUCUUGAUCCGCCAUGUCAGCCACAAUAUUCCAAUCGAUCUCUUUAUCGCGAGGAAAUGCAAAUGAAUGACCAGCAGACUCCAGCAGGGGCAUUAUCAUUCCAGUAUGUUCCAUUACCUGCUGUAGGUAAUUCAAAUUGCUUGCAGGACUGCAAUGACUCUCAAUUGCAAACGCCAGUGGACGUAGAUCCCUCAAUUGCAUCACAGCGUACAAAUCACAUUACUGGGGCACAAAUCAAUUAUUUGAAAGUUCCAGAGGCAGCAACAAAUACAACAGGCCCAUCAUCAUCACAGGGUUUGUAUGGAUUAAUCUACAUUGCUACUAUGGUUAUAUUAGAUACUUGAAUAUCUCCAUAUUAUUUUAUUGAAAUCUAACAUAUGAUUUUUUAAACAAGAUAGGAACAUGGAUUAUCCAAUCAAGAACAUGCUGAGCAUCAUUGCAUAUUCUAUUUGUCUGAUAUCAGUUUUUAUCACACCAUUACUUUCUUCAAAAUAUUUAACUCUAAUGCGGUCGUUACUCGAUGAAGUGACUGAAGAAGAGAGCAGAGAGGUGGCUGAAGGACAAAGCAGAGAAGCCAACCGUCAAUCCUCCACGGAACCACAAUCACGUGACAUGCCUGUAAGACAAAAUAAUUUAUAUACAGAAGCCAGGAUCAAUUAAAGACAAACCUCCAGCCAUUGUUUUGUUCACAUUCGUCAGAAAACCUGAAAUCAAAGAAAAUUGGGGACACUCUACUACCCAAUUCACUCUCGUACUGAUGGUGUAUUCUGAAUGAGAGGGUUUGAGUUAGACAUUGUCAUCAUCCGUCAGAAAUGAACGUACGUUCCUAUUUAUACACUGUCUCCCAUCAAGACGGGCGGUUGUCACCAAAUGGUACGAAGCGUGGAAAACUUUAUGUUGAACAGUCGCAACCUUUAGAGAAAAUAAAUGUGGGAUCAUAAAAAUAAAUAACAUUCUCCCACUUGAUCCCAUCAUUUUCAUUAUACAGAUUAUCCAACUAAUUCCACAAAAACUUUAUGCUUAAAGAAAAGAAACAAAACACAUGGAUCAUGGCGACAUGUCCUCUAAGAGUGAGUAAUAUCUUCCAUGUAUCACAAUGCACCUUAUUUCUUUAAUGUCAGCCUAUAUGUGACAACAAAUCUUAAUGAAUAAACCCCAUGUUUAUUCCAAAACCAAUGAUAAAUGUUAUUCUCAUAAACAACAAAAUGUGUACACAAAAAUUGAGAAUCAACAUUACAACUGAAUAAGAGUUUCAUACAACAAAAAUCGUUCAUAUAACGACAAAUUACAUAAUGGGACCUAUUCCCAUACUAGUUACAUGAUCCUUAUACUUCAUUGGUGGCAUGCCUUUAGUUAAAGGAUCGGCUAUCAUCAAUUCAGUGCUAACGUGUUCAAUGACCACUUUAUUCUCCUUAACACGUUCCCUUAUGGUUAAAUACUUAAUGUCGAUAUGCUUACUUUGACUGCCACUUUUGGCAUUUUUAGCCAUAAAAACCGUAGCUGAAUUGUCACAAUAUAUUCUUAAUGGCCUAGAAAUUGAAUCAAUAAUUCUAAGCCCAGCAAUGAAACUCUUCAACCAUACACCAUGCGAGGUAGCCUCAAAACAAGAAACGAACUCAGCCUCCAUAGUGGAAGUAGCAGUCAAAGUCUACUUGGCAUUUCUCCAUGACACGGCUCCGCCAGCUAAUAUAAAAAUGUAUCAAGAUGUUGAUUUUCGUGAAUCAAUGUAUCCCGCAAAGUCCGCAUCCGAAUAACCAACCACUUCCAGGUUGUCAGUCCGUUUAUACAUAAGCAUAUAGUCUUUGGUACCUUGAAGGUAUCUCAUCACUUUCUUUGCAGCUCUCUAGUGGUCUAAACCUGGAUUACUCUGAUAUCUUCCCAACAUUCCCACAGCAAAAGCGAUGUCAGGUCGAGUGCAAACCUGAGCAUACAUUAAGCUUCCAACAACAGAAGCAUAUGGAAUGUUGUGCAUUUGUUCCCUUUCUAGAUCGUUCUUCGGGUAUUGGUUCAAAUUGAACCUGUCACCCUUCACAAUGGGUGCUAUACUUGGUGAACAAUCUUUCAUCCGAAAUCUCUCUAGAACCUUAUUGAUAUAGGUUUCUUGAGAUAGUCCUAAAAUGCCUCGAGGUCCAUCUCUAUGGAUCUUAAUGCCAAUGACAUAAGAUGCCUCACCCAUAUCCUUCAUGUCAAAACUCCUAGAGAGAAAUUGUUUCACCUUAUGUAGCAACCACUUAUCAUUGGUUACAAGUAGUAUAUCAUCCACAUACAGUACAAGGAAACAAAUUUUGCUCACACUGACCUUCUGGUAUAUACAUUGAUCCAUGACAUUCUCUACAAAACCGAAUGAAGAGAUGACUUCAUGGAACCUUAAGUACCAUUGGCGGGAUGCUUGUUUCAAGCCAUAUAUAGAUUUCUUAAGUUUGCACACCAAAUGCUCACCUUUACUAGAGGAGAAUCCUUCAGGUUGUUUCAUGUAAACCUCCUUCUCUAGUUCUCCAUUGAGGAAUGCUGUUUUCACAUCCAUCUGAUGUAAUUCCAUAUCAAAAUGGGCAAUCAAAACCAAAACAAUACGAAGAGAAUCUUUCUUAGAUACAGGAGAAAAAGUCUCCGUGUAGUCGAUUCCUUCCUUUUGAGUGAAUCCUUUGGCAACAAGUCUAGCUUUAUAUCUUUCAAUGUUACCCAAUAAAUCAUUCUUAGUUUUGAAGACCCAUUUACAACCAAUGGCCUUCACACCAUUAGGUAACUCAACCAAAUCUUAAACUUUGUUAGAUGCCAUUGAACUCAUUUAUUCCUUCAUGGCAUUGUACCACAAAUUGGAUUUAUCACUAUCCAUGGCUUGUGAAAACGUUUUGGGAUCAUUCUCAGCUCUAAUAUUGUAGUCAAACUCUUGUAAAUACACAAUAUAAUCACUAGGAAUAGCCGAUUUCUUUAUUCUAGAAGAUCUUCUCAAUUUUGCAUCGACAUUCUCUUGAGGUGCGUGUUGCUUAACUAGUUGUUCAACAGUUUCUGGUAAUUAUUGAACAACUGGAUCUACUAGAUCAAUAUCAACAGGUUGUGGAACUUCAACGAUUGGUUGUUCAAUAGCCGGUUGAACUGAAUAGGCAUUAUAAGCAACGACCAACCCUAAACUUGAGGUGGGAGGAUGAAUGUCUGGAUGAUCUUUCUUAGGAACAAGGUCCUUCGAUUGAUCACUCCCACUAAUCAAGUCAUUUUCAAGAAAUUUAGCAUUUCUUGAUUCCACAAUCCUAGUAGUGUGAGAUGGACAAUAAAAUCUGUAUCCCUUAGACCUUUCGGCAUAUCCAAUGAAAUACCCACUUAUGGUCCUUGGGUCCAACUUCUUUUCUUGUGGAUUAUAAACUCUCACUUCAGACGGGCAUCCCCAAACGCGCACAUGAUGCAAACUCGGUUUCCAACAUUUAAAUAAUUCAAAAGGUGUCUUUGGGACAGCUUUGGUCGAAACUCGGUUUAAUAUGUACACUGCCGUCUUAAGUGCUUCAGUCCACAAAGAUUUAGGAAGUUUGGAGCUGCUAAGCAUGCUACGCACCAUGUCCAAUAAGGUCCGAUUUCUUCUUUCCGCUACGCCAUUUUGGUCCGGAGAACCAGGCAUAGUAUAUUGGGCAACUAUCCCAUGCUCUUGAAGAAACCUUGCAAAUGGACUAGGUGCUUGUCCAUCUUCAGUGUAUCUACCAUAGAAUUCUCCACCCCUAUCUGAUCUCACGAUCUUAAUUUGCUUAUCGCAUUGUUUCUCUACUUUCACCUUAAAUACCUUAAAGGCAUCUAAUGCUUCAUACUUAUUAUGAAUCAAAUAGAGAUACAUGUAACGUGAGUAAUCAUUUAUAAAAGAGAUGAAGUAUUUCUAACCACAAGAGUCCAUAUCCGAACUACAAAUAUCCCUGUGUAUGAUUUCUAAUAUUUCUGUACUCCUCUUGGCACCUUUUUUUGUCUUGUUAGUCUGAUUUCCCUUUAUGCAGUCCACACAAGUAUCACAAUCAGUAAAAUCUAAAGUACCGAGUACUCCAUCAUUUACUAAUCGCUUGACUCUUUCUAUGGAAAUAUGUCCCAAUCUCCGAUGCCACAACAUAGAGGAAUGUUCUUUCACAACACAUCGUUUUAUACCAACUUUAUCAUGAACAUGCAUCGCAUCAUAAUAGGCAUUGUCUUGUAAAUUAAUUCGAAAAAGACCAUCAGACAAAAUACUACUCCCAACAAUUUUAAAUUUAAAUGAUAAACAAAAGUUUGAAUCUGAAAAGUUAAAAAAGUAUCCCAAAGGUACAAGUCUUGAAACUGAAAUUAAGUUUCUAGAAAAACUAGGAACAUAAAAGGUCUUUUCCAAAUUUAAAACAAAACCACUAUUGAGAACUAGUCUAUAUGUCCCAAUAGCUUCUACAUGCGAACGCAUCUUAUUUCCUGAAUAGAUGCUUUGUUCACUUCCCACUGGCUUCCUGUGGUUUUGAAAACCCUACAAGGAAUUCGAAAUAUGGAUUGUAGAUCCAGAAUCAAUCCACCAAGUGUUGUGACUUACAUCAAUCAUAUUAGAUUCAUAACAAACACGAGAUUUGAUUACCUUUCUUCUCAAGCCAAGCCUUAAAUUUGACACAAUCCUUCCUUAUAUGCCCCUUCUGUUUAUAAAACAAGCAUUUGGAUUCUUUCUUAAUGUCAGCUUGGGGAGGUAUUUUACCUUUUCCCUUAUGCUUGCCAUAGCCCUUAUUCUUUCCUUGUAUUGUCAAAUGAGCCACUUUCUCCCAAUUCCAUAACCAGUCUUUCUUCGUCUUGAACACACAUGGUCAUGAGUUCAUUAAUAGACCAUUUAUUCUUAUGUGUGUUAUAAGAGAUCUUGAAAGGUGCGUAUUGUUGUGGGAAAGUGUUCAGAAUAUAAUACACAAGGAAGGAUUCAGAUAUCUCAACCUCAAGGUUCUUAAGCUGAGUUGCAAUGUUCCUCAUUUGCAUGAUGUGCUCACGCACACCUCUAACACUAGUGAGCUUCAAUGAUGAAAACUUCAUAAUCAGGGUCAUGGCAUGCGCCUUCUCAGAACUUUCAAAUUGCGCAUCUAUGGCCUCCAAUAAAGCCUUAGCAUUGCUAUGCUGAGCAACCGAACCACAAAUACUAGGAGAUAUCUGAGCUCUUAUAAACAUAGCACAAACAUGGUUGGACCGCUCCCAUUGGUUAUAAAGAGCUAUCUCAGCUAGAGUGCUCGAAUCAGUAGGAGCAGGUGGUUCGUCUUUCCUUAUAGUAUAGUCAAUGUCCAUCCACCCCAAUUGAAGAAGAACCGACUCCUUCCAAACUUUAUAGUUCUCACCAUUCAGUAUGGGAACAUCAAACUUAAAUUCAGAGAAAUUCACAUGUUGCGAAACUGCAUAUCAAAUAAUCAUACUUAUGUCACAAAAUUUGAGGCAAAUAUGUAUAAAUAAAUCAUAUUUUACCAAUGUAAACAUGUCACAAUAUGAAUCACAUAACAUAAAAACUUCAUGUGGGCUAAGUUUUUAAUUUAAAUAGAUUCAUAAUUACUUCAUGAAGAAACUACCAUAUUAUAUGCAUUUUCUUAAUCCCUAUGGGUAAAUUAAGAAAAAUAAUAUGAUAUUUCAUCCUAAUUAAUCAUAUUAAUAUAAUGAAAAUUCAUGUGGGAUAAAAUUCAUCAUAUUAAUAUAAUUAAUUACAAUCAAUGUCCGUUUUUAAAUAUGAUCCGGAGGCUUUUAAUAUAUAAUUUAAUUAAUUAAAGAUGUUGUGGCCACUCUCUAAUUAAUUAAUUAAUUAUAUUGACCAUUGGACAUUUAAUUUCACGCAUAAAAUAUUCAUAACAAUGCAUGAAAUGACAUAAUAUAUAAAUACAUCAAGGGCAUAACAGUAAAUAAAUAAAUUGGCCAAGGGCAAGAUUGCAAAAAACAAGAAAAUUUGAGGCAAAAGCGUAAAUAGAAGCCGCAUGGAGGAGACGCCAGGCACGCGCCUGUUCCCGCGGCAGGCGCGUGGUCCAUACGCGCGCGGUUCAGCGCGCGUGCGCGUGCAACACACACACCUAGCAACUGCCACGCUCGUGGAUCCCACGCACGCAACGGUUGAGCGCCCGUGAGAGCGCGUGGCGCGUGGAUUCCACGCCCCUGCAACCGCAGUGCGCGCGUAGGCUCCACGUGCCUUCUUCCUCACACGAACAGAAGCUUUUCUUCGCCAUUCCGCCGCGGUUUCGCCGGCUAUUUCUUCUCCGGCCGGCCAUUUCUUCUCCAGCAGCCCAUCUCAGACAGAAAUAAAUAAUGAGUUUUGAAGAGCAUGCCGGAAAAAUCACACGGGUCCAAGUUUCGGUGAAAAUGAGCAAAAAUUGGCCCCAAAAUCAUACGAAAAUUUCCUAAAACACAAUUCCUUCAACCACUGCGACUUCCACCGCCCGAUUAGCCUCCGGCGAUCACCGAUAUGCCGAAAUAACUCAUGACUAAUAUUCCUCAUGGCGGUGCGACCGUGCGGGUCCGAAAUCAUGGGGUGGGUCGCCGGAAUUUGCUUGGAAUUUGGGAGUUUCUCUGUUGGCCUCAAAACUCCGAAUUACUGUUCAUGUUCAAAAUGCCCAAAAAACACACCAAAAAUUCGAGAAAAACAAGGCAGAGGCACUAGACAUGCUCUGAUACCAAAUGUAAGACAAAAUAAUUCAUAUGCAGAAGCCAGGAUCAAUUAAAGACAAACCUCCCGCCAUUGUUUUGUUCACGUUCGUAAAAAAACCUGAAAUCAAAGAAAAUUGAGGACACUCUACUACCCAAUUCACUCUCGUACUGAUGGUGUAUUCUGAAUGAGAGAGUUUGAGUUAGACAUUGUCAUCAUCUGUCAGAAAUGAACGUACUUUCCUAUUUAUACAUUGUCUCCCAUCAAGACUGGCGGUUGUCACCAAAGGGUACGAAGCGUGGAAAACUUUAUGUCGAACAGUCGCAACCUUUAGAGAAAAUAAACGUGGGAUCACAAAAAUAAAUAACAAUGCCCACUCAAGCUGAGGUGGAGGCUGAAGAAGAGAGCAGCGAAGCCAACGAUCAAUUUUCCACGGGGCCUUUACUCUUACCAGGAUUUUUCGAGUAUAUGGAACAGUUAAACUUCAGCCAACAGGUGCAAAAUUGCCAUGGUAUGUCCAUGUAAAGUUUUUAUACAUUCAUCCAGGCGCGAAGAAAGGAAAAAUCAUUAUAUUUUUCAGAUUAGUAACUCUCUCUAUAAUAACUCAAAUUCAUCUGCUUCCCUAUCAUAUCGAUUCCAAAUUACAGUUGUAUCAUUGUAUAUUCUAUAUGUCCCAUAUCGUUAUCUUUUUACCGCAUGGUUUAUUUCAUCAAAAUAUUUACUUAUGAGCAUAUGUUGAUUUUCGCCGUAAAUAUUUGUUUUUUAAUCAAGUUCUAGACAUUCGUUUUACCUGUACCCAUGGCUUGAUUUAAAAGUCCCAUUGUUGAUUUAUUUUACGCUCAACUUUUUUAGUGCAACCAGUUUUGGUGCCCCCUCAACAUCAAAAUGCUCCACAUCAAUCCAAGACAAGGAAUGUGCUUCAGAAUCCAACUGCACAAUCAUCAACAGCUCUAAGGGAUAUGGAUUUACGUAUCCUAUCAUCAUCACAAGCUUCAGAUGUUGCUCCACAGUGGCCGACCGAUGUUUCAAACUUCAACCAACAGGGAUAUCAAUGGGCCAAACUCUGGCCAACAAUCACAAGCAGAGCGUCAGUUUCCUCAGAGUUCAACAAUGCCGUCACUGGCACAAAAUCGCCAUGGUAUGUUAAUGUGAAGUAUCUAUACAUUCAUCUCGGCGGGGAGAAAAACAUCUAUUAUAUUUUUCAACGCAAACAUGUUGGAUUUUUUAACCGAAGUGGUAACUUUUAAAUAUCUCCGAUAAACAUGCUUUUUCCACACAACUGUUCAAAUAUGAAGAGAGUCAAUAACCUAUUCCUUAAUAACCAUACAUCCAAUGUGUUACACGUGGCCACUGGACCCACUGGAUCCAGUAAACUAACUACAAUAAGCAUUCUCCCGUGUUCCAAUCAACCAUAUCCUAACUUUGAUGAACAAAACACAGGUGAAAGUUCCACGAUGGCUUUAGUGGAAGCGGAAUUGUAUUUUCAUGAUCUGUUAGAUUAGUCACAAUGUUACUUUCAAUCUCAAAUGCAAAUGAUUGCCCAUCAGACUCCAGCAGGGGCGUCAUCAUUCCAGGAUGAUCAAUUACCUACUGUAGAUAAUUCAAAUUGCUUGCCGGAUUGCAAUCAGCACUCUCAAUUGCAAACUUUAAUGGACAUAGAUCCCUCAAUUGCACCACAGCAUACAAGUGACUCACACAUUAUUGAGGCAACAACGGUUGAAUCUCAAGUUUCAGAGGCGGCAACAAAUGCAACAGGCCCAUCGUCAUCACAAGGUGUGUUUGGAUUAAUCUUCAUUGUUACUAUAUGGUUCCACUAGACUCUUAAAUAUCCCCAAAUUAUUUUAUCGAAAUCUAACAUAUGUUUUUUUUGUAAAUUAGAUAUGAAUAGGGGUUCUCCAGUCAUGGACGUACGGAGCAUCUAUGCCAACGAUGAAGAGAUAAGAAACCUGAAAAGAAAAGUGGAAGAACUUGACGACAAAAAAGCUGUCAUAAAGGAGCAGAUGGAGAUAGAGUCUGCUGCUUCCUCUGUUCGGAAGAAGCCGAGGAUAUUGGUUGAGAGAUGACUGAAAGAGACAGAAAGAGCAAGAAAUAAUUUCCAAAUAAUUGGCCAAGCCAAUGUGGAAACUUUGCCACCAAAGGAACAGGUGGAGACAUUGACGAGAGAAGUGGAAGAACUCAUAGGAAAAAUGCUUCCACAAACACUACUCAUAGAGGAGAGAGAUGCCAAAGGAGUCAAAUUUUUUGAACGAAAGCUAACAGGUGAAGUGAUUCAUAGGAACAUUAAGUUGAUUUGGGAUUGUCUGAAGGAAAAUCAUGUAUGCAAAUUGGGUAUUUAUGGAAUGGGUGGUGUUGGGAAGACAACUAUUAUGAUGCACAUACAUAAUAGACUUCUCAAUGAUGCAACCUUCGAUGGUGUGGUUUUUAUCACUGUGUCCAAAGAUUUCAGCAUUUAUAAGUUGCAGAGUGAUAUUGGGGAGGCAUUAAAAUGUGGCAUUAAGGAGGUUGAGGAUGAGAAGAAAUGAGCAGCGAUGUUGUUGGAGCAUUUAGAAAGAAAGAAGAAUUGUGUAUUGAUUCUUGAUGAUGUGUGGGAACAUCUUGAUCUUGAAGAGUUGGGAAUCCCUAUUAGAGCACAUGGAUUUGAGUUCAUCUUAACCACUCGAUCCUUUGAUGUGUGCUGCCAAAUGCAAUAUCAAGAAAAGAUCAAAAUCAAGCCUCUAUCUCAAGAAGAAGCCGAGAGUUUGUUUUUGGAGGAGCUUGGACCCGAAAUGCCACUUAAUUUGGAAAUUGAAGCAAUUGUGAAGUCCAUUGUUAAAGAAUGUGCAGGCUUGCCGAUUGGAGUAAUCACGAUGGCGAGAAGCAUGCGAGGAGUGACCGAAGUGUUUGAAUGGAGGGAUUCCUUGGUGAAAUUGAAAGAAUCGACUAUUAGACAAACAUAUAUGGAAGGUUUUAAGAAUUUUGAAAUUUAGUUAUGAUUGCCUUGGUAAUUCUAAUGUCCAACAAUGUUUCUUAUCUUAUGCACUUUAUCCAAAUGAUGGAUUAAUUGGUGGAUUGAGUACGAGUAAUGAACAAUAUGAUAGAGGGCUCACCAUAUUGAACAAAAUGAGAAAUGUUUGCCUAUUGGAAGGUCAGCACAAGAGAGGGAUGUGGAUGAAGAUGCAUGAUUUGAUUAGAGACAUGGCAUUGCAUAUCAUGGGUGUGACUUUCAUUGUAAAAGCAAGAAAGCAAUUGAUGAGGAUUCCAUCCGAAGAAUAUUGGACUGAUGCUUUGGAGAAAGUUUCUCUAAUGAAUAAUAACAUUAAAGAUUUUCCAUUGGACAUGUCGCCAAAUUGCCCUAACCUAUCAACUCUUCUAUUAAAAAAUGGCUUGUCGCAUGAUGCGGUCAUCCCUGAUUCUUUCUUCAAAAAUUUAUGCGGGCUAAAGGUUCUAGAUUUGAGUGGAAAUGAUAUGACAAAACUUCCAAAUUCCAUCUCAAACUUGGUAAACUUGAGAGCACUAUUGCUCAGACAUUGUCAGGAAUUGCGCCGUGUUCCUUAUCUAGGAAAGCUCACAUCUUUAAGAAAGUUGGGCGCUGAAUACUGUAGGAGUCUUGAAGUGCUUGAGGGUUUGGAAAAGUUGGUGAACUUGAGAUACCUUAACCUAACUGGAACACAUAUUGAGAGAUUGCCCAAGGGAAUGUUGGACCAUUUAUUACACUUGCAAUAUCUUAAAUUUUCGGUGGUAAAUGAAGAAGACAUUACGAAAUUGGGGGCAUUGAAGACAUUUGGAUGCUACCUUAAAAAUGUGGAUGAUUUCAACAAGUGUGUGAAGGCUAUUGAGCAUAGUAAUAACCCUCGCUAUUACGACCUCAAAGUGGAUCGAGAAAAACCAGAGUUUAUUGCGAAAGUAAGCGAUGAUACUCAAUUUGGGAAUUUGAGGAGGAGAGUCAUCAUUUGGGAUUGGAGUCAUGCCAUUUUGAGCGUGGGAGGCGAUUGCACCAGCAUUUUUAUUUUGAUUCCCCAAGAUGCGCAGAUAAUGAUAAUGAGAAAAUACGACGGUAUAACAAAUUUGUCUGGCAUGCGUCUGCUUGAAUACCUUGAGGAGCUAAAUAUAGAAGAAUGGGAAAACUUAGAGGUGCUCUAUGGAGGACAAGACAAAGAAGUAAUCGUCAUCCAUGACUCCCUUACCCCAACCCCUACCUUUCCGCUCUUCCCCAACCUUAGGGUUUUGCGAAUAGAAAAAUGUACGAAAUUGAAGUAUCUCUUUGGGCAUGGGUCUAAAACCAACCUUCCGCAUCUACGAGACAUUCUAAUAUAUGGAUGUGAGGAAAUGGUGGGGAUAAUAGCAGCAGUUACAUCCCCACCACCACAUCCGCUCCCAUUUUUCCCUAGUCUGGAACAGAUUACUAUUGAAAAAUGUAAUAACAUGAAGAGAGUGGUGGAAUCUGAGUGGAUGCCCCACUUCCCUAAUCUAAGAAGAAUCUAAGUAUUCAAAUGUGAGAAGAUGGAGGAGAUAAUCGAAGGUCGUCCCCCAUACUUGCCAGUUGAAGGCAUUUCUCUCGAAUCUCUUACGGUAAUAGAUUGCGGUAACAUGAGAAAGCUGCUUCCGCAUGAGUGGCUGCUCCAUCUUCGAAAACUUCGAAAGAUCAUGGUCUCAUCGUGCAAUGGAAUGGUGGAGAUGAUAAGUGGAGCGGGACAAGGUCAAGAAGGAAGCUUAACGACUCCCUGUAAACAACACCCCUUCAUCCUUCCAGCCUUCUUCAAUUUCUCCCCCAAAGCUGGAGUGGUUGGGACUACUCAAUCUACCCCAGCUGAAGAGCAUAUGCGAAGUCCCAAUAAGCUGCGAUUCCAUGAAAAAUUUGACGGUGUACGGAUGCCAAGAACUGAAGAGGAUUCCUUUGCAACUGCGAUUGUGUGAAAUUGAGGAGCUUCCACAUAUUUGGGUGGAAGAUGAGGAAAAGUGGAAGACGCUAAUUUGGGAUCAUCCCAAUGCUCAGGCUACUCUUAAACCUUAUCUCCUAAAAGGGAAUCACACUAAUAGAGAAAGUCCUUUAUUUUGGGAGGGACCGAGUCCUCCAAGUGCUAUAGGUUAAUGAGUUUAAUCGAUAUACAAUUGCUUCACUUCUUAAAAGUCCUUAUAAAGAUGUAGCUUCUCUGUCUAUAUAGUCAUGCAGCUCUAAUAGUGGCCUUUUGCAGAACUGUCCACCAAGGGAGAGGAUCUCUAGUGACUCUGCUCUUGAAGAAAGCCCUACUGCUCGACCAUGCUUUCCUGCAAACUCGACUCAGGUUGUCAUAUAAUUUGACUUUUUUCGUGUAUAUUUUGAAUGUGUUCGCAUGUUUUAUUGACUAUUGGAAAUGAGUCAAUCUGGUCGAUAUUUCAGGUUAGUCAAAAAACAACGGAUCUGAAGAUUUAGGAAGCUAAGGGACGAGCAAAGCCUGUUUCCUAUCUUGUCUUAUAACCGAAAGGACAAUUUAUUAUUAUGGAUUGAUCUUCCUAGAAUAUUAGCCUUCUAAGAAAAGAGAGAAUUUUGGGCAGCACUACCUUUUAAUAUGCUUGUGUUUAGAAAGGAUUUCAAAUAUGAUAUUGCUAUAACUUGUCGAUCAAAAAUGUUGUGCCACAUAUGCUGCUUUGCUCUCUUGGAUCAGAGCAACAUGACUCUGAUUAAACUUGUUUCGACAUUAAACUAUCGGAUAUAGAAUACUUGAUCUGCUUAGUAGUUGUAUCAUAUCUGGAAACGUAGGCUGGAAAGUUUUCUUUUCACCCUUUGUUGUAAAAUUUCACCUCAACCCCACUUUGAGUUAUAAAAUAAAAAUCCAUCACCCCUCUUUUGAUUCCUUGAAGUCGUAAAUAGAUGGAGAACCCUACAGCUUCAGCUUAAGUUGCCAAAAGAUUAGAGCAGUUACCACUAGCAAGUUAGUGGUGAAAAGGCCAACUUAUUGGACAUGGCACUUUCGGAAAUGUUUACAUUGCAAGCAACAGGUUAGCUAGCUCUGGUAAACUUUGACAUGUUCCAAUUUUCUAGAUAUCCAGUCAGCUAAACUUUGACCUAUUAGGUGACAGAGAAACCAGAUCUUUAUGUGCAUUGAAGGAGUUUGAGCUAUUGCCUAAUGAUCCAAAUUCAGCUGAGUGCAUGGGGCAGUUAAAGCAGGUAAUGUCUUUGUUAUGCUCCGGGAUCCAAUCUAUUCUCUCAUCUGAUCUAAAUAUGCUGGGAGGAAAUUUUUUUUUAUCAUUUCUAGGUAAUUGAUUGCUUUGCUACUACAGGAAAUUCAAGUACUUAGCCAGCUUAGACAUCCAAACAUUCUGCAGUAUUAUGGCAGUUAAAUUGUGAGUCACCUUUCCACGGCAUCUACACGACCCAGAUCAAUGGGCAUUCAUAAUUUUACUUACCGAAAUUCCAACAUAUUCAUACAUACUUAGGUUGAGGAUCAACUUAAAAUAUAUCUAGAAUAUGCACAUCACGGUUCGAUAGACAAGUAUAUUCAGGAGCAUCUUAGGACCCUAACAGAAUCGGUUGUUCACACUUUUACCCUCCAUAUUGUGGCUGGAUUGGCUUCCCUGCAUCUUAACAACUCCAUACAUGGGUAAUUCUAAACCAUUGAUCAAGUAUCAUGAGAUGACUUGCAUACUAGAUUAGGAUGAUUGGACCUUCUUCUUUGUCCCUAUAGACCUGUUAAAACUCUUUGGCUUGCGCAGGGAUUUAAAGGGAGCUAAUUUAUUUGUGGAUGCAUAUGGGAUAGUUAAACUUGCUGACUUUGGGAUUGCUAAACAUGUGAGUUUCCACCUCUUCACUGCAAGACUACUGAGUGCAUGUAGAAAUUCCUUGUUGAUCUAUGGUGCAUUCGAAUGUUAAGUCAGGAACCCAGGGUGACUGCAUACUUCUCAUUAAUGGUUUGUGGCAUUUCAUAUAUGCAAAAAUCCAUUAUAGAUGGAUGAAAUGUUAUUGAGUAAUUUUCUUCACUUUUUUUCCCAUUGUUUCGGGUAAAGUUACUAUGUUGCAUAAACUAGAAAAGAUUUCUUGUUAUAAAUAGAUGCUGAAACCUACUGAGAGUUCUUUCCUUUUCUACUGGUUUCUAAAAAGUUCCUAAGAGAGGUAGUGAAUAAAACGCAAUACCUUUGGCGAAAGGUUGUGGUUUUGUUUUUGCUGCUUCUCUGCAUUCCCAAAGAAGGAUAGAAUUUAGUUAGAGUAAAGAAAGGCCUCCUUCCUAACAUGGGGUUAAUAAAAGUGUAUUGGUCCAUAGAACGGAAUUCUAGACAAUAGCCACGGUACUGUUGGUCUCUUUUUUGAGUUCUCAAACAUUUGCUGAGACCAUGUUGUUGAUUGCUUCAUGGUCAUUUUUCUCAGUAAUGAGCUAACAUAAGUUGAAAGUGGUUGAUUUAGUUAUCAAUCUGAUGUAUUUAUAUCUAUAAAGAUGUUGCUAUUUUAUCCAGUGUUCCAUGAACACACUAGGUAGUCUUCGACUCUACUAAUCUCUUACCAUUUCUUAGCUAACCGGACAAGCAGCUUCUUGCUCUUUGAAGGAAGUCUAAACUGGAUGGUUCCCGAGGUACUCUGCUUUGGUGAAUGUUAACGCUGCAUUCUUUUUUUGUCGUGACGGAAUGAUGGAAUAAUAUAUCCAGCAGCUCAUACAAUCCUUGAUGGCAAAUAAUUACAGCACAGAUCUCGAUUGUAUUGUCGACUUGUGGAGUUUGGGAUGUACUAUUACCGAAAUGAUAAUUGGCAAACCUCCUUGGAGUGAGUAUGAGUGGGUAGGUACGCUGCAUUGCUUUUUCAUUUUCUCUGUUUGUCCCUCCAAGUAAUACGCUUCCAACCAAAUCUGCAUCGUCGUCUGGAAGAGAUUAUUGUUUGGGACUGUGGUAAAAUGAAGAGAGCAGUGGAAUCUGAGUGGAUGCCCCACUUCCCUACUCUGAGAAGAAUCACAGUAUAUGAAUGUGAGAAGAUGGAGGAGAUAAUCGAAGGUCCUUUCUCAUACGUGCCAGUUGAAGAGAUUUCUCUUGAAUCUCUUGAAUCUCUUGAAGUAGCAAAUUGCAAUAACAUGAGAAAGCUGUUUCCGCAUGAGUGGCUGCUCCAUCUUCGAAAUCUUCAAAGGAUCGAGGUCGAUUAUUGCAAAGGAAUGGUGGAGAUGAUAAGCGGAGCCAGACAAGGCCAAGAAGGAAGCACGGUGACUCCUGUAAAUAACACCCCUUCAUCCUUCCAGCCUCCUAUUUCUCUCCCAAAGCUGAAGUUCUUGGGUCUAUGGUCUUUGCCCCAGUUGGAGAGCAUAUGCGAAGUCCCAAUAAGCUGCGAUUCCAUGAAAGAAUUGACAGUGUCCGGAUGCCCAGAACUGAAGAGGAUUCCUUUGCAACUGCGAUUGCGUGAAAUUGAGGAGCUUCCGCGUUUAUGGGUGGAAGAUGAGGAGCAGUGGAAGACGCUGAUGUGGGAUCAUCUCGAUGCUCUGGCUAUUCUUCAACCUUAUCUCCAAAAAUGGAAAUACGCUGUAAGUAAUGAGUUAAUUGUAUACGAUUGCUUCACUUCUUAAAAGUCUUUACAAAGAUGUAGCUUUUCUGUCUAUAUAGUCAUGCAGCUCUAACAGUGGCCUUUUGCAGAACUGGACGCCAGGAGAAAGGAUCUCCCUUGGCACUGCUCUUGAAGAAAGCCCUGCUGCUCGACCAUGCUUUCCUGCAAACUCGACUCAGGUUGCCAUAUGAAUUGACUUUUUUCGUGUGGCCAUGCUUUGUGUAUUUUCAAUGCGAUUGCAUGUUUUAUUGACUACUGGAAAUUAGUCAGUUUGGUCGAUAUUUCAGGUUAGUCAAAAAACAACGGAUCUGAAUAUUUGGGAAGCCAAGGGACUAGCAGAGGUCUGUUUCCUAUCUUGUCUUAUAACCGAAAUGAAAAUUUACUAUUAUUAAUUUAUCUUCAUGGAAUAUUAGCCUUCUAAGAAAAGAGAGAAUUUUGGGCAACACUACCUUUAAUUUGUUUGUGUUUAGAAAGGAUUUUAGAUAUGAUAUUGCUCAAACCUGUCGAUCCAAACUGUUGUGCGAUAUACGCUGCUUCGCUCUUUUGGAUCAGAGCAACAAGACCUCGAUUGAACUUGUUUCGACAUUAAACUGUUGGGUAGAGAAUACUUGAUCUGCUUAGUAGUUGUAUCAUCUCUGGAAAUGUAGGCUGGGAAGUUUUCUUUUCACCCUUUGUUGUAAAAAUUCACCUUAGCCCCACUUUGAGUUAAGAUGUAAGAAGAUGAAGAAGAAAGAAUUGCACAGCUAUCAACCCUCUUUUAAUGCCUCUAAGUCGUGGAUAGAUGGAGAACCCUACAACUUCAGCUCAGGUUGUCGAAAGAUCAAGCAGUUACCACUAGCAAGUCAAUGGCAAAGAGGCCAGCUUAUUGGAUGUGGCACUUUCGGAAAUGUUUACAUUGCAAGCAACUAGUAAGUUAUCUUUGGGAAACUUUGACAAGUUCCAUUUUUUUUCGAUAUCCAGUCGGCUAAACUUUGACAUAUUAAGUGACAGAGAAACCAUAUCUCUAGGUGCAUGGAAGGAGCUUGAGCUAUUGCCUAAUGAUCCAAAUUUAGCUCAGUGCAUGAGGCAGUUAAAGCGGGUAAUGUUUUUAUUAUGCUCUAGGAUCCAAUCUAUCCUCUCAUCUGAUUUAAAUAUGCUGGGAGGAAACUUUCUUUCAUCAUUUCCAAGUAAUUGAUUGCUUUGCUACUACAGGAAAUUCAGGUACUUAGCCAGCUUAGACAUUCGAACAUUAUACAGUAUUAAGGCAGUGAAAUUGUGAGUCACCUUUCCACGGCGUCUACGCAUCCCAGCUCAAUGGUCAUUCAUUAUUUGACUCACCAAAAUUUCAACAUUUUAUACAUACUCAGGUUGAGGAUCAUCUCAACAUAUAUCUAGAAUAUGAACAUCAUGGUUCAAUAGACAAGAAUAUCUAGGAGCGUCUUGGGACCCUAACAGAAUUAGUUGUUGCACUUUUACUCGCCACAUUGUUACAAAAUUGGCUUCCCUGCAUGUUGACAACUCCAUAUAUGGGUAAUUCUAAACCAUUGAUCAAGCAUCAUGAGAUGACUUGCGUAUUGGAAUAGGAUGAUUGGACCUUCUUCUUUGUGCUUACAGACCUGUUAAAACUCUCUGACUUGCGCAGGGUUUAGAGGGAGCUAACUUAUUUGUGAAUGCAUCUGGGAUAUUCGAACUUGCUGACUUUGGGAUUGCUAAACAUGUGAGUUUCCACCUCUUCACUACAAGACUACUGAGUGCAUGUUGAAAUUCCUUGCUGAUCUGUGGUGCAUUCAACUGUGUACUUCUCAUUAUUGGUUUGUGGCAUAUCAUAUGUGCAAAAAUCUAUCGUAGAUGGAUGAAAUGUUAUUGAGUAAUUUUCUUCACUUGUUUUCCCAUUGUUUUGGUUAAAGUUACUAUGUUGCAUAUAUGGGAAAAGAUUUCUUGCUAUAAAUAGAUGUCGGAACCUAAUGAGAGUUCUUUCCUUUUCUACUGAUUUUUAAAAAGUUCCUAAGAGCGGUAGUGAAUUUGUAAUACCUUUGCCAAAAGGUUGUGGUGUUGUUUUUGCUGCUCCUCUGCAUUCCAAAAGAAGGAUCAAAUUUAGUCAGAGUAAAGAAGGGCCUCCUUCCUAACAUGGGGUAAAUAAAAGUGUAUGGGUCCAUAGAACGAAAUUCUGAACUAUAGUCAAGAUAUUGUUACACUCUUUUUGAGUUCUCAAGCAGCAUUGGCUGAAGUCAUGUUGUUGAUUGCUUCAUGGUCUUUUUUACUAAGUAAUGAGCUAACAUAAGUUGAAAGUGGUUGAUUCAGUUAUCGAUCUGAUGUAUCUAUGUCUAUAAAGAUGUUGCUAUUUUAUCCAGUGUUCCAUGAACACACCAAGUAGUCUUUGGCUUUAAUAAUGCCAUACCAUUUCUUAGCUAACCGGACAAGCAACUUACCGCCCUUUGAAUGGAAGUCUAAACUGGAUGGCUCCAGAGGUACUCUGCUUUUGUGAACGUUAAUGCUACAUUCCUUUUUUUGUCGUGGCAGAAUGAUGGAAUAAUAUAUCUUGCAGCUCAUGCAAUCCUUGAUGGCGAAUAAUUACAGCACAGAUCUCGAUCAUUCUGCCAACAUGUGGAGUUUGGGACGUACUAUUAUUGAAAUGAUAACUGGGAAACCUCCUUGGAGUGAGUAUGAGUAAGUACGCCGCAUUGCCUUUUCAUUUUCUCUGUUUGUCCUUCCAUGUAACACGCUUCCAACCAAAUCUGCGUUGCCGUUUUCUGUGGGAAGUUCAGGGUCGUGUACAUCGCCAUUUGGUAUGUGAUCUGUGUCAUGCGUUUCUGUUUAAGGUUGAAUCAUUAAUGUAGGCUCAAGCUACAUUUAAGGUGAUUUGAAGUUCUCUAGCAAUACCUGAGACGUUAUCUGCCGAGGGAAAGGAUUUCCUGCAAUGCUGCUUUCGAAGACAGUCUGUCGAGAGGCCUUCAGCUGCUAUGCUACUUGAGCAUGCUUUCCUGCAAAUCUGAAGUUGCAGAUGACUGACCUAUUUCAAGUGCCAUAUGUUGUCACAAAAGGGUUGUUGUCCUGUAAAGUUCCAUAUUGACUAAACCAGAAGGAUCACACGGUCCAUAGAUGUGAUAAAGUACUUGUAUAUCGACAAAAUAAGACGGAUGUUCCUCUUGCAUGGUCUGACUAGCGGCAUACUGAUCUAGGCAAUUUAACAGUGUUGCUUAAUCUAAACCUUUUAGUGUAGAGUGCAUUCUUAUCAUAAACAUUUUGUGCGAAGUACAUUUAUUCAUCAAAAUUGAAUGGUAUUGAUUUGGCUCCAAAUAAGCAACAGAUCAGUGAAACAAAAGCAGGUAAACCCAGAAAAGAGGAGAAAAAGAAAAUCGAAGCGAUAGUGCAUCAGAAUUCCUGAACUAAUUUUGAAAGCAAAUACUUUGUCGGUUUGGUGGGAGGAACAUUGGCAGGUUUGGCAAACCUGCAGUGUCUUAGGAUUGCAUUAGAGGCUCUUGAUUCUUCCCUUCAACAAAUACAUGAGAUUUUCUCCGACCAGAGUGGCCCUCAUCACUAUCACCAAAUUCCGGUGAAUCAAGAAAAGCCAUCGUGGUCUGUCUCUGAAUUUAAAUGAUGAUGAGGAUCCAAGAUUUAUAACUUCCGAGAGGAGAAUCAACGUUAAUUGUUGUGAUUAUGCUCUUGUCAGGGCAGUGAGGGGAAAGUCUUUCCCCUAUUGGUUUUGCUCCCAAGUGAUGCUGCAAGUUUACUGUAUUUUCCCCUUAUGGUUGUUUGUCAUUUCGUGGACCAUUUUUAGAAUAACUUUGCAUCUCCUCUCUAUAAAAUACAAACAACUGAUGAAAUCUGUUGAAAAUAUCUCACACCGGUCUUUUACAAGAUUUUAAUGGGCCUUACAUUCAUAUAAUUUACCUUCACUUGUUCAAAUUUUUAGGUUGGACUUUCUCUUAUGUGCAAAUAGCAAUUUCUGCUUGAAAUGAAGAGUAAACAUGCUUCCCUUUUUUAACUAUUUUUUCUACGAUUAAAGUGAUUCCUCUACCCUAUACUAGAAAUAUAUAAAGUGUCACAGAAAAAGAAACUCCUCGAAAUUUUGUAAAGUCGGAGGCGCAGCUCAGAUUGAGCUAUGACUCUCAACUGCAUUAAAUUCUCUCUUCAUUUUCGUCUUCUUUUGUUCUUUUCCUCAAUUUUUAGCCAACAUCCUAACCAUAAGGCGCCUUUUCUCUUUUGUCCCUUAUCUCUCCCCCUUUUCUUCGUACACCUCACUCUUCUUUUCCUGCCUCUUUUUUUUUUGGUUCUCUGCCCGAACCCUUAACGAAGACAACUAAUUGGUAUUUAGUUUUCCAAAGUGUAGCAUUAUUGAGCACCAUCAUCGACCAUCAAGUUCGCUAAACUCAACCAUCAAUUAACUAACUAUUCUUGUUUAACAGGCCAGGCCAACGCUCGCUUGGGCAAGGGCGAGCCCCGGUGAGGGCUCCCAUUAUUUAAAAAUAUUUAAAAAUUAUUAAAAAAUUAUUAAAAAUGAUCUACGUCAGCGCCAGCGGUCCUACGUGGCACCACCAAUGUCCACAUCAGCAUUUUUCGGCCAAAAUUGACCAGAUGGACUGAAUUGGCAAUAAGUGAAAACGUUUAAGACUGAAUUGGCAAAAUUAAAAAUGCAAUAGGUUUAGGACUUUUUGGACAAUUUUCCCGAAAUAAUUGCGAUACCAAAUGCUAAAGGGCAAGACGGGAGACUUUUAUACGAAGUGAAUGGAAGCAAAGGUGCUUCUGAAAAGGGCAUUUUCAGAAGGAAAAGUGCUUGUGCAGCUAAGGGGGGAAAGAGGGGAGUCUUAUAAGAACUGAGGUAAAAGUGCUUGCAAAAAGGACAUUUUCGGAAAAAAAAAAAGUGCUGGUCAUAAGAGCUUUAUAAAUAGUGAUAUGGCUUCUUAUAAAACGUUUUAUACGAAGUCGGAAAAGUUUUGUAAGAAGUGACGUGGCUUCCUCUAUAAGGGCAAGGCAGGAGACUUUUAUAAGAAGUCAAUGAAAGCGAAAGUGCUUCCGAGAAGGGCAUUUCGGCAGGAACAGUGCCUGUGCAGCUAAGGGGGAGACAGGAAAGUUCUAUAAGAACUGAGGCAAAAGGGCUUCCAAAAACAGCAUUUUCGGAAGAAAAAGUGCCGGUCAUGAGAGCUUUAUAAAUAGUUACGUGGCUUCUUAUAGAACGUUUCAUACGAAGUCGGGAAUGUUUUGUAGCGGCUGACUUCGUAUAAAACGUUUGACUUCGUAUAAAACGUUUAAAUGUUUUAUACGAAGUCAGGAAAUUUUUGUAAGUGACGCGGCUUCUUUCUCAUGAAAAGCCCCCAGAGGACGCCGUUCUUCUUUUAAAACUCUCCUGGCCAGCACAUUUUUUUCAAUUCACUUCUUAUAAAACUCUUGUCUCGCCCCUUAGCAUUUGGCACCGCAUUUCUCUCACAAAACAAUUCACUCAUGGGGAAUGUUUUUACGCGCCAUUGUGAAGACGCGAUCAUUCCUGAAGCUGAAGCUGUGGUUAUAUCUGGUAAUUUUCUCUUCUUCAUCUUCUUCAUCUGUGAUUCACGGUCACCCAUAGACGUUUGAGUUGAGUUUGAUUCUUAUGUUAAAAUUUACGUCCUUCAUUUCCUUGAGAUUCAAUUGUUUCGCUUAGAAAGUUUGUCAACUAGAUAAGGGCUGGUGAUGAUGUGUUUAAUGCACUUUUGUAGGUCAGAUUUGGCGAUUAUGUGUUUGUUUUUCUCACUUUUAAGCUUCUAAAGUACAGAGAACUAGUCUUUUGAUAGUUACAAAAAGUACAGAGAAGUAGUCUUGUAAAGGUUGAUCCACUGGUAGAAUUGUGUGGCAAUCAUUAUGAGACCGUGAUGUAAUGCCUCUUUAUUUUUCUAAUCCAUAGAUCUAUUUCCCAUGUCUACCAUUCGUAAUGAAGAAGAGGGCAGUGAAGAAGUUGAAUUACAUGAUGAAUUUGCCAUCAUCAAUGUCCCCAUUCAAGGUGGAGAUGGCAAUACCAUACCCAGUGAAGAAGAGGGCGGUCAAGAAGUUGAAUUACACGAUGAAUUGAUUGCCGUCAUUAUCCCCAUUCAGGGUGGAGAUGGCAAUACCAUACCUAGUGAAGAAGAGGACGGUCAAGAAGUUGAAUUACACGAUGAAUUGAUCGCUGUUGUUGUCCCCAUUCUGGAUGGUGAUGGCAAUGGUGACGGCCAUAUUGAGGAUGGCGACAACAAUGUUGGUGAGCAUGAAGUGGAGCAAGAGGUGCAGGAGGUGGAGAAUGAGCAGGACGGCGGCGAGGGGGCUGGUGUGGGGGUUGUUGUUGGUCCUGCCGUUGCUGGUAAUAGAGCUGGCUUUAUUGUUCUGGCAACGGUGCUAGUGGGGGCGCUCGUCUUGUGGAAGAUGCGGCUGAUAACACUGUUAGAGUUGCUUUUGAUGGUGGUGGUAGUAUUGGCAGUAGCCUUGCUCCUUGGGCGCAUGGAUUGGCUAAACUUGAUAUGGAUCUUAAUCCUAAGACUCAAUAUUAUCCUAGUAUGAUGGAGAGAUUGACGCGUGGAUUGCCACGUGAGAUGUCUAGGUGGACUUCUUUGGAUGAUUUUCAGUAGAACAUUUUUGUUGCAGGAACCUCUGUUUGUAUCCUUAUUUCAUCAUGUAUACAUUUGUAUCAUUACUGGUUAUGUUGUCAAUGUACUUGGAAGGAAUAAACAUAUUCAUAGUUUAUUAACAGCUGAUUGUUCUCCUAUUGGUAUAAUUUAAGUACGCAUACGUAAGGAAUGGAGUAAGUACGGCCAUAACGAUUAUUCUCUAAUUUUAUGCGAGACUUAGAUAAAUUAGCCUCCCUAUACCAUAAAACCCGGUGGCAAUUUGAUGAACCGUCAUGUUUUCUUAGGAUUAGUAUGUGCACAAGUAGUUACGGAAUCUUAACUUUCACGUAAGAGGAUGGUCAGUAAGCUUUUCUUUGCCCAUGAGCUUAGCUCUCCUUUUUAUAUUCAGCUGGACUCAUCAAUGACAGAGGGUCAUUUGAUUCAAUCUUCUAUGUGAUGUUGAUGCAUAUAUGAUUACAUAUAAAUAGACGUGACAAAUGAGUGGACUGAAUUGAUUUUGGAUGGAUUAUCAAUAGGUUCAAUUCAAAUUCACGCAUUUAAUUCACGUUGACCCAUUUAUUUUCUGCACAAUUUAUAUGACACAUAGCCAAUCCAAACCCACCAACAUAACUCACAAUUUUUUUUAUUAAUACCAAUUAAACAAUUAUCAAAUUAAAAUAAUAAAAAUUAAUAGGGAUAAAUACACUUAAAAUCCUAAAAUUUGUCAUGAAGUAUAAUUAAAUCCUAAAAUUUAUCACAAAAAUUCAAUUGAAUUUUAAAAUUUUCAAAAAUAGUAAUUUAAGGGAUUUUUUUUCCCCUUCGCAGGCUCCCCUUUUCUCUCUCUCCAUGCCCGCUUUUUGGAAUUAAAGAGGAGAAGAAUGAAUUUUUCGCACUAACCUCCUUCUACUUCCUCUGCUUCUUCACGAACGACCAUAAGCCUUCACAAACCGAUCCCUUUUUUCUCUGCCAUGCUUUAGUCGAGCCGUAGCAGUUGUCCUUUGACCCGGAUGUUGCCGGUGACACCGUGGCCCGUCUCUGAGCUCGACGGCGAGAAUUGAGCCACCUAGAUUCAUCUUGCGCCUCUAUCUCUCUCGUCAUCCCCUUUCGACUUCGGAUGGGGCUGAUUCGAGCCAUUGACAUAAUUUCGUCUCAGAUUCACGGCCGAGUCGAGGCAUAGAUCUGAGAUCUAGGGCUCAAUCGAGCUCCACCAAAGGCGAGGGCUCAGUCGAGCUACACCAGAGGCGAGGGCUCUUGGGAGUUAUGUUCAGAUGAUCAUUACAUGAGAGACCCAUGCCAGUACCUACUCAAGGACUACUGCUUUGGAUUGUGCCUAAGAGACAGAAAUGAUCUUUCCUUGACCAUCCAGGACUUCAACUAUGCCAGCUUUUCAGGACUUAGCUACAUCAAACAUCCCCAUUAGUGGAUAAAAGUUGAAACGCCAUUAACCCGAGAAAGAAGCCAGUGCUUUUAGAAACUCUUCUGGAUAACAUAACAAAGUGCAUUCUGCCAAUGGUAUAUGCUUUCAUUUUAUAUGAAGCUAUAUGCAUGUCGUCAUUACAAAUUUAAAAUUGAGCUCGACUGCCCAGUAUUCAUGCAAUUUUCCUUAUCUUAGCCCCUCCAGAAACUAUCAAUGCUUGCUAUAUUAAUAAAACCAAAUGCUAUUUGAACAGAACAAGGCCUAAUUUUUCUUUUGCUCUUCCAAUUUCUUUGGGUUGGUUUGAAUUUGAUUUAAUUUUUGUGUUUUUCCCUUCUUUCUUGCCUUUUACCUAACAAACCAUGAUAUUUCAACAAACAGUGAUGACAAAGCAUCAAAUUAUGACAAGGAGAUUCAUUUAUAUUGAUUGAAUCAUGCAAUAGUGAAGUUAAAGUUAUUUAUAUUAGUUGAAAGGUGAUCAUUCUUGACAUGGAGUGACAGCAAAAUACUUUCGUACUUUCUCUUCGUAAAGUGAAUAUUGUUUUACUCUUCUAUUUAAAAUCUAACAUGUAGAAAGUAAUUAACUAAGCUAAAUAAUAUAGAGUAAUUUGAGAAAUGGCAAUAUCUAUCCGAAUUCCAACAUGUCAACACAUUGAACUUUGAUGUAAUUACAUAUAUCUGUGCACGUCAUACUCUAGUAUUCCAUUGAAUUACAGCAUAAAUGCUAGAGUAUAUAUUUUGAUACUCAACCUAGAUACUCAACCCAGUGUGCUUGCUGGUAGUCAAUAUUGACAAAGUUAAAUAAGAGAAUCACAGUGCAGAAAAUCAGCGCAUCUUUGGCUGAUUCAACUUAGAAAUAAUUAAGAGGGAAAGGACCUAUAGGCUCUUAAGUCUUUGCAGAACUAGUGAAGAGCUUUAAAAUGCCAAGGCAGGCGAUUGGGAUGCAUGAGAUUCUGCAAAACCUUGAGAAGUGCAAAAGACAGGGGACAGCAGAGACCUCAGUUAAUGCAAAUUCAACAGGCACAAAUGAUCAAUGCAAUCAUGCGAUAUGAACUUGAACAGAAAAUUGCCCAAGAGCUCAUUAUGGCAGGGCAAGCUGGAAGAGGCUUACCCUGAAGUGGAUUUACCCAAUCUUUCAUCUUUACAUCGUCUCUGAUCAUCGACCAUCGACUCGAAAACAUCUAACAGUUGAUCCAGUCCCUCUGGACUGCCCCCAACUGCCUUCAUCGCGUAGAUGGCACUCUCGAGAGUGGACAAACAUCCAGCCUUAGGCUGACUUCUAACUUCUCUGUACAAGCUCAUCACCUCCAAAUCCAACUUCAGAUGAGGCAACAGCUUCAACCAAGGAUUCUCGCUGUACAUUCUCUUUGCCUUCAUCCACGUGCCGUCCAGCAAGAUCAAGUUCCUGACUUUGAACUCAGCUGCCUUGAGUUCAUCAAUGCUGAGCGCAUUCUUGGUCGGAAACAGAAGUACCGACCCGCGCGGCACUUCAAGUACGAAUUCCUCAGAUUCUUCAAGCUCCAAGCUCGAAUUCAAUACAAGGUUUUGCGAUUUCCUAACCACAAAUCCAUUCGACAGAACGUCAUGAGCUGACUGGCAAUCUAAUAUGGAAUCAAAAUCAGCUCCUCGAUGACCAAUUUGAGACAUCCAAACAUGGUCUAUCGAUUCAAUAAUCCCCUUCUUGCCCAUUCGAAAACUGAUAACAGGUUUGCUGGUACUUCUAGACAAGACUCCACAAGCGCGCGAGUUCUGCGGCACCUUGGAAUCCUCUGAAACCUCCCCACCGUUUGGGGCAAUCGAACCGCAGUCCCUUUCAUCCCCAGGACAAUAAGCUCCAUUCGAUUCGACGACCGAAUUAGGGCUUCCCACCUCCACUCCAGAUACCAAUCCAUUGGCGCUGAUUUCGCGGUCUUGCUCGAGCGGCGAGAUCGAGAACUCGACGCCGGAGUUGACGUCGGAAACGGCGGCGACGGCGACGUUCUUGAGCGCUAGCCUCAAGAUUUGGGUGGAAUUGAGGGGGUGCUUCCGCUCCAGGCUGUGCUGGAGGACAGUGACGCGGACGGGGUGGUCGAGACGCGGAGAUCGGAUCCGGGUGCAGAGGCACGUGCGCGCCGGCUUCGAGCAGGACGGGCAAACGGGUCACUUCGGAUUGGUGGAGCGGGCCGUUUCCGCCAUUUUCGCCGACCGCGGCGGACGCUGGCGGCGAUCCGGCUGGGGGAAGGAGGGAGCUUGAGGAGGAGGAGGAGGAUGGUCGGGGACGCGUAUCGAAACGGGCUCGGAUUCAGGUUCGGGAACGGGUUCGCGAAUCGGAUACGGGUUGCGAAAUGGACCCGCAUUUUCCCAGAAAUUGGGAGAUGAUUUUUGGGAAUCUGAAAAAAACGGUAGGGGCCGGAGCGGGCGGGGGCGCUGUUUGGCCAAAACGGUCGAGCAAAUGGUUUUGAAUUUACGAAAGAGCGUGCCAGCGGCGGCCUCUGUGAUUCAAAUCCGAAAAAUAGUGUGCAGAGGCCAAUCGAUGACUGCCGCCGUGAGGCAAGGUUGGAUAUCAUGAUAGCGACCAAGUGGUGGAGAUUGUUCUUGUGGGUUUAUCAUGCCAUGAGAUGGCAACUACUGCGGCGAUGGUCGAAAUCAGGAUGAUGAAUGACUGAAAUCAUGCAUCUAGACCACAGUAAGUAUCCACUUAGAUCAAAUGGUCAACAAGUUAACAAUUGAGGCCCAUGAAGAUUUUAGCAGAGGAAGUUGAUAUGUUCUUUAGAUCCUCGGACGGCGGUCGCGGUUUGCACUUCAGAUUGUAAUAGCAGCCUUGGGGUUCCUCCUUUCAAAGUCUUAUGGGUAUUUAUCACUUAGACGUCCUAAGCUUCAUAUCAGAUGCUAAUGAUGUUGCUGAACUUCACAUGAAAUCGCCUUCUUGGAAUUUGCAUGAGUAUUGUCCAAUUUCAACUUGGUGAGGAACUUUUUGGCCGAAAAAAUAAAUAAAUUUGGUUGAUGUUUCAGGUUAGCCAAAGGACGAUAUAUCUGAAUAUCUAAGAAACCAGAGGACUAGCAGAGUCUACUUCCUGUCUGGCUUAGAACUGAAAGGAAAAUUUAUAAAAAUUAUUAUAUGAUUGAUCUUUCCAAAAUGUUGCCUCCUAAAGAAAAGAGAGAAUUUUGGCCAAUACCGCCUUUAAUUUGUUUGUGUUUAGAAAUGAUUUUGAACAUGAUAUUGCAUAAACUUGUCAAUUGAAAAUGUUGUGCCACACAUGUUGCUACUCUCUCUUUUGAAUCAUACCAACUUGACAUGGAUUGAAUUGUUUCAACAUUAAACUAUUUAGAAUAUUUAUUCUACUUAGUGAUUUUAUCAUAUUUGGAAACAUAGGCCGGCAAGUUUCUUUUCGCUCUUUGUUGUCAAAAGAAGAAGAAAGAAUUGCAUAGCUAUCACCUCUGUUUUGACAAAUAUAGUAGCUUCCCAUGUCUGGGGUAAGACGGUGAAACUCGCAAGGGUUCGUCUUAAGUCAGCUUGUGCUUCGCACAAUGUCCUGUAACCGACUUGUUAGCUUAGUACCCCAAUUACCUUAUACUCCUUUUCUUCAAUUAUUAUUUUAGCACACAGAGAGAGGACCAAUGCUGAGGUCUUGAUGAGCACCGACUACCCUUGAGCAACCACUUCAACACUUCCUUGAAGAGAGAGGAAACACCCCUCCUUCUCUUCGUUUCCAUUUUCCUAUUAUUUUGUUUUUUGUUUUUUUUGGUGAUCUUUGCCUUUUAUUUUUUAAAAUUUUUUGCCUUUUCUUUGAGAUGUCACAUCAGCACCAUGCGUUCUAAAAUUUUUUAGAAAUGUCAUAUCUCCACUUUCAAAAGAAAUGAAAGAAACGUUGAAUAUAGACAGAGAAGGGGCUGGUCUUGUAUCCAAUUCAUGCCACGUCAGCAAGUUGGUAAUGUCCCUAGCCAUGAAUUAUGGAGGAACUUGAUUUCAUUAACAGAGAAAAGCUAAAGGACAUAUUUCUUCUUUUUCCCCCAAGAAUGACAGCACGUGUAUUCGGAGGAAGCUCCUCGAGGCACGGUCCGUCCUUCAGCCACAUGUUAGAUAUAAUAUUGGUAAAUGGUGAUGAACAUCAUAGUUUCUUAUGGAAUGAUCCUUGGCAUCCUCAUGCGGUGUUGUUUGGAUGUUUAUCCUAAAAAAUUAAUUUAUAAUGCUGCACUGGCCCUGAACUCUCUAGUUGCUGGUGUCAUUUAUGGAGAUGAGUGGGUUUGUCCUCCAGCAGGAUCAGAAUUUUUUGUGCAUAUUCAAGCAGCCAUAUGUGGAACGAUCUUUCCCCUGCUCUGCUUUUGAGGGCAGAGCAAUUUUCAAAGGAAAUUCCUUCGGAUGCUUUACUCAGCUGAUGCUUGGAAGCGAGUAAGGAUAAAAUGCAGAAGAUCUAAUCCAAGGCAUAAAUUCAGCUUUGUAGCUGCUUGCUAUCUUGAACAGACUGCAACUUGGACGGGAUAAAAUGGGGGUCCUCCAUUGAUGACAAAUGUGUCUUAUGCUCUUCUUCCCGAGUCUAGGAAACCUUUGUGUUUUGAGGGUGCCUUCUCAAAGGAUGGAGAUUUCUAAUGCGGCUGGUUAAAGUUUGUUGGAAUGUUAAUAAUUGGGAUAGAAUGGGUUCUCUAGAGCUUGUAGAGGGAGGUCUUUGACUAAAAUCGUAUUGAAACUCAUUUGGAAUGGUGCCAUCUACUCUAUUUUGGGGAUAGGAAUGAAGUUUUUCACAAUCAUGCUGCUCCUCCGUCUGCUGAAGCUGUUAAAAUGGCGGUCUUUGGUGUGAGACUUCGCAUCAAGAUGUUGCAAGAAACAAAGAGUCUUUCGAAGGAUGCAGAGAAAGCUUUGUGUAUGUUAUUUCGAAUUGUUUGUUAAGCCUGGGUGUUUUCUGUUGUUCUUUCUCUAGGCUUCAUAUACUAACCUGAAAAAAAGAGCUAACGGAAUUAAUUGCAAGUUAGAGGAUUUCACAGCACAAAAAUGAUAAAGCAAGACCGUAUCUCAUGAGAUACGGUUUUUUUUUUUUUUUUACCGACCAAAAAACAAAAGACCGUAUCUCAAUAUAAGAUUUGCAUUUUACGGGAUUGGUUCUUAUUUUCUUUUUAUGGUUUCGAGUGCCACUCACCACGUGUCAUCUUUCCAUGGAGGUUGGACCUGGCCGCUGGUUCCUUGAUGUUGGUCCGGUCCUGACUGCCAUUGACUCUGUUUUUCCAUUUCAUAAAAAUGCCCGACCAUUGAUCUUUCUCGAGUACCCCCAAAGCCUGACGAAUCCAUAAACUCCUGAAAAUUUAAAUUGGCAACCUCCUGAAAUUCCUGACGCUAAUUUCUUCCGUGGUCCAGAUUGCCAGAGCAGCUUCGGUCCUUCCUUUUCAUCUAUGUUUGCUACUUUGGAAUUUCCAAUUUCGUCGGUUCUUUUCUAUAUCUGCUAUUUACCCACUCUGAGGGAUCUUCAGGUGGUUCUACUUACUGGGCGAUUUUUCUUUCGUUUUUUUUUUUUUUUUGGUUGGAUGCUUACUGGGUGAUUGGGAAAGGGUUUAGUAUGGCUUCUUUUUUACAGAUGCAGAUCUUGUCUGACUUCAUUCUUUUCUAGUUAGCUCGAAGUUGUCUCCUCUCUUGUAGCUCAGAAUAAGAGAUGCCUAGAGAGGUUGAUCCAUUUCGGAGGCAUGUGGAGGUUGUGGCGAACAAGUGGAAGUGUAAGUUUUGUGGCAAGGAUUUUGGUGGAAGUGCUACAGGGAUCAGGGCACACCUCGUGGGGGCUCUGGACUAUGGUAUUAAACUAUGCGAGACAGUUGAUGAGCAUGUGGGAUCCCAAGCUUUGAAAGUGAUUAAAGGUAAAAGUGUGGCGGAUGCAACCAACAGGGGAGGCGCAUCUAUUGAGGUAAUGGGACGAAGAAGUGACGGCAUGGGCCAAAUUGUAGUCCUUGGUAGUGACCAUGCUUCGAGUCCCCAUAGUAUGCAGGACUCGAAUCGAAACGUCCUAGAGCAACCAUCUUGCCAUUGGCAGAAUGGAAGUGUUGCUGGUGCAGCUUCAGUAGAUUGUCAGUAUCAAGAGACCUUGUGUCUCGUUGGCAUGCCAGUGCGUGAUGCAGAAUUGCCCCCGCAAGGGCCGCAACCCAAUGGGUCAAUUCAACGCUUGAAUGAUGAACAUGGAAACGAAAAAACUUCAUCUCUCCAGCAACCUGCAACCGAUCCUUUGGCUUCGAUUUUUCUUGAUCCAAAGUCAACUACCAGAGCUCUUUGAUCAGUGUAUUGAUCUGGAGACGAGGCAUGAACAACGGAAUAGUAGAGGGCCAUCACCAUUGCAAAGUCAUCGAUCCCUUAAUAACAGCGUGACAAAUGAGUUGCAUCAAGUCAACUAGACCUGGUGGUGCUGCGCCUGGUCCCCGUCUCAGUGACACAAGUACAAUUGGCACUCCCCAGCAUCCCAAUCAAAACUAAUUUGGGCUUUGAUGAACAAUGGAGAGGUGAAAAUGCUCCAUGUCCGCAAAAUCUUCAGCAGAGUGGGUGACUUAUCUUCUCGAUAUGCCCUAUCAGCCACAGCAUUCCAUUCCAUCUUGUUAUUCUGAGGAAAUGCCAAUGAAUGACCUGCAGAAUCGAAUGGGUCCAUUGUCAUCACAAAAUGAUCAAUCCCUUGACGUUCAAAUUGUUUGCAAGACUGCAAUUAAAUCCCUAUUGCCGAAGUAGUUCCGCUGUCCAAUGCUACAAGCGUAACCAAUGCCGUUGAGCAUUUUAGUCGACAGCCACUUCUUAUACGUGAUGAAGAAUGUGAAAAUGAGAGUAGUUCCUUUCCCUCACAAGCUUCAAUGGACAUAUCUCCGCCAAGUGCAUCACAGCCUUCCUCUGGCCCUCAUUCUUUUGAGAAACCGGACGUAGAUUCCCAAGUUCCACAGGGCGGAACUAACAAGGCCCAUUGUCAUUACAAGGUAUGCGUUGAAGUGAUCCUUCUCUUCUCUUUUCUACUGUCUCCUAUUUAACAUCUCCCACGUUUUCCUAAUUAUAGGCGUAUCCUUGAAUGUUUCAUAUGUGUACUUUCUCUUAUUUUUUAAUGAUGAAUGUUAUAUGAGAAUAUCAAACGGAUGUAAAUGUUAGUUUCAGUGUAGAUGUUUUGUGGGAUUAAGUCUAGAUUUUGACUCUACUUACGCUUGUGGCUUGUUUUGAAAAUUCAAUGGUUGAUUGAUCAGGAUUGUUAAUGAUGAUUUUAAUCUGCUUUACUUUUGCAACCAGCUUCCAGGCACCCUCCAUGUCAAAGUCUUCUAGAUCAACCUCUUAAUCUUGAGACGAUGAACACAGAGCAUCACCCAAGCGUGUCAUCGUCAUCAUCACAGAGUAACCAGUUCUUGAUUACAUGUUUCCCACAAGCUCCGAUGGACAUAUCUGUGAGUAGUCCAUCAUCACCGCGAGGUACAUGUUAAUUCAUCUAAAUUGAUCCUUAUGUAUCCUGAUGCUACUUAAUUAGGGAGAAGCAUGAGUGCUUACAUUAGGAUCUAACACGUAGAAUUCUUGAUUCACAAUUAUCUAUUAAUAGAGUCAUUCAAACGCUGGCAACUUUGAAAAUAAUGGAGCUUUGAAAAGAAAGGUAGAAUGACUCUACAAUAGAGAAGCUGACAUAAAGAAUGAGUUGGAAUUUGCUGCAUCUCUAUCUCUGAAGAAGCAGAGAAUAGAAGUUGUGAAUUGGUUGACAAACGUGGAAAAGCAGAGGAAAAAUUUCCAAAGUCUUGAACCAGCCAGCGCAGAAAAUUUGCGACCACAAUAACAGGUGGACAUGUUGAUGGAAGAAGCGGGAAGACCUUAUCAUAAAAAGCAAAUUUCCAGAAGGACCGUUUGAGGUGGGAGAUGCCAAAGUCAAUAUAUUAUUAGAACGAAAGUUGCAGGCGGGAAAGGCAUUUGAGACAAAUAAAUACUAAGAAGAUCUUGAGGUGCCUAAUAGAGGAUCGCAUAUCAUGAUUAGGCAUUUACAAUAUGGGAGGUGUCGGGAAAACAACCAUUAUGGUGCACAUACAUAAUAGGCUCCUAGAAAAAGCAAACCAUAUUAAUGUAUUGUGGAUUGCUGUGUCACAAGAUCUCAACGUUUAUAAGUUGCAAGGUGACAUUUAGAAAAAAUUUCAUGCAUGGGUGUUAAUUUGGAUAAUGCUUACUAUUUAUUAAAACAUUGAAAAUAUAUCAUUUCGUAGAUUCUAAGAAGGAAUAAUAAUAAAAAAUUAAAGUAACGUGAGGUGGAGUAAAAACAAUCACAUCUUUAAGGGGUAAUAUCACCGAAAACCCAAAACUGGUACAUAUGCUCUAAAAUUAUUUUUAAACUUAAAUUGAUAUAUUUAUGGUAAAUUUAUCCUUUAAUAAUUUUCAUUAAAUUUUACAAUUAAAUUAUUAAGUUGGAUGACAUGUGGUAAUUGAUGAGUAUAUCAAUUUGGGAUUUUACCUUCAAUUUAUCAUAUGUGUAUGAAUUUGUAGUUUUUUGUAGUAUUAAUCAAAUGUAACGGAAAUCAAUGGAUGAUAAAUUUGUCACAAAUUCACAAGUUUUGAAUUUUUGGUGUAAAAAUUAGUUCGAGAUAAAUUUAUUACAUGUGUAAUAAUUUGGGAUUUUUGUAAUAUUAACCCUAUUUAAUUAGAGUAGAUUAAAAAAGGAUAUGAUAAAAUUAUAAGUGGUUUUUUUAGUUUAUAGAUAUAAAAUUCGGUCACGUCAAUCUAAGUACUAUUGAGGCACGUUAUUAAGGGGUCUAAUCGUCUCAUUCAAAAGGGCAUUUUCGGAAGAUAAAGUGCUGGUCAGGAGAGCUUUAUAAAUAGUGAUGUGGCUUCUUAUAAAACGUUUUUUGUCCUGACUUGGUAUGAAACGUUUUUUGUCCUGACUUGGUAUAAAACGUUUAAAUGUUUUAUACGAAGUCAGGAAAGUUUUGUCAGAAGUGACGCGGCUUCUUUCUUAUAAAAUGGCCCCAAAGGAUGCCCCACUCGACAUCACAGCACGGAGAGACGGAGGAGUAGAGAGAGAGAGAGGUGAAGAGCGACGACGGUGGAUUGCAGCCCGUCGAAAGAAAGGGUCGAGCGACGCCUGAAAUCUCCAUUUCCGAGCACCAGGCAAGAGAUUUUACCUCUAUUUCUCACGAGUUUGCGAUUUUCGUUUUUUUAAAAGUUUAAUAUCCGGACCUAUGUAGGGUUUUGCUUUACCGGCAACGCUUCGGCCGCCAAAAUCCAACCAUAUUUUGAUUACCCACAUCUCCUUGAGUCUAGAGGGAUUUCGCAGAGUUGUAGUUGGAGUCAGAUUCGAGAGAAACGAACUCUCCAAGUCCUCCUCUCUGCGCCGCAGGUGAAGAGUGUGUGCCGCCUGACUUCUUGGCUAAGCCACCUUUCGGGGCGGCGACCUGUCGAAUCUCGUAAUUCUAGAAUUAAUUAUUUUCUUGAGAAGGGAGUCCGCAAUUCCCAAGGUGUCUUUGAGUUAGAUCGGGUGUUUUUCGUCUCAGAAACAGCAAAUUGUUCUUGGGUCUGUUGGAUAGUAAUGUGCAGUUUGGCUUUCCCGCUUUAGUACUUGCGGAUGCUAGUGUUUGCUUUACACAAGAUCGGUGGGUUAUAUAGUUGGGUGCGCUCUCUUUGCCUGCAGGUUGAUAAUCAAGACAACAAGAUGCCGCGACCUGAAGAUAUAGCCUGGAAAUUCGUGCUUAGACUGGAGGGCAAGAGAUGGCGUUGUCCUUACUGCCAUAAAGAAUCCUCUGGAUCAGUCACAAGAGUGAAAAGUCACUUUCUUAAACAAGCAAAAGAAGGGAUUGCCUAUUGCACAAAAGUGCCAGAGCACAUACGAACACUAAUGGAAUUGUUACUCAAUCAUGAGGUGACUUUAGUACUUGUAGUAGCUACAUUAUCUGCUUGAGAAUAGUGCUAUGCGCACUAAGAAGAUGUAUAAAAAAUAGGGAUAAUAUAUGAUGGGGUGCGCUCUAUUUGCUUGCAGGUUCGUAACAAAGAGGAUAUAGCUUGGAAAUUCGUCAAUAGAUUGGAGGACAGCAAAUGGCGAUGUCAUUACUGCAGUGUAGAAUUCUCUGGAGACCUGACAGGACUGAAAGGUCACUUGCUUGGAGUCCCAAAUGAAGGGACUUCCAUUUGCACACAAGUGCUGGACCACGCAAGAGCACUAAUGCUGUUGUUACUCGAUGAGGUGGCUGAAGAAGAGAGCAGAGAGGUGGCUGAAGAACAGAGCAGAGAAGCCCACGGUCAAUCCUCCAUCGAACCAAAUUCCCGUGACAUGCCGAGUCAAGCUGAGGUGGCUGAAGAAGAGAUCAGAGAAGCCAACCGUCAAUUUUCCACGGAACCACAGUCGCCUGACAUGCUGUCUCCAGCUGUUCCUCGCUCAUCACAAAGCUUGGAAGAUAUAGAAAACUUAUUCACAACAACAGAGGGGGCGACCGACUUGGGAAACUUAGACUAUAACCUAGAGCGUCAAUUUUAUGAGACUUUGGCAAUGCCGCCACCGGCACAAAAUAUCCAUGGUAUGUUCAUGUGAAGUUUCCAUCGAUGCAUCUAGGCAUGGAGAAAAUAUAUCUAUUGUAUUUUUCAAUGCAAACGCGUCGGGUUUUUUUAACCAAAGUGGCGACUUUUAAAAAUCUUCUAUAAAAAUGAUCUUCCUACGGGACUUUCCAAAUGUGAAGAAAGUCAAUCACCUAUUCCUUAACAACAGUACGCAUUGAAUGUGUUGCAUGUGCCGAUCGGACCCACGGGAUGCAAUAAACUACAGUACGCAUUUUCUCGUGUUCCAAUCAGCCAUAUCCUAAUUUUGAUAAACAACACACAGGUGAAAGCUUGUCACGUUCAGCGAUGGCUUUAGCAGAAGGAGAAUCGUUUCUUCUUGAUUCGCCAUGUCAGCCACAAUGUUCCAAUCGAUCUCCUUAUCCCGAGGAAAUGCAAAUGAAUGACCACCGAACUCCAGCCGGGGCAUUAUCAUUCCAGUAUGUUCCAUUACCUGCUGUAGGUAAUUCAAAUUGCUUCCAGGACUGCAAUGACUCUCAAUUGCAAACUCCAGUGGACGUAAAUCCCUCAAUUACAUCACAGCGUACAAAUCACAUUACUGGGGCACAAAUCAAUGAUUCGAAAGUUCCAGAGGCGGCAACAAAUACAAUGGGCCCAUCAUCAUCACAAGGUUUGUAUGGAUUAAUCUACAUUGCUACUAUGGUUAUGUUAGAUCCUUGAAUAUCUCCAUAUUAUUUUAUCGAAAUCUAACAUAUGAUUUUUUAAACAAGAUAGGAACAUGGAUUAUCCAAUCAAGAACAUGCUGAGCAUCACUGCAUAUUCUAUAUGUCCGAUAUCACUUUUUAUCACAUUAUUACUUUCUUCAAAAUAUUUAACUCUAAUGCGGUCGUUACUCGAUGAGGUGGCUGAAGAAGAGAGCAGAGAGGUGGCUGAAGGACAGAGCAGAGAAGCCAACCGUCAAUCCUCCACAGAACCACAAUCACGUGACAUGCCCACUCAUGCUGAGGUGGAGGCUGAAGAAGAGAGCAGGGAAGCCAACGGUCAAUUUUCCACGGGGCCUUUAUUCUCACCAGGAUUCCUCCUCGAAGAUAUGGAACAGUUAAACUUCAGCCAACAGGAUGUCAUUUGGUUAAACUCUGCCCAACAAUCACAAACAGAGCGUCAGUUUCAUCAGAGUUCAACAAUGCCGUCACAGGUGCAAAAUAGCCAUGGUAUGUCCAUGUAAAGUUUUUAUACAUUCAUCCAGGCGUGGAGAAAAGAAAAAUCAUUAUAUUUUUCGUAUUAGUAACUCUCUCUAUAAUAACUCAAUUUCAUCCGCUUCCAUAUCGUAUCGAUUCCAAAUUACAGUUGUAUCAUCGCAUAUUCUAUAUGUCCGAUAUCAUUAUCUUUUUACCGCACCGUUUAUUUCAUCAAAAUAUUUACUUAUGAGCAUAUGUUGACUUUCGCUAUAAAUAUAUUUUUUUUAAAUCGAGUUCUAGACGUUCGUUUUACCUGUACCCAUGGCUUGAUUUAAAAGUCCCAUUGUUGAUUUAUUUUACGCUUGCCUUUUUUAGUGCAACCAGUUUUGGUGGCCCCUCAACAUCAAAAUGCUCCACAUCAAUCCGAGACAAGGAAUGUGCUGCAGAAUCCAACUGCACAAUCAUCAACAGCUCUAAGGGAUAUGGAUUUACGUAUCCAAUCUUCAUCGCAAGCUUCAAAUGCUGCUCCACAGUGGCCGACAGACGUUUCAAACUUCAACCAACAGGAUAUUAAUGAGCUAAACUCUGGUCAACAAUCACAAGCAGAGCGUCAAUUUCCUCAGAGUUCAACAAUGCCGUCACUGGCACAAAAUAGCCAUGGUAUGUUCAUGUGAAGUAUCUAUACAUUCAUCUAGGCGGGGAGAAAAACAUCUAUUAUAUUUUUCAACGCAAACACGUGGGAUUUUUUAACGGAAGUGGUGACUUUUAAAUAUCUCCGAUAAACAUGCUUUUUCCACACAACUUUUCAAAUAUGAAGAGAGUCAAUAACCUAUUCCUUAAUAACAGUACAUCCAAUGUGUUGCACGUGGCCACUAGACCCACUGGAUCCAGUAAACUAACUACAAUAAGUAUUCUCUCAUGUUCCAAUCAAUCAUAUCCUAAUUUUGAUGAACAACACACAGGCGAAAGUUCCACGAUGGCUUCAACGGAAGAAGUGCCGAAUUCUCAUAAUUUGCUAUGUCAACCACAUUGUUACAUUCAAUCUCAAAUACAAAUGAAUGACCAGCAUACAAGUGACUCUCACAUUAUUGAGCCAACAACGGUUGAUUCGCAAGUUCCAGAGGCGGCACCAAAUGCAACGGGCCCAUCCUCAUCACAAGGUGCGUUUGGAUUAAUCUUCAUUGUUACUAUAUGGUUCCACUAGAUUCUUAAAAAUCCCCAAAUUAUUUUAUCAAAAUCUAACAGAUGUUUUUUUAUAAAUUAGAUAUGAACAGGGGUUCUCCAGUCAUGGACGUACGGAGCAACUAUGCCAACGAUGAAGAGAUAAGAAACCUGAAAAGAAAAGUGGAAGAACUCGAUGACAAAGACGCUGUCAUAAAGGAGCAGAUGGAGAUAGAGUCUGCUGCUUCCUCACUUCGGAAGAAGCCGAGGAUAUUGGUUGAUAGAUGGCUAAAAGAGACAGAAAGAGCAAGAAAUAAUUUCCAAAUAAUUGGCCAAGCCAAUGCGGAAACUUUGCCACCAAAGGAACAGGUGGAGAAAUUGACGAGAGAAGUGGAAGAACUCAUAGGAAAAACGCUUCCACAACCACUGCUCAUAGAAGAGAGAGAUGCCAAAGGAGUCAAACUUUUGGAACGAAAGUUAACAGGUGAAGGGAUUCAUAGGAACAUUGAGUUGAUUUGGGACCGUCUGAAGGAGAAUCAUGCAUGCAAAUUGGGUAUUUAUGGAAUGGGUGGUGUUGGGAAGACAACUAUUAUGAUGCACAUACAUAAUAGACUUCUCGAAGAUGCAACCUUCGAUGGUGUGGUUUUUAUCACUGUGUCUCAAGAUUUCAGCAUUAAGAAGUUGCAGAGUGAUAUUUGGAAGGCAUUAAAAUGUGGCGUUAUGGAGGAUGAGGAUGAGAAGAAACAAGCAGCGAUAUUGUCGGAGCAUUUAGAAAGAAAGAAGAAUUGUGUAUUGAUUCUUGAUGAUGUGUGGGAACGUCUUGAUCUUGAAGAGGUGGGAAUCCCUGUUAGAGCUGAUGGAUGUAAGUUGAUCUUAACCAGUCGAUCCUAUUAUGUGUGCUGCCAGAUGCAAUGUCAAGAGAAGAUAAAAAUUAAACCUCUAUCUCAAAUAGAAGCCGAGAGUCUAUUUUUGGAGGAGCUUGGAUCCGAAGUUCCACUUAAUUCGGAAACUGAAGCAAUUGUGAAGUCCAUUGUUGAAGAAUGUGCUGGAUUGCCAAUUGGAGUCAUCACGAUGGCAAGAAGCAUGCGAGGAGUGACUGAUGUGUUUGAAUGGAGGGAUUCCUUGGUUAAAUUGGAAGAAUCAAGUAAGGGGCAAACAGAUAUGGAGAAGAAGGUCUUAAUGAAUCUAAAAUUUAGUUAUGAUCGCCUUGGUAAUCCUGAUGUGCAACAAUGCUUCUUAUCUUGUGCACUUUAUCCAGAAGAUGAAUUGAUUGAUAAGUUCGAGUUGGUAGAAUUCUUUAUUGACCAAGGAUUGAUUGGUGGAUUGAAUGCGUGGACAGAACAAUAUGAUAGAGGCCUCACCAUAUUGAACAAACUACGAAAUGUUUGCCUAUUGGAAGAUCAUGGGAGCGAGACGAAGAUGCACGAUUUGAUUAGAGACAUGGCAUUGCACAUCAUGAGUGCAACUUCCAUUGUAAAGGCAAGAAAGUGGUUGGAAAGUAUUCCAUCUGAGGAAUAUUGGACAGAUGCUUUGGAGAAAGUUUCUCUGAUGGGAAGCAAAAUAAGUGAAAUGUCACCAAAUUGUCCUAAACUAUCAACUUUACUACUGAAUGGAAGCUUGUUAGAGGAUGCGGUCCUCCCUGGUUCUUUCUUCAAACAGUUAUGUGGGCUAAAGGUCCUAAACCUGAGUGACUGUGAACUAACGGAACUUCCAAAUUCCAUCUCAGAUUUGGUAAACUUGAGGGCACUAUUGCUUAGAAGGUGUCGGGAAUUGUGCCAUAUUCCUUAUUUAGGCAAGCUCACAUCUUUAAGGAAGCUGGACGUUAGUGACUGUUUUGAGCUUGAAGAAGUGCCCGAGGGUCUGGAAAUGUUGGUGAACUUGAGAUACCUUGACCUAUGUUUUUCAUUGACCGUUGAAUUACCUAAAAUAAUACUGGGGGGUUUGCUAAACUUGCAGCAUCUUAAAGUUUAUUUUCUAGAUGGACAAGACAUGACAAAAUUGAGGGCACUGGAGACACUCAAAUGCUUUUUUGAAGAUGCGAAUGAUUUCAAUAAGUGUGUGAGGGUUAUUGAACAGAGUAACCUUCUCUGCUAUUAUUAUCUUUGUUAUUAUAUCGACAAAAAAUAUCAUGAUGAGGAAGAAUGUGAUAUUACUCAGGACAGGGAAGUCAAAAUUUGGGGGUGGGAUCAUGCUAUUGUGAGUGUGGGAGGGGAAUGCACCGGCAUUUUUAUUUUGAUUCCCCAAGACGUGCAGAAAAUGACGAUUUGUUGGAACGGUAUAACAAAUUUGUCUAGCAUAGGUCCGCUUGAAUACCUUGAGGAGCUAGAUAUAGAAGACUUAAACAACUUAGGGGUGCUCUGUGGAGGAGAAGACAAAGAAGUAAUCGACAUCUUUGCCCCAGCCCUUGCGCCUCUCCUCUUCUCGAGCCUUAGGGUUUUGAAAAUAUGGAGUUGUCCGGAACUGAAGUAUGUCUUUGGGCAUGGGUCUAAAUCCAACCUUCCACAUCUACGAGAGAUUGAAAUAGGGGGAUGUGAGGAGACGGUGGGGAUAAUAGCAGCAGUUACAUCCCCACCACCACAUCCGCUCCCAUUUUUCCCUAGUCUGGAACAGAUUAGCAUUACAGGCUGUUACGAGAUGAAGAGAGCGGUGGAAUCCGAGUGGAUGCCCCACUUCCCUAAUCUAAGAAGAAUCAAAGUAUCCGGAUGUGAGAUGGAGGAGAUAAUCGGAGGUCCUCCCCCAUACUCGCCGGAUGAACAGAUUUCUCUCGAAUCUCUUGAGGUAAGCUAUUGCGAUAAAAUGAGAAAGCUGCUUACGUAUGAGUGGCUGUUCCAUCUUCGAAAUCUUCAAAGUAUCUCUGUCACUUACUGCAAAGAAAUGGUGGAGUUGAUAAGCGGAGCGGGACAAGGCCAAGAAGGAAGCAUAACGACUUCUGUAAACAACACUCCUUCCUCCUUCCAGCCUUCUUCAAUUUCUCUCCCAAAGCUAGAGUGUUUGGAGCUACGCUAUCUACACCAGCUGAAGAGCAUAUGCGAAGUCCCAAUAAGCUGCGAUUUCAUGAAAAGAUUGGACGUGUGCAGAUGCCCAGAACUGAAGAGGAUUCCUUUGCAACUGCGAUUGUGUGAAAUUGAGGAGCUUCCGUAUAUUUUGGUGGAAGAUGAGGAAAAGUGGAAGACGUUGGUGUGGGAUCAUCCCAAUGCUCAGGCUAUUCUUCGACCUUAUCUCCGAAAAGGGCCACGCUGGCCUCCAAAUGCUAUAGGUUAAUGAGUUUAAUUGAUAUACGAUUGCUUCACUUCUUAAAAGUCCUUUCAAAGAUAUAGCUUUUCUGUCUAUAUAGUCAUGCAGCUCUAAUAGUGGCCUUCUGUAGUACUGAACACCAAGUGAAAGCAUCUCCUGCGACUCCACUCUUGAAGAAAGAACCCUGCUGCUCGACCAUGCUUUCCUGCAAACUUGACUCAGGUUGCCAUAUGAAUUGACUUUUUUUGUGUGGCCCUGCUUUGUCUAUUUUGAAUGCGAUCGCAUGUUUCAUUGACUACUGGAAAUGAGUCUAUCUGGUCGAUAUUUCAGGUUAGUCAAAAAGCAAUGGAUCUGAAGAUUUGGGAAGCCAAGGGAAUAACAAAGUCUGUUUCCUAUCUUGUCUUAUAACUGAAAGGACAAUUUAUUAUCAUGGAUUGAAUUUCUUGGGAUAUUAGCCUUCUAAGAAAAGAGAGAAUUUUGUGCAGCACUACCUUUAAUCUGUUUUUGUUUAAAAAGGAUUUCAAAUAUGAUAUUGCUUUAACUUGUCGAUCGAAAAUAUUGUGUCAAAUACGCUGCUUUGCUCUGUUGGAUCAGAGCAACAUGACCCCAAUUAAACUUGUUUCGACGUUAAACUAUCGGGUAUAGAAUACUUGAUCUGCUUAGUAGUUGUAUCAUAUCUGGAAACGUAGGCCGGGAAGUUUUCNNNNNNNNNNNNNNNNNNNNNNNNNNNNNNNNNNNNNNNNNNNNNNNNNNNNNNNNNNNNNNNNNNNNNNNNNNNNNNNNNNNNNNNNNNNNNNNNNNNNUACUUUGAAUUAGAAAUGUAAAAAGACGAAGAAGAAAGAAUUGCACAGCUAUCACCCUCUUUAAAUGCCUCGAAGUUGUGGAUAGAUGGAGAACCCUACAGCUUCAGCUCAAGUAACCAAAAAUCAGAGCAGUAACCACUAGCAAGUCAAUGGAAAAAAGGCCAGCUUAUAGGAUGUGGCACUUUUGAAAGUGUUUACAUUGCAAGCAACCAGUAAGUUAGCUCUGGGAAUCUUAGACAUGUUCCAUUUUUUUAGAUAUCCAGUCAGCUAAACUUUGACAUAUUAAGUGACAGAAAAACCAGAUCUCUAUGUGCAGAGAAGGAGUUUGAGCUAUUGCGUAAUGAUCCAAAUUUAGCUGAGUGCAUCGAGCAGUUAAAGCAGGUAAUGUUUUUGUUAUGCUCUGGGAUCCAAUCUAUCCUCUCAUCCGAUCUAAAUAUGCUGGGAGGAAACUUUCUUUCAUCAUUUCCAAGUAAUUGAUUGCUUUGUUACUACAGGAAAUUCAGGUACUUAGCCAGCAUAGACAUCCGAACAUUCUGCAGUAUUAUGUAAGGGAAAUUGUGAGUCACAUUUCCACAGCAUCUAUGCGUCCCAACUCAAUGGGCGUUCAUUAUUUGACUAACCAAAAUUUCAACAUAUUCAUACAUACUCAGGUUGAGGAUUGGCGUUACAUAUAUCUAGAAUAUGCACAUCACGAUUCAAUAGACAAGUAUAUCCAGGAGCGUCUUGGGACCCUAACAGAAUCGGUUGUCAGCACUUUACCCGCUAUAUUGUGGCUGGAUUGGCUUCCCUGCAUGUUUUUUUUGGUAAAGAGGCUUCCCUGCAUGUUAACAACUCCAUACAUGGGUAAUUUUAAACCAUUGAUCAAGCAUCAUGAGAUGACUUGCAUAUUGGAUUAGGAUGAUUGGACCUUCUUCUUUGUGCCCCCAGACCUGUUAAAACUAUUUGGCUUGUGCAGGGAUUUAAAGGGAGCUAAUUUAUUUGUGGAUGCAUCUGGGAUAUUCAAACUUGCUGACUUUGGGAUUGCUAAACAUGUGAGUUUUUACCUCUUCACCGCAAGACUACUCAGUGCAUGUAGAAAUUCCUUGCUGAUCUGUGGUACAUUCGAAUGUGAAGUCAGGGACCCAGGGUGACUGCAUACUUCUCGUUAUUGGUUUGUGGCAUUUCAUAUGUGCAUAAAUCUAUCAUAGAUGGAUGAAAUGUUAUUAAGUAAUUUUCUUCACUUUUUUUCCCAUUGUUUCAGGUAAAGUUACCAUGUUGCAUGAACGGGAAAAGAUUUCUUGCUGUAAAUAGAUGCCGAAACCUAAUGAGAGUUCCCUUUCUACUGGUUUCUAAAAAGUUCCUAAGAGCGGUAGUGAAUAGAACGCAAUACCUUUGGCAAAAGGUUGUGGUGUUGUUUUUGCUGCUCCUCUGCAUUCCAAAAUAAGGAUAGAACUUAGUCAGAGUAAGUAAGGGCCUCCUUCCUAACAUGGGGUAAAUAAAAGUUUAUUAAUCCAUAGAAUGGAAUUCUGGACAGUAGCCAAGGUGUUGUUGCUCUCUUUUUGAGUUCUCAAGCAUUUGCUGAGGCCAUGUUGUUGAUUGCUUCAUGGUCCUUUUUCUCAGUAAUGAGCUAACAUGAGUUGAAAGUGGUUGAUUCAGUUAUCAAUAUGAUGUAUCUAUGUCUAUAAAGAUGUUGCUAUUUUAUCCGGUGUUCCAUGAACACACCAAGUAGUAUUCAGCUUUACUAAUGCCGUACCAUUUCUUAGCUAACCGGACAAGCAGCUUGCCGCUCUUUGAAGGGAAGUCUAAACUAGAUGGCUCUAGAGGUACUCUGCUUUUGUUAACGUUAAUGCGGCAUACUCAGAGGUCCUCCCCCAUACUCGCCGGAUGAACAGAUUUCUCUCGAAUCUCUUGAGGUAAGCCUUUGCGAUAACAUGAGAAAGCUGCUUACGUAUGAGUGGCUGCUCCAUCUUCGAAAUCUUCAAAGUAUCGAGGUCACUGAGUGCAAAGGAAUGGUGGAGUUGAUAAGCGGAGCGGGACAAGGCCAAGAAGGAAGCAUAACGANNNNNNNNNNNNNNNNNNNNNNNNNNNNNNNNNNNNNNNNNNNNNNNNNNNNNNNNNNNNNNNNNNNNNNNNNNNNNNNNNNNNNNNNNNNNNNNNNNNNNNNNNNNNNNNNNNNNNNNNNNNNNNNNNNNNNNNNNNNNNNNNNNNNNNNNNNNNNNNNNNNNNNNNNNNNNNNNNNNNNNNNNNNNNNNNNNNNNNNNNNGGAGCUUCCGUAUAAAACCUGUUCAUUCCCAUUUCCAGCAGCAGGCGAGUGCCCUUGUUUCUCUAGGAAUUGGGUUUCUGCCUUCAACGAGAGGAAGAGUCUUUGCUCGAUCCCUGGAUGCUGACUGGUGCUUCAGAUUCUCAAGAACAGCUUCUUAGCUCUACUUCUAUUUGUGCAUCUUUGCUACUUGCAUGCAUCUGAAUCUUCUUUUUCUGUCCUAACCGGUAUGUUGCUUCGUCCUCAUCUUUGCCAUUUUCCAUUUGUAAGAAUCAAAUAGAGACUCCAACUGAACAUCCUUAUUUGCCUGGAUCAAAUAUGUGCCCACUUAACAAGUAGAUCUGAUGGAUUCUAUGCGAAAUGAAGGGUUAAAUGACCUGAAUGUAGGUGGGUGGACUUAACUGUGAGAUGCAAUAAACUUCUCGAAGAGAGACCAAGAAAUAGAGAGAGAAGGGGCGAGAAGAGAAAGAGAGGAAGAGCGACAACGGUGGAUUGCAGCCCGUCGAAAGGGUCGUGCUACGCCACAAAUCUCCAUUUUCGAACACUAGACAAGGUUGUUCUAGCUCUAUUCCUCACGAACUUGGGAUUUUUGUUUGUAAAGUUAAUAUCCGGAUCUAUUUUGUAUUUUGCUUUGCUGGCAACGAUUCGGUCAAAAUCCAACGAUAUUUCGAUUCCCCACAUCUCCUUGUAAUUCUAGAAUUAAUUAUUUUAUAGAGAAUGUAGUCCGCAAUUCCCAAGUUGUCUUUGAGUUGAUCCGGUGCUUCUUGUGUCAAAAACAGGAGAUUAUUCUUGGGUCGUUGAAUAUAAUUUGCAGUUUGGCUCUCCUGCUUUAAUACUUGUGAUGCUGUUAUUUGCUUGNNNNNNNNNNNNNNNNNNNNNNNNNNNNNNNNNNNNNNNNNNNNNNNNNNNNNNNNNNNNNNNNNNNNNNNNNNNNNNNNNNNNNNNNNNNNNNNNNNNNAUGCUAUGCGCGCUGAGAAAUAUUCAAAUGAUCUCUACGUUAUAUGAUCAAGUGCACUUUCUUUGCCCGCAGGUUGAUAAUCAAGACGGCAAGAUGCCGCGACUUGAAGAUAUAGCCUGGAAAUUCGUGAUUAGACAGGGCAAGAAAUGGCGUUGUCCUUACUGCAAAAUUGAAUACUCUGGAUCAGUCACAAGAGUGAAAAGUCACUUUCUUAAACAACCAAAAGAAGGGAUUGUCUCUUGCACAAAAGUGCCGGAGCACAUAAGCACGCUAAUGGAAUUGUUACAGAGUCAGGUGGCUUUAGCACUUGUGGUAGCUAUAUUAUGUGCUUGAGAAUAAUGCUAUGCGUGCUAAGAAGAUUUAUAAAAAAUGGGGAUAAUAUAUGAUAGGGGUGCGCUCUAUUUGCUUGCAGGUUGAUAACAAAGAUGAUAUAGCCUGGAAAUUCGUCGAUAGACUGGGGGAAAACAAAUGGCGUUGUCAUCACUGCAGGGAAGAAUUCUUUGGAGACCUUACAGGAGUGAGAGGUCACUUGCUUGAAGCCCCAUAUAAGGGGAUUUCCAUUUGCACAGAAGUGCCAGACCACGUAAGAACGCUAAUGCGGUCUUUACUCGAUGAGGUGGCUGAAGGAGGGAGCAGAGACUUGGCUGAAGAACAGAGCAGAGAUGCGGAGCCACAGUCGCGUGACGUGCUGUCUCCAGCUUUUCCUCCGUCAUCACAAAGCUCGGAGAGGGCGACUGACAUGGAAAACUCCAACUAUGACCUAGAGUGUCGUUUUCAUGAGACUUCAGCAAUGCCGUCACUGGCACAAAAUAUCCUUGGUAUGUUCAUGUGUUUCUAUACAUGCAUCUAGGCAUGGAGAAAAAACAUCCAUUAUAUUUUUCAAUGCAAACACGUCGGGUUUUUUAACCGAAGUGGAGACUUUUAAACAUCUCCAAUAAAAACGAUCUUUCUACGGAACUUUACAAAUGUGAAGUAAGUCAAUUACCUAUUCCUUAAUAACAGUGCAUUGUCCACUGGACUCACUGGAUCUAAUAAACUAACCAUAGAAGGCAUUUUCUCGUGUUCCAAUCAACCAUAUCCUAAUUUUGAUGAACAACACACAGGUGAAAGCAUGUCAUGUUUGCCAAUGACUUUAGCGGGAGUGGAAUCGUUUCUUUUUGAUUUGCCAGAACGGUCACAAUGUUCCAUUCAAUCUCAAAUGCAAUUGAAUGAUCAGCAGACUCCAGCAGGGACAUUAGCAUCCCAUUAUGAUCAAUUACCUGCUGCAGGUAAGUCAAAUUGCUUGCGGGAUAGUAAUCAGCACUCUCAAUUGCAAAUUCCAGUGGACAUAGAUCCCUCAAUUGCAUCACAGCAUACGAUCGACUCUCACGUUAUUUGGGUAACAAUCCUUGGUUUGCCAAUUCCAGAGGUGGCAGCAGAUACAAUAGGCCCAUCAUCAUCAUCACAAGAUGUGUCUUGAUUAAUCUAAAUAGAUACUAUCAUUUCGUUAGAUCCGUAAAUAUCCUCAAAUUAUUUUAUUGAAAUUUAACAUAUGUAUUUUUGUAAAAUAGAUAUGAACAGGGGUUCUCCAAUCAUGAACGUACGGAGGACACCACAACCUCGCAGAUGGAUGGAACAGGUGGUGCAGGAGGACAGGGCGGUCGACAUCGCAAACCUCCCAUCGGAUGGUGCAACAAAUCACUCUAUCGCAUCUCCCCUGCCAAAUUCAUUGCUUGAUGAUGGGCCAAAUGAACUGUUGCCCAUUUUACCUGGGUAUCUAACAUUAAAUCCACAACGGUAUCAAUGUGCGUCAUUGCCAGCACAAAACCACCAGCUCCUUGAUAAUACUUUUCAGAAUGAGUCACGGGGGUCCAUUUUGCCUGGUCUCAUUGCAUCAGAUGCUCCACUCACUAACGUGGCCACAACAAACACUGCCCGGCAUUUUAAUCAACCAGAUCAGACCUUUCACAGGCAGUGUGAAGGUGGCACUGGCUUAUCUCCUCUACCGCUUUCCAUGGACAUAGAGCCACCUCUUCCAUCACGACCUUUCAAUGGACCUCCUAUUAUUGAGCCAUUUAAUUCCCCUCCGCAGAUUCCAGAGGACAUCUUAAACACAACUGGCCCAUCAACACCGGAAGGUAUAAUACCAUCGAUCUAUUAAAUGGGUCUCGAUAACGCUUAUUAACAAAAUCCAUAUUAUAUUUAUCAUUCAUGUGGUCUCUUGUAAACCCCAUGUUGCUUCUAUGGUGAGUAAGAAUGUUUCAAUUGGAGUCUAAUGCAUGAAGUUGUGGCUUAUAAAUUAGUGAUGCCAGAAGGUGCACCAGCAGGGACAUCAUCAUUCCAGUAUGAUCAAUUGGUGUAGGUAAUUCAAAUCUGGAUUGCAAUCAGCCACGUAUAUCUAGUGUAACAAGUGUAGCCAACACUGUCCCGCAUUCUAACCUAUCAUUCGAAGCUGCAAUGAAGAAUGUGGAACUAAAACCAGUUCGUUUCCCCUGCGAGAUUCGAGGGGCAUAUGUCCCAUCACUGCAUUACGGCCUAUUAGGUGCCCUCACAUCGAGGCAACACUUGUCAAUUUGCAAGUUCUGGAGAAUGGAGCAAAUAUGGCUGGCCCGUAACCAUCACAAGUGACUGUCUUGAUUUACCUAAAUAGAUAGUCAUUCCAAAUUAAUCAUAGGUAUUCCAACUCGAGUGAGCGUUGAUGUUUUCAUUGCAGAAGUGAUCCUUCUUUGUAUUAUUAACUCUCUUUUAGUAUGACUCAAAUUCGUCUAUUUCCAUAUCUAAUCUUUUCUCAAUUACCGUAGUAUCAUUGCAUGUUAUGUUUGUCCAACAUCACUUACUUUACGGCAUGGUUUUUUCAUCAAAAUAUUUUACUUAUCUGCAUGUUGAUUUUCCUUGUGGAUGUCUUUUGUGACCAAGUUCUAUGUUGUUUUACCUGUGUGCAUGGACACUCCAAUAUCUUAGUGCAACCAGCUCUGGUGCCCCCUCAACAUCAAAGUGUUCCACAUCAAGCUCCAAAUAAUACUCCUUCAGCUCCUCAGAUUCAACGUCGUGGAACAGGUCUGAUAGUCCCAUCGUCAUUGCCAGGUAUAUAGUUAUUUACCUAAAUUAAUCCUUAUGCAUCGAUCACCAUGUUAUGUUAUUAAGGGAAGCAAGAAUGCUAUAAUGAGACCGAUGGAUUUAAUUGCAGAAUUAGAUAUGAGCAAGGGUGUGCCACUAACGAGUCACACAAACAUAAACAACAACUUUGAAAAGAGUAGAGCUUUGAAAAGAAAAAUAAAGCAACUCUACAGUAGAGAAGCUGACAUAAGGGAUGAGUUAGAAUUUGCCGGGUCUCUAUCACUAAAGAAGCAGAAAAAGGAAGUUGAGAAUUGGUUGGCGGAUGUGGAGCAGCUCAGAAAAGAUUUUCAGAGUAUUGAAGCAACAAGUGAGGAUUGUUUGCCGUCACACCAGCAGGUGGAUACACUGACGCAACAAGCAGAAGACCUUAUGAAACAAGGCGAAUUCCCAAAAGGACUAUUUGGGGCGAGAAAGACCAAAGUCAAUAAGUUGAUAGAACGAAAGUUGGUGGGAGAGGCAUUUAAGAGAAAUACAACAAAGAUUUUGGAGUACUUAGUAGGGAGUCAAAUAUCCCGACUAGGCAUUUAUGGAAUGGGGGGUAUUGGUAAAACCACUCUUAUGAAGCACAUACAUAAUAGACUUCUCGAAAAAGCAAAUCAUGAUAAUGUGUUGUGGAUCACCGUGUCACAAGAUUUUAACACACAAAAGUUGCAGAACGACAUUUGGGAGGCACUAAAUUUAGGCACACUACAAGAAAAGGAGGUGGGGCAACGAGCAGCAAUGUUGUCCGCUGUUUUAACCGAAAGAGAGAAGUUGAUCAUAAUCCUUGAUGAUGUGUGGGAAGAUUUCAAUCUUGAAGAGGUGGGAAUCCCUGUUAGAGAAGAUGGAAAUAAGUUGGUCUUAACCACUCGAUCCCUUGAAGUAUGCCGCCGGAUGCAAUGUCAAGAAAUAAAAAUCGAACCUCUAUCUCUAGAAGAAGCUGAGGAUUUAUUUUUUGAGGAGCUUGGAUCCAAAGUGGCCCUUAAUUUGGAAACAAUUGUGAAGUCCAUUGUUAAAGAAUGUGCAGGCUUGCCACUUGGAGUCAUCACGAUGGCAGCAAGCAUGCGAGGAGUGACGAAUGUGUCUGAAUGGAGAGAUUGCUUGGAGAAAUUGAAAGAAUCAGAUGCCCCAACGGAGAUGGAAAAGAGAGUCUUAAAGCAACUAGAAGUCAGCUACGAUCGCCUUGAGAAACGUGAAGUUCAACAGUGUUUCUUAUCUUGCGCACUUUAUCCAGAAGAUAGAUUGAUUGAUAAGGUCGAGUUGAUAGAAUUCUUUAUUGACCAAGGACUGAUUUGUGGAUUGAAUAUGAAUACGAGGGAGAAAGAAUAUGAUAGAGGCUUCACCAUAUUGAGCAAACUGGAAAAUGUUUGCCUAUUGGAAGAUUAUGGAGAAAACAUGAAGAUGCACGAUUUGAUUAGAGACAUGGCAUUGCACAUCAUGAGUGCAACUUCCAUUGUAAAAGCAGGAAAGUGGUUGGAAAGUAUUCCAUCUGAGGAAUAUUGGACAGAUGCUUUGGAGAAAGUUUCUCUGAUGGAAAACGAAAUAAGUGAAAUUCCAUUGAACAUGUCACCAAAUUGUCCUAAACUAUCAACUUUACUACUGAAUGGAAGCUUGUUAAAGGAUGCGGUCCUCCCUGGUUCUUUCUUCAAACAGUUAUGUGGGCUAAAGGUUCUAAACCUGAGUGACUGUGAACUAAUAGAACUUCCAAAUUCCAUCUCAAAUUUGGUAAACUUGAGGGCACUAUUGCUUAGAGAGUGUCGGGAAUUGUGCCAUAUUCCUUAUUUAGGGAAGCUCACAUCUUUAAGAAAGUUGAACGUUGGUGGCUGUUCUAAGCUUAAAGAAGUGCCCGAGGGUCUGGAAAUGUUGGUGAACUUGAGAUACCUUGACCUACGUUUUUCAUCGACCGUUGAAUUACCUGAAAGAGUACUAGGGGGUUUGCUAAACUUGCAGCAUCUUAAAGUUUAUUUUCUAGAUGGACAAGACAUGACAAAAUUGAGGGCACUGGAGACACUCAAAUGCUCUUUUGAAGAUGCGAAUGAUUUCAAUAAGUGAACAGAGUAACCCUCGCUGUUAUUAUUAUCUCGGCAUGGCUCAAAAAGAUAUUUCUUAUUAUCGUGAAGCAUGUUAUUCUACUCAUGAGGAAUACCGUGAUAUUACUCAAAUUGAGAAUCGGAAGAGGGAAGUCAAAAUUUGGGGGUGGGAUCAUGCUAUUGUGAGUGUGGGAGGGGAAUGCACCGGCAUUUUUAUUUUGAUUCCCCACACCCGUGCAGAAAAUGACAAUGAUUGGUUGCGACGGUAUAACAAAUUUGUCUAGCAUAGGUCCGCUUAAAUACCUUGAGGAUCUAUGUAUAGGAUACUCAGAAAACUUAGGGAUGCUCUGUGGAGGAGAAGACGAAGAAGUAAUCGACAUCCUUGCCCCAGCCCUUGCGCCUCUCCUCUUCUCGAGCCUUAGGGUUUUAAAAAUAUAUGAUUGUCCAAAACUGAAGUAUCUCUUUGGGCAUGGGUCUAAAUCCAUCCUUCCGCAUCUACGAGAGAUUGAAAUAUAUGGAUGUGAGAAAAUGGUGGGGAUAAUAGCAGCAGUUACAUCCCCACCACCACAUCCGCUCCCAUUUUUCCCUAGUCUGGAACAGAUUAGCAUUAGUCGCUGUAACAAGAUGAAGAGAGCGGUGGAAUCUGAGUGGAUGCCCCACUUCCCUACUCUGAGAGGAAUCACAGCAAUUUAUUGUGAGAAGAUGGAGGAGAUAAUCGGAGGUCCUCCCCCAUACUCGCCGGAUGAACAGAUUUCUCUCGAAUCUCUUGAGGUAAGCCGUUGCUAUAACAUGAGAAAGCUGCUUACGUAUGAGUGGCUGCUCCAUCUUCGAAAUCUUCAAAGUAUCGUGGUCAGUCACUGCAAAGGAAUGGUGGAGUUGAUAAGCGGAGCGGGACAAGGCCAAGAAGGAAGCAUAACGACUUCUGUAAACAACACUCCUUCAUCCUUCCAGCCUUCUUCAAUUUCUCUCCCAAAGCUAGAGUGUUUGAAGCUACGCUAUCUACACCAGCUGAAGAGCAUAUACAAAGCCCCAAUAAGCUGCGAUUCCAUGAAAAGAUUGAAAGUGUACGGAUGCCCAGAACUGAAGAGGAUUCCUUUGCAACUGCCACUGCGUGAAAUUGAGGGAGCUUCCGCAUAUUUAUGAUGGAAGAUGAGGAAAAGUGGAAGACGGCUGAUGUGGGGAUCAUCCCGGAUGCUCAGGCUAUUCUUUCAACCUUAUCUCCAAAAAGGGUCAAAUGCUAUAGGUUAAUGAGUUUAAUUGGAUAUACGAUUGCUUCACUUCUUUAAAAGUCCUUUCAAAGAUAUAGCUUUUCUGUCUAUAUAGUCAUGCAGCUCUAAUAGUGGCCUUCUGUAGUACUGAACACCCAGGUGAAAGCAUCUCCUGCGACUUCACUCUUUGAAGAAGAACCCUGGCUGCUCGACCAUGGCUUUCCUACCAACUUGGACCUCAGGUUGCCAUAUGAACUGACUUUUUUUGUGUUGCCAUGCUUUGUCUAUUUUGAAUGCGAUCGCAUGUUUCAUUGACUACUGGAAAUGAGUCUAUCUGGUCGAUAUUUCAGGUUAGUCAAAAAGCAAUGGAUCUGAAGAUUUGGGAAGCCAAGGGAAUAGCAAAGUCUGUUUCCUAUCUUGUCUUAUAACUGAAAGGACAAUUUAUUAUUAUGGAUUGAUUUUCUUGGGAUAUUAGCCUUCUAAGAAAAGAGAGAAUUUUGUGCAGCACUACCUUUAAUCUGUUUUUGUUUAAAAAGGAUUUCAAAUAUGAUAUUGCUUUAACUUGUCGAUCGAAAAUAUUGUGUCAAAUACGCUGCUUUGCUCUGUUGGAUCAGAGCAACAUGACCCCAAUUAAACUUGUUUCGACGUUAAACUAUCGGGUAUAGAAUACUUGAUCUGCUUAGUAGUUGUAUCAUAUCUGGAAACGUAGGCCGGGAAGUUUUCUUUUCACCCUUUGUCAUACUUUGAAUUAGAAAUGUAAAAAGACGAAGAAGAAAGAAUUACACAGCUAUCACCCCUCUUUAAAUGCCUCGAAGUUGUGGAUAGAUGGAGAACCCUACAGCUUCAGCUCAAGUAACCAAAAAUCAGAGCAGUAACCACUAGCAAGUCAAUGGAAAAAAGGCCAGCUUAUAGGAUGUGGCACUUUUGAAAGUGUUUACAUUGCAAGCAACCAGUAAGUUAGCUCUGGGAAUCUUAGACAUGUUCCAUUUUUUUAGAUAUCCAGUCAGCUAAACUUUGACAUAUUAAGUGACAGAAAAACCAGAUCUCUAUGUGCAGAGAAGGAGUUUGAGCUAUUGCGUAAUGAUCCAAAUUUAGCUGAGUGCAUCGAGCAGUUAAAGCAGGUAAUGUUUUUGUUAUGCUCUGGGAUCCAAUCUAUCCUCUCAUCCGAUCUAAAUAUGCUGGGAGGAAACUUUCUUUCAUCAUUUCCAAGUAAUUGAUUGCUUUGUUACUACAGGAAAUUCAGGUACUUAGCUAGCAUAGACAUCCGAACAUUCUGCAGUAUUAUGUAAGGGAAAUUGUGAGUCACAUUUCCAUAGCAUCUAUGCGUCCCAACUCAAUGGGCGUUCAUUAUUUGACUCACCAAAAUUUCAACAUAUUCAUACAUACUCAGGUUGAGGAUUGGCGUUACAUAUAUCUAGAAUAUGCACAUCACGAUUCAAUAGACGAGUAUAUCCAGGAGCGUCUUGGGACCCUAACAGAAUCGGUUGUCAGCACUUUACCCGCUAUAUUGUGGCUGGAUUGGCUUCCCUGCAUGUUAACAACUCCAUACAUGGGUAAUUCUAAACCAUUGAUCAAGCAUCAUGAGAUGACUUGCAUAUUGGAUUAGGAUGAUUGGACCUUCUUCUUUGUGCCCCCAGACCUGUUAAAACUAUUUGGCUUGUGCAGGGAUUUAAAGGGAGCUAAUUUAUUUGUGGAUGCAUCUGGGAUAUGCAAACUUGCUGACUUUGGGAUUGCUAAACAUGUGAGUUUUUACCUCUUCACUGCAAGACUACUCAGUGCAUGUAGAAAUUCCUUGCUGAUCUGUGGUACAUUCGAAUGUGAAGUCAGGGACCCAGGGUGACUGCAUACUUCUCAUUAUUGGUUUGUGGCAUUUCAUAUGUGCAUAAAUCUAUCAUAGAUGGAUGAAAUGUUAUUAAGUAAUUUUCUUCACUUUUUUUCCCAUUGUUUCAGGUAAAGUUACCAUGUUGCAUGAACGGGAAAAGAUUUCUUGCUGUAAAUAGAUGCCGAAACCUAAUGAGAGUUCCCUUUCUACUGGUUUCUAAAAAGUUCCUAAGAGCGGUAGUGAAUAGAACGCAAUACCUUUGGCAAAAGGUUGUGGUGUUGUUUUUGCUGCUCCUCUGCAUUCCAAAAUAAGGAUAGAACUUAGUCAGAGUAAGUAAGGGCCUCCUUCCUAACAUGAGGUAAAUAAAAGUUUAUGAAUCCAUAGAAUGGAAUUCUGGACAGUAGCCAAGGUGUUGUUGCUCUCUUUUUGAGUUCUCAAGCAUUUGCUGAGGCCAUGUUGUUGAUUGCUUCAUGGUCCUUUUUCUCAGUAAUGAGCUAACAUGAGUUGAAAGUGGUUGAUUCAGUUAUCAAUAUGAUGUAUCUAUGUCUAUAAAGAUGUUGCUAUUUUAUCCGGUGUUCCAUGAACACACCAAGUAGUAUUCAGCUUUACUAAUGCCGUACCAUUUCUUAGCUAACCGGACAAGCAGCUUGCCGCUCUUUGAAGGGAAGUCUAAACUAGAUGGCUCUAGAGGUACUCUGCUUUUGUUAACGUUAAUGCGGCAUACUCAGAGGUCCUCCCCCAUACUCGCCGGAUGAACAGAUUUCUCUCGAAUCUCUUGAGGUAAGCCUUUGCGAUAACAUGAGAAAGCUGCUUACGUAUGAGUGGCUGCUCCAUCUUCGAAAUCUUCAAAGUAUCGAGGUCGCUGAGUGCAAAGGAAUGGUGGAGUUGAUAAGCGGAGCGGGACAAGGCCAAGAAGGAAGCAUAACGACUUCUGUAAACAACACUCCUUCAUCCUUCCAGCCUUCUUCAAUUUCUCUCCCAAAGCUAGAGUGUUUGAAGCUAUGCUAUCUACACCAGCUGAAGAGCAUAUACAAAGCCCCAAUAAGCUGCGAUUUCAUGAAAAGAUUGGACGUGUACGGAUGAUUGACUUAUUUCAAGUGCCAUACGUUGUUGCAAAUGGAUGUUGUACUGUAAAGUUCCAUAUUUACUAAACCAGAAUAAUCACAGGGUCCAUAGAUGUGAUGAAGUACUUGUAUAUCGACGAAAUAAGAUGCAUGUUCCUCUCGCAUGGUUUGACCAGUGUCAUCCUACGAUCUAGGCAAAUUUGACAGUGUUGCUUAAUCUAAACAUUUUGUAUGAAGUACAUUUAUUCAUCAAAAUUGAAUGGUAUUGAUAUGGCUCCAAAUAAGAAACGGAUCAGCAAAACAAAAGUAAUAAAACCCAAGGAAAGACAAAAGUAAUAAAACCCAAGGAAAAAGGAAAAGAAAAAGAAAAUCGAAGUGAUAGUGCAUCAGAAUUCCUGAAUUGGUGGGAGGAACAUUGGCAGGUUUGGCAAACCUGCAACGUCUUAGGACUUGGGAAGUGAAGGGAAAAAUAUCAAAGUUACGGGCAUUGGAGGCUCUUAAUUCUUCCGGACAGACCACAAUGGCUUUUCUCUAUUCACCGGAAAUUGGUGAUGGUGAUGAGGGCCACUCUGAUUGGAGAAAUUUCAUGUAUUUGUUGAGAUCAACGAUGAUGAUGAUCCAAGAUUUGCAACUUUCGAGUGGAGAAAUUUCAUGUAUUUGUUGAGAUCAACGAUGAUGAUGAUCCAAGAUUUGCAAUUUUCGAGAGGAGAAUCAACGUUGAUUGUUGCGAUAAUGCUUGUCAGGGCAGCAGGGAAAAGUUUUUUCCUGGUGGUUUUGCGGCUUUUGCCCCCAAGUGAUGCUGCAAGUUUGCUGGAUUUCCCCCUAACGGUUUUUUGUCAUUUCCCGGAACGUUUUUGGAAUAAUUUUGCAUGUUGUUACAAAGAUCUCAUGCGGUUCGUUUACAGGAUUUUAAUAGGCCUUAUAUUUAUAUAAUUUACCUUCACUUACUCGUUCAAAUAUUUAGGUUGGAUUUUUUCCUAUGUGCAAAUAGCAAUUUUUACGUGAAAUGCAAACUAAACAUGCUUCCUUUUUAUUAUUAUUUUUUCUGCAAUUAAAGUGAUUCCUCUACCCUAAUGCAUACCAGAAAUAUAUUCAAAAGUGUGACAGGAAAAAGAACUCCUUGAAAUUUUGCAAAGUCGGAGGCGCUUUUUAGACCAAGCGAUGUCUCUCGGCUGCAUUGAAAUAUGUCUUCGUUUUCGUUUUCUUUUGUUCUUUUCCUCAAUCUUCAANNNNNNNNNNNNNNNNNNNNNNNNNNNNNNNNNNNNNNNNNNNNNNNNNNNNNNNNNNNNNNNNNNNNNNNNNNNNNNNNNNNNNNNNNNNNNNNNNNNNGCUGUUUUUUUUUUUUUUUUGUGUGUUCUCUGCCCAAACCUUAAUGAAGACUACUAAUUGGUGUUUGGUCUUUCAAAGUGUAGCAUUAUUGAGCAUCAUCAUCAACUCAUCAAGUUCGCUAAACUCAGUCAUCAAUUAACUAACGAUUCUUGUCUAACAGGAACUGCACCAACGUAGCAAGAAAAAGAUAAACAAAAACUCAGGCAAGAACUCAUUCGUUUUCAAGACUCGGUCAUAAAAAUCGAGGAAAAGAAACUAUGAAUAUGUGCCGGAUUUUUCUCUGCUGCCGUGCCCUUUUUAACCUACUUUUGACCCAGAAUUCGACCAUUUACAGCUCUCGGUUCCUUUUGUGUGUUUUCACACUGCUAAUUUCCUUCAUUCACACACGAAGGAAAGUCGUGUUGAAAGUGGCCUCCUUUCGGCCAACCAGGAGGAGGGAACGGAAAGGACUUCACUUCGAAGAGCGGGCACGUCCAAAAUUCUCAUAAGAAUUCCCAUUUAAAUUCGCCUGGAAAUUUAGAGUCGGGUUGUGUAACAGAUUGGUUCACAAUAAUUGCACUCUUAUUAGAAAGGGCAGUACAAUCACAAGAAUGUGAGAUUACAAAUGGAUGUUAUUAUGGGUCAAAUUAUCAGUGUUUUUCUUCGUUAAUUUUUAUGAAGAUGCGAUUGAAACCUUUGAGCUCGUAACAGUAAUUUAACUUAAAAACUAUUGAGUUAUUAUAGUCUUUAAAUCAUUCUUGGGACAUUUUUUUUUUCUUUUGGAUCUGAAGAUCCAAACUACAUAUGAAACGAGUCCCGUGAUUGGGAAAACACGAAUUUAGCAUAUUAUGCUUGCUCCUAAAUAUUUUUAUGUGGAUGCCACAUAACAAGUACCUAUAUAAGUUCAUGCAAAUAGGAUCCAACGAAUUAACAAUCCAAAAUUUGAGAGAAAAUAUGAAGUGAUUUUGUGCAUUUUUGAAACUCUGUUAGUGUACAUUCUUGUAGUUUUUCCUUGUCCAAAUAUACUGAUUUUCAACUUUCACUAAGAUGUUGCAAAUUCAAUUAGAAGCAUAUAAUUAAUAGUCCUAAUUAGCCAAGUCACAAAACCAAUCAUAAGAGAUUCAUUGCGGUUGUCACAAAGUCUUGAAUUGGUGGGAUGGUUAUUCCCAUGGCAAGAGCGGCUAACAUCGCAAACUUCAUCCUCUAGGGAUUAAGUUAAAAUAUUACCUUUGGCACUUAAGGUGUUCUUAUACUCCAUAAUAAAUAUGUUACUUAUUUUAUCAAUUAAUCUACCCUCAAUAAUAUGCUAAUAUUGGUUUAGAUAAUUUGUCGAUUUGGCUAUAACUUGGAAUAAGAGACAAUAACAAUAUAAAUCUAAUAUUGAAAAAAAUUUGUAUGAUUUUUUUUUUCACUUAUUAGUUAUUCUUUUAGCAAUUACCGAAUAACAUCAUUCAAACUGCAUAAUGCCAAAUCUAUUUUUUUUUUCCAAUUACAUUAUGCCAUAAAUGUGCGAAUCAACAUACAUGAUUUCACCUCAAACAAAUGGACUUUUUUUAUGAAUAAAUUUUUUAAAAAAAAAAGAUAGAAAAAUAGCUCAUAUUAGGGCCAUUUACCAGGUAAUGCAAAUUAAAACCAAGUCUUAUUUAUGUCUAUUAAAAAUUUCCAAUGCCAUAUCAUAUCAUUUACACCUAAAAUGCAUAGAAUAUACAUUCGGAGAAGAAGGAAGAUAAGAGAAACUUAAACAAAAGAGCAUUUCUAUCUGUCGUAAGAUAGAAAGUAAACAUCAAAUUUAGAUAAUCUUACUUUAAAUACUUAUGUAGCAAGCACAUUCAUAAAAAUUAGAACAUAAUGUAAGCCUAAACAAUAAUAUAACGAUUGAUUUAUAUAAAGUGUCAAUAUAACAUUAUGCAAAAAAUUUAUACAUGUAAUAUGGGUUCAUAUCAAUAAAUGGAAUUGGAAGUAAAUUUCUGAAUCUGUGCAACCCAUGGGUCUUUGUUUACUACACAUUCUACAAAAAAAUGCAGUCAUAAGUUACAAUUUGAUGGAAUCACCUACCAAUUCUACUCACAUCAUAGGAAAUGUUUUCUAGCAGCUGGAUGGCUUGGAAUAUUUUGGGGCCAGAGAUGGACACAUUUCAUUCAUAUGAGGGUACAGGUCUACUGUAUUGUAUCCUGGCAGCUCCANNNNNNNNNNNNNNNNNNNNNNNNNNNNNNNNNNNNNNNNNNNNNNNNNNNNNNNNNNNNNNNNNNNNNNNNNNNNNNNNNNNNNNNNNNNNNNNNNNNNNNNNNNNNNNNNNNNNNNNNNNNNNNNNNNNNNNNNNNNNNNNNNNNNNNNNNNNNNNNNNNNNNNNNNNNNNNNNNNNNNNNNNNNNNNNNNNNNNNNNNNNNNNNNNNNNNNNNNNNNNNNNNNNNNNNNNNNNNNNNNNNNNNNNNNNNNNNNNNNNNNNNNNUAAAAAAGAUAACCCAACUAGGGUCAAUCAGAUCGCACUUACAGUGAACUCUGUAACAUGAAUGGAGCUAGAAAUUGGAUCAAGAGUCCUGCUGCUUUGUACAUUCAAGAACAAAAGCUACACAAGAGGCGGACUUCCCAUCACUAUAUACCCAAUGGUCUUGCUCUGGAGUGUCAGCAGUUCAGCAAAAGAUGACCCCCUCAUUUCAGUUUCGUGUAUUAGAUUAGGAAGAUCCAAGCCCUGUAUGCAACACAAUCGUAAGGUAGCCAUAAAGUAAAGUAAGUGUAAUUACAACCAUAUAACAUUUGUUAACAGAAUGUCAUCCAAGAGACAUUAGAUUUCAGUUGCACCUCAGUGUGCAAAACAAGAUGCAUAACGUCACACAGACAAUUGCAAAUUGAAUGGGACGGUACCUUUGUUCCUAGUCACUUGUUGAGUGCUUCAUUCCAUAUGUUCGCAGCAUAGGCUGGUUGCACUUGGUUCCAUAGUCAUAACAGAAGCAACCUACAAUAAUACAAUGCUUUCUAUAAAAUGAGUGAACCGCACUCCCAUCACGCGAAUAAAGCACCCCACAUGGUGAGCAUAUUACAUGCAUCGUCAGUCAGGCUGAUAGCAACUCUUAAGAAACAAUGAACAAAGUCUACUAUUUUGCUGUCUUAGUAUCAUAUAGGAGGCCAUAAAAAAUGAAUAAUUGUCAAACUAAGCCAGGUUCUUUUCCAUAACGUUAGCACUCAAUAGAGUCACAUACGAACCUGCUAUUUGGCAAAAUCACUGUUCAUUUUUUAGCCUUUUGUCUUGUUCAGUUGAAUUCAUUCGAAAUCAUGGCAUGAUUGUCUAAUUUCAACUAGAAUGUGUUGUUAGGAUCUAACACACGGCUUAAUAAUAUUUCAAGGUCUAUCAAAGUAAGAGUAAANNNNNNNNNNNNNNNNNNNNNNNNNNNNNNNNNNNNNNNNNNNNNNNNNNNNNNNNNNNNNNNNNNNNNNNNNNNNNNNNNNNNNNNNNNNNNNNNNNNNGCAUCUAAGAAUCUCAAGGCAUCUACAGAUAUACCUUGGAAGUAACACAAGGCCUUAGCGCUAGAAAAUUGUCUAAGGCAACUGAAUGCACCCACAAAAUAUAUAUAAACAUAUAUGAACGUGUACAAUCUCUGUACCACAUGAGCAUCUAAUGGCGGUAGAUAAUUUGCGCCGAUGGUGUCUAUCCAGCUAAAAAGCAUGUUGUGAUAACCAUAUGGUUUCCCAUUCAUAAUCUGUGCAAACUCCCAUGCAGCAGCUCAUUAAAUUUGGCUCACAUAUCAGGAUGCAGUGGAAGCAACGCAAUGUGGGGAUUUGAGUAAUCUUUGUUAAGCUCGAACUCCCACCAUUUUCCCAUGGUAACACAGCAAUGACAUCUUCUCCCUGCAAUGAUAAGAACAAAACAAAACUUGCAUAAUCUCUAUUACUAUGUUAGACUUCUUAGCACCUGACCCCUUUACCAACACAAAGGAACAAAGCAUGUAGCAAAAACCCAAAUGUGACCAUAAAUUUAUUAAUCAAGGUCUGCCUCAAGUAAAGGACGUCAUUUCAUCAAAUUCUAACCAUAAUCAUCAUCAGUAAGUUAUCGUCUCGUGUGUAAGGAUGGUCCUGAAGUUCAGCAGAAAAAGUUCAGACACUGCAUUCCCUAUGUUACAAAUAUGAUGAUGCUCCAAUAGAGCUUCUAGUAGGAGCCUAGAUAGGAUCAGCUGCAGUUCAACAUGAACCUGAAGCAGCAUGUCAUCGUUUACUUACUCAUCCUCUCUUACAAUCAAAAGUUUCUAUGGGAGCACAAAAAGGAAAGACCUAUCUUAUUAGAGAACAUAAGAUGAGCAAGGAGAUUUAAGGACAUAGGGGCAUGACUAAAGCACGCUUAAUAUGCAAAAUGGAACGAUCUCAAUGGGAACCAUAUUUGUGAGAGAAGAAGUCCAUGAUUCGACAAAAGUCACAUUUAUAAAGUAAUCACACAGAAAUACAAUGCCCCAAAAACCUAAGGGUUCAUGAAAUGUUAGAGAAACACAGCAGAAACCCUACUUGUCCUUUUCAAUAUGUAUGAGACCACACUUUGAUAAUCAGAGGACAUUAAAGCAGUAUUGUAUGAGUGUCUUUAAUAAUGAAUGACAGAUAAGCAUAGGGAAUUUUUUUUUUUUUUUUGGGUCGGUAAGCACAGGGAAUUAAAGAGAUGGAGAAAUAAUGACUCAAACAAUUCUGGGGGUGUUUGAAACAUUUGAACGUUUGUCUAUUGGAUAUCCCCAUAUAGGAACAAUGUGGACAAUUAUUGUGGAAGACUGGCAUACUUACAGCCAUGUUAAUAUUGUGUCUAUGCAAUUGGUUUAAAACUUUACUUCACAAUUACAAUUGCAGAGACAGCAGCAGGCAAAAAGAUUGGAUGAAAUGUCGAACAUCAAAAGCAAUCCAUCAAUGUAUGGAAAAAAAAGAACGNNNNNNNNNNNNNNNNNNNNNNNNNNNNNNNNNNNNNNNNNNNNNNNNNNNNNNNNNNNNNNNNNNNNNNNNNNNNNNNNNNNNNNNNNNNNNNNNNNNNNNNNNNNNNNNNNNNNNNNNNNNNNNNNNNNNNNNNNNNNNNNNNNNNNNNNNNNNNNNNNNNNNNNNNNNNNNNNCCAACCCAAAGCUUUCCUUCAGCAUCCCUUAAGCACACAGCUGUGUGACCAGCAUAUGCGCCACUGACCCAUUUCUCUAGAGUCCCAAAACCACCCCACCUUCCACGAAUUUUUGAAAUUGCAAUGAAGUCUCCAGAGUGGAUAUCAUCAAUGCUGAUGUUUGUAACCCAGGGCUGGGGACGUUGCUCAAAUGAAGCUCCCAUAUGCUUCUUGAGAAAACCAAUGUUAGAUUUCUCCCCUCACCCGGUAUUUGAAAACAAGGAAACACAUCCCACAGUGCUUGAAGGGUCCCAAGCAUCCCAGCUUGCAUCAGAAAGAUUGACACUCCUCUACUUUUCACCUGCAAUCAAAAUAAUGGAAAAUCAAAGUUUGACAACUCGCCAAUAUGCACAAGCAAGAGCAGAAGAGAAAAAAGAUAAUUGCAGCUUACAUAUUCAAACUCAGCUUUUCCUUCCCACUCUUUGAACUCAAAUGUGUGCUCACGAGAUAAAAGAUACUAGUCCCAUGUCACGCAGUAUGGGGUUGCAAAGACAUAAAUAUCCAUACACGUCCAGCUAUGGGCUUUGCUCACCUGGAUGAGCAAUCCAAACUCAUGGUUACAAGCCGGAUACCUACAACUAGUUGUUAGUUUCCAUAUUCAGCAGAACUAGAUGCAAAAACAAGGACUAUGAAGCAUCAACACGAGGCAGUACCCACCCAAACUGGAAUAGCCUCCAUAAGAUAAUUUGAUUUUACAUCAAACGAAACAAUUGUACUUGUAUGAGCAACCAAAUCACUAAAUCCUUCUUCAACCACUUAAAACCUAGACACAAAAGACUCAAGUGACCAACCAUGGUACCAAUUCGUGGAGCUUAAUCAAAGUACAAACAAGCAGAUGAAAGGAGAAGGAAGAAAAAAACUUAGCUAGUGACGAAAUCCACUAGAAACAUAUUGAAGUAAGAACUGAAAAAUUCCAUCACUCAGAUUCCAACAUAAAUAGCAGAUGAGAAAAGAGAACAGUUGGGAUCAAGUGGCAUGGGCCCAAACAUCGAAAGGAUAUUCUCUAACGUCCUUUNNNNNNNNNNNNNNNNNNNNNNNNNNNNNNNNNNNNNNNNNNNNNNNNNNNNNNNNNNNNNNNNNNNNNNNNNNNNNNNNNNNNNNNNNNNNNNNNNNNNAGUGAUUUUCUUUCACAACUCUAUAGAUAAGUAUGACGCACACUUCAGUUGGUAAGAAAAAUUCGUAAGUAGAUAGAAACUCUAUCCAGUUUAGAGCUUUGAAUCCAUUAGAAAAAAUCGACCUCAAAUUAACUAAAAUAGAAGCUCAAACUAAGUUAAUCGGAAACUGGGAAAAGCUGCCCAAACGAUGGCCAUUAGACCCCAUCAAACAAACUCCUACAACCUCACAUCUCCUAGAAUUAUCACACAAUCCGAACUGCAGUGAAUUGAAUUAAGCACUAACAUUCGACCAGAGAACCUUAAAAGCUCGUGAACAGUGACUGUCUCUGCACAUUACCAAGCCGCCACAAGCUCAAGCAUCCCAAAAUCUUCCAGAAUCGCACUCAAACACAAGUAUUUCCAUUCCAUCCCGUUCCCCACUAUUCACCAAACAAAAAACAAGACUUGGAAUCAUCACUCCAGUCCAUUCCUUUCCCCAUCAUUUCCCGAUUUCAUUCCAUUCCACCGUACCAAACCCAACGUAAUAGUCAACUAGAAAACCUCAUCUUCCAGAAUGGCACUCAAAACCAAACGGAGACCAAGCAAAAGCGACGCGAUAAAACUAAAGAACGGACCUUAAUGUGAGGCGUGCCUCCGCCGAACUUGCUCCCGGUGUUGUUGUGGAACUCCAACCAAGCGGUCGGAGGAAAAAACGGUGCCGACGAAGGCGGGCAACAGGUCCAGGGGACGGCGAAGGGCGUUGAGGAUGGGCCAGGACAGCUGCUUCGGCAAUAGAUGGAGUAUGUUCUCCAUGGUGGAAUGGUGGUUUCGCGGCUCGAGAGCGCGGGUUGAGCAGAGAGGAGAACGUGAAGAGGAAGAGAAGCAGCAGAAAUUGGCUGACGAGAAGCCAUUGAAAUUGCGAGAGAGAGAGAGUCACCUCUCCAGCGACGGUCCACUUCUUUUUAGUGUCUCGCGCUACACUAUAAAAGGUGUAGGGGUAAGAGGAGCCACUCGUUUUGAUUACAUCCUUGGACGCUUGGUAAUUUAGGGUGCUUAACCAGUUAAAUGAAACAUUAAAGCAUAAUCGGGGCUGAAAAUAUUCUGUAUUCUUAUAUUAUGUAUUAAUGUUGGCAAAAAUCUUAAAUUAUAUCCAUCGUGACAUUAAUGUCUCGAAUUAGUAUUGAUUUCGUGGCGAACAAAAGUUAAGAUUUUUAGAGACAAGCUAGAGGUAUUUCCACUUCAAAUAUAAGUUUUAAGUGUAAAGAAGGGCGAUUAGAAGUCUCCAUGGAGGACCUAACCCUAUGGGAAGAUAUAUUGCUUACCCACCCCCUUGUAGCUUACCGUCAAACUACGGCCAUUGAUAGCUUCAAAUUGGCUUAUAUUGCCUAUCCCUCACCCUCUUAUAUUGCCUCAACAACUUUCACUACACCGCCCUCUCAGGACUUAGUUAACAUCAAGAGUAUCCUUUUAUUUAUAUGUUGUCAGUACGAACUUGACAUUUAGCUUGAUUUCGCAAUAACCAUGCAAUCUUCCUUGUUGCUAAAUUGUGUCUUGAGUUUGAGCCGAAUCCACACCUUAUUGCUCAAAGUCACGCACGAAAUGCAAUGCGCACACAAGUCUUGGACCUUUUUUCUCUACUUCAUUAAUGCUAUGCUUGCACGAAUCUCCUCCUGUGUCCCCUUAUCAUUUUAUCUUCUUUUUUUGGUUCGAAUCCCCUUUUGUCAUUGAAGGAGCUGAACGUCCAUUUUUCGCCCUCACUCCACAGCGCUCCCUAUUUCGGAUUCUCGCUCGAUCAGCGAAAUGAGAAAACUUGGCGCCGAAGUGGACGUCGGAAAUGGCGGUGAUGGCGACGUUCUUGAGGCCUAGCCUCAAUAUUCGAGUGGAAUUGAGAGGGUGCUUCCAUUCCAGACAGUGGUGGAGAACUGUGACGCUCACGGGGUGAUCGAGACCCCGGAGAUUGGAUCCGAGCACAGAGGCACGUGAGUCGUUUUCGCGUUUUCAUGGAACAGGGGUGGACGUUGGUGAUCUGGAUGGGGAAAGGAUGGAGCUUGAGGAGGAUGGUCAGGGACGCGUAUAGAAACGGACUCGACUUAGGGUUCAAGAACGGGUUUACAAAUGGGAUUCAGGUUGCGAAAUGGACCUGCAUCUUUCUAGGAUGGAGAAGUUUUUUCCAGAAAUUGUGAGACGAUUUCGGGAAUUUGAAAGAAACGAGAAGGACCAGAGCACAGGGCAAUUUUAAUUUAUUUUGGCCAAACGUUCGAGCAAUAGUUUCGAAUUACUAAGGAGUAUAUAUAAAUUUCAGCACGGUGACCUCUUUGGUUCAGAUCGGAAAAGUAGUGUGGGGGUGGUGUCUCGCCGCCCUCUAGCGAUACACAAGGGCCUGGCAGUGCAACGUUGUGGGCUUAGUAGGGCUUUUAGGGCUUAUUUGCCGGAUAUUCAUCGAUUUCUGGCCGAAUACAUGGCAACAACCAACGGCGGAGGUUGUUCUCAUGGGACAGCCACAGCCAUGGUCGCCGUCCCCUGAAAUGAUUAAGUUAAACAAUUUGUCAAAUUGCUUAAUUCAACAAUUUCGCACUCAACAGUGUCGACUUCGUAACUCACUUUCUCUGAUGAAAAAUGACCAAUAUCAUGCGUUUAAACCACAGUAGGCAUCGGCUAAGAUCAAAACGUUCAGAUUCAGCCGCAACAAGUCAACGAUGAGGCCCUUGAAAGACUUCUAUCCUUCCAAAGUCUUUUCUUGACUUAGGCAAUUCCAUUUGUUUCUUCACAUACUUGUUCAAGUUUUUGGGUUAGACUGUCAUGUGCUGAUGACUUAAUUAUUGCGUGAUUAUAUUAUUAAACUAAAUAAUUUGAUAGAUUAUGAUUGAUCUUAUUAAGCCAACUGCAUUUGAUAUUUUCACGUUAUUUGGCAUACAAAAUGUCGAUAUAAAUAGUAUAAUUCUAGGGGCUAAAAUUGUAAUUGACUCAAAGGCGAACGCGUAUUUGUGAGUAAUACCGUCAAACUCCUUUUGAGAUUCUCCUUCCAAGGCAUGUUCUCCUACUUAGAUAACUCGAUCAGUUUCCUCUUUUUUUCAAUAAUAUAAUUUAAUUUCCCUUUAUUAAUUUUCUCUAUUUAAAUCUAGUGUAUUUCUCUACUAGUGUUUUCGCUCCUGGUGAAAUAAGGGGAUUAAAUUUAUUUGGUCGGUUAACUAUCAACGUCAAUUAAGAUUUAAUUUCUUUCUAUCUCUUUUUGUAAAUAUUUAUACACAAAAUUCUUAUUGUGUAUUUUUGUCAAUAAAUUAUUUUCAUGAUUUAAUAAUUCAUAUAUUUUACCAAAAAAAUUAUUUAAAUUAAUUUUUUAAAUACCAAUUGUUCCCACACACAUAAUGCAUAGCGGGUGAUAAAUAAAAAGCAGAAGAUCCUCAUAGGAGAAAAGGAGCCCGCGUAUAGCACGAUUUCAUUCUCUAGAAUUAAUUAUUUUCUUAAGAAGGUAUUUCACAAUUUCCAAGUUGUCUUUGAAUUAAUCGAGUCUUUCUUAAAUAUCAAUCUACAUAUUGGCUUUCUAAUUGUUGAAUGGGUUUAGUACCCAUGGAUAAUAAGUAAUGCUACAAAGACCUUAGAAGACAAAAAGGAUUUUCACCCUAUAUGAUGUCAUGUGUUCUCAUCGCCCUAAGAACAUAUGUUAGCUUGUCAUACUAUCUAAUGGGCUAGGAUGCAAAAGUCACAAUAUAGCCGUAUGUAGUAUGGCCAUUAAAAAUGCAGAAUAAACAUGGUUUCUUUUUAUUAUUAUUUUUUUUUUACGAAUAAAGUGAUUCAUUUAUUCAAAAGCAUAUUGGAAAUAUAUGACAUGAAUGAUUUAAAAAGUAAAGAAAAAGAAAUUCCUUGAAAUUUUGUAAAGUCGGAGGUGCUGCUCAAAUCGAGGAGUGCGGGUGGUCCCAGCAAAGUGACGUUAAUGUACAAGAAACAAAAGGUAGGAAAAGUAAUAAGAGCAACGUGCAGAAACGACGACGGCUUGGCGUGGAACGAGCAUGGCUUUAAGCAAACACAGAAGCGGCGCAUCUCUCGAUAUUUUGAUGUCGCCUAUUCUUCCUCUUCUUCUUCUUUUUUUUAAACUGAUAAGGCUGCUCCGGAGCCUCUCUUCAUUUUCGUUUUUUUUGUUUGUUUUUUCCUCCUCAUUUUUCCAACCACAUCCUCACCAUAACGCGCCUUCUCUCUUUUGUCCCCUAGCUCUCCCCACUUUCUUUCGCCCGACUCUCUCUUCUUGUCUUGCUUUCUUUUUUGGGUUCCCCGCCCAAACCCUUAAUGAAAGAUUAAUUGCUGUUUAGUAUUUGUUGACGCCUCAAAUUUUAAUUAAGUUUAUUUUAUCUUAUUAAUUAAUUUUUUAUUUUAUUUAUCUUGUCUUUUUUCGAAAUAAAAACAGCAAAGCAAAGCAAAGCAAAAGAAAAAAAAAAGAAAAAAAAAAAAGAGCAGCCUUUGUAUGGGCCCUCGGCCCAUUUCGUCUCAGCCCAGCCCCCCCCACUUCUUCUUCUUCCUCGCGCAGUUGCAGUGCACAAGCAGAGGGCGCGACGCCGGAGCGGAGGGGAGGAGCAACAAUGGCGCACGUGGAGCAGGGGGCGGCUGGCGUCGGAUAAGAACGUGGGAGGGGCAGCUGGCGUCGGAUGGGACGCCGGUUCGGCCGGCGGAGGCCGCUUGGCGCACGGGGACCGGCGGUCGAAGCUCCGUCGACCGGCUGCUCCCUCGCCUAUAAAUAGGCCCCCGUUUCCGUUGUCGAAGGGGCACGCCAGAAGAUCGCAAGCUUGGAAACUUCUUCCUGAGAGACUUCGGAGGAGGUUGAAGGGCGAGCGAGAGAGAACUCGGGUCGCGAGUUCGGCUGACCUCCCACUGAGAGACUUCGGGGGAGGCUGCCGGCGAGCGAGUCCGAGGUGGUCAGAUCCGGCCGGUGGAGGCUCGGAUCUGGCCGGAAGAGAGAGAGGCCUGCGAGCUCCGAGAGAUCCCCUGAGAGACUUCGGGGAACUCAAAGAGCGAGCAACGACCUCCCUCCGAGAGACUUCGGGGGAGGCCGGCGGCGAGCGAACCCGGAUCUGCGAGAACUCGAGAGCGGAGAGAGGAGAGAGAUCGAAGCCGCGAGCAUUCAAGCUUCCCCCGAGAGACUUCAGGGGAGGCUCGACGCUCGCGAGCCCAGAUCAAAGGGAGGGAGCAGAGUUCGGGCACCCUCCGCCGUCGUAGCCGCCGCCGUCGCCACCGUUCGCCGUUCAAGCUGCCGUUCACGGACAGGUAGUGCUACCGCCGCCGCCGCCGUCGCCGUCGCCGUCGCCGUCGCCAUAGCCUCCCCCCCCUCUCCACAGUUCAACCGCCGUCGCCGCCGUCACCGUCGUCCCCGCGGUUGUGCCUCGGCCCUCUCCCCCCUCGGCGCCGCGGAUUCGCAAACCCUAGAUUUCCGGGUCACGAAGCGGAUCCGGGUUUGGAAAGCGGGUAGGGUUUUCGCGAUUUAAGGGGCGGCGGAAACCGGGUCGGGAGUUGGGUCGGACCCGGGUAGGGUUUCGCUAGGAACCCGGGUCGUCGGGCCGGGCCGGGCGUCCCCAAACGCCCGACCACGGCGUCGUUUAAAAAAAAAAAAACGAUGAAAAAUCUGACUCGGGCCCGCGUUUGGGUCGCCGACCCGGGUCGGACCCAACCCGCGGAUCCGACCCGGGUCGGUUUUAUUUUGUUAUUUUAAUAUAAAAUAAUAAAUAUUUUAUUUUCAAAAAAAAAAUCAAAAAAUGUUUUAUUUUCAAAAAAUAUUUAAAAAUGUUUUAAUUUCCAGAAAAUCAAAAAUAUUUAAAAAAUAUUUAAAAAAUGUCGAAAAAUGUUUUAUUUUCUAAAAAAUCGUGAAAAAUCAAAAAUAAUUUAUUUUCCAAAAUAUUUUGAAAAAUAAUAAAAAAUAUUUUAUUUUCCAAAAAAGAAAAUUAAAAAUAUGCCAAAAAUCCAAAAAAAACCAAAAAUUCAUGAAAAAACAAAAAAAAAAAUUCAGAAAAGCCAAAAAGACAUGUGUUUUUCAAAAAAAAAAACCCAAAAAAUCCCUUUUGCGUCCAAAAAUAAAAAAAUGACUCAAAAAAUGUUUUUCCUCCAAAAAAUGCAUGGAAAAUCUCUCAAACAUCCAAAAAAGCCUUAGAAUCCUUAGGGUUUAAACAAAGAUUAAGUACCGAAAGGGCAUUAGUGAUUAACUAAUGUAAUCAAGUCCCCGAUCCUAAUUUCUCUAGUUACGCAGGAGCGAGUAUUUCUCCCGAUACUUCGCUUGGGUUUUUAAUCGACCCACUCCAAAUCGAUUAGUGGCGACUUCAUUUUAAAAAUUGAUUUAUAGGUUAAAAACUCAAACUAUUAAAGUCGUGAAUUGAUGAACUUGGGAGAGUAUGGGCAUAAUUAAAAUUAGCCGAGCCAUUAGCCUUCUUUUUUUGGUUCCCCGCCCAAACCCUUAAUGAAGAUUAAUUGCUGUUUAGUAUUCCAAAGUCCAGCGUUAUCGGGCCCCAUCAUCGACCUAUCAAGUUCGCUAAACUCAGUCAUCAAUGGACUGACUAUUUUUGUUUGAACACGAGCUGCACCAACAUGACAAGAAAAAGGAAAAUAAAAACUUAGGCAAGGGCUCAUUGAUUUCUAACACUUGAUCAUACAAAUUUUUGAAAAGAAAUUUUAAUAUCAUUGCUUUGAGGAUGGACGCACUCUCAACAAGUGAACUCGCGUGAUCAAAUUCAGUAAUACGACAGAAUCAUCUCAAAGAUUUAAGUUUAAUAGUUAUUUUAUACGGCGAUCAUCAUAGGAAUGUGGCAAUUUCGAGCGCCUGCAAUGCGAUGUCUUGAUGUAUCAUAGGAAUGUUAUCUAGAUAUACAAACGGCAAAGGAGCAACAACAUAUCGGCAAUGACUUGGGUAGUAAUGAUGCAUCUAUGAGGCCUAUCCUUAUUCGAUUUUUUUUCUAUUUGUUUUUGUUCAUGUUUUCUUUCUCAAACCACUCUAAUAUGAAUUAAAUAGUAGAUAUCUUAAUAUAAAAUCAACAAUAGAAUUCUCCGUUUCGUUUUGGAACUCAUCGAAUGAGACUUUUUCUCUAAUUUUUUUACUAAUCCAUUUAGAUUACAUUUUAUAUUAUCACUAAAGUUUUAUUGUAAUUUAACUUGUUGUUAUAUCAUCCAUAGAAUAAUCAUAUUAUCGAUAUUGUAGAAAACAGAUAAAUAAAAUCAAACAAAAUCGAAAUGCUCAUUAGACCAUAGAAUAAUCAUAUUAUCGAUAUUGUAGAAAACAGAAAUUUUAAUGAUUUUUAACUACUAACUAAAAUAUGUAAUGUGUUUCUAGCUAGUAUCUCGUUCUGUUUUCUUCUCACCCCCUAGCUCUAUCCGCAAUGAUCGAGCCGUGAUCAUGUGAAUGCUUGACUAAAGCCUCCCUUCAGCCGCGUUUUUUCCUGCUUUUUAUGUCCCUACUUUUUUCAGUAAAUCUUUGCCCAAGAUAUGGUCCAUUAUGAGGGGGUGCUGGUUUUUCUAUGUCGCGUCCGCUUCUGAACCACCUUUUUGAACCAGAAUUCCACGAUUUCUGGCCUCCCUUUCCCUGUUUCUGUUCCUUCGUGCGUUUUCACGCUGCUAAUUUCCUUCAUUCACACCCCGCGGGAAUGCCGUGUGGAAACUGGAAAGUAGCCUCCAGUCGACCAUUUCGGUCAGCCAGAAGGAGGGAGCGGAGAGGACUUUUAUUUGGAGAGCAGGCUGCGUCCAAAACUUCCAUAAGAAUUAUCAUUUAAAUUCACUGCGGAAAAUUUAGGGUUAGAUCGUGUAAGGUUGGUUCAUAAGAAUUCACAAUCAGGAAUGCAAUGGAGAGAGAGAGAGAGAGAGAGAUUUAUGGGAUUAUGAAUGUAUUUUUAUUAGGAGUCAAAUUAUCAGUGAAUUUGAUCGUUAAAUUUCAUUAAAAUGCGAAUGAGACCUUUAAACGGAAAUUUAUGUAUCAACAAUAAUUAAUCUUACAAAUUAGUAAGUAAUUGUUUCUCGUUAAAUCAUCCCUUAGUUGAAUUUUUUUUUCUUUUUAGUCUAAAGAUCUAAAUUGCAUACAAAAUUGGUCUUGUGAAUUCAUUAGUAUAGGUAAUAUUCUAAAUUUGAGUCAAUAUUUAUGCAAAGUAAAUAAGCAGCAGUACUCACGAAGAUUUUCCUAUUGAUUUCUAGAGGCAAAAAAGAGCAAUGCUAUGCAUAAGAGAACUGGAUAUUUAUAUAUAUUAAGAUGGAUAGAAAAUGAUAAGGAAAAUAGUGCGGUAGCUCUCUUAAGAAAAUUUUGUUUUUAAUUUUUCAUUUUCCUUGGAAAGUCUAGAGAAUUUGGCAAUUAAGUAAACCAUAGUUUAACAUUCCAUAAUAAUUUUCCACCUCAUUCGGUGCACUAAUUUUUUUAUAUAUUUACAUAUUUAGCACCAUUUCGGGCAAGACAAAGAAAGAUAAGUAGGCUCAAAAGUUUAUCGGGUGCACGUUCGCAUGAGUUUCCUCGUGGUUAAAGCUGAAAUUGGCUCAAAGGCGAACGCGUGUUCUUGAGUAACACUGUCCCACUCCCUUUGAUGACGAUGACAUCAGAGACAAUUACCCGACACUAUUGAAAAGAGAGAGAGAGAGAGAGAGGGGGGGAAGAGGUCUUAUCGUGGCUUCCAAAAGAGGCCACUUGAAAUCUCUUAAAAAAAGUGAAAGUUAUGCGAGGUGGAGUAUAAAUAGACAAAUUGCUCAUUAUUUUUGUUAAUAGAUUAUUGUCUAGAAAUGAAAAAGAAAAAAAAAAGAUGUAAAUAGUGAAGCAAUGAGGCAGCAAUAAAAUAGGAAACUUGUCAACCCCCAUGCAUUAUAUUAAAUUAAAAUAUUAUUAAGUCCAUUGUCGGUCUAGAAAAUAAUUUGCACAUUCCCGAUUAAGAGUUGACACGUGAAAUAAUUCACUGGCAAAAGCAACUUCAAACACAUAUGUCACUCAUUCACGAUAAAUGUGUAUUGAGGUUUUAACAUUGAUUAUGCUUCCAACAAUAAUCCAUUAAAUUACUAGGUUUUUCGGCUAACAAUUUUUCUAUAUUUAGUUUAAAAUAUUAAAAUAAUAAGACCAAACAGAUAAUAUAUUCGGAUGUUCAAAAUUUUUACCCAUGGGUUAAUUAGGAAUGCCAACUAUUUAAUAAAAUAUUCAAAAUAUUAUUAUUUCAUAGUAUCUAGAGAAUGAAAAUAAAUAAAUAAAAAAAGUCAAAGUCAUGCGAGGGUGAAAUAAAAGCAAUCAAAUCAUUAAAGAGAGAAAAAUCAUUUUUAUUUAUUAUAGUAAUAGGUUAUAGUGUAGAAUGAAAACGAAAAAAAUAUAAAUAAAAGAAAGGGUAAAAGCAUGCGACGACACCUAUCUAAUGUGCCAUUGCUCCAGGAGGCCUCCACGUAGCACCCGAGUUGUCUAUUCCACCGUCCAUCUCGCCGACACGACGGACGGGAAAAAAACCCACGCCGGACCCCCCCCCCCCACCCCCGAAACGGCACAUGUUGGUGUCAGCGGGAGCGUCGGACCGGGCCCCGCCCCGGUUCACGAGGAUCGCCACCGAUGACGUGGACAUGUCGAGAAGGGGGGCAGGAUCAAAGCAACGGACGGCUUGGAGGUGUGGUCGUUCGGCUUGUCGUACGCCUGGCCAUGUGAUCACAUGAAUCGGGCGUACUACGGUCAGGGGGAACAAGGGGAGAGGGUGGGGCCCGUUGGGCCGGGGAAUGUAGUUAGGCCAUGAUGAUGGACGGCUGGAUGGACGCGUGGUCGUUCGGCUUGUCGUACGCUUGGCCAUGCCAUAAGUCGGGGAUUUCUCGGGGUACGGUCAGGGGGAACAAGGGGAGUGUGAAUGUGAAAAUCGAUCCCCAAUGAACACAAUCAACGCCUCCUGACCCAGCAUCUAGGGGGGAGAAGGUUGUCAUUGGUGAUUAGGCCUUGUAAAUUGGUAUUUUCAUGGUUUGAUUUUAAUUUGAUAAAUUUACCUAUACAAAAGUGCUAAAAUAAUCUAAGCGGGGAGAUCAACCAUAGUCCAACAGAGACCAAUAUUAGUUUGACGUGAUAUUGCUAUGGUUGUUACGUUUGUUGUCCGACAAUGAUAUAACGUGCGAUUAUGUUUGUGACUACGGACUUCUGUAUUGAGUUGUGAUUUACGUGCUUUUUCUAGCGGUAAAAUAUAACAUAUUUGUAACUUUUAACAAGGUCGCUAAUUCUGUUAAAAAAAAAACAGGGUCGUUGAUUAGAAUUCGAUACUUUGACCAAGUCCAAGUCUCUCCCUUUCUCUCACACAUAGAAACAUGAUGAAAUGAUAAACGACGGAGACGUUUCUUGCGCGUGUUCUAAGCAAGUGUGCUGUUUUCUCUUAUGGCAGAGUCCCUCUCGAUUCUUCACCAAAACCUGUUCAUUCCCAUUUCCAGCAGCAGUUGAAUGCCCUUGUUCCUCUAGGAAUUGGGUUUCCGCCUUUGAAAGAAGAUGAGAAAGAAGUAGUCGAGAGAAGAGGAGAAGAGAAUUUUCUUUGUAUUAUGUAUAUCAUUCAAUGUACAAUGUCUACUAUGUUUAUAAUACAAAAUGUGUAUAAGAAAAGCAAGUAAAUAUUUUACAAUUUGGAUCCGAUUAGAUCCGAUACUAAAUGAUCGUGAUUGAUCUUGAAUGAUGUUGUGAAUCUUCAUGUGUAUCUUCUAACAAUCCCACUCAAGUUGAUGGCUUGUAAAUAUCCGAGAUGCCUAGCUUGCUUAGAAGAUACGCGUGCUGGCUUUGACACAAGGGUUUAGCGAAGACGUCCGCUGGUUGCUCUUCUGUUCGGAUCCCCAGUGUCUCGAUUAUCCCUUGUUGGAUCUUUUCUCGUGCAAAAUGGCAGUCCACCUCUAUGUGUUUCGUUCUUUCAUGAACUAUUAGGUUUGAGGCAAGUUUGAGGGCCGCAUCAUUAUCCCAAAACAAUUUGGUUGGCCCUUCAACUUGUACCCCAAGAUCUCGAAGAAAUCCACGUAGCCACACUACCUCACAUGUGGUCUUUGCCAUGGCUCGAUAUUCCGCUUUUGCUGAGGAUAAUGAAACAGUCGGUUGCUUCUUUAUCUUCCAUGAAAGUAAAGAAUCCCCUAACUUGAUACAGAAACUUGUUAUGGACCUUCUGCUCAUCGAACAUGUCGCAUAAUCUGCAUCACAAUAUGCAGUCAUCCUCAUAUCACAUUUCUUGGAGAGGAGAAUCCCAAGACCUGGACAUUUCUUCAAAUAUUUUACCACUUUGAGUGUUGCAUUCAUGUGGGACUGCUUUUGAUUGUGCAUGAACGACUAGGAGUUUGCACAGCAUAACUGAUAUCCGGCCUGGUUAUAGUUAAAUAUAUGAGUUUCCUAACAAGUUUCUGAUAAGUCAUUGGAUCCUCAAUGUAGGAUCGGGUUCUUAAGAGAUUCCAGUAUCAUACUCUGCUGUGGUCAAUUUGAUAUUUUGCUUGAUUGGAAUUACAACCGGCUUACAUCCUGACAGUCCGACUUCUGAUAUGAUUUCUAAGGCAAAUUUUCUCUGGUUGAGAGAUAUUCCUUGGUCUUAACUAACUGGACAAGCAGCUUACUGCUCUUUGAAGGGAAGUCUAAACUGGAUGGCUGCAGAGGUACUCUGAUUUUGUGAAUGUUAAUGCUACAUUCCUUUUUUUUAACAUGGUGGAAUGAUGUAGUCUAUCCUGCGGCUCAUACAAUCCUUGAUGGCAUAUGAUUACAGCACAGAUCUCAAUCGUACUGCUAACAUCUGAAGUUUGGGAAGUACUAUUUACAGGAAACCUCCUUGGAGCGAGUAUGAGCGGGNNNNNNNNNNNNNNNNNNNNNNNNNNNNNNNNNNNNNNNNNNNNNNNNNNNNNNNNNNNNNNNNNNNNNNNNNNNNNNNNNNNNNNNNNNNNNNNNNNNNUUUUCUCUGUUUGUCCUUCCAAGUAAUAUGCUUCUAACCAAAUAUGUGUCACCGUUUUCUGUUGGAAGUUCGGGACUGUGCAUAUUACCAUUUGUUAUGUGAUAUGUGUCUUUAUUUUCUAUUUAAGGUUUAAUCAUUAAUGUAGGGUCAAGCUAUAUUUAAGGUGAUGCAAAGUUCUCCACCAAUACCUAAGACGUUAUCUGCUGAGGGAAAGGAUUUCCUGCAGUGCUGCUUUUGAAGAGAGCCUGCCGAGAGGCCUUCAGUUGUUAUGCUACUUGAGCAUGCUUUCUUGCAAAUUUGAAGUGAUGACUGACUUAUUUCGAGUGCCAUACCUUGUUGCAAAAGUGAUGUCGUACUAUAAAGUUCCAGAUUUGCUAAACCAAAAGUAUCAUGAGGUCCAUAGGUGUGAUGAAGUACUUGUCUAUCGACAAAAUUAAAUGCAUGUCUGAGAGGUGGCAUACUUUGAUCUAGGAAAUUUGACAGUAUUGCCUAAUCUAAGCGGAGAUCUAGGCAAUUUGAAAGUCUUGCCUAAUCUAAACAUUUUACUAUGGAGUGCAUUCUUAUCAUAGACAUUUUGUCUAUUACUUUAAUUUCAUCAAAAUUGAAUGGUAUUGAUAUGGCUCCAAGUAAGCAACAAAUCGGCAAAACACAAGCAAGAAACCCAGAAAAGAAAAAGGAGAAAGAAAAUCCAAGUGAUGAUGCAUCAGAAUCCCUGAAAUAAUUUUGGAAGCAAGUACUCCGUCGAUUUGGUUGGGGGAACAUUGGCAGGUUUGGCAAACCUGCAGUAUCUUAGGAUUGGGGAAGUGAAGAGAAGAGUAGCAAAGUUAUGGGCAUCGGAGGCUCUUGAUUCUUCCUUUAAGAAUGUCGAUCUCAACAAAUACAUGAGAUUUCUCCAACUAGAGUGGCUCUCAUCUCCAUCACCAAAUUCCGGAGAGUUAAGAAAAGCCAUUGGGUGUCUGUGGAUGUAAAUGAUGAUGAUUCAAGAUUUGUGACUUCCGAAAGGAGAAUUGACGUUGAUUGUUGCAAAUAGCUCGUGACUUGUGUCUAUAUUUCAUCUUGUGUCUAUGAAAUGCAAAUAGCCCAUGAAUUUUGUUUAAAAUAUCUCACGUCGUUCAUUUACGAGAUUUUAAUGGGCCUAAUAUUUAUUUAAUUUCCCUUCAACUAUUUGUUCAAAUUUUUGGGUUGGACUUCCUCAUGCGUGCGUGAUGGCGUUAUUGCACGAGUAUAUUGCGUUAUCUACUCAUCACCAAUACAUCGCAAGAUUCAUCGUGACAGGAGCUUUUGCUCAUGGGGCUAUGAAAAAGUUAAGUGCUAAAAAAUAUCAACUCUAUAUUUUUGAUGAUAUACUAAACAAUUUGAAAGACUAUGAUUGGCCUUAGUAAGUAAGUCACAUUUUACAUUUUCACGUUAUUUGGCACACAAAAUGUCGAUAUAAUUAGUAUUAAUUCAGGGGCCGUAAUUGUAAUUGGCUCAAAGGUGAGUGCAUCUUCAUGAGUAAUACCGGCAAACUCCUUUUGAGAUUAUCCUUCCUAGGGCAUGUUCUCCUACUUAGAUAACCUGAUAAUUUUCCUCUUUUUUCGAAUAGUAUAAUUUAAUUUCCCUUUAUUAAUUUCCUCUCUCUAGAUUAGUGCAUCUCUCUACUCGUGCGUUCGUUCCUGGUGAAAUAAGGGGAUUAAAUUAAUUUUGUCGGCUAACUGUCAACAUCAAUUAAGCUUUCUCUCUCUCUCUUCAUAAAUACUAAUACACACAUCUCUUACUGUGUAUUUUUAUCAAUAAUUUCUUUUCAUUAUUUAAUAAUUCAAAUAUUUUAUAAACAAAGACUUGAAUUAAAAUUUGUAAAAAUUUGUAAAUACCAAAUGUUCCCACACGCAUAACGUGUGUAUCGGGUGAUAAUAAAAAGAGGAAGAUCCCCAUUGGAGAAAAGAGGUCCAGAUAUAUUAAUACGGUUUCAUUCUCUAGGAUCAAUUAUUUUCUUGGGAAGGUAGUUCGCGAUUUUCGAAUUGUCUUUGAGUUGACCGGGUCUUAAGCGACUUUUUUUUCUUAUGACUCUCGCCUGCAUUUGGACUCUUAUCUCCAUUUUCGUUUUCUUUUGUUCUUUUACCAAACCCUAACCAUAAUGCUCCUUUUCUUUUUUGUCCCUUUGUUCUCGCCCUUUUCUUUCGUACAACUCGCUCUUCUUUUCCAGCUGUUCUUUUUUUCUUUUCUUUUUUUCGGUUCUCUGCCCAAACCCUUAAUGAAGACUAAUUGGUGUACGAUGAUAUUGAGCGCCAUCGUCGACCGAUCAAGUUCGCUAAACUCAAGUCAUCAACGGACUGACUAUCCUUGUUUGAACAGGAGCUUCCACCAGCGUGGCAGGAAAAUGAAAGCAAAAACUCAAGCAAGAACUCAUUGAUUUUCUAAGAUUUGGUCAUAAGUAUCGAUGAAAAGAAACUUUAAUACUGCUGCUCCGAGAAUGGAAGCACUCCCAACAAGAAAACCCAAGUGAUCGAAUUCAAUUCACGGCGGAUGAUGCGAGUUUAACAGUCAUUCUCUACGACAAUCACAAUAGCGAUGCAGUAAUUUUGAACUCCCCAGUGAGAUGUCUCUUGAUGCGGCAGAGGAAUCCGAUCUAUUACUUUUUUAUAUCAUCACUAAAAUUUUGUUACAUAAUUUAAUUUACAAUUGUAUCAUCUACAUGAAAAUUUGAAAUACGAUCUAACUAAACGGAAUAAAUCGAAUCUCACUAAAUCGAAAUGUUAAACAGAAAAUAGAAUGCCCAGAUGAGAAUCUGACUUGACAGUCUAGAAAAAAACUGGAAUUCUUUCUGAUAAAUCUUUAAGUUCUAACUAAAACAUGUACUGUGUUUCUAGCUGAUGUCUACUUCUGUUUUCCUUUCUUGCCGACUAGCUCUAUACGUAAGGACCGGGUCGUGAUGGUGUGAAUGCUUCGCCGGGGAGUCUCGACUAAAAGCAGCCUCCCUCCGACCGGGAUUCUCCUGCUUUUCACCUUUUGCUUUUCACACUAAAUCUUUGCUGAAGAUAUGGUCAUUCAUCGUGAGGGUGUGCUGCAAUUUCUCCGCUGCCGUGUCCUUCUUGACCACGCUCUUCUCCUCAUCAGAGCAAUCUCCACCGAAGCCCACCGACAGUUCCACUUGCGCUCUUCUUUUAUUUCAAGUCUUUUUCAACUUUCUCUGCUUUCGGUUCCGCAUGGCCCGACCAUGUCCCCUCGUCCUUGUCUCGGUGUUCAGUUAGUCGACACGUUUCCACCGUAUCGUGUCUCACGAGAAUUUGCUCUCCAUUUUUGCAGAAUUUCAGCUCUUCCCUUUCUGUUCCUUUUUUGUGUUUUCACACUUCUAUUUCCCUUCCUUCGCACUCGCACGAAUGCCGUGUCGAAAGUGAACUCAAGUUGACCAUUUCGGUUCACAAAAAUUCGCAAUUUUAUUGGAAACGGUCUGUAAUUUUAUAUGCGAAAGAAUGCAAUAGAGAUUGAGAAUGCGAGAUUACAAAUGCUUUUUUCUUAAUAAGGGGUCAAAUUAUCAGUGAAUUUGAUUGCUGAAUUUCAUGAGAAUGCGGAUAGGACCUUUAGGUGAAAAUCAGUGUCAACAAUAAUUUUCCUCAUAAGUUAGUAAGUUGUUAUUUUCUCUUUAAAUCAUCCCUUCAUUGAUUUUUUUUUUCUUUUUGUCUAAAGAUCCAAACUGGAUGCGAAAUUGAUCUCGUAAAUUAAUUAGUGUAUGUAAAAAAAGAAAAGAAAAGAAAAGAAGAAGAUGAUGUUUUUAUAAUAACUAUAAUAAAUUUGCAUGGAGCACUCCUAUUUUAAUCAAGCUUGCUUUGUUUGAUUAAACUAAACCAGGGUCAUCAAGAAAAACAGCUCUAGUGCGAACGUCCCGAUCGGCUGGAUUCAAUGUUGAUUUAUUUAAAGUAAAGCGAGUUUAAUGUCGCCGUCGCGAUCGUGACCAACUUCGAUUGUGCGCCUUUUCUCUUUUGUCCCCUAGCUCUCCCACUUUUCUUAUGCCCAACUCUCUCUUCCUUUGUUGCUUUCUUUUUCGUUCUGCGCAAACCCUUAGUGAAGACUAAUUGGUGUUUAGUUUUCCAAAGCGGGGCAUUAUGGAGCACCAUCAUUGACCCAUCAGGUUCGCUAAGCUCAGUCAUCAAUUAACUAACUAUUCUUGAUUUGAUUGAACAGAAGCUGCACCAACGUGGCAGGAAAAAGAUAAAAUCAGGCGAGAACACAUUAAUUUUCUAAGACUUGGUCAUAAGUAUUGAUGAAAAGAAACUUUAGUACCGCUGCCCUGAAAAUAGAAGCACUCCCAACGAGUGAAUCCGAGUGACAAUUCAAUUAUUUGACGAAAUCAACUCAAUGACGUAAGUUCAAUAGUUACUCUUUACGGUAAUUACGAUAGUCAUGCUACAAUUUUGAGCAUUGCAAUGAGAUGUUUCAUGAUGUAACAAAAGAAGCCAAUUUAGUCGUGCAAAGAGGUGGCAUUACGACCACAACAUCAGCAAUGAUUGGGGCAGCAAUGACACAUCAAUGAGGCCUAAUCUUAGUGGACUUUUUUUUUUCCCUUUUUACGGAUAAAAUAUGAAUUAGAUAAUUGAUCUCUUAAUAAUAAAUAGAUAAUAGGAAAUAUGAUUCUCCAAUUUCUUUUUGAAUUCACCAUAUGGCAUUUUUUUUGCUAUUUUUUUCAUUUACUAAUUCAAUUCUAUUACUUUUUUAUAUAGUCACAUAAGUUUUAUUACAUAAUUUAUUUUACCAUUGUAUCAUUUACAUGGAAAUUCGAAAUACGAUCUAACUAAAUGGAAUAAAUAGAAUCUCGCUAAAUCGAAAUGUUAAACAGAAAAUGGAAUGGCCAGAUUAGAAUCUGACUUGACAUUCUAGAAAAUACAGGAAUUCAUUCUAAUAAUCUUUAACUAGUAACUGAAACAUGUAGUGUGUUUCUAGCUGAUAUCUCGUUCUGUUUUCCUUUCUGUUCCACUAGCUCUACACGCCACGGCCGGGUCGUGACGGUGUGAAUGCUUAGUCGGAGUCUCGACUAAAAGCCUUCCUUCGGCCGGGAUUCUCCUGCUUUUCACACUGGAUCGUUGCUGGAGAUACGGUCAUUCGUCAUGAGGGAGUGCUGCAAUUUCUCCACUACUGUGUCCUUUUCGACCCCAUUAUUGCCCUCAUCAAAGCAAUCCACCGAAGCCCGCCGAAAGUUCCACUUGCGCUCUUCAUUUAUUUUGCGUCUUUUUCGACUUUCUCUGCUUUCGGUUACGCAUGGCUCGACCAUGUCCCCUCGUCCUCAUCUUCGCGUUCAGUUAGUCAACACGUUUCCACCGUAUCGGGUCCCACCAGAAUUUGCUCUCCAUUUUUGCAGAAUUUCAGCUUUCUCUUUCUGUUCCUUCGUGUGUUUUCACACUGCUAUUUCCCUUCCUUCGCACGCGCAGAAAUGCCGUGUUGAAAGUGGCCUCGAGUCGACCAUCUCGGUGAACCGGAAGUAGGGAGCGGGAAGGACCUAGAAUUCCCGUUUAAAUUUACCUCGAAAAUUUCAGGGCUGGGUCGUGUAACAGGUCGGUUCGCAAGAAUUCACAAUGAAAGUUUUCACAAUUUUAAAUGCGAAGGAAUGUAAUAGGGAUCAAGAAUGCGGGAUUACAAAUGUAUUUCUUUUUAUAGGAGAUCAAGGUAUCACUGAAUUUGAUUGCUGAAUCUCAUCAGAAUGUGGAUAAGACCUUUCCGCGAAAAUCUAAAUGUCAACGGUAAUUUUCCUCAAAAGUUAGUAAGUUAUUAUUUCCCUUUAAAUCAUCCCUUCGUUGAAAUUAUUUUCUUUUUAUCUAAAGAUCCAAACUAUAUAUACCAGACUUAUCUCGUAAAUUAAUUAGUGCAUGUAAAAUUCCAAGUUUGAUUUUAGAUUUAUGCGAUGUAAAUAAGCAGCACUACUCCCAAGGUUUUCCUAAUUAAUGUAAUGCAAAUCAUUUCUAGAGGAAUAAAAGAGCAAAUGCUAGACAUAAUAAAAUUGAAUAUUAUAUGCGCGCGCCCGCAUAUUUAUAUAUAAAGAUGGAUGGAGUAUGAAGAGGAAAAUAGUGUGGUGGCCUUCUUAGGUAAGUUUUGAUUUUAAUUUUUGAGAGUUCGGCAAAAAAAGUGAAUCACAUUUUAAUGCUCAACAAUACUUUUCCACCUCAUUUGGUACACUGAUUUUUUAAAAUCUUUAUAUAAUUAGUACUAUUUUGCCCCCCACCCAAAAAAAAAAAAAAAAAAAAAACCCAAUAGUAUCUUGGGAGCACUUUCGUGUGAGUUUCCUCACUGCCGAACGCGUUUUCUUGAGCAGGGCCGUCCACUCCUUUUGAUGACAAGACAACAACAUGGGAAACAAUUACCCUACACUACUCUUGACGCUCCUCUGGAUCGAUGCUUAACGUGUAAGGGCUGCUUGUGAUUCUCCUUGCAAAGGUAUGUUCUCCUUCUUUGAUAACCAAUUUUCCUCUUUUUUUUCGAUAAGUAUGAUAUUAAUUUACUCUGUGUAGAUCUAGUGUAUCUCUCUAUUUGUGCUUUUGUUCCCAGUAAAAUAAGGAGAGAGAUCUCUGUACUUCAGGCGUGCACAACUCAGGCGGUUUGGUUCUGUUAGGAGGAUUCUACGGUUUUGCAACGAUUUCAAAUAUACCUGGUCAGCUAGCUUUUAACAUAACUUAAGAAUCCUUUAUUUUUCUAUAUGCAUUAUUUUUUUAAAUUGAUCGUCUGUUUUUAACUGUUCUAUGCUCUUGCUUGGCAUUGUCUCUGUUUUGUAAGAAUCAAAUAAAGAAUCUCCGACUGAGCAUCCUUAUUUAACUGGAUUACUUCUUGUAGGAUAUUGGUAGCGGCAAUGCCUAGAGAAAAGGAUCCAUUUUGGAAGUACGCGACGUUGCUGAAUGAAAAUAAUAGCAAGUGGAGGUGUAACUUGUGCGGACAGAAUUAUAGUGGACGUGCUACAAGGAUCAAGGCUCACUUGGCUGGAUUGACCCGCUUUGGUAUUAAAGGAUGCGAGAGAGUCGAUGCUAAUGUUAGAGCAGAAGCCAAGGACGCACUUGAGCCUAAAAAAGUGACGGACUCGAGCGACCAAGGUGUAUCUGACGAGAGGAUACCAGGAAAUGUUAAAGCAGCUCCGACCAGCACAACUCAUCCACCAAAUGCGGAGGGAGGAAACAAUUUACAACUUCCACAAGGUAUGCAUUUCCAAAUUACCGCAGAAAAUGGCUGUUUAGUAAAGUGAAUUUUUUUGAUCUAAUCUUAAAUAUGGUUUGAGGUUUGCUUUAGUCUUUUAGGGUCUGCAUGACAAACUUCCCCAGCCCAAGAAUUUCUAUUCUUCUCUUCCCCAGAACCAAAAAAGAAUAGAAACCCGCAUGAUAAUGGCAAGUUAAUUUUUUGUUCCCGGGAACAAAAUGUUAGCCCGGAAAUGGUUUUGGAAUAGAAAUGAGAAGUAAAAAAAAGUUGCUUCUUGUUCCCGGGAACAAGUUUAAGAAAUAAGUUAAUUUUUUUUUCUUUUAUUCUUCUAUUGUUGACUGCCAUUGACCGCUGUUGACCGUUGCCGCCGCCGCCGGUCGCCUCCGCCGGUCGCCGCCGGUCGCCGCCGGACGCCGCUGGUCGCCGGAGGCUGAUCGACCUCNNNNNNNNNNNNNNNNNNNNNNNNNNNNNNNNNNNNNNNNNNNNNNNNNNNNNNNNNNNNNNNNNNNNNNNNNNNNNNNNNNNNNNNNNNNNNNNNNNNNUGUUUUUUACCAAACGCGAUUCAAACGCAUUUCUAUUCUUUUUCUAUUUCUAGAUGUGUAGUUAUCAAACGGGUUUUUUUACAUAGAAAUUGUUCCCCAGAAUAGAAAUAGAAAAGAACUAUUUCUGAAAAGAAAUUGUUCCCCAGCCAAGAAAUGUUCUCAUGCGCACCCUUACUGUCUAAACAUCCAUUUCAAGGCAUGUCAAAGCAAUCAGUUUCCCUGCGCCCUAAAUUUCAAUAUGUUACUGAAGACAGCUAUAUAAAUCCGACUAAUGCUGUUGUAUAUCUCAAUCCAUCACUAGAAAAUGGGCAGGAGAUGAGGGCGGCCAACGUCGCAAACCCCCCAUUCGAUGGUGCAACAAGUUACCAUAGAGCACCUCCCACGCCAAAUUCACCCUUCACUGUUGAAGAUUUUACUUCUUUGAUGGAGUCUCUUGACGCUGAGACAUCAAAUGCACAACAGAAUCCAGGCGCGUUAUUGCUAUCAUCAAACUAUCAGCUCCUUGAUAAUACUUUUCAGAAUGAGUUACAGGGGCCCCUUUUGCCUGGUCCCAUUGCAUCGGAUACUCAACUCAGUAACAUGGCCACAACCAAAACUUCCCAGCAUUCUAGUCAACCACUUCAAAGCGACAGGGAGUGUGGAUACGGCACCGGUCUAGAGCCACCUAUUCCAUCACUACCUUCCACUGGACCUCUUCUUGUCGAGUCAGUUGACCCCCUGCAGAUUCCAGAGGACAUCACAAAUACAAUAGGCCCAUGGACAUCAGAAGGUAUGAAAUUAUCUAUGUAUGUUAAAUGAGUAUCGUUAACUAAGUGCCCAUUCCACUUGUUAAGUAUAUUUGAUAAGAAACUUUAUUUUUAUUUUUAAUGCAUUGAUUAUACAUAAUACAAGAGAGACGGUGCAUUGGGAAUUACAACAUUUCCUUAAUUGGGUUUUUAACAUAAUAACAGUGCAUGGAAUGUGUUGCAAGUGUCACCGGACCAACUGGAUCCGGUAAACUAACUAUAAUCGGCAUUCUCCCAUGUUCCAAUUAACCAUACCCUAUUUUGAUUAAUAACACGCAGGUGAAGGCACAUCAUGUUCAAUGAUGGCUUUAGCGGAAGAAGUACGGUCUCCUUUUAACUUGCCAUGGCAACCACAGUGUUCCAUUCAAUCUCAAAUGCCAAUGAAUUUCCAGCAGAUUCCAGCAGGGGUAUCGUCAUUCCAGUAUAAUCAAUUACCUGCUACAGGUAAUUCACAUUGCUUGCAGGGUAGGAAUCAGCACUCUCAAUUGCAAACUCCAAUGGACAUAGAUGCCUCAAUUGCAUCACGGCAUACAAGUGACUCUCACAUUAUUGAGGCAACAACGGUUGAUUCGCAAGUUCCAGAGGCGGCAACAAAUGCAACAGGCCCAUUGUCAUCACAAGGUGCGUUUGGAUUAAUCUUCAUUGUUACUAUAUGGUUCCACUAGAUUCUUAAAUAUCCCCAAAUUAUUUUAUCGAAAUCUAACAUAUUUUUUUAUAAAUUAGAUAUGAACAGGGGUUCUCCAGUCAUGGACGUACGGAGCAUCUAUGCCAACGAUGAAGAGAUAAGAAACCUGAAAAGAAAAGUGGAAGAACUCGACGACAAAGAAGCUGUCAUAAAGGAGCAGAUGGAGAUAGAGUCUGCUACUUCCUCAGUUCGGAAGAAGCCGAGGAUAUUGGUUGAUAGAUGGCUAAAAGAGACAGAAAGAGCAAGAAAUAAUUUCCAAAUAAUUGGUCAAGCCAAUGCGGAAACUUUGCCACCAAAGGAACAGGUGGAGACAUUGACGAGAGAAGUGGAAGAACUCAUAGGAAAAACGCUUCCACAAACACUACUCAUAGAGGAGAGAGAUGCCAAAGGAGUCAAAUUUUUUGAACGAAAGCUAACAGGUGAAGCGAUUCAUAGGAAUAUUGAGUUGAUUUGGGAUCGUCUGAAGGAGAAUCGUGUAUGCAAAUUGGGUAUUUAUGGAAUGGGUGGUGUUGGGAAGACAACUAUUAUGAUGCACAUACAUAAUAGACUUCUCAAUGAUGCAACCUUCGAUGGUGUGUUUUUUAUCACUGUGUCUCAAGAUUUCAGCAUUAAGAAGCUGCAGAGUGAUAUUUGGAAGGAUCUAAAAUUAGGCGUUAUGGAGGUUGAGGAGGUUGAGGAUGAGAAGAAACGAGCAGCGAUGUUGUCAGAGCAUUUAGAAAGAAAGAAGAAUUGUGUAUUGAUUCUUGAUGAUGUGUGGGAACGUGUUGAUCUUGAAGAGGUGGGAAUCCCUAUUAGAGCACAUGGAUUUAAGUUUGUCUUAACCACUCGAUCCUUUGAUGUGUGCCGCCAGAUGCAAUGUCAAGAAAAGAUCAAAAUCAAGUCUCUAUCUCAAGAAGAAGCCGAGAGUUUGUUUUUGGAGGAGCUUGGACCCAAUAUGCCACUUAAUUUGGAAAUUGAAGCAAUUGUGAAGUCCAUUGUUAAAGAAUGUGCAGGCUUGCCUAUUGGAGUCAUCACGAUGGCAAGAAGCAUGCGAGGAGUGACUGAUGUGUUUGAAUGGAGGGAUUCCCUGGUUAAAUUGGAAGAAUCAAGUAAAGGGCAAACAGAUAUGGAGAAGAAGGUUUUAAUGAAUCUGAAAGUCAGUUAUGAUCGCCUUGGUAAUCCUGAUGUGCAACAAUGCUUCUUAUCUUGUGCACUUUAUCCAGAAGAUAAAUUGAUUGAUAAGUUCAAGUUGGUAGAAUUCUUUAUUGACCAAGGAUUGAUUGGUGGAUUGAAUACGAGGAAAAAACAAUAUGAUAGAGGCUUCACCAUAUUGAACAAACUACAAAAUGUUUGCCUAUUGGAAGAUCAUGGGAGCAAGACGAAGAUGCACGAUUUGAUUAGAGACAUGGCAUUGCACAUCAUGAGUGCAACUUCCAUUGUAAAAGCAGGAAAGUUGUUGGAAAGUAUUCCAUCUGAGGAAUAUUGGACAGAUGCUUUGGAGAAAGUUUCUCUGAUGGGAAACAAAAUAAGUGAAAUUCCAUUGAACAUGUCACCAAAUUGUCCUAAACUAUCAACUUUACUACUGAAUGGAAGCUUGUUAGAGGAUGCAGUCCUCCCUGGUUCUUUCUUCAAACAGUUAUGUGGGCUAAAGGUUCUAAACCUGAGUGGAUGUGAACUAACAGAACUUCCAAAUUCCAUCUCAGAUUUGGUAAACUUAAGGGCACUAUUGCUUAGAGGGUGUCGGGUAUUGUGCCAUAUUCCUUAUUUAGGGAAGCUCACAUCUUUAAGGAAGCUGGACGUUGGUGGCUGUUUUCGGCUUGAAGAAGUGCCCGAGGGUCUGGAAAUGUUGGUGAACUUGAGAUACCUUGAGAUUUGUGUUGAAUUACCUGAAAGAGUACUGGAGGGUUUGCUAAACUUGCAGCAUCUUAAAGUUGAUUUUCUAGAUGGACAAGACAUGACAAAAUUGAGGGCACUGGAGACACUCGAAUGCUCUUUUGAAGAUGCGAAUAAUUUCAACGAGUGUGUGAGGGUUAUUGAACAGAGUAACCCUUGCUGCUAUUAUUAUCUCCGCAUGGUUCAAAAAGAUACUACUUAUGAUGAGGAAGAAAGUUAUAUUGCUCAAUUUGAGAAUUCAGACAGGAAAGUCUACAUUUUGGGGUGGGAGGAUGCUAUUGUGAGUGUCGGAGGGGAAUGCACUGGCAUUUUUAUUUUGAUUCCCCGAGACGUGCAGAAAAUGACAAUGGAUACAUGCAACGGUAUAACAAAUUUGUCUAGCAUGGGUCCGCUUGAAUACCUUGAGGAGCUAAAAAUUAGAGAAUCAGAAAACUUAGGGGUGCUCUAUGGAGGACAAGAUGAAGAAGUAAUUGACAUCCUUACCCCAGCCCUUGCGCCUCUCCUCUUCUCGAGCCUUAGGGUUUUACAUAUAGUCUGUUGUCUGAAACUGAAGUAUCUUUUUGGGCAUGGAUUUAAAUCCAACCUUCCGCAUCUACGAGAGAUUGUAAUAUCGGGAUGUUGGGAAAUGGUGGGGAUAAUAGCAGCAGUUACAUCCCCACCACCACAUCCGCUCCCAUUUUUCCCUAGUCUGGAACAGAUUGAGGUUCUUACCUGUAAUGAAAUGAAGAGAGUGGUGGAAUUCGAGUGGAUACCCCACUUCCCUACUCUGAGAAGUAUCAAAGCAUUACAUUGUGAGAAGAUGGAGGAGAUAAUCGGAGGUCCUCCCCCAUACUCGCCAGUUGAAGAGAUUUCUCUCCAAUCUCUUGAGGUAAAUGACUGCAAUAACAUGAGAAGGCUGUUUUCGCAUGAGUGGCUGCUCCAUCUUCGAAAUCUUCAAAGUAUCCAGGUCGUUGGCUGCAAAGGAAUGGUGGAGAUGAUAAGCGGAGCGGGACAAGGCCAAGAAGAAAGCAUAACGACUCUUUACAGCACCCCUUCAUCCUUCCAGCCUUCUUCAAUUUCUCUCCCAAAGCUGAAGUGCUUGGAGCUACUCAAUCUACCCUGGCUGAAGAGCAUAUGCGAAGUCCCAAUAAGCUGCAAUUCCAUGAAAGAAUUGACAGUGUCCAAAUGCCCAGGACUGAUGAGGAUUCCUUUGCAAUUGCGAUUGUGUGAAAUUGAGGAGCUUCCGCAUAUUUGGGUGGAAGAUGAGGAAAGGUGGAAGACGCUGAUGUGGGAUCAAACCGAUGCUCAGGCUCUUCUUCAACCUUAUCUCCGAAAGGGGAGUCCUUUAUUCCGGAAGGGAUGUUGUUCUCCAAAUGCUAUAGGUUAAUGAGUUUAAUUGAUAAUCAAUUGCUUCACUUCUUAAAAGUCUUUUCUGUCUAUAUAGUCAUGCAGCUCUCAUAGUGGCCUUUUGCAGAACUGUUGGCCAAGGGAAGGGGUCUCCUGCGACUCUGCUCUUGAAGAAAGCCCUGCUGCUCAACCGUGCUUUCCUGCAAACUUGACUCAGGUCGCCAUAUGAAUUUGACUUUUUUUGUGUGGCCAUGCUUUGUCUAUUUUGAAUGUGAUCGCAUGUUUCAUUGACUACUGGAAAUGAGUCGAUCUGAUUGAUAUUUCAGGUUAGUCAAAAAGCAACGGAUCUGAAGAUUUGGGAAGCCAAGGGAUUAGCAAAGUCUGUUUUUUAUCUUGUCUUAUAACUGAAAGGACAAUUUAUUAUUAUGGAUUGAUCUUCUUGGGAUAUUAGCCUUCUAAGAAAAGAGAGAAUUUUGUACAGCACUACCUUUAAUCUGUUUUUGUUUCGAAAGGAUUUCAAAUAUGAUAUUGCUUUAACUUGUCGAUCGAAAAUAUUGUGUCAAAUAUGCUGCUUUGCUCUGUUGGAUCAGAGCAACAUGACCCAUAUUAAACUUGUUUCGACAUUAAACUAGUGGGUAUAGAAUACUUGAUCUGCUUAGUAGUUGUAUCAUAUCUGGAAACGUAGGCCGGGAAGUUUUCUUUUCACCCUUUGUCAUACUUUGAGUUAGAAAUGUAAAAAGAUGAAGAAGAAAGAAUUGCACAGCUAUCACCCCUCUUUAAAUGCCUUGAAGUUGUGGAUAGAUGGAGAAACCUACAGCUUCAGCUCAAGUUACCAAAAAUCAGAGCAGUNNNNNNNNNNNNNNNNNNNNNNNNNNNNNNNNNNNNNNNNNNNNNNNNNNNNNNNNNNNNNNNNNNNNNNNNNNNNNNNNNNNNNNNNNNNNNNNNNNNNNNNNNNNNNNNNNNNNNNNNNNNNNNNNNNNNNNNNNNNNNNNNNNNNNNNNNNNNNNNNNNNNNNNNNNNNNNNNNNNNNNNNNNNNNNNNNNNNNNNNNNNNNNNNNNNNNNNNNNNNNNNNNNNNUGCAUUGAGCAGUUAAAGCAGAUAAUGUUUUUGUAUGCUCUGCGAUCCCAAUCUAUCCUCUCAUCUGAUCUAAAUAUGUUGGGAGGAAACUUUCUUUCAUCAUUUCCAGGUAAUUGAUUGCUUUGUUACUACAGGAAAUUCAGGUACUUAGCCAGCAUAGACAUCCGAACACUCUGCAGUAUUAUGUUAGGGAAAUUGUGAGUCACAUUUCCACAGCAUCUAUGCAUCCCAGCUCAAUGGGCGUUCAUUAUUUGACUCACCAAAAUUUCAACAUAUUCAUGCAUACUCAGGUUGAGGAUUGGCUUUACAUAUAUCUAGAAUAUGCACAUCACGAUUCAAUAGACAAGUAUAUCCAGGAGCGUCUUGGGACCCUAACAGAAUCAGUUGUCAGCACUUUACCCGCUAUAUUGUGGCUGGAUUGGCUUCCCUGCAUGUUAACAACUCCAUACAUGGGUAUCAAGCAUCAUGAGAUGACUUGCAUAUUGGAUUAGGAGAUUGGACCUUCUUAUUUGUACCCACAGACCCGUUAAAACUAUUUGGCUUGUGCAGGGAUUUAAUGGGAGCUAUUUAUUUGUGGAUGCAUCUGGGAUAUUCAAACUUGCUGACUUUGGGAUUGCUAAACAUGUGAGUUUUUACCUCUCCACUGCAAGACUAUUCAGUGCAUGUUGAAAUUCCUUGCUAAUCUGUGGUGCAUUCGAAUGUGAAGUCAGGGACCCAGGGUGACUGCAUACUUCUCGUUAUUGGUUUGUGGCAUUUCAUAUGUGCAUAAAUCUAUCAUAGAUGGAUGAAAUGUUAUUAAGUAAUUUUCUUCACUUUUUUUCCCAUUGUUUCGGGUAAAGUUACCAUGUUGCAUGAACGGGAAAAGAUUUCUUGCUGUAAAUAGAUGCCGAAACCUAAUGAGAGUUCCCUUUCUACUGGUUUCUAAAAAGUUCCUAAGAGCGGUAGUGAAUAGAACGCAAUACCUUUGGCAAAAGGUUGUGGUGUUGUUUUUGCUGCUCCUCUGCAUUCCAAAAUAAGGAUAGAAUUUAGUCACAGUAAGUAAGGGCCUCCUUCCUAACGUGGGGUAAAUAAAAGUGUAUUGAUCCAUAGAAUGGAAUUCUGGACAGUCGCCAAGGUGUUGUUGCUCUCUUUUUGAGUUCUCAAGCAUUUGCUGAGGCCAUGUUGUUGAUUGCUUCAUGGUCCUUUUUCUCAGUAAUGAGCUAACAUGAGUUGAAAGUGGUUGAUUCAGUUAUCAAUAUGAUGUAUCUAUGUCUAUAAAGAUGUUGCUAUUUUAUCCGGUGUUCCAUGAACACACCAAGUAGUAUUCAGCUUUACUAAUGCCGUACCAUUUCUUAGCUAACCGGACAAGCAGCUUGCCGCUCUUUGAAGGGAAGUCUAAACUAGAUGGCUCUAGAGGUACUCUGCUUUUGUUAACGUUAAUGCGGCAUACUCGGAGGUCCUCCCCCAUACUCGCCAGAUGAACAGAUUUCUCUCGAAUCUCUUGAGGUAAGCCUUUGCGAUAACAUGAGAAAGCUGCUUACGUAUGAGUGGCUGCUCCAUCUUCGAAAUCUUCAAAGUAUCGAGGUCGCUGAGUGCAAAGGAAUGGUGGAGUUGAUAAGCAGAGCGGGACAAGGCCAAGAAGGAAGCAUAACGACUUCUGUAAACGACACUCCUUCAUCCUUCCAGCCUUCUUCAAUUUCUCUCCCAAAGCUAGAGUGUUUGAAGCUACGCUAUCUACACCAGCUGAAGAGCAUAUACAAAGCCCCAAUAAGCUGGGAUUUCAUGAAAAGAUUGGACGUGUACGGAUGCCCAGAACUGAAGAGGAUUCCUUUGCAAUUGCCACUGCGUGAAAUUGAGGAGCUUCCGUAUAUUUGGGUGGAAGAUGAGGAAAAGUGAAAGAUGCUGAUGUGGGAUCAUGCUCAGGCUAUUCUUCAACCUUAUCUCUGAAAAGUGCAUCCUUUUUUUUCAAAUGCUAUAGGUUAAUGAGUUUAAUUAAUAUACAAUUGCUUCACUUCUCAAAAAGUCCUUAUAAAGAUGUAGCUUAUCUGUCUAUAUAGUCAUGCAGCUCUAACGGCGGCCUUUUGCAGAACUGUCCGCCAGGAGAAAGGAUCAUCCUUGGCUCUACUCUUGAAGAAAGCCCUGCUACUCAAGCAUGCUUUCCUGCAAACUCGACUCAAGUUGCCAUAUGAAUUGACUUUCUUUCAUGUGGCCAUGCUUUGUGUAUUUUGAACGCAAUCGCAUUUUUUUUGGCUACUGGAAAUGAGUCAAUCUGGUCGAUAUUUCGGGUUAGUCAAAAAAAUGAAAGGACAAUUUAUUAUUAUGGAUUGAUCUUCCAGGAAUAUUAGCCUUCUGAGAAAAGAGAGAAUUUUGGGCAGCAGUACCUUUAAUCUGUUCGUGUUUAGAAAUGAUUUCAAAUAUAAUAUUGCUCUAACUUGUCAAUUGAAAAUGUUGUGACGUACGCCACUUUGCUCUUUUGGAUCAGAGCAGCGUGACCCUGAUUGAACUUGUUUCGACAUUAAACUAUCUAGUAUAGAAUACUCGACUUGCUUAGUAGUUGUAUCCUAUCUGGAAACACAGGCGGCCAGGAAGUUUUCUUUCCUCCCUUUGCUGUAAAAGGUCACCUUAGCCCCACUUUAGGUUAAAAUGUAAAAAGACCAAGAAGAAAGAAUUGCACAAUUAUCACCCC